GAAGGUUUUGUGGACAAGGCCAAGGAACUGUUUCUGCAGAUGAAGGAGAACAAUAUUAACCCUAACGUGGUUACCUAUACCUCUGUGAUUCGUGGUUUUUGUUACGCUAAUGAUUGGAACGAGGCGAAGUGUUUGCUUAUUGAGAUGAUGGAACAAGGGGUACAGCCUAAUGUUGUGACUUUCAAUGUCAUCAUGGAUGAGCUCUGCAAGAAUGGAAAGAUGGAUGAGGCAAGUCGGUUGUUGGACCUGAUGAUUCAGUUUGGUGUGCGUCCAAAUGCUUUUGUCUAUAACACAUUAAUGGACGGGUUUUGCUUGACAGGUAGAGUUAAUCGUGUGAAGGAACUAUUUGUUUCUAUGGAGAGUAUGGGUUGCAAACAUACUGUUUUUAGUUACAGGAUUUUGAUAAAUGGUUACUGCAAGAAUAAGGAAAUAGAGGGAGCGUUAACCCUUUAUAGCGAAAUGCUCUCUAAAGGAAUUAAGCCAGAUGUUGUUAUAUAUAACACCUUGUUUAUUGGCCUUUUUGAAAUACACCAGGUUGAGCGUGCUUUCAAGCUGUUUGAUGAGAUGCAAUGUGAUGGCGUGGCAGCUGAUACCUGGGCAUAUACAACCUUUAUUGACGGGCUCUGCAAGAAUGGUUAUUUUGUAGAGGCAGCUGAACUAUUUCGUACUUUGAGAGUACUCAAGUGUGAACUUGGUAUUGGAGCAUACAGCUGCCUCAUUGAUGGAUUGUGUAAAAUAGGCAAACUGGAAACUGCUUGGGAACUGUUUCAAAGUUUGCCUCGUGUAGGCCUAAUGGCAGAUGUUGUAACAUAUAACAUCAUGAUCCAUGGGCUUUGUAAUGAUGGGCAAAUGGACAAGGCACAUGAUUUAUUUCUUGAUAUGGAAGCAAAGGGUGUGGAACCCGAUUUUGUCAUAUUUAAUACGCUUAUGCUGGGUUUCAUCCGCUGUAAUGAGACAUCAAAAGUUAUUGAACUCCUUCACGGAAUGGAUAAGAGAAAUGUAAUGCCAGACGCAUCUAUACUUUCAAUUGUUGUGGACUUGCUUGUAAAGAAUGAAAUUGGUUUAAACUCGAUUCCACAAUUCAAGAGACAAAAGUAAGCAGACGGGUUGAAUCUUGAUUUAGUAGUGCGUCUCUUCUGCUUUAAAACCAGAUCUGGGGAAUCCCAUUCUUAUUACAACGUGUGAAGGAGUGUUGUGUAUUGUUGGCAUGUUCCCAGGUUCUGUUCAUGGAUUCUGUUUGCAGACAUGGCCGACUCUUUGUCUCAUCAGAUAAGUUUCAAAUAAUUCUGGCAACGUUUUGUUGUAAAAUUACUUUUUUAUCAUUUAAUUCAUAUGUUUUCCUUCUAUAAUGCCUCUUUCGCAUUUCCUGCAAGUGCAAAAUUUUUGAGCUCUUCCUCUUAGACCUCUUUUUCUUCUCUAAAUAGAUAAAAUGGCAUUUCAUUGUUCUCUUGCGAGGUUGCUGGUUUAUGCUGAAACUUUCAGUUAGUUAAAUUGAUUGUCUUUGAAAUUGGAACUUGUAGUUGAACUAGUUUGCAUUUCGAAUAUAUGAGAUUACCAAAUGUAACGGGAAUUGGUGCCGAAUUGAUUAUGUUAUCAGGUUUUUCAGUCUGUGUUCAUCUUUUAUUUCUGUUAAUAAUUAAUAGCACAGCUUGUCUUCUCUGCUUCUUUGGUUCCUGUCUAUUGUCAAAUAUAAACUUGUAAAGACAUUUUGUUUUGGCAUGGCACAUGCUAGAUUUUGUUUUUGGUUUGAAUGACACUACACAUCUAAGUAAUUGUCCAGAUUUUUUUCAUUCCUAGUGACAUGGCACUCAAUUGAAUGGUGACUCAUGUAUCAUGAUUGUGUGUGUUGGUAUUUGUUAUACUACGUGUUGGCAAGACAAAGUUAACCCUUUUUUUUUUUUUUUUUGGCUUUUGGAUUUUGUUUCAUUAUAUAUAUAUAUAUAUAUAUAUAUUGUAUACCGUUAUUAGCUUCGACAACUUGAGUUGCAGUCUUGUGAGUUUAGAACCUGCCAAAGUAAGCAUACACAUGACAAUGAAGAAUUGAAGAUUGUGAACGGUUAUUAGCUAUUGUUGCAAGUUUAGAACCUAUAAAUUGUAUACAGUUAUUAGCUAUUGUUGGAGCCUUAAGUGUGAACUUAUCAUCGUUGCCUACAGUUGCCUCAUUGAUGAAUUGCGUAAAAUAGGCAAACUGAAAAUUGCUUGGGAACUGUUUCAAAGUUUGCCCCGUACAGGCCUAAUGCCAAAUAUUGUAACAUAUAACAUCAGGAUUCAUGGGCUUUGUGACGAUGGGGCAAAUGGAUAAGACACAUGAUUUAUUUCUUGAUAGACCAUUCUCAGGGCACAAAGGGUGUGAUGCCCAAUUGUGCCAUAUUUACUAUGCUUAUGCGAAAGAAUGAGACAUCAAAAGUUUCUUCACUCAAUGGAUAAAAGAAAUGUAAUGCCAGAUGCAUCUAUAGUUUCAAUUGGUGUGCGCUUACUGGUUAAGAAUGAAAUUAGUUUAAACUUGAUGCCAGAAUUCAAGAGACAGUUCAUUAGAUGAGUUGAAUGUUGAUUUAGUAGCCUUGAAGUUUUGAAAAUGUUUCCUGAUGGAUAAAUUGAACUUGUAUGCACACGUGUGAACUAAAAGAAAAAUGAUAUACCAUUGUGGAAUCGAAAUUCUUUUGAAUGGAAAAAAGUUUGUCAGGAUCGCCUGAUUUCUAAUUGAUUUUAAGGGAAAUUAUCAUCGGUAUACCCUUAAAUGUCAUUGGUAUCAAACGUACUACAACACUUUUCGCUUAUAUCACUCGUAUACCCUAAGUUGACAAAAGAGUUCUGGCGUCCAACUUUCCGUUUACUACCGUUAAGAACUUAACAGAAUUUGAGCAAAAUGACUAUUUUACCCUUUAAACUCAAAAUGAGGUAAAAAAAUAAAUUUGCCUUGAAAAUUAAUGUAAAUUUUCAAUACACAAAUUUUUUUUAUUUUGUUUUUAACAAUACAUUUUUUUAUUAAAAAAAUAUGAAUUAUUAAUGGUACAGAUUAUUAACAAUUAUCCAUAAAAAAUAUUCAUCUUAUACCAUAAAAAAUUAUUAACAACAUCUUAUUUAUAAUUAUACAUAUUAUAUCAUAAAAAAUUCAAGUUGGAUCUUGGAGGAGUAGAUCUUCAAUAAUUUAGGUUAAAUUUUGGAGGAGUAGAUUCGGUUGUAAAGUAUGUUUUUUUUAAAGCAAUUAUUAACAAUUAUCUGAUAAAUGGGAUGACAUGUCAUUUUUAUCAAAAUAUAUCAUAUGACAUGUCGUUUUUUACUAUGUAAAUGGGAUGCCAUGUCGUUUUUUAAAAAAAGACUAGAUUACCCUUAUGAUGUCAGCGCUCACAAACGGCAGUUAACGGAUCGGUGGAUGGCAGAAGUGUUUUGUCAAUUUAGGGUAUACGAGUGAUACACUUGAAAAGUGUUGUAACACGUUUGAUACUGGUGUCAUUUAAGGGUAUAUAAUUGAUAAUUUCCCUUGAUUUUAAUAGAAAACGUGCUUUAAGCAUGAGGUAAUACUAUAAAGUUUUUUUAAGAAAGGUUAUAAAUUCCAGUAAUUGAGUCUAAAUUUGAUAUUAUAUUCAUAUGGUAUAAGGUAGAAUAUUAAUUUUAUCAGUUAUAAAAUUUACUAUCUAAUAGAUGAACAACACUUAACAGUCUCAUUACAUUACCAUCAGUUACUCCACUCUCUUUUCCUUCUCCUUCUUCUAAUGUAAUAACUUUAUACUUGCAGAUUGGUUCCUCUGUUUCCAUGAGGCACUAAUAAUAAAUCCACUGUGAUAACUCUUGAGUAUCUACCACUUCGUCUGUAAUUAAAACUCAACAACUCAGAUGAAAAACUUAAAACUAAAAGAGAUACCCAACUCGCAAGCGACUUUCGCAGCCCUAUGGGCUACUACCCUUUCAUUCUAGAUUCUUGCUUAGAGAGAGAGAACUUGUGAAGAAAACUUCUAUCAGUAGGAGAGCGCUUACAAAGUAGAUUAUUUUAUAUUUCUCUAGACUGACUUUUUUACUUUAUCAAAGACAAAAGCAGCAUAAACAAAGACAGAAGAUUAACAAAAGCAUCAAUUGCCAAAGAGUGAAGAGUAUUAUUAUAUUUUAAGAACAUAGGUUAUGACCAACUUAAAAGAAGCAGUUAGGGCUUGUUGGAUAUCGUUUUAAUAGCCUUAUUUUCAUUUUUGUUUUGGGAGUAUAAAUAUAAUACAUAUUCAGUGGGUUGAAUCUAAAAAAUAAAUUAUAAAACAAAGAAUUGAUAUUCACUUUUAUAGUUAUAAAAUUAAGAACCUGUUGAACAUGUUCUCAAACAAAUUACAAAUUAAAUUAAAAACAAAACCCCAAAACAAAAUCUAAAAACUUAUCUUCCUCUCCCAAAAUCUUAUCCCCUCCCUCUCGUUAUCUCAUCACAACGCUGCUUUCUUCAUGGUUGAUACUUCUCUUUUAACCACAACCCACUUGAACUGUGCACUCAUCUUUCUCUCCCCUUCCCUUUUAUCUAGGUCUACUUCACAGCUCUCUCCCUCUUGGUGGCUGUUACUUGUUCAUCAACUGCAAUCCAUCGUCGCAAGGUACGACAUUGGAAUAUUUGACCAAAAACAUGUCAGGACAGAGUGAUGUCUAUCAUGGUUUAUUGCUGCAAGUACAUUAUUUUCUUUGUACUAAAGUGAAUCUUUGAUGUAUUUAUUAAAUUUGGUGGAGCAAUCUUAGUUAAUUUUGAUGAUUUAUAUAUGCAUUUAAUUUCAUUUUUAAUAAUUCAUGUGCAGGAAAUAUGGAUUAUGGGCUUUGCUUGGACUGAUGGUUUGCGCAAUUUCAUUUGGAAUCAAUCAGCUUCAAGGAUAAACACUCAUCCUUUCUUGUGCAUGGGACUUGCUUUUCUUCCAUCCAACAUUUUGGUUCUUUUUUUCUAUGGUAGUAGUUUUAUGUUUUGUGUUGGUGGGAAACUUCAUGCUGCAAUUUUGUCAAACUCUGUUGACAUACCCUAAUCAGUAAUGACUUUGCUGCAUGGCGAAAGCAUAAGCUCAUAGUUGACAUUGUUGUCAUUAGAGCUUGUUUCUAUAAAAUAAGUGUAAUUUGAAAGUACAUUGUACACUAAUCAAUUUGAAUUAUCCCCAACAAGUUUUGAUCAUGCUUGAUGCAUGAUGUCUAUCAUUUAAUUUUUUUUAUAAUUAUUUUGUUUAACUUAUAUGUAUUGUAAUACAUAGCUUAAUUAUAGUGUUAAAACAAUGGCAAUGUAAUUUUUUUUUAUUAAUGCUAAUACUAAAACUUUAUCAUCAUGUAAUACUUUAUAAUUGUUUUGUUUAAAUUAUUUAUGGUAUGUCUGCGUAUUAAUUUAAUAAACAAUUAGUUUUUACUAAAAAAGUAUGACUUACAUUUUUAGCAAAAACUGUUCAUGAAAAUAGUACUACCGAAUACAUUUUCUCUAUUUUUAUCUUUUUUAAUUGUGUUUACCGAACACAUGUUACUGUUUUCAAUUUUAAAAUACAAGAUAUAGAAAAUGAUAUCAUAUGCUUAUUUAAUUCAAAAUGCAGCAACUGCCAAACACUAUAUUUAUUCUCAUUUUUGUUUUUAGAAAAUAUUAAUUCAGAAACAAUACUAAACAAGAACUUAGUUUUAGUACGAAUAAUGUUGUGUUAGUUAUAUAGGCUUACAUGCACCCUUAGAUUUAUUGAAAGUAUCAAACCAACCCCCUAGUUACCGUUGACUGAUAUCUAACCAGUUGACCGAUGUUGACUCUUAAAAGUAACUAUAACAUCUAUAUUGUAAUCUCACUUUAUUAACUAAUAAAUUUUAAAAAUAUAAAUAGAUCAAUAAUAACAAAAUAAUUAAAGUUGAAAUCCAAGAAAUUACCCAAAAAACCAUACCUAAACCAAACCUGAAAACCAAAAUGCAUAAAAUUUCAUUAAUUUAGGUUGUGACAAUGAGUAGUCCACAUUAUAUGAUGAAGGAACAACUUUUGUUAUUUUACCAAGUUAUUAAUGCUAUGUUUACUUACUGGAGCGGGCGUGAGAAGUGUAGAUUUCUCUCACUCUAGAGUUUACUUGCAUAUUCUAAGAGGUGUGGGAAUCCCACUUCUUUGAUCCCACCCAAUUUUAAAGUAUGGAGUGUGAUUCCCACUCCCAUGAGGGAAGGUCCACUCCCAUAACUUUCUUUUUUACCUUUCUUUUAUUAAAUUUACUACAAUCAUAUUUAGUAAAAUAAAACAAAUAACAUCAUAUUUAUUUAAUAAAUAUUAUUAUAUUAUUUUAUAAAAUUCUAUUUAUUAAAAAGAAUAAUAUUAAUCUUAUUUACAUAAAAUUAUUAUUAUAUUUAUUUAAAAAUAAUAGUAUUAUAUUUAUUUAAUAUUAAUAAUUAAUAAUAAUAAAUAGUUUAUUCUAAGAAAAUAUUAAUUUUGCACUAUAUUAUUAAUAAUUAUGUUUCAUUUGUGUUGCUCUUAUCAAUAAUUUUUAAUUUACAUAAUUAAAAUUAAAACUAAUAAAAAAUUAUGAUUUACAUAAUUAAUGAUAUUAAUAAUUAUUGUUAAUUUACAAAUAUAAUGAAAUAAAUAUUUUAUUUCAAAUAUAUUUUUUAUUAAUUUUGUAAUUAAAAGUUACAAUUCUUUAAAUAAAGGUAAAACCAUAAUUUGAAACCAUUUACUCCCCUUCUCAUUCUAGUGAGAGGAAACAACUUGCUUCCACUUCACACCAUCAAUCACAAGAUUCUCACUUCUCAAGAUUUCCACUAUAAUCUAAAAUGUAAACACUGUCUAUAACAUCAAAUAAAAUUCUUAAUUAAGUAAACCAUAAGGUGCUUGCGUAUAAAAAAAAUUAAUAAUAUUAAUUUUCAUAAGAAUUUAUGCUCGUAGUAUUACUUUACUUUUUAUUAACCAUUGCUUCAACUUAUGGUAGAUAUUAAGAGAACAAUAAUAAUAGAGCUAUAAAUGUUUGCGUACUAUCAAUCAACUUAACACUAUAAUUACCAACAAACCCUUAAUACCACAAAUAAUUAAAUUAUUGGGGUUUUAAAAUGACUCUCCAGACUUUGCAAGACUUCUUUAUAUGUAGGUGCCAUGGUUCCUAUAAGUAAUAUCAGCCACACUUUUUGUUAUUGUUAAACAAAAUUUAUAGGUACAAUUUGUGAAUUUGUACAAAAUGUGGUAUUAUACAUUUGAAGCAUGAACCGACAAGACAAUGUUGUGUUAAUAAUAAAGAAAUAAAAAAAAAUUGUAUAAAAUACAGAUGUUGUAGUGUAACUUGGAUUCUUUUUCUUUAUGAUUGCACCUAUCAUGUGAUUAUUAAAAAAACCAAAAAAAAAAGAACUCCUGAGAUUUUAAAAUUUUGUAAUUGUACUAUUUUUGGAUUAUCAGAAGACUUCCUCUCCUUAAAGAUGCCCUUAAUCCAUAAAUGGUCCAAAAAAUAAUUCAUGAAAUGAAUUUAUUAUUUUAGAUAAGUUUCAAGUACGCAUACCUUUUAUAGCUCCAUAUUGCAUAACUCCUCAUUUCAAUCAAUGGAUGCAUUUGUUUACUUUUUCUUUUUUGUAAAUUUUUGAAUGGUCGUAAUUCUAUAGAUAAUUAAUUAAGUGUUAUUGCUUUCAUUAUUUUGUAGAUGCAUAUGAUGGGUGGGGACGUUGGGGGACAUGGAUCUCAAUACACUAGAGGGCUAUAAUAUUUAUUCUUUAAGAGGAACCACAACCAACAACAAUGCUUUAAGUUCCAUUUCAUGUUACUUUUGUGCACUAGAUUGCAUAAACAACAUUUAUUAUCCAAGGUCAGCCUCUCAAAGACUUUGGUUACAAGACAAAGCAUGGGAUUGCGGCCAAAAUUUUCUUGCAGUGAAAGGCUUAGAAGCUGAUGACAGCUGCUGAAUUGUGGGCUCCAAUGGUUUUAAUAUUAUUCUCUUAAAAACAUAUGUGUUGAUUAGAGACGAGAAGAAGAGGAUGAUCUGAUUCAGCCAGUUGUAGAAGAAAGAGCACGCAGUGGAGUUCAGAUUUUGAAUUCUCUUGUUAAAUUGUUUUUAAUUUACUACAAGGUAGAAUACGUUGCAUUGUUAAAAAAUACUUUGAACAUCCUAUUUUUGUAUUACAAAUAUACCAAAAAUUAAAUUAAUUUUUUUCUUUAUUAGUAUAAACUAAAUUUUGCCUGAAUCCUCAUCCUUGUAAGUGGAAUUUUAUUGUGAAACUAAUAGUCCUUCCUAGUUGAACUAACUAUCACUUUGAACAUAUGUGUCAUCUCUAACAACAGCUUCCAAACCUACAGUUGCCUGCUUCUUAGCAUUAGAAGCAGUAUCCGCAUUGGCUUUCAACCAGCCAUAAUUAGGAGGAGGGCACCGUUGUUUCUGUUUGUCAAUUUCCUUCCUUGAACCAUAAGCCAUAAUUAGGAGGAGGGCAAACUUCCAAAUAACAUUCAAAAUGGUGUUGUGAAAAAUUUUCACCCUUUUGGUAAUAAAAAAAAACUUUAUUUCUAGUUCUCUAUUAACAAUCUUACCAUUAAGUUCUCUCUUGAGUAGAAACAUCAUAUAUAUUAAUUUAUUGUUAAUAUAAAAAAAAACUAAAUAUUUAUAACUUAAAAGAUAAGUGUUGAAUAGAGGUAGUCUCACAGAAAAAAAAAGUAUUUCAAAGCAGUAGUGAUAUCAGAAUUUUUUGUAAUGAUACGAUAGUAUCACACUAGAUUUUUUUCCGCAUUACAAAAAGUUUGUAUUCAAGAAUAAAUUAGCAAUAUCAGGAACAAAAAGCCUCCAGGACAUGUCAUAUUAAUUUUGUGAUAUAUUAGUUGGUGGAUCUUCUUUCCACAUUACAAAAAAUUAGAAAUGCAAUCUAAAUCGAUAUCAAUUACUAAUUUUAUAUUGAAUGGGUCCUACAUGAAAAUAAGGGGUAUUUUUAUAAUUUAAGAAAUUAUUAGCGAUUUACCCUAAGUUUACUUUGUGUCCAAAAAUACUAUGAAAACUUUAACUUGUUUAGUUUUUUUACCUUAAUUUAUAAUUUAUAUCAAUCGCUCACUAAAAAGAUAGAAUAACAUCAUAAAAUGACAAAAUAAAAACAAACACAAAUGACAAUACCAAUCAUUUUAUAAGGAUAAUCAAGUCAUUUCGGCACCAAAUUACAUAUUCAAUUAUUUUAAAUAUUAUAAAUUACUUUUAGAUUGAACCCCGGUCAUUUUAAUAAUCAUGGCCAUUUAACCUAUCUAAACAUGAUAUUUCGAGUAGACUUAUGUUUGUGUAGGAAGAUAAUGUAAAAAAAGUGGCACUUUUAUUCAACUGAAUAAAUUUCACAAUUUAAAUAAACAAAAGGAUAAAAUUUCAUAAUUAACUAUUAUUUGAACUAAUUGAUUCGGGAGCCAUGAUUUGUAGCGGUCCCAAAAGCAUAACAUUAUUGUGAGUAAUGUUAUUGUGAGAUAAAUUAUUAAUUCUCGUACUUGCAAAAUAAACGGCAGAAUGCGGUUUAGGGACGGAUUAUCGAGGCAUUUGUUAAUAUUCGGAAAUGAAAAGAAAAGGGCAAAUAAAAUUUUAACUUAUUAUUAUUAUUAUUUUUAAAGAUUGUAACUCAUAUGAUUAGACAAAUAAAGGAGCUAAAGGCCACUUGGCGGCUUCACUAGGAGCUGUUUGAGUUUAAUUCUAUUGGUAAAUGACAAUAGUGGUUAUUUUAUAAGGAUAAUUCAAUCCUUUUGGCACCAAAUUACAUAUUAAAUUAUUUUAAAUAUUAUAAAUUAUUUUUAUACUAAGUGAUGGAUCUAAUUAUUUUAAUACUCAUGACAAUUUAAUCUAUCUAAACAUGAAAUUUUGAGUAAAUUUAUGUUUGAGUAGGAGGAUAAUGUAAGAAAAAUUGACACUUUUAUUCAACCGAAGAAAUUUUACAAUUUAAAUUAGAAACGAUAAAAUUUAAUAAUUAUUGUGAGUAAUGCAUUCUACUUGUAAAUAGUCGGUAUUGGAAGGAAAAGGGCAUAUAUUUCUCUCCUAUUUUGGUAAUUCUCUUCUUCUUCAACCCCAAAUAAUCAAAAGCUCUCCAAUGGCUUUCGUAUCCACAACUCGUCCAUUUCAUUUUACUUCAAUUUCUGUAUCAGCUCUUAGAUGUAAUUUCUCAUCUUCGUUCCCUCAUACCGGGAAACCCACAUCUUCAAUUUUGGAAAAUGAACCCUCCUAUCCGAAUACAACAGCUAAACUGAAGGAGUCGCUACGACUGACGGUCAAAGACCGAGCCUCACUCGAAAAAUUCCUCAGAGAAAGGUUCAAAUCAUCCGGUGAAGGUGAUAUUACUACUAUUACUCCUAAUGAAGCCUUUUGUAUCUUUGAUUACAUGCUCAAUAUGCGCCCUUCUCCGCCUCCUGUCUCUUCCUUUAAUAUUUUGUUUGGUUGUCUUGCUAAGAAUAAACAUUAUGAUACUGUCCUUUCACUCUUCAAGAGACUCAAUUCAACUGGGUUGUUUCCAGAUCUUUAUACGUACAAUAUCUUGAUUAACUGCUUUUGCAAAAUGGGUCGAGUUUCUCCUGGUUUUGUUGUUCUUGGGAGAAUCCUCAGGUCUUGUUUUACUCCAGAUGCUGUGACCUUUAAUUCUUUGAUUAAAGGUUUGUGUGCGGAGAGUAGAAUCAUGGAGGCUGCCGCAUUGUUUACGAAACUCAAAGCGUUUGGUUGUGAGCCUAAUGUCAUUACGUACAGUACUUUAAUUAAUGGAUUGUGUCGAACUGGCCAUACAAUCGUUGCUUUAAAUUUAUUUGAAGAGAUGGCUAAUGGAAAUGGGGAAAUUGGUGUUGUUUGUGAGCCAAACACUGUUACAUACACUACUAUUAUAGAUGGUCUUUGUAAGGAAGGUUUUGUGGACAAGGCCAAGGAACUGUUUCUGAAGAUGAAGGAUGAGAAUAUUAACCCUAACGUGGUUACUUAUAACUCUUUGAUUCACGGUUUUUGUUACGCUAAUGAUUGGAACGAGGCGAAGUGUUUGCUUAUUGAGAUGAUGGACCAAGGGGUACAGCCUAAUGUUGUGACUUUCAAUGUCAUCAUGGAUGAGCUCUGCAAGAAUGGAAAGAUGGAUGAGGCAAGUCGGUUGUUGGACCUGAUGAUUCAAAUUGGUGUGCGUCCAAAUGCUUUUGUCUAUAACACAUUAAUGGACGGGUUUUGUUUGACAGGUAGAGUUAAUCGUGCGAAGGAACUAUUUGUUUCUAUGGAGAGUAACAGGUGCAUGCAUGAUGUUUUUAGUUACAGUAUUUUGAUAAAUGGUUACUGCAAGAAUAAGGAAAUAGAGGGAGCGCUAAGCCUUUAUAGCGAAAUGCUCUCCAAAGGAAUUAAGCCAGAUGUUGUUAUAUAUAACACCUUGUUUAUUGGCCUUUUUGAAAUACACCAGGUUGAGCGUGCUUUCAAGCUGUUUGAUGAGAUGCGGCGUGAUGGCGUGGCAGCUGAUACCUGGACAUAUAGAACCUUUAUCGAUGGGCUCUGCAAGAAUGGUUAUAUUGUAAAGGCAGUUGAACUAUUUCGUACUUUGAGAAUUCUCAAGUGUGAACUAGAUAUUCGAGCCUACAACUGCCUCAUUGAUGGAUUCUGUAAAUCUGGCAGACUCGAAAUUGCAUGGGAACUAUUUCGUAGUUUGCGUCGUGGAGUCCUAAUAGCAGAUGUUGUAACAUAUAACAUCAUGAUCCAUGCGCUUUGUGCUGAUGGGAAAAUGGACAAGGCACAUGAUUUGUUUCUUGAUAUGGAAGCAAAAGGUGUAGCACCCGAUUGUGUCACAUUUAACACGCUGAUGCUAAGUUGCAUCCGCAAUAAUGAGACAUCAAAAGUUGUUGAACUCCUUCACAGAAUGGAUGAGAGAAAUGUAAUACCAGAUGCAUCUACACUUUCAAUUGUUGUGGACUUACUUGUAAAGAAUGAAAUUAGCUUAAACUCGAUUCCACAAUUCAAGAGUCAAAGGUAAGUGAGUUUAAUAUUGAUUUAGUCGCAUGUUUUUUCUGCCUGAAAACCCCGAUCUGGAGGAUCCCAUUCUUAUUACAACAUGUAAAGGAGUGUUGUCUAAUGUUGGCAUGUUCCUAGGUUCUGUCCAUGGAUUCUGUUUGCAGACAUGGCUAACUUCUUGUCCAACAGAUAAGUUUUAAAGUCUUUCGACUUUAUGCUGUAAAAUAACUUUUUUUUUUUUUUUUUUUCAAUUCAUGAGUUUUCCUUCUGUAACACAUACUUCUCAUUAGCUUGAAGUGCAAAUUUCUUAGGCUUUUCCUGUAUGGCCUCUUUUUCUGCUCUAAAUAAAACGGCAUUUUAUUUCCCUGUGAGGGUAUAAGGUUUAUCUUUAAACUUUCUGUUAGUUAAAUUUGUUGUCUUUGAUAUAGGGAACUUCCAGUUGAGCUGAUUUGUAAUUCGAGUAAAUGAGAUUACCAACUGUAUUGGGAAUUGAUGCCAAAUUAAUUAUGUCAUCAGGUUUUUCAAUCAUUGUUCAUCAUUUAUUUCUGUUAACAAUUAAUAGCUGCCUCAUUGAUGGAUUGUGCAAAAUAAGCAAACUGAAAAUUGCUCGGGAACUGUUUCAAAGUUUGCCUCGUGCAGGCCUACUGCCAAAUGCUGUAACAUAUAACAUCACGAUUCAUGGGCUUUGUAACGAUGGGCAAAUGGAUGAGGUACAUGAUUUAUUCACGCUUCUGUCUAUAACACGUUAAUGGAUGGGUUUUGCUGGACGGGUAGAGUUAACCAUGGGGAGGAACUAUUUGUUUCUAUGGAGAGUAUGGGUUGCAAACAUAAUGUUUUUAGUUACAGUAUUUUGAUAAAUGGUUACUGCAAGGAUAAGGUUGGGUGUGCUUUAAAACUGUUUGAUGAGAUGCGGCGUAAUCAUGCGGCAGCUGAUACAUAUAUAUACGGUACCUUUAUUGAUAUGGAAGCAAAGGGUUUGGAACCCAAUUUUGUCAUAUUUAAUACGCUUAUGCUGGGUUUCAUCCGCAAUAAUGAGACAUCAAAAGUUAUUGAACUCCUUCACAGAAUGGAUAAGAGAAAUGUAAUGCCAGACGCAUCUAGACUUUCAAUUGUUGUGGACUUGCUUGUUAAGAAUGAAAUUAGUUUAAACUCGAUUCCACAAUUCAAGAGAAACAAGCGAAUGAGCUGAAUGCUGAUUUACUUGCAUGUUUUUUUUUGGCCUAAAAUCUGGAUCUGGAGAAUCCCAUUCUUAUUACAACAUGUGAAGUUGUGUUGCGUAGUGAUGGCGUGUCCCCAGGUUCUGUUCAUGGACUCUGUUUGCAGACAUGGAUGACUCUUUGUUUCAUCAGAUAAGUUUCAAAGCCUGGCAACUUUUUGUCGUAAAAUUACUUUUUAUUUUUCAGGUCAUGUGUUUUCCUUCCAUAAUGUUUCUUUUUCAUUUUCUGGAAGUGCAAAGUUUUUAUGCUCUUUCUGUAUGACCACUUUUUCUUCUCUAAAUAGAUAAAAUUGCAUUUCAGUUUUCCUUUGUGAGAAGGCUACUAGGUUUAUGUUGAAACUUUCUGUUAGUUAAAUUGAUUGUCUUUGAUAUCUAGAACUUCUAGUUCUACUGUAUUAAAAAAAUAAAAUAAAAAAGAACUUCGAGUAUAAUUAUGCAUCAGGUUUUUCAACGUGUUCAUCUUUUAUUUCUGUUAACAUUUUGGCUUUGGACAUGCUGGAUUGUUUUUGGUUUCAAUGAUACAAAACAUCUAACUAAUUGUCCAAAGUUCUUCAUUCCUUGUGACAUAGCAUUCAAUUGAAUGGUGACUCAUGAAUCAUGAUUGUGUGUUUUGGUAUUUGUAUACUAUGUAUUGGCAAGACAAAGUUUGUUGAAACUUGAGAAACUUUUCUCCGCCUACCAUUCUUGAUUCAUAUUCUUAUGCUAACAAAUCUUGAUCAUGAUGAGUCUCCUCUUUUCUUUACAACCCACAAAUAAAGUCCUGGCCAUAAGCCUCAAGGCCUAUUGGCUAUUGCAGCGGUGAGUUCACUCUCAGGAAUCAGAUCUUUCAAAUUCGAGGAAAUUUGAAAAAAUUGCAAAUGUCUACAAAGCAAAUGUGAUCUAAAGGUCCUUUUUGUUAUCACUCACACAACAUUACUCAAGAGUAUCUAUGUUUUACAGUUGGUUCUGUUGUGAAAUAGCAUUUCUGAUUAUUAUAGAAGACAAUUCUUCGACGCAUGUAUUUGAGAUGCGUAUAGAGCGUUGGAAUUAUAUGCUAAAGUAAGCGUGCAAAUGACAAUGAAGAAUUGAAGAAGGGGAAGGGUUUACUUGUCAUUUUGUUUUGGAAAGCAAUGCGUUUUAUGCGGCGAUUUUUUUUUUCUCUACGUUGUGAAAAAAUUUAACUGAUUUUGAAGAUCCUUAAAGAUCGUCCAUCUUGGUUCUGGCUUUGUUGCAGCCUUGAAGUUUGCAAAACGAUUCCUGCUGGAUAAAUUGAACUUGUAUACACACAUGUGAACCAAAAGAAAAAUGAUACAUGCACCGAAAUACUUGUUAAAUAGAGAAAAGUUUGUCUGGAUAGCCUGGUUUUGAAUUGAUUUUAAUAGAAAACGAGCUUCAAGCAUGUGCUCCAACUACUCUGGCAUGAGGUAAUACUAUAAUUUUUUUUUUUCUUUAAUGAGUGAGGCUAUAAAUCCUGAAUUCCAACUUGACAUGGCAUUAAUCUGGUGAGUGGCAGAAUAUUAAUCAAACAGAGGGGCUAAUAUGCUUUCUGGAAUAUGAUCCGCUGGCAACCGGAAAGCCAAGGAAUUAAUUAUUCCAUUAUUAAUUCCAAUGGCAUCGUUGUAUCAGCUAAAAAGCACAAGAUAAAACAGAUCUACGCACUUGCCCCAUUUAUUUAAGCAUACUGUUGGUUUAGCAUUUGCUUAAAUUUGAAAGUAGAGUGUUUCCAUGCCACAUUGCCAUGACAUUGGUGAUUGGCCUACAUUUUUUUUUUUUUUUUGUGUAAUCUUUUUUGGUUGCAGUAAUAAAAUGUUAAUCCUUUCUUCUCAUGAAUGUUUUCUUGAACUGAAAUGUUAAUAAUUUCUUCAUGUUGAGGCAUUAAACUACUACAGACCUAGGGUGGCAAUAUAUGGAAGUAAAUGGUCGUUUAGUAGGACCCUUUAAUUAGGGUAUUAGCUGCUCAAUUUGGAGAUCUCAUGGACCAACAAUUUAUCUGGAAUGUCACAUUCACAUAUUUGAUUGAAAAAGGAAUUAAGGAAUUUCAGGUGGCCCGGAAACGCAACCGACUAUACCCGGCAAUGGCAGAAGACAUUAUAGAUUAUAGAUUAUUGAGUUAAAUAUGAAUGGUGGGAUUUCAGGUGGCCUAAAAAGUUAAACAUGAAUGUUCUAUUUAAGGUGCUCUGUAACUCGUAGUUCAACAAAAAGUUUUAAAACUAGAUAUUAAAAUGGUGGGAUUUUGUCUUUUAUCUCUUGUUUCUCUUCCCUUAAUCGUUUCUUGGCAUGUUUUAUCAACUCUUCCCUUGGGUCAUUUUGUAGGACGGGUUACACCAGCUAAACACAUGGGAAGGUUAUGUAGACUGGACUCUGGAGGAAUAAACCUGCCCUGAGAGGCCGUCAUGGGGGCAUGCUUUGCUGCUUGUUUUGUCUUGGGUCUGUCUAUUUUUCCUAUUACUAAAGCACAUUUUCCACCGUUUUCUCACAUGCUUACCAUCAUGUAAAAACCUUAGCUGCUGCGUACGAUUAAACGUUUACACUUUAUAGUAAAAGAAAUUACAUAUUAAGAGAAAUAUUAUAUUUGCAUGUUGAUAUGAAUUAGCACUAGAAACAUGAGGCUUGCUAAUUAGAAUUGUUAUAUUGUCGAACUCAGCUGUGGAGGUACUGGAGAAUCCAGUAUAUCUGGCCAAUGCAAGCAACCUUGUGCUGUAUCUUUCAAAAUUUAUGCAUUUUUCAUCAUCCAGCUCUGCAAACAUAGUUACCAAUUUCAUGGGUUCCUCUUUGCUCUACUUGGCUUUUUAGCGGUUGCUUUCUUCAACACCUACAGCAUCUAUGUCAUAAGUGCGGCAAUAGAAUUCACGGUAAGUUUUUUGUUAGGAUCAAACUUUUUAACUUGUUAUAUUUUUGUAAUUUCUUACUAAUAAGGGAGAGUUGCCUAUUUUUAUCCGAUUAUCAUGCCUCAUACAAUUUUCUUGGGAUUUGCUUCGAUGCCUCUGUGACUCACUAUGAAACUCAAAAACUUUCUAAAACUAGCUCCAAAUACACAUUUCUUUGGAUUAAACUUCAUCUGGUACUUCCUCAGCAAACCAAAGGUUUCUUUCAAAUGCUGCACGUGGUCACUCGAGUUGUGAGAUUUUGUGAUAAUGCCAUCCUUAUAUGCCUCCAUUAUGUUCCCAAUCAGCAGCUUGAAGAUCUUAUUCACGAAUCUCUAGUAUGUUGCUCAUACAUUUUUCAAGCUAAAGAACACGACAUUAUAACAAUACAGCCCUUGGUUAGUAACAAAAGAAGUAUGCUCCUCAUCCUGAUCGAACAUCGGUACAUGGUUGUAAUCCAAAAAGGCAUCUAUAAAUGGUGGUAAUGGUUUUACUGGAUGGUCUAGUGGUUCUAAUCAUACUGGUUUUGGUUCUCAAAAUAGAGGGCUACUGUCAACUCCAGGACGUGGGAAUUUUUCCUCUUCGCCAAAUUUCAAUCCUGGUAAUGGUCCUAUCAACAAACCCCCAAUGGGUCUUUUUCCUUUUGGUAAUCGGAUUCAAUGCCAAAUCUGUCAGAAAAUGGGUCACUCAGCUAUUGAUUGCUACAAUCACAUGAAUCAUGCAUAUGAGGGUCGUAUCCCUCCCCAUCGGCUUUCUGCAAUGAUUUCUACAUCAACAUCUUUUGGUUCCCCAAAUUGGUUAACAGAUACUGGUGCUAAUGCUCAUAUAACUCCAGAUAAUGGGAAUUUAAUGCAUCCUCGUGAUUACAAUGGUCAGGAUACCAUCGGUGGUGUCGUCGGUGGUUCAGGUUUGCCUAUUAAAUCCAUUGGUCAUUCUUACUUAUCUGCUAAUUCUUCCACUUUUCUUUUAAAUGAUGUUCAUCAUUGUCCACAAGCUUCCCAUAGUAUUUUAUCCGUUCAUAAAUUUGCUAAUGACAAUCAUUGUAGUUUCACCUUCUUUCUUGAUUAUUUUGUUGUAUAGGAUCUGACAACGAAGAAGACAUUUUUCCGCGGACUGAGCAGUAAUGGUCUUUAUCUAUUUCCUGGUCGAAUUUUUCAACCUAGUCAUCCAUUUGCUUAUGUUGGUGUUUGUAGUGAUGCUCGAAUUUGGCAUUCACGGCUUGGACAUCCUUUGUCCGUAGUUUUAAAUCAACUUAUAUAUUUUAAUAAGCUACUCAUUUUAGGAUCUCGAUCUUUAUUUUUUUGUUCGUCAUGUCCUUUAGGAAAGAGUCAGAAAUUACCUUUUACAUGUUCUUUUUCAGUCUCUCAUUCUCCUUUGGAAUUAAUACAUUCUGAUGUUUGGACUUCUCCUAUUCGUUCUAUUUCUAGUUAUAAAUAUUAUGUUAUCUUUAUUGAUAAUUUUUCCAGAUAUGUAUGGCUUUAUCCUAUGCGAUUGAAAUAUGAUGUUUUUAUAAUUUUUAAAACUUUUAAAUCGUUGGUCAAAAAUAUGUUUUCCACUACUAUUAAGUCACUUCAAACUGAUGGUGGUGGUGAAUAUGUUAAUCAUCAGUUUAAGGAUUAUCUAAAUACUCAUGGCAUUAAUCAUCGUCUCACAUGUCCUCAUCAUCCUGAACAAAAUGGUAUUGCUGAACGUAAACAUAGACAAAUUGUUAACAUGGGCUUAACUUUACUUGCACAUGCCUCCAUGCCUACUACUUAUUGGACUAAAGCUUUUUAUACAUCUGUAUAUUUAAUCAAUCGUCUACCAUCUCAAUCUUUAAAAUUUCGAGUACCGUACUCUUUACUAUUUUCUAAAACUCCUCAAUAUGAUUUUUUAAAGAUCUUUGGAUGUGCAUGUGUUUUCUUGGGAUACUCAUUCAAUCAACAUGGAUAUCGUUGUUUGCAUAUUUCCUUCAGGCACUGUAUUUAUAUCUCGUCAUGUUCUUUUUAAUGAAAAUUUAUUCCGUUCGUUGACCAUGUUACUACUAGGCCUCCGGGGGUGAGUACUUCAAUGUCAGAUUCUACAGGACUUAAUAUUCUUUGGAUUAAUGCUAAUACUUCACAUUCAGCUCUAACAGAACCUACAUCACAAUCUCCUUCCCAAGCCAAGUCACCAUCUUCAUUUAAUUCACCUUUACCCCAUUCCUUAUCAUCUCCAAUUAAUUCUCCAUCAUUACGUUCAAGUGCCUCUUUAUCUUCCUCCACUCCACUCAUCUCAAAUACAAAUUCUCUUAGCCUUAAUUCGACCCCCACUAAUUCAAGUAAUAAUACAAUUCCAGAAUCAUUAUCUUCACCUACACUAACACCAUCGAUGCCCUGUGAUAAUAUUAUCUUCUCAUCCAAUGGUCACUCGAGCAAGAGCCGGUAUUGUGAAACCAAACCCAAAAUAUGCAAAUGUAGUUACUAAUGAUGCUGUUGAGCCUAAUGGUUUUGUACAGGCAAAUAAGGAAUCUCGUUGGCGACAGGCAAUGGGUGAUGAAUUUAAUGCUCUUCAAAGAGCUGGUGCUUGGGUAUUAGUUCCUCUACAUCCAUCUUACAAUGUCCUUCUAAAUAAAUGGGUGUAUCGAAUUAAGCGAAAAGCUGAUGGAAGUAUUGAGCGUUAUAAAGCUCGUUUAGUUGCUAAUGGUUUUCAUCAACAACCUGGCCUUGAUUUUGGUGAGACGGUCAGUCCAGUGGUUAAUCACAAUAUCAUUCGUCUCAUUUUAGCUAUAUCUGUUACCAAUAGCUAGUCUAUUCGACAGUUAGAUGUGCAAAAUGCUUUCCUGCAUGGUUAUUUACAGGAGGAUGUCUAUAUGCGCCAACCUAUUGGUUUUGUUGAUCCACAAUAUCCAACUUUUGUGUGCAAGCUUCGCCGAUCUCUCUACAGCCUUAAACAAGCUCCUAGGGCAUGAUUUCAAUGUUUCUCUAGUCAUUUAGAACAAUUGGGCUUUCAUGAAUCACUAGCAGACUAUUCUCUAUUUAUUUAUUCACAUGAUUCAGUGCUUUUAUAUUUACUUAUCUAUGUUGAUGAUAUUUUAAUUACGGGAAAUAGUUCAUAUCAUAUUUCUCAAAUGAUACAUCAUAUGAGCAAAUUAUUCUCUAUGAAAGAUCUUGGUCCUGUACAUUAUUUUCUAGGUAUUGAAGCUACUCAAAUAGCAAUGGGGCUCCACUUGUGUCAAACCAAGUAUAUUCUAGAUCUUUUACAUAGCACUGAGUUCCUUCAUUCAAAGCCUAUGACAACACCAACAAUGAGUGGUCGUCGUCUCAGUCUGUUUGAUAGUGAUUUACUUUCAAAUCCCACCGAAUAUCGUAGUGUUGUUGAUGCUUUGCAAUAUCUUAUAAUCACUCGUCCGGAUAUUUCAUUUGCUGUUAAUCAGGUUUGUCAAUACAUGCAUCGUCCUACAACAACUCAUUGGUGUGCAGUUAAACGCAUCUUGCGGUAUUUGAAAAGUACAACCACUUAUGGUCUGCUUUAUUCAUCUGGUUCAAUGGAACUACAAGCCUUUUCUGAUGCCGACUAUGCUGGUGAUCCUGAUGAUCGAGUAUCCACAGGGGGUUCUUACAUAUUUAUUGGACCUAAUCUCAUUUCCUGGAGUUCUAAGAAGCAAAAAAGGGUUUCUCGUUCCAGUAUUGAGGUUGAGUACAUACAGCUUGCAUAUACAACUGCUACUUUAUCUUGGUUUCGAUCUUUGUUCAAAGACUUACAUAUUCCUCUGUCUUGUCCUCGCAUGUGGUGUGAUAACAUAAGUGCCAUUUCCUUGGCCUGCAAUCCUGUGUUUCAUGCCCAGACUCGUCAUGUAGAGGUUGACUAUCACUAUGUUUGAGAAAAGGUUAUUCGUGGAGAGCUUGAUGUUCGUUAUAUCUCUACUCUCGAUCAACUUGCCGAUUGUCUUACUAAAGGCCUGUCUACUUCUCGCUUUCGCUAUCUAAUUUCCAAGCUUCCAAUUCGUUCUUGUCCUGUCAGCUUGCGGGGGUGUGAUAACGAUAAAGAUAAAACUUAAAAUAUUCUUAUCGUUAGUCUUGUAAUUAUCUUUGUAGUUAUCGUUUGUCUUGUAAUUAUCCUUGUAGUUAUCUUGUAAGCUAAUGUUUAUCAUAUGUAUUCUUAGCUUGUACAUAAGUUUGUUUGAAGUCACUUGGAAUUUAAAAAAUCCUAUGCUUCAAUAUAUUAUUAAUCAAAUCCCCUUAUAUCUUGGUAAAAUCUUUUUUACUCUUUCAUUCGCAAGGAGCUGGAUGAUGGCUGGAAAUAAGGAAAUUCAUUUUUUUUGUUUCACCCCAAUUGUUCUUGUAUUUGCAUAUUGCCAUAUAUCAUAAAAUACAAAUUUAUGUAUGUCAAAAUGAAAUCGAUCUUAAAAAAAAAAAAGAUCUCGCGUUACUGCCGCUCACACACCCCCAUGCCGCAGCUGCUAUUAAUUCUGUUUGGCGCACCAGCAUUACAGCUUCUAGCUUUUCUUUAUUCCUUAAGUUGAUAUUGUUCCUCUUUAUAGGCUUCAAGUUAAUGUCGUCUUCAGUCAUUCUAGAGUCGCUUACUUUUGAUCUGGCUAUUGUUGUUUCUACCUCCUUCUUCAUUAAUUGCCGUCAGCCGCAUAAGGGAAGGAUGUAAGUUUAUGUUUACGAUUCCUAAUGGUGAUGAAUAAGACAUGGCGUAAGAGAUAUGUUAACUGAAUUUAGUGUGUUUUCUAGGAUCAUAUGCAAUACAUAUGUAUUUCUUGUAUAAUUGUUGUUUGUAUAUUGUAUUUCAAUCGGGCAUGGCUAUCUUUGUCUUACUCUUGUACAUUUCUAUUACUUUAGAUAAUUAUUAAGGUGUAGAUGGCUUUCACGGAUAAAUAAUAAGCCAUUUUAGGAGCUUUUCGUGUAAAAAUAUAGAACUUAUACUGUUGAAAUGUCGAGUAUACUUAGUAGUUGAUAUUUGUUUAUAUUUUUACAUUAAUCUGGGAUGGGAUUUGAACUUUAUAACCGAAAUUGAAUCUAAACCAAAAUUAAGAUAAGAAUAUUCAAACUAAAUCGAUCCAAAAUGCAAACCUAAACCAAAUUGCGCUAAAUUAAAUUUGAUUUAGUUUGGUUUGGGUUUACUCUCUAAACCUGAUUGGAUUGACUUCUCUAACCCAAUUAAGUUUGAGCCCAAAUUGAAACCUAAACAACCUGAAUCGAAGCCCGAUUUGCCCACCCUUAUGAUACGAACCCAUCCAAAAAAUAACGCAACCCUAAUCAAUUUAAUCUCCAAGAUUAAAUAGAAGCGCUACCCAAUGCUCAAUGAAAGCAUGAACCUUAGUAUGUGAGGACGCUACAAUCAGUUAUGGAUGAUUUGAUUAUAAGUUAAGAGUUUGAAUGACACAAAAAUUUGAUAAAUUUAAAGAGUUUGUUUAAGAAUAAAAAAGAAUUAAUUCUCUCACCAAUUGCAUCAAAAUUUAUUUGUCUUUGUUUAUUAGAUGCGAGUACAUUAUAUAGAAUUGGUUACAAAAAUUUUUAGAAAUAAAUCCUAAACCGAAAUCAAAUUGGAAUCCUAAUCUAAUGCAAAUAAGAAAAGAAUUUUAAUUAAAUCAGAAUCCUAAUCAAAGCAAGUAGGAAAGAAUCUAAAUCGAGUCAAAAUUAUAAUCUAAGUAAAUAGGAACGAAUUUAAAUUACACCAAUUAAAAUAAAAACUCAACAAUUAAAAUAGAAAUAACUUAUUGUUUCUCUACCAGCCUCAUCCAGAAAUGAGAAAGUAUUCAAAAAGAAAAGUAGUAUAUUUUUCAAAUGGAAAAGUAUUUGAAAAAGAAAAAUAAGAUAUUUUCCCGCCGUAAUGUGCAAGCCAACUUCUUAUUUUAUGGAAGUGAUUAUUUGGAAACUUUAAGAGCCGUAAUCAUGCAUUUAUCACGUGCAAUUCCUUUAAUAGGCCUCCAUAAAUUUGAUUGAGCCUCAAUUACUUGAAUAAACACAUUAAACGCUUCUUUAAAUUUGUUUGUUCGAGCUUUAGUGACAGGUCCGAUGAUAACUUGAAUAGGAUCUGAAUAUAUCUAAUCCCACAUACUUAUGAUAGUUUUGUCCUCAAUCUCAUCAUUUUACUUCCAUAAUCUCGACCCAAUCUUUAAAUUUUUUUCAUGCUAGCUUGACUUUACUAUGACUGCCUUGAGAUUUUCAACUGGUUUUUAUCUCCCUUUCUUGAAAUCUGUUUAAGUGUCAAGUUAUCUACGUGGCUUCUUUAGUCGCGGACACAUAAUAGCACCUAACAAUUCUCUAGUCACCCUGUACAACUUUCGCCACACUAUUUACUCAUUCUUUGAGUGCCAUGUAAUGGUUAGACAUCAUGGACUUGCUAAUCCUCAUAAAGGGUCUUCCAAAAAUUAUUUGAUAUGGGCUGUCUUCCUCGACUAUUAUAAAAAAUCUGGCAUGAUGGUCUUUUCAAAUGGUCUGGAGCCGAUUGUUACUAGCAGCUCUAGGCAUUAAUUUUCUUCUUCUAUGUCCUUUCAAAGAACUGUUGGUGUGCUUGUUGGGUAAAAAUUCAAAUGCUAUGGGUGUCAAUGUGUAAGUGUACACAACAAGUAAUAUAAUGAUAAGUAUUCAAGAUUAUCUCCACAGGAGUUGAUGUUACGGAAAUUACUACAGCAACUUUAACAAUUCUGUUUGAAGUGAAAGUAGAUUGAUUAAUUAAACUAAUAAACCACCUAAUAAAAUGCAAUAAGUAAAUAUGCAGAAAAGCAAACUCUCAUGUCAAACACAAAAAUAAAAUCAAUAGGAAUGAAGUAGUUGAGUGACUAAACUCUCUUAAUGGAAUUGACUAUUUCUUGCAAAUUUCGAUCCAGUUGCUACAGCACUGGGCAGAAUCCUCAUGCAUCAUCAGCUGUCGCAUGUUAGAUGUCUUAUAUCUAUAUGCAACCUAACAAUGACCAAUUGUUAUGCCAACAUAAUAUAUAACAUUACACAUUUAGGUUCUAUUACCCUAUAAGGUGAAUCUCUAUAUCUUGUUCAUCACUAACAUAAUAUAUGACCCUUUUUGGAAUCAAGUUGAACUCAAUUUAGGAACUCAAUCUAAAACUAAAUAUUAUUCUGAUAUGUUCCACUAAGAUAGGUCAUUUUGUGGCUCUUUCCUAGCUUGUAUCAUUAAGUGGGUGGUCAGCCAAAAUAAUGACUUUAAAUAAACACUAUCACAACAAAAUGUUAUAGCAAACAUGCAGCCAGGGACAUAGCCAGGAUUUUGAUCGAGUUGGGGCACAUUUAAAAUAAAAAAUGACUCGAAUGCGCGAUUGCUCGUGUGGUAAAUGUGGGCCCCACAAACUCUAAAUGGGAGCUUGCCACAUGUACAAUCGUGCUCCUUAUAGAGUGUCUCUGCAUGCAUCUAAUUAAAACGCUAUUAAAAUAUAAUACACUUCUAAAAAUUUAAAUGGCAAUAUAUAACAUUACAACUAUAAUAUUCAUUGAUAAUAAAUUUACUUAGUAUAAUUAUUCUCAGUGAAAACUCCUCAAUGAGAUUUUAUGAGUUGAAAAUAAUGCAUUAUCAAUAUAAGUAAAAAUAUAUUUUUCAAUCUACAAGACUAGGUUAUAACUUAAUUUGCUCUUAAAAUCUUUUAAUAAUAACAAAAAAUAUUUAUAUAUUGCAACACACAAAACAAAAUGAAUGCUAGAUAAAAUUCUAGAUUUUAAAACUAGACAAAAGAUUAUCAGAAAAUUAAAAAUUAGAAUUGGGUAGACUUACAACUUAUGGUUCAAUGUCGAAAGACCAACUAUUUAAUUUGGCUUGAAUAGAAAACAAAAAGAUUAAAGACUGGUCCAUUAACCAUUUUACUAACAUUUUGUUGUGAUUUUUUUUCAUUUUAAUAUUUGUUCUUGUGUCUUUAAUUGAGUUUCAUGAAAUGUUAAUAACUAAUUAAAUUAUUUAUAAUUAGAAAUUUAAACUAGGGACAAUAUGAAAUAUUUCAAAAUUACUAGAGUCAAUUUCAAAUUUUACAAUUCAGUUGGGGUAUUUUUCAUAAAUAACAAAUAAAAUACAAAUUUUUAGUAUAAUUUUUUUAAAAAAAAUUUAAAAGGCAGCAGGGGCAUGUGCCUCAGCUCGUCCCAUGCUGGCUCCGUCUCUGCAUGCAGCAACAUAUAAAUUCAGUUAAAGAGCCAUUAAAGUUGUUUAUCACUCAACCACAAGGAAUAUUAGUUCAUGAUUUUCAAAAGGAAACUAAACAACAAAGUUUCAGCCGGCAAAUACAUUCUCAUGUCAAAAAAUUAAACAAUAAAUCAAAAUAAGAAUAAGAAAGACUGAAUUCCAAUUGAUUCCAGCAAACUUCUCCACUGAUGCAGUCUUGAUUCUUGCUCCUGAAAUCUAUUUUUCCUUGUUUCUUUUCUAUUUAUGAUCUUGGUUGACGGCCUCCUUUUUUUCUUUUGUACAUGUGCCUAUGUUAUAGUACAAAAUUAGGGUAAAUGGAAGUUUAGAGCGCGCAUCUUCCCGAUUAGGAAAUUGUAGAUUGCAAUCCGUUAAGUAUCUUGCGCGAAAUCUUCUCCGUCAUUGUUCCCAGAUUGUUACAUCACGGUUUGCUACAACAAUAGCUACAGUAUAUGCACUGUUCCAAAUUUACUCCAAUUCUUCUAUAGCCGUAUUCUUUUGUCCUUUUUGCAAACCCAUUGCUACAACAUCCUUCCCAUGAAAAUUUAACUUUGGGUUACCUACAAUUAUACAUGUGUUUUAAGGACAUAAUUAUUAGAAAUCAAGCAAAUUUUAUUAAACUUAAACUAAAAUGAAUGUUAAUGUAAACUAUCAUUAAAUGCACUAAAACACAUCAAUUACCCUCUAAGUAAUCUUGAUUUAAGUUUAAAAGUAUCAUGAUAAUCUUAUUUCAUAGAGUUAUCAAUGCUCUAACUUCAAGUCGCGCGAAUCUAUAAGGAUUCUUAUGAAUUCUUUGCUCGUUACAUUAGCUUUUAACACCAAAACAUCUUCAUGCAAGUAUAGUAUCCCUUCCUCAUCGUAUUAUGUCCAAAUGAUUGGAACUUGCUUGGUUCUUGCUCAUUUUUUCAAUAAAGCAUUGAAGAGAAUAUCAUGACUUGUUAUUGCAUACCUUUUGUAGUACUUCUAGGCUUUGUUAGAGUUAUUUACAAGAGUUGGCCCUCUUACAAUAACUCUAUCUACUGGCUCUUCAAAAAUCAUAUCACCAGUAUUCUUUUUUGCUGUAUGCACUGUUGAUCUGUCAUUGGAUAAGAACUGUCAAUAUACUUAUUCAAAUAAUAAUUUCUUACCAGAACUUCUACUUAUUUUUUUAAGUCGUGACACUGUGGUUUGGUGUGGCCAUGGGUGUUAUUCAUCGCAUUAUCCUAUCUCUUAGAAAAUUUUGGCAAGUAAGGACUAGUGAAGGUAGGUUUGGGUUUUGGUUUAGUUGACCUUAUAUUUUGAGUUGGGUUAACUUGGAUCGUUAUAGUGAGGAUGGCUAUCAACUAGUUAUAUCAUUUCAAGUAGCUCUAUUUAGAGAGGGGUGGGGUUAAUUUCUUUUUACAUAGUAUGGGGAGAUAAGAGUGGCCAAAAUCGAAUUUAGAUUGGAUUCGGAUCAAUUUGAUCAUAUAUUAAAUUUUUCGGAUUGAUUAAAAAAACUCAUCUGAAUGUACUGGAACUUCAAUCUAAUAUGAAUAUAUUUGGAUCAGAUGAAUAAUUUGGCUUAAGUUAGAUUUGGAUCGGUUUGGUAAAUCUCAAAUUUAAUUUUAAUUUACAGGUCACUAAACUCAAUGGAUAAGACAUAAUUUGUAUAUCUCUGUAAUAAACAUUCAAUUUUGAUAUUCAACUACAUAGAUAGAAGAAAAAUAAGUCAUUUACAUUACAAUUGUGGUGCAUAUCACUGAAAAUUAUCAUAAUAAUUCAUAUUUUUCCAAACAAAAUUAAAAGAAACCAUAAUUUAAACAACAUAAUAAGCAAAUAGAAUUUCUAAAGAAAAGGAAAAAGAGUAUAUGUAAGCUAGAAAAAGAGAAAUCAUGUAUUAGAGAAGAAAAGAGCAUUGUUGCACAAAAACAACUAAUACCAAAACUAAUAAAAAAAAUCUCAUAUUCAUUUUCCAAUUUUCUCAUAAGCUUACGCAAUUCUUCCUCUUCUACUCUUCAAAAUCAUUUGCCAAUUUUCUCAAUUUUCUCAUAAGGUGAUCUCUGGACUUGUGAUGAGAAAAUUACUUGAGUAACUUACGGCUGCUUAGGUUUGGGAUUUUGGGGAAAACAAGUUAGGUUUACACAUUACAAACUUCACUAGUCAAAUUGUCGAAUUACAUCCGAAUUAGAUUUGAUCCGAUUAUAAUCUCAUCGGAUUGGGUUGUUUCUAUUUAAUCAAAUUACAACAAUAGUCCAUAUUCAAUUUGAAUAUAUUUGGAUUGAAUCAAAUCCAAUCCUAUGCUGACCCUUAUGGGAAUAAGUAGCCGUCCUUAUUAUGACCGCUCUACUCACUGAUGGUUUGUCAUGAUGCCUAACUAGUCCACUUAUUUUUUAGCUCUCCUUUCAUUUCGUUUUAACUCCUCAAGUUACUCGUCUCUAACUCUUGCUGCUUUUUCCUCCUCGAUUUCAAUAUCCACCUUCACCUAGUCAUAAGCAGCCGAAUAAGAGUUUAUUAUUGGGUUCCUUAAGUUAUACCAUAAUUGCCCUAUCUUUACUCCCUCUUUUAAUCCCUUCAAGGCCUGAAGAUGAUUGAAAGCUCCAUGGUCAAGGAUUGUUUGGUGAUAUAUCUUGAAAAAUCUCUUAGAGUUUGAUUUUCUUCUUACUCGAGCCUCAUUGGCUCUAUCAUGUCAUCCUUUGGUGUUAUUGCUCCUAAAAAAUGUUCAGCAAAGUCUCCAUGCAAUUGAUCAGAAGUUCUGAUGCUUCCCUAUGGCAAUUUGCGAUACUAAUCAUGUGCAUGCUAUUCUAAUGUCAAUGGAAACACUCCACACCACUGUAGUGGUGUCAAACCAUGUACUCUAGUCAUCUCAUUAAAUUGUUCUAUAUGCAUAAAAGGUCACUCUUUCUGGAAUAUUUUAGGUUCAAAACUAAUCCCUUGAUAUUGUUGUGCUCAUGAUUUUUGCUGAGAGUAAGAUUCAUUAUCCAUAAUUAUUCUCCGGCUCAGUGCUCUUUCAAUCCUAUACUUCUUCAUAAUUCGUGCUAAUCUAUGCACCUUAUCUUCUAAUUUCCCAACGCGACUUGGGUUCUACACCCUUAUCUACUUGUAGUCAGCGUUCUGUUUAUUCCAUAGAUUUUCACCGAAGUAAGUUUGGUUGCUCUCCAAAAAAAAAAAAAAAGAAAUCACCUAAUACUUUCGGGGCAAGGCAAGCUUCCAAAUAACAUUGCAAAUGAUUUAGUGAAAAAGCUUUCAUCUAUUCCGGUAAUUUAGAAGCACUUUAAUUCAAUUCUCUCUUAAGAGUCCUAUCACUUUAGGAUGAUUUUUAAGUAAAAUCCUUGUAUAGAUUAUAUUUUUGUUAAUAUAACAAACACUAAAUAUUUAUGAUCUGAAAGAUAGUUGUUGAAUGGAGAUCGUUUCACACAAAAAAGUAUUUAAAAAGAAUGUGGUAUUGUAAUAUUAAAUAAUUUUUUGUAGUGAUAUAAGAGUAUCACACUAGUUUUUUUUUUUUUUUUUUUUUUGCAUUACAAAAAAUUGAAAAUAAGAUCUAAGUAAUUUCAAGAAUAAAUUAGCAAUAUUAGGAACAAGUUUUACGAAAAGCUUCUGGGACAUGUCAUACAAAUUUGUUAUAUAUGACAGUCUCUACUAGAUCUUUUUUCCACAUUACAAAAAUUAGAAAUGAGAUCUAAAUCGACCAAUUAUAAAUUUUAUAGUGAGUGGGUCCUAUAUGAAAACAAGGUUUUUUUUUUAUUAUAGUGUAGUCAAUUAUCAGCCAUCUACCCUAAGUUUAUUUUAUAUUAAAAAAUACUAGGAAGAUUUAAUUUGUUUAGUUUUUUACUUUAAUUUUAUAAUUUGUAUUAGUUGUCUACUAAAAGGGUCCGGCUACGGUGCAAUGGUGAUACGGUACCACCGUUGCAUUCAGUCGUUGGAUCCACUUGGAUGAAUGGAUCCAGUGAGAUCCAACGGCUGGAUGCAACGGUGGUACCGUACCACCGUUGCACCAUAGUUUUCUCCCUACUAAAAAGAUAUAAUUAUCCUUACUAAAUGACAAAAUAGAAACAAAUACAAAUAAAAACUGCGGUCAUUUUGUAAGGGUAAUUCUAUCUUUUUAGCAUCGAAUUGCAUAUUAAACUAUUUUAAGUACUUAAAAUAAUAUAAGUUCUUUAUCAAAUAAAUAAAAUUUUAAACUAUGUAUUUACCAAAUAUUUUAAAAUCACAGCUCUUCUACUACAUCUCCAAAUAAAUUCUUAAAAUCAUAAAUAACUAAAUUAAUGGGGUUUUAAAAGGACUCUCCAGACUUUGCAUGAUUUCUUUAUAUGUAGGUGCUGGGUGAUCAUGUUGGUUCCUAUAGGUACCAUCAGCCACACUUUUUGUUAUUGGUGAAAAAAUAAUUUUGGGUACAAUUUGUGAAUUUGUAUAACGUGCGGUAUUAAACAUUUGAAACAUGCAAUGACAGUAAUCUAAUCAAUAAUUAAAAAAAAAUUGUAUAAAAUACAUAUGUCGUAGGCAACUCGGAUCCUUUUCUUUAUAAUUCCAUAUCAUGUGAUUAUCAAAAAACUUCUUGGGAUUUUUAAAUUUUGUAAUUGCACUAUCCUUGAAUUAUCAAAAGACUCUUGAUAAUGUUCUUCUUCUUAAAGAUUCCCUUAAUCUGUAAAUGGUCCAAUAAUUAGUUCAUAAAACGAAUUUAUUACUUUAGACAAGUCUCAAAUAUACAUACCUCUUAUAACUCCGUAUUGCAUAAUUCCUUACUUAAAUGCAUUUGUUUCCUUUCUCUAAAUUUUAGAAUGGCUCUGUCUACUAAAUUUCCUCUUUAAAUUUGACUGCCAACUGGGAAUUUUGCCAAAAUUUCCACCCCAUCUUACUCUCUGAAAUAUGUCCUCCACGUUACUAUAGCAAAUUUAACAUCUAGGAUACUGAAAACAUUUUGUUUUAAUUUUUAAAUCUUUAGCUGUUGAAAAUAGGUCUUUAGCUGCUCAUCAGGAGAAAAUUUUCAUCUAAAACUUUUUUUGAUAAGGCAAGCUUCCAAAUAACAUCCAAAUGGUUUGGUGAAGGUUUUUCACCUUUUCUGAUAAUCCAAAAGCACCUUAUUUCUAGUUAUCUCUUAACAGUCUUAUUACCUCAGGUUCUCUCUUUAUUAAGUAAAACCUCAUAUAUAUUAAUUUGUUGUUAAUAUAAAUAAAAAUUAAGUAGUUGUUUGUUUUUUCAACUUAACGAAAAGUUUUCAUUCAUUAAAUUAUUAUCCCAAACUUUUUAGCUUUUUACUUAAUCUAAAAAGUAUGAAUAAUAUCAUUAAAAGAUAUUUUCCAAAAUAUCUCUAUCUAAUUAAUUAAUUUUCAUCAUUAUCCGAAUAAAAUUUAAUAAUUAGUAUUAUUACUCAUCUCUAUAACUUAUGAUAAUAUAGUGGUAGACUAUUACGAAUUUUACCAUCUUAUUUUCUUCAGAUUUGAAUUAUUUAUCUUCAUAAUUUUUUAUGACUAUUCUUAGUAUAAAAACAUCAUAAAUUAUAAUAAAAUGGAUUGACAUAUACUAAUUUAGAAUAUUAAAAGGUUGUGUUCAAUUGAAAAUAAUUUAUGUUAUGAUGAUAUAUUAUCUUUUAUAUGUUCUUUGAAAUGUUUAUUAUUUGAUGAACAUUUACAAUAUGUUAGGACACAAAUGUAGAAAUACUAAUUUUUAGAUUUUUUUAAGUUAAAAGAUAAACAACUUAAUAUUUAUUUUUAACGAUUCAAUAAAAAAACAAACAUAUAAUUAAGAUUUAGACAUUCAACUCUAUUCAAAAUUCAGACUAAUUCACACAUAUUUAGAUUUCAGACAAGAAACAUAUGCCACCUAAAUGUUUAUGACUUAAAAUUAUUUAAUAAUCAUGGCACAUUUAACCUAUCUAAACAUGAAAUCUUGUGUAGACUUAUGUUUAAGCAAGAGGAUAAUGUGAGAAAAUUGACACAUUAAUUUACAAUUUGUAGGCCAACUGAAUAUUUUUUGUUUGUUUUUUUAUUUUGAUAAUAAAACAAGCCUCGCAAGAGCUUAGGUUUUUAGCCAACUGAAUAAAUUUUCCCACUCAAAUUAGAAACAAUAAAAUCUAAUAAUUAUGAGCCCAUCAGACAAACAGUGAGACAUCAUAUUGUUAAUACCUACUCGUAAAAUUAACGGGAUAACACGGUUUAUGCGGACAGAUUAUCAAGGUAUUGUUAAUACCUUCUGUAUCGGUAUUUCUUUUUUUCUUCUUCUUCAACCCCAAAUAAUCAAAAGCUCUCCAAUGGCUUUCGUAUCCACAACUCGUCCAUUUCAUUUUACUUCAAAUUCAAUAUCAGCUCUUAGAUGUAAUUUCUCAUCUUCGUUCCCUCAUACCGGAAAACCCAAAUCUUCAAUUUCGGAAAAUAAACCCUCGUAUCCGACCGCAACAGCUAAACUGAAGGAGUCGCUACGACUGACGGUCAAAGACCGAGCCUCACUCGAAAAAUUCCUCAGAAAAAGGUUCAAAUCAUCCGGUGAAGGUGAUAUUACUACUAUUACUCCUAAUGAAGCCUUUUGUAUCUUUGAUUACAUGCUCAAUAUGCGCCCUUCUCCGCCUCCUGUCUCUUCCUUCAAUAUUUUGUUUGGUUGUCUUGCUAAGAAUAAACAUUAUGAUACUGUCCUUUCACUCUUCAAGAGACUCAAUUCAACUGGGUUGUUUCCAAAUCUUUAUACUUACAAUAUCUUGAUUAACUGCUUUUGCAAAAUGGGUCGAGUUUCUCCUGGUUUUGUUGUUCUUGGGAGAAUCCUCAGGUCUUGUUUUACUCCAGAUGCUGUGACCUUUACUUCUUUGAUUAAAGGUUUGUGUGCGGAGAGUAGAAUCAUGGAGGCUGCCGCAUUGUUUACGAAACUUAGAGUGUUUGGUUGUGAGCCUGAUGUUUUUACAUACAAUACUUUGAUUAAUGGAUUGUGUCGAACUGGCCAUACAUUUGUUGCUCUAAAUUUAUUUGAAGAGAUGGCUAAUGGAAAUGGGGAAUUUGGUGUUGUUUGUAAGCCAAACACUGUUACAUACAAUACUAUUAUAGAUGGUCUUUGUAAGGAAGGUUUUGUGGACAAGGCCAAGGAACUGUUUCUGCAGAUGAAGGAUAACAAUAUUAACCCCAAUGUGGUUACUUAUAACUCUUUGAUUCACUGUUUCUCUCAUGCUGAUGAUUGGAAUGAGGCCAAGUGUUUGCUAAUUGAGAUGAUGGACCAAGGGGUACAGCCUAAUGUUGUGACUUUCAAUGUCAUCAUGGAUGAGCUCUGCAAGAAUGGAAAGAUGGAUGAGGCUGCCGCAUUGUUUACGAAACUUGGUGUGUUUGGUUGUGAGCCUGAUGUUUUUACAUACACCACUUUGAUUAAUGGAUUGUGUCGAACUGGCCAUACAAUUGUUGCUCUAAAUUUAUUUGAAGAGAUGGCCAAUGGAAAUGGGAAAUUUGGUGUUGUUUGUAAGCCAGACGCUAUUACAUACAGUACUAUUAUAGAUGGUCUUUGUAAGGAAGGUUUUGUGGACAAGGCCAAUGAACUGUUUCUGCAGAUGAAGGGUAAGAAUAUUAACCCCGAUGCGGUUACUUAUAACUCUUUGAUUCACGGUUUUUGUUAUGCUAAUGAUUGGAAUAAGGCCAAGCAUUUGUUUAUUGAGAUGAUGGAUCAAGGGGUACAGCCUGAUGUUGUGACUUUCAAUGUGAUCAUGGAUGAGCUCUGCAAGAAUGGGAAGAUGGACGAAGCAAGUAGGCUGUUAGAAUUGAUGAUUUUGAGAGGAUUGAAUCCCAACACAUCUACUUAUAACACAUUAAUUGAUGGUUAUUGCUUAACUGGUAAAAUAGAUUGUGCUAGGGAAUUAUUUGUUUCUAUGGAGAGUAACGGGUGCAUGCAUAAUGUUGUGAGUUACAACACAUUAAUAAAUGGGUACUGCAAGACUAAGGAUGUAGAGGAAGCUUUAAAUCUUUAUAGGAAAAUGCUGUCUAAAGGAAUUAGGCCAACAGUUGUUACAUAUAACACCUUGUUUCAUGGCCUUUUUGAAAUACAGCAGGUUGACCAUGCUUUAAAACUGUUUGAUGAGAUGCAGCGCAAUGAUGUGGCUGCUGAUACCUCUACGUAUAAUACCUUUACAGAUGGGCUCUGCAAGAAUGGUUAUAUUGUAGAGGCAGUUGAAUUAUUUCGUACUUUGAGAAUUCUCAAGUGUGAACUUGAUAUUCAAGCCUACAACUGCCUCAUUGAUGGAUUAUGUAAAUCCGGCAGACUUGAAUUUGCGUGGGAACUGUUUCGUAGUUUGCCUCGUCGAGUCCUAAUGGCAAAUGUUGUAACAUAUAACAUCAUGAUCCAUGGGCUUUGUAACGAUGGCCAAAUGGAUAAGGCACAUGAUUUAUUUCUUGACAUGGAAGAAAAUGCUGUGGCACCCAAUGUCAUCACAUUUGGUACACUUAUGCAUGGUUUUAUCCGAGUCAAUGAGCCAUCAAAAGUUAUUGAACUUCUUCACAAGAUGAAGGAGAAAAAAGUAAUGCCAGAUGCAUCUAUAGUUUCAAUUGUUGUCGACUUACUUGUAAAGAAUGAAAUUAGUCUGAACUCACUUCCGUCAUUUCCUGUCCGAGAGCGACAGGGGGAAGUUGAUGAGUCAAAUGUCAAGUAGUAGCAGCAUGUGUUUUGAGCCUAAAAACCUGAUCUGCAGCAUCUCAUUCACAUUGCAAAAUGACGUCGCCUGGUGACAGCAUGUUCUCUCUGGUACUGUUCAUGGAUUCUUGAUUGUUCUCGUGAUCAGAAGAGUCUCAUUCAUAUUACAAAUCCUGAUCUGGACAAGCUAGCAUACGUGAUCACCAACUGCACAUGGUUGUUGAUGCCAGAUUAAGUAUGGUAUCAUGUCUUUCAACUUGUUAUUCACUAUAGUCUUUCACCCUCUGUCUUGUUCUCUCUUAAUGACCCAUUGCUUUAGAAGCUAAUGAAUUAGUUGAAGCUUGUCACUUUAUUGGCACUGACUAUCAUUUAUGCUUUGAAUUUACAGCAUAUUUUAUCCUUACUGUACUCUUCGCAUAGUUACCUUUGAGGGCUGCUAGUAUGUAAAACUAAAAGACCUUAUAUAAGCUUUUCAGUGUAUAUCUGUUCUGUGAAAUGAUUCAUUCUGCAAGGCCCUAGGCUUAUGACUCAUCUAUGAAAUGAUUUACCCUCACCUGCACACAGGCAUUUGUCCCUUUCGAGCAAUCUUCAAACAAUGUGAAAAAAAUGCUUGAAACACGACACAGACUUCACUGUUUACAUGAAAAGCGGCAGAAACUUGUGAAAUUACCGAUUAAAAAGUACCUACUGUGAGGAAGAUGCUAUAAAACUCACUCGGAAAAUGUAAAAUGGUUAACAGACAUCCACCAGAAGCACAAUUCAGAACAUGGGCUGCUUUUGGCUGCCCGGCUUUCAGAAGUCAAUAUUUAGAUGAACUUUGGGGAGAUUAGGAUCACCAGUCAGUCAGAUUUAGAUAGAAAGUGAGAGAUUGCUAUUGCCGAGUCAUUGCUUCUAUCCUAAAUGCUUUGAUCUACCUGAAAAGUAUAUAAAUAUCGGGGUUAAAACAGAGCAGUUGAAAUCGUAUUGAUGAACUCAACUGAGAUAAAUGAUAAAAGAAAACUAACCUACAUUCUGUACAAAACUCGCCCAUCUUCCUUUAAGAGCUGACUUCCCAAGAAGAGAUCACCACAAUAGUUCACAUCAACAGUCUCCACUUGAGAGUUUUUAUAACCACAAUAUUCAUUCCAUUCAAACCACAUCCUUGAGAUCAGUUCCUUCUUCAGGAGACUCGGCAGCAACCAAUCUAUAUGCAUAAGCUUUCUUUGUUUGGCCUGGCUGGAAAGCCCAGCCGAUUGCUUGGCGGAUUUCUGAUGGAGUACAGGGAACAUCCAGAAUAAUGAUCCAAAUUUUUGUGGACUUACAUGUAAAGAAUGAAAUUGGUUAAACUCGAUUCCACAAUUCAAGAGUAAAUGAGUUUAAUCUUGAUUUAGUAUCAUGUCUUUUCUGCUUUAAAACCAGAUCUGGGGAAUCCCAUUCUUCUUACGACAGGUGAAGGAGUGUUUGUGUAUUGCUGGCAUGUUCCCAGGUUCUAUUCACGGAUUCUGUUUGCAGACAUGGCUAACUCCUCGUUUCAGAUAAGUUUCAAAGUCUGGCAACUUUUUGUUUCAAUUCAUGGGUUUUCCUUCUAUGAUGCAUCUUUCUCAUUAGCUGUAGUUUCAAAUUUUUUAGGCUCUUCCUGUAUGACCUCUUUUCUUCUCCAAAUGGAUAAAAUUUGUUUUUCAUUUUUCUCCUGCGAGGGUACAGGUUUAUGUUGAAACUUUCUCUUAGUUAAAUUGAUUGUCAUUUGAUAUUGGAACUUCUAGUUGAACUAGUUUGCACUUCGAAUAUAUGAGAUUACCAACUCUAAGGAAUUGGUGCCAAAUUGAUUAUGUUAUCAGGUUUUUCAGUCUGUGUAAUUGUCCAAAUUUUUUUCAUUCCUAGUGACAUGGCAUUCACUUGAAUAUGAAAACCUACGUGUUCGCAAGACAAAGUCUGUUGAAACUGACAAACUUUUCUCUAUGAAUAUUGAAGACAAUAUAAUAAGAUAAAAUUAAUCAAAAACAUCUAUACUUGACAGGGCUGGAACGUCUGUUAUUAGUCCUCGCCUUCCAUUCUUGUUUCAUCUUCUUCUGCUAACAAAUCUUGAUCAUGAUAGUCUUCUCUUUUCUUUGCAACCCACAUAUAAAGUCUCGGCCAUAAACCUCGAGGCCUAUUCUCUUUUGCAAUGGUGAGUUCACUCUCAGGAAUCAGAUCGAAUUUGAAGAAACUGCAAGGGACUACAAAGCAAAUGGUGUGAAGCUCCUUUCACUUAUCACUGGCACAGCAUUACUCUGGCAAAUGGUUUAAAAUACCAUUCGCGUUGGAAGUUCAAUCAUUACUGUUUUUUUUCCCCCUCUUUUUACUUGCUCUUGCUAUUUUUGUUGUCUGAAAUUAUCUGAAGUUCCAUGCAUGCUCCAAUAGAACGAGUAAUGUAAUGUAGGUGCUGACCAACUCCAAAUAAGUAGUUAGUUGCCUAGUAGUUGCUUUCCAUGAAAUUUGUUUUUGGUAUGAAUAAUGUUGUCUUAAUUUUACAAGCUUCCGUGCAACCCCUCAUUUAAUAUUAGAUUUAUCCGUUGAUUGAUGCUGACUCUUGAAAGUAAUAUAAUAUUGUAUAAAUAUAAUGAAAUCUCACUUUAUUAAUAAAUAUAAUUUAAAAUAAAAAAUAAAAAAUAACUAAAGUUGAAAACCAAGGAGCAACUUCUAUCCUCUUAGUCUCUUACCAAGUUAUUAAAUAUAGAGCAGACAAAGGUAUAUGUAUAAUAUAUAUAAUUUUCUUCAUGAUUCAAAAUCAUAUCUCAAAUGUCAAAUAAAAUUCUCAAUUAAGGGUGUUCGGGGAUUAGAUUUUACGAAUUUUAUAUUAUUAUCGGAUAAGAUAUAAUAUGGUAUUAAUGUAAUUAUAUUUUAACUUAUUUAUUUAGUAGUAAGUACUAAUGUCAUAUUUAUAAGUUUUAUUUUUAAUUAAAUAAAUAUUUUUUAUUAUUUUUAGAUUCAUGAAUUUUUAUAGAUUUACAUAAGUAGAUUCAUAUUCAAUCCACCGAUUACAAAUUAUCAAAUUUUCAAUCUAAUUUAAUCUAUCAAUCUAUAAAUUAUUUUAAAUAUUAUAAAUUAUUUUUAGACUGAGUGAUGAAGGGUCAUUUAAACAAUCAUGGUCAUUUAAUCUAUCUAAUCAUGAUAUUUCGAGUAGACUUAUGUCACAUUUAAUCUAUCUAAUCAUGAUAUUUCGAGUAGCACCCGAUUGUGUCACAUUUAAUACGCUGAUGCUAGGUUGCAUCCGCAAUAAUGAGACAUCAAAAGUUGUUGAACUCCUUCACAGAAUGGAUGAGAGAAAUGUAAUACCAGAUGCAUCUACACUUUCAAUUGUUGUGGACUUGCUUGUAAAGAAUGAAAUUAGCUUAAACUCCAUUCCACAAUUCAAGAGUCAAAGGUAAGUGAGUUUAAUAAUGAUUUAGUCGCAUGUUUCUUCUGCCUGAAAACUCAAUGUGGAGGAUCCUAUUCUUAUUACAACAUGUAAAGGAGUGUUGUCUAAUGUUGGCAUGUUCCUAGGUUCUGUCCAUGGAUUCUGUUUGCAGACAUGGCUAACUUCUUGUUCAACAGAUAAGUUUUAAAGUCUUUCAACUUUAUGUUGUAAAAUAACUUUCUUAUUAUUCAAUUCAUGAGUUUUCCUUCUGUAACACAUACUUCUCAUUAGAUGGAAGUGCAAAUUUUUUAGGCUUUUCCCGUAUGGCCUCUUUUUCUGCUCUAAAUAAAAUGGCAUUUUAUUUCCCUCCUGUGAGGGUACAAGGUUUAUGUAUAAACUUUCUGUUAGUUAAAUUGGUUGUCUUUGAUAUAGGGAACUUCCAGUUGAGCUGAUUUGUAAUUCGAGUAUAUGAGAUUACCAACUGUAUUGGGAAUUAAUGCCAAAUUAAUUAUGUCAUCAGGUUUUUCAAUCAUUGUUCAUCAUUUAUUUCUGUUAACAAUUAAUAGCACAGCUUGUCUUCUCAGCUUCAUUGGUUCCUCUAAAAAAUAAUCUUGUAAAGACAAUUUUUUUUUUUUGGCAUGGUAAAUGCUAGAUUGUUUGUGGUAAAUACAAAAUUGAUACAAUCAACUUGUAUGAUAAGUUUUAAAAGUUUAUUCAUAUUUAUAUUACAUAAUUAAAAGUUCAUUCAUAUUUAUAUGAGAUAUCUAUUUUAGGACACAGUUUAAUAAUCAUGGAAACUAACCAUUUAAUAACAAUUAUGGUCGUUUAACCUAUCUAAACAUGAAAUUGUCAGCUGGCUUAUCUUUGAGUAGGAGGAUAAUGUAAGAAAAUUAAUAUUUUAAUGUACAAUUUGUAUGCCAAGCGAAAAAUUUCACAAUUUAAAUUAGAAAAAAUAAAAUUUAAUAGUUAAAUAUUAUUUGAGCCAAUUGACUAGUGGGACAUUAUUUGUUACUGUCCAAAAAGCAUAACAUUAUUUUGAUAAAUGGUUACUGCAAGAAUAAGGAAAUAGAGGAAGCGUUAAGCCUUUAUAGCGAAAUGCUCUCUAAAGGAAUAAAGCCAACAGUUGUUACAUAUAACACCUUGUUUCUUGGUCUUUUUGAAAUACACCAAGUUGAGCGUGCUUUAAAACUGUUUGAUGAGAUGCAGCGCAAUGGUGUGGUUGCUGAUACCUCUACGUAUAAUACCUUUACUGACGGGCUCUGCAAGAAUGGUUAUAUCGUAGAGGCAGUUGAACUAUUUCGUACUUUGAGAAUUCUAAAGUAUGAACUGUGGUGUCCAAUUUCAUCACAUUUGGUACGCUUAUCCAUGGUUUUAUCCGAAUCAAUGAGCCAUCAGAAGUUAUUCAACUUCUUCACAUGAUGAAGGAGAAAAAAGUAAUGCCAGAUGCGUCUACAGUUUCAAUCGUUGUCGACUUACUUGUAAAGAAUGAAAUUAGUCUGAACUCACUUCCGUCAUUUCCUGUCCAAGAGCGACAGGGGGAAGUUGAUGAGUCAAAUGUCAAGUUGUAGCAGCAUGUCCUGUCCAUUGCUUCAAUCCUAAAUGCUUUGAUCUACCUGAAAAGUAUACAAAUAUCGGAGUUAAAACAGAGCAGAUUAAAUCGUAUUGAUGAACUCAACUGAGAUAAAUGACAAAAGAAAACUAACUUUUCCUGUUCAAAGCUCGCACACCUUCCUUUAAGAGCUGACUUUCCAAGAAGAGAUCACCACAAUCGUUCACAUCAACAGUCCACUUGAAAUUUUUUAUAACCACAAUAGUCAUUCCAUUCAAACCACAUCCUUGAGAUCAGUUCCUUCUUCAAGCAAGUGGGAUGGUCUUCCUCUUGAGGAGACUCAGCAGCAACCAAUCAAAGCACAAUAAAGGUAACAUCCAGAAUAAUGAUCCAAAUUUUUGUGGACUUACAUGCAAAGAAUGAAAUUGGUUUAAACUCGAUUCCACAAUUCAAGAGUUAAUGAGUUUAUCUUGAUUCAGUAGCGUGUCUCUUCUGCUUUAAAACCAGAUCUGGGGAAUCCCAUUCUUAUUACAACAUGUGAAGGAGUGUUUGUGUAUUGUUGGCAUGUUCCCAGGUUCUGUUCACGGAUUCUGUUUGCAGACAUGGCUAACUCCUCGUUUCAUCAGAUAAGUUUCAAAGUCUGGCAACUUUUUGUUGUAAAAAUAACUAUUUCAUUAUUCAAUUCAUGAGUUUUCCUUCUAUGGUGCAUCUUUCUCAUUAGCUGUAGUUUCAAAAUUCGAGCGAAUUUGAAGAAACUGCAAAAGACUACAAAGCAAAUGGUGUAGAGCACCUUUCACUUAUCACGGGCACAGGAUUACUCUGACUUUCUGCAUUUUACUGUUGGCUAUGGUUUGAUGCAUUAUUUAUUGUUCUCAAAUACCAUUCUCGUUGGAAGUUCAAUCAUUACUGUUUCUUUUUUCCCCCCUUUUUACUUGAAGUUACCUGAAGUUCCAUGCAUGCUCCAAUCGAACAAGUAACGUAGGUGCUGACCAACUCAAAAUAAGUAGUCAGUUGCCUAGUAGUUGCUUUGCAUGAAAUUUGUUUUUGGUCUUAAUUUUACAAGCUUUCAUGCAACUCCUAAUUUGUUGGAAGUAUUAACUCAACCCGUCAUUUAAGGUUAGAUUUAACCAUUGACUUAUGUUGACUAUUAAAAGUACUAUAAUAUUCUAUAAAUAUAACGAAACCUACUUUAUUAACAAAUAUAAUUUAAAAUAUAAAAAAUCAAUAAUAAAAAUAACUAAAGUUGAAAUCCAAGGAGCAACUUCUAUCCUCUUACCAAGUUAUUAAAUAUUAGAGUAGAUAGAGGCAUAUACUUUUCUUGAUGAUUCAGAAUCAUAUCUUCAAAUAAAAUUCUCAAUGAUUGCAGGCCUCAAUACCAUUAGGAUGAACUAGACCAUCAUGAAUUUUUGCGCAUCUUGCAAGGUCCAAUUUCUCCAAGUUUAUGAUCAAGCCAAAAAAUGUCAUAAUUCCUUUUAUAGUAAUUUCAUAGUGUUUACUAAACUGUAAUAGAAAUGGAUUGAAACACAAAUAGGGAUGGCAAUGGGGAGGGGGGAGGGGACCAACAUCCCCGUACCCAUCCUUGAUAUUUUGUAUAUGUCCCCAUCUCCUUCCUAUCCCCAUCAGAAUUACUUGAGGGGAUUCCCGUCCCCUCCCCGAAUAAUAACAGGGAAUCUCCGAGGGUCCCCGAUCCCCAAAUAACUGAUAUAUUUGUUUAGUUUUCAAACUUAAUUUAAUCAUAUUAAUGUAAAAAUAUAUAAAAUAAAAUGAAAUGAUCAUGAAUGGGCCUUAUAUUUCAUUCCACUCCUUCAAACUUUUGGUAUAUAUAAUAUUCAAAUAAUGAUUUUCAAAACAAAAUUCAAAUAAUGUGAUUUUUAUACAAUAUUGACGUGAUUGUUGUCCAUGAGUAACGAUACCUACUGAUCACCGACUAUGAUGCAACAAAGCCGCAUGUGUGGCUGCUAGUUGACGUUGCGACGAGUUAGGCUACUCGGACACUGACAACGUAACGUGCUACUGGGCUAUGAUGAGAUGAAGACGAGUUGAGUGCUUACUACUGCAUGAAUAAUUUGGAAAUGAUGAGCAAGACUGUGAGAAAGUAAUUUAGAGUUUGAUUUGUGAGUUAUAAGCUUGUGGGAUUGUGUGCUUUUGGUUGUAAUUAAGUCUAAAUUAUAUUAAACAUUUUAUAUUAACUAAUAUUUAUUAUUUGUAUAAAUAUUUUGAUAUUUUUUAUUUACACCAAUAUUUUAUAUUUUACAAUUUAAAAUUUAUCGUUUAUUGACUAAUAAUUCUAGAAAAAUAAAAAUAAAAUAAAAUAUUAAAAUAGGGAAAUGGGGAGGGGACGGGGAUUCCACCUCAUCCCCAUCCCUUCCCUGAAUAAGUAAUUGGGUAAAAAAUUGUCCUCGUCCCUUUCCCGAAUAAGAAGUGUGGUAUAAAAUCGUCCAUGUACCCUCCCCAAAUGGAUAAAAUCCUCAAGGGCCCCAUUCCCAUGGGGAUUUCUGCCAUCCCUAAAUUAGAAUAAAUUAUUUACUUAAACUGUAGGAAUUAGAAUCAAAAUAAACUGGAUUGUCAUUGAUGUGUCUAUUUUGUCUUGGAAUUGAAAUCAAAAUGAGUUACAUUUUAACAACUUACUAAAAAGUGCUUAAUGAGCUAUUGUCAUAAUUAUUAUUUUAUAUUUUAAUUAUGGUAAUUAUUUAUUCAAAAAUUAUAAUAAUUAUUAUUGUUAAUAAUAUAUUCAUAUAUUAAUUAAUUGAAAAUUAUUUAAAUUAAUUAAUUAUUAAUCAAUUAAUAUAUUAAUUGAUUAAUUAUAAUAAUACAUUAAUUAAUUAUAACUGAGGACAAAAUAGAUACUUUUUAUUUUGUGAGGGGGUAAAAUGGUCAUUCCAAGGAAUGGGAGACUCAUUCCCGCCUCCCUUGGGAAUUAAUCUUCCAUUUGCCAUUCCCAAAUUGCGGUGGACUCAACGAUUUCAAUUCUGAUUCUUGACUCUAUUUUAUGAAGUAAAUGCUCUCAAUAAUUUCGAUUCCCCAAUCCGAAGAAGUAAACGCACAGUUACUGUUUCUUCUAAAGCUCAAACUUGUCAGGUUUGAGAUACCUGAUAGAUACUUCAGUCAUGCAUCCACUCCAUCAUAAGACAAACUGAAAGUUAGAAAAAAAAGGGACAAUUCAAGGAAAAUGCACACAAGUGAGGUUUCAAAAUUAAAGUAGACACUUCAGCUGCAAAUCAGCAUACACAUACAAUGGAGGUCAUACAAAUAUCAUUUCUAUAACCGCCCUACUGUAUUCUUGAAUGAAGAUGGUUUAAAGUCAAGUAAUAAGAUAUUUAAACUUAAGCAAAACAAUACAAUUAAAUUUGCUGGAACUUAUGAGUAACUUAAUCUCAUCUCUCCUCCUAAUUUAAUUGGACAGGCGUAAAUUUUCCAUGUUAAUAUGGAUGAAGUAAAUUUUCUUUUUAUAAUAUAUCUAUGCAUUAAAAAAAAUUAAUAAUAAUAACUUUUACAAGCAUUUAUGCUUGUAUUAAUACUCUACUUUUUACUACACGAUUGCUUCAGUAUAUGGUGGAUGUUAAGAUAACAAUAAUACUAGAAUUACAAACACUUGCAUACUAUUAACUAACUUAACACUAUAAUAUUGUUUACGGUGUAAGCCCUCGAGGUGAUGUUAAUAUGCCAAAGAUUUAAAAAUAUUAGUUCUAGCUUUUGAAGAAAAAUAUGCUUUCAGUCAGAAGGGAAAAAAACGAAAAAAAAAAAAAAAAGCUUUCUAACAAGAUAUCAAAAUGGUUAAUAAGAAGAGCAGUAGUAAUGGGGUAAAAGCUCGUUUAAUCCCUAUAUUUUGAGGUUAGUACUUGUUUAGUUCCUAUAUUUUUAAAAAUGCUUCAAAACAUCUUUGCCGUUAAAUAUUGACACCCCUGCCGUUACUUUGUAUUCCUUUUAGCUUACUUUUACAAUAUUACCCUUUUUGCAAUAUUGUUUCUUUUUUUGGACAUUAAUAAUAAAUAAAAUUACCAAUUUAACCCCAAAAAUAAAAUAAAGACAAAGAAAAUAUAUAUUAAUCUUUGUCAAAACUAUGUCAAAAAAAUAAAUAUUGUAAAAAAAAUUAAACUACUAAUUUUUUAGACAUUAAUAAAAAAAAAUAAUAUAUUAACUCCUCGUGGAGUAUUCAAAAAAUUAAUAUAGAUUUUUUUUUGUUUCUAUUUUACUUUUUUGGGUUAAAUUGAUAAUUUGAUUUUUCUUGUUAUUAAUGUUUAAUAAAGAAGAAAUAUUAUUAUACGAGGGUAAUAUUAUGAAAGUAAGUUAAAAAGAACAAAAAAUAACAAUAAGGGUGUCAAUACUUAACGAUAACGAUGUUUUAAGACAUUUUUAAAAAUAUAGAGACUAAAUAGAUAUUAAUCUCAAAAUAUAAGAAAUAAACGAGAUUUUACCCGUAAUAAUGUUACGAGGGGGUUCAAAUGGAGGGGGACAGGUAUUUCCAAAUUUGUAUCCAUUAAUUUUUUUAAAACUCAUAUCUGUCACUUACUUGUUAUUAUUUUAAAUAUCAAACUUGUCAACCCUUAAGAGGAAACAUGUAUUUAACGGACUUUGCGCGGCUAAUUCUCAUCAUUCGCUACUCUAAAUUUUAUUUUACAGAUUUGCCCAUCAUUUACAACAUUUAAUUAAAUACACUUAAAUUAUAUAGAUUCAACGGUUCAACCUUCAUAUAUCACAUGAAAAGAAUACUGAAUUUUUAACAUCUCUCAUCAAGAGAUUGUACUGUGUUUACUCAAUUAGAUACCAAGUUUAUAUUCCAACUAAUGUGUUAAUAGUAUUUGAAUUAAAAAUGAUAAAACUUAAUAAUUAAUUAUUGCUUAAGUCAAUUAAAUAGUAUCAUAUCAUUUGUUUGAAAAAAAAAUCUUUGUUGUUUCAAGAGUAUUAAUCCUUUUUCAUUUACUUAUUAUCAUUACUAUCUGCAACUAAUCAUAAUGAUUUGCAUCAAUAUGUGAUUGUUUUUUUUACUCCAAGAACAGCUUUUAAAUGCAAUUUCUCUUCUUCCCCACUCACCCUUGAAAACCCACUAUUUGUGUACUUCCAAAAACGAUUUAUUGCUGACCGCCAAAGACCGAUACUCACUGGACAAAUUCCUAAAAGAAAGAUUCAAAUUCCAAUGUCUUAUACCUAUUUGAUUUGCAGUCCUUGUUAUGCUAAUGACUAGAAUGAGGCAAAGUGUUUUUUAAUUGAGAUGAUGGAUCUAAGGGUGCAGCAUGAUGUUGUGAUUUUCAAUGUUGAUCAUAGAUGAGCUUUGUGAAAAUAGAAAGAUAGAAGAAGCAUUUAGGUUUUUAGAAUCGCAUCAAUGGAUGGGUUUUGCUUGACCUAGGGAACUAUUUGUUUCUGUGGAGAAUAAAGGGUGCAGAAAUGACGUUGCUAAAUACAACAAGUUGAUAAAUGGGUAAUGCAAGAAUAAGGAAGUAGAGGAAGCGUUAGGCCUUUAUAGCGAAACGCUUUCUAAAAGAAUUCUCCUAGAAUAUGUUGAGGGGAUGGGGCAGCUGCCCCCAUCGCACCCUAAGCCAACAGACUCAAAACUGUAAAUGAAAGAAUCAUGAUGAUCUGUUUUGGUUUGUGAGAUGUUAGAGGAGGAGGAUUGACUAGUAACGGGGAGAUGUUUGGGUUUAUAAGGUGGUAGGUCACUCCACUUAAAAGGCUAGUCUUUUGGGUUAGAUACUUAGAAAUCUUAUGCUAAGUCCCCCCAACAAGCGGUAUCAGAGCUAGACCCUAGUAGCCGGAAUGUAGUGGUGGAACAACUCAGGUGUGUCGGACGAAAGGACCUGAGUCCGGCGGUGGUUUCGUCCGAAGGGGGGAUUGUUGAGUUGUAUCCCACAUUGACUAGUAAAAGGGAGAUGUUUGGGUUUAUAAGGUGGUAGGUCACUCCACCUAAAAGGCUAGUCUUUUGGGUUGGAUACCUAGGAAUCUUAUGCUAAGUCCCCCCAACAAGUGGUAUCAGAGCUAGACCCUAAUAGCCGGAAUGUAGUGGUGGAACAACUCAGAUGUGUCGGACGAAAGGACCGGAGUCCGACAGUGAUUUCGUCCGAGGGGGGGAUUGUUGAGUUGUGCCCCACAUUGAUUAGUAAAGGGGAGAUUUUGGGUUUAUAAGGUGGUAGGUCACUUCACCUAAAAGACUAGUCUUUUGGAUUGGAUACCUAGAAAUCUUAUACUAAGUCCCCCCAACAUGGACUUUCUUCUAAAGAAUGAUAUCCGUUUAAACUCAAUUCCAGAAUUCAAAAGCCAAAAUUGAAUAUUGAUUUAGUAGCAUGUUUUUCUGCCUGCUGAAAAUCGAAUAUGGAGGGUCCGUUUCAUUAUACCAAAUGUGAAGGAGUGUCACGUUGUGAGGGCAAUGUAAUAUCCUCGCCAUCUGGUUCAGUUCACCAAAGAAACUUCCCCAUUAAUUUCUUGAAAAAGUUAAGUUCAAACUGUAAAUGAAAGAAUCAUGAUGAUCUAUUUUGGUUUGUGAGAUGUUAGAAAGAGGCCAUUGUUAAAUAGACAUGAAUGCUGGAGAAAACUUUAUGUUCUUUUAUUGAAUUAAGUUGAUCCUACUCGAUCUCUGCAUUUUGGAUUCCUACUUCAGAGUCGAAGAAGUGAAAUAUGGUGUGAAAAAAUUGUAUGCUUAAGUUAAUUUGAAUCCUUGUUAUUUAAUAAAAGCUCAGCUUCUUUCAAUCCGCACCUACGGUGGUCAUUUUUUUUUAUAUAUAUGGCGAGUAAUAAAUAGAUAAGAAGUAAUGUUUUUAGAACACACAAAAUAUUUUUAUUUCAAACACUAACAAAGUUGCAGACAAAAUAUUUAAAUAAUCUUGAUGUAUGUAUCUAAUAGCGUGUUUGUUAAGUGGAAAUAAAAAUGAGGGAAUGAGAUACAUUAACUUAGCCCAAGUGGUUAGAGCCACUCCCUCACAAAUGUGGGGGAAGUGGUUCGAGCCUCCGCAGACGCAUUGUAGGAAUUUAAUUUAAAUGUCCUUUCUUAGAGUUCCAGAACUUGAGUGAAGUCAGUCUUUCUCCCAGAUUGGGGCCCAAGUGGUUAGAGCCACUCCCUCACAAAUGUGAGGGAAGUGGUUCGAGCCUCCUCCGCAGACGCAUUGUAGGGAUUUAAAAAUUUAAAUGUCCUUUCUUAAAGUCCCAGAACUUGAGUGAAGACAGUAUUUUUCCCAGGCUGGGAGUUGACGUCUCUCGAAUAUUUGAGAGGUGAAGGCAGUCUUUCUCCCAGACUGGGAGUUGACGUCUCUCGAAUAUUUGAGAGGCUUAAAAAAUCUAAGCGGUGCCAUAUCAGCAUUGAUGUCAACAGGUCUCAGUAUAUAUAUGAUUGUACAUAUCAGUUAUACUCUCAUGUAAUAUGAGUUGUAAUUUGAGCAAUAGUCUCAUGUUAUAAAAAAAAAACUUAUUUACUUAUAAAGAGAGAAGGAGGAUCGAGAAUUAAAUUUGCUGGCCUCACAUCAAUUUAUGACUAACUCUUGGAUUUCUAAUUUCUAAAGGGGGUUUGGAAUCUAAAUCUCAUUUUCAAGACGGAUUAUACUACCCCCGCCCAAAUGUAAUAAUUUUCAUUUUGUCCUUCUUUUAAAUAUUUAAAAAAUAAAUAAAAAUCGCAUGAGUACUGUGCAAAGAUCGAUUGUUACUGAUACUCCUCACGGAUAUUUGUAUUACUGUCGGUCAUUGUUGUUGCAGUUGCUGCCUGUUGUCGCUGCUACUAUCGAUCAUCGUUAUUGCCUACUGCUAUUGAUUGCCGGUUAUAAUGAUGAUUAUUCUUGCCUCAGUUAUUGUUGAUGUUAUUAUUACUCGCACCGAAUUACAUAUUAUUAAAUUAUUUUAAAUAUUACAAAUUAAAUUAUUUUUAAAUGAGUGAUCAAACCUGAUCAUUUAAUAACCAUGGCCAUUUAACAUAUUUAAACAUAAAAUUUCGUGUCAAAUUAUGUUUGAGUAUAAGGAUAAUGUAAGAUAAUUGGUACUUUAAUUUACAUUUAUGUGCCAACUGAAUAAAGUUCGCUAUUUAAAUUAAAUUAGAAACGGUGAAAUUUAAUAAUUAACUAUUAUUUAGCCAUUUAAACGCAGAGACACAAUUUGUCACGGUUCCAAAAGCAUAGCAUCAUUGAAAAUACCGUAUCCCACUUCUCUUUUUCUAUUUUGGUAAUUCUUUUUUUCUUCUUCAACCCCAAAUAAUCAAAAGCUCUCCAAUGGCUUUCGUAUUCUCAACUCGUUCAUUUCAUUUUACUUCAAUUUCAAUAUCGGCUCUUAGAUGUAAUUUCUCCUCUUCGUUCCCUCAUACCAGAAAACCCAAAUCUUCAAUUUCGAAAAAUGAGCUUUCAGAUCCGACUACAACAGCUAAACUGAAGGAGUCGCUACGACUGACAGUCAAAGACCGAGCCUCACUCGAAAAAUUCCUCAAAGAAAGGUGCAAAUCAUCAGGUCAAGGUGAUAUUAAUCUUAUAACUCCUAAUGAAGCCUUGUGUAUCUUUGAUUACAUGCUCAAUAUGCGCCCUUCUCCGCCUCCUGUCACUUCCUUCAAUCUUUUGUUUGGUUGUCUUGCCAAGACUAAACAUUAUGAUACUGUCCUUUCACUCUUCAAGAGACUCAAUUCCACUGGGUUGUUUCCGGAUCUUUAUACUUACAACAUAUUGAUUAAUUGCUUUUGCAAAAUGGGUCGAGUUUCUCAUGGUUUUGUUGUUCUUGGGAGAAUCCUCAGGUCUUGUUUUACUCCAGAUGCUGUGACCUUUACUUCUUUGAUUAAAGGUUUGUGUGCGGAGAGUAGAAUCAUGGAGGCCGCCGCAUUGUUUACGAAACUUACAGUGUUUGGUUGUAAGCCUGAUGCUUUUACAUACACCACUUUGGUUAAUGGAUUGUGUCGAACCGGCCACUUUGAUUAAGCCUGAUGCUUGGGAACUGUUUCAAAGUUUGUCUCGUGUAGGCCUAUUGCCAAAUGUUGUAACAUAUAAUAUCAUGAUCCAUGGGCUUUGUAAUGAUGGGCAAAUGGACAAGGCACAUGAUUUGUUUCUUGAUAUGGAAGCAAAAGGUGUGGAACCCAAUUGUGUCAUAUUUAAUACGAUUAUGCUGGGUUUCAUCCGCAAUAAUGAGACAUCAAAAGUUAAUGAACUCCUUCAGCGAAUGGAUAAUAGAAAUGUAAUGCCAGACGCAUCUACACUUUCAAUUGCUGUGCACUUACUUGUAAAGAAUGAAAUUAGCUUAAACUCGAUUCCACAAUUCAAGAGUCAAAGGUAAGUGAGUUUAAUACUCAUUUAGCCGCAUGUUUCUUCUGCCUGAAAACCCAAUCUGGAGGAUCCUAUUCUUAUUACAUGUAAAGGAGUGUUGUCUAAUGUUGGCAUGUUCCUAGGUUCUGUCCAUGGAUUCUGUUUGCAGACAUGGCUAACUUCUUGUUCAACAGAAAGUUUUAAAGUCUUUCAACUUUAUGUUGUAAAAUAACUUUUUUAUUAUUCAAUUCAUGAGUUUUUCUUCUAUAACACAUCCUUCUCAUUAGCUGGAAGUGCAAAUUUUUUAGGCUUUUCCUGUAUGGCCUCUUUUUCUGCUCUAAAUAAAAUGGCAUUUUAUUUCCCUCCUGUGAGGGUACAACGUUUAUGUUUAAAUUUUCUGUUAGUUAAAUUGGCUGUCUUUGAUAUAGGGAACUUCCAGUUGUACUGAUUUGUAAUUCGAGUAUAUGAGAUUACCAACUGUAAUGGGAAUUGAUGCCAAAUUAAUUAUGUCAUCGGGUUUUUCAAUCAGUGUUCAUCAUUUAUUUCUGUUAACAAUUAAUAGCACAGCUUGUCUUCGCAGCUUCAUUGGUUCCUCUCAAAAAUAAUCUUGUAAAGACAAUUUUUGUUUUUUGGCAUGUUAAAUGCUAGAUUGUUUGUGUGUAUUGGUAUUUGUUAUACUAUGUAUUGGCAAGACAGUUUCUUGAAACUGACAAACUUUUCUCUAUGAAGAUUGAAGACAAUAUGAUAAGAUAAACUUUAACAAAAGCAUAGAUGCUUGCCAGCGCUGGACCUUUGAUUAAUAGUCCUCGCCUUUCGUUCUUGUUUCAUAUUCUUCUGCUAACAAAUCUUGAUCAUGAUUGUCUUCUCUUUUCUUUGCAACCCACAUAUAAAGUCUCGGCCAUAAGCCUCGAGGCCUAUUCUCUUUUGUAAAGGUGAGUUGAAGAAACAGCAAGGGACUCCAAAGCAAAUGGUGUAGAGCACCUUUCACUUAUCACGGGCACAGGAUUACUCUGACUUUCUGCAUUUUACUGUUGGCUAUGGUUUGAUGCAUUAUUUAUUGUUCUGAAAUACCAUUCUCGUUGGAAGUUCAAUCAUUACUGUUUCUUUUUUCCCCCCUUUUUACUUGAAGUUACCUGAACUUCCAUGCAUGCUCCAAUAGAACGAGUAAUGUAAUGUAGGUGUUGACCAACUCCAAAUAAGUAGUUAGUUGCCUAGUAGUUGGAAUAAAAUUCUCAAUGAUUGCGAGCCUCGAUAGCUUUAGGAUGAACCAGACCAUCAUGAAUUCUGGUGCAUCUUUUAAGGUCCAAUUUCUCCAAGUUUAUCAUCAAGCUAAAAAAUGCCCUAAUUCCUUUUCCAGUAUUUUCAUAAUGCGUUUACUAAAUUGGAACUGAAAUGAACUAGAAUAAAAACAGAAAAUGUAAAUUAGAAUAAAUUAUUUACUUGAAUUGUAGGAAUUAGAAUCGGAAUAAGCUGGAUUGUUAUUGAUGUGUCAACUUUGUCUUGGAAUCAAAAUAGAAAUGAGUUACAUUUUAACAACUUACUAAAAAGUACUUAACGAACUAUUGUCAUCAUUAUUAUUUUAUAUUUUAAUUAUGGUGAUUAUUUAUUCAAAAAUUAUUAUUAUUAAUUAUUUUUAAUAAUAUAUUAAUAUACUAAUUAAUUGAAAAAAAAAUUAAAUUAAUUAAUUGUUAAUAUAUUAAUUGAUUAAUUAUAAUAAUACAUUAAUUAAUUAUAACUAAAGACAAAACAUACAUUUUUUUAUUCUGUAACAGGGCAAAAUGGUCAUUCCAAAGAAUGUGAGUUAAAUUGUUUAAUUUAAUUUAUAUCUGUUGUAAUAUAUAGCUUAAUUAUAGUGUAAAAACAAUGACAAUGUAAUUUUUUUUUUAAUGCUAAUACUAAAACUUUAUCAUCAUGCAAUUUUUUAUAAUUACUAUUUUUUAAUUAUUUAUGGUAUAUUUGUUUAUUAAUUAAAUAAACUAUUAUUUUUUUAACUAUGACAUAAAUGUUUAGUAAAAACUAUUUAUGAAAUAGUACUACCGAAAACAUAUUCUUUAUUUUUAUUUUUUUCAAUUAUGUCUACCGAACACAUAUUACUAAUUUCAAUUUUAAAAUAUAGAAUAUAGAAAAUGAUACCAGACGCAUAUUUAAAAUCAAAAUACACCAAUUGUAAAAUUUCAUUUUCAUUUUCAUUUUCAUUUUUUUUUCAGAAAAUGCUAAUUCAGAAACAAUACCGACCAUAAACUUAUUUUUGGUAUGAAUAAUGUUGUGCUACUUUUAUAGAACUUACAUGCAACCUCAAAUUUAUUAGAAGUAUCAACUGAAACCCCUUUUACCAAGUUAUUACAACUAUAUUUACUUCUUGAAGUGGGAGUGAGAAAUGUGGAUUCCUCAUACUCCAGUGAUUACUUGUAUAUUUUAAGGGAUGUGAGAAUUCCACUCCAUGGGUUCCACCCAUUUUUUGAGUUUAUUAUUUUAUAAAAUUUCAUUUAUUAAAAAGAACAAUAUCAAUCUCGUUUAAAUAAAAUAUUAUUAUAUUUAUUUGAGAUUAAUGAUUAAUAAUAAAUAGUUUAUUCUAAGAAAAUAUUAAUUUUCUACUAUGUUAGUAAUAAUAAUGUUUCAUUUCUAUUGCUCUCAUCAAUAGUUUUUAAUUUAGAUAAUUAAAUUAAAACUAACAAAAAAUUAUUAUUUACAUAAUUAAUAAUAUUAAUAAUUAUUGUUAAUUUAAAAAUAUAAUGAAAUAAAUAUUUUAUUUUUCAAAUAUAUUUUUUUAUUAAUUUUUAAUUAAAAACUAUAAUUUUUUAAAUAAGGAUAAAACUGUAAUCUGAAACUACUUACUCUUGAUCCGAGACAAAGUAAACAUGUAAAUUGAAUUUUAAUUCCAAUUCCAUACUCCUAUUCUAGUGUAAGUAAACAAUCUACUCUCAUUCUACACUCCCAAUCUCAGGAUUCACACUUCUCAGGAUUCUCACUCUAUUCGAAAAUGUAAACGCUAACAAAAUGUAGACCAGACAUAGGUGUAUAUAUAUAUAUAUUCUUAAUCAAACAUCAAAUAAAAUUCUUAAUUAAGUAAACCAUAAGGUGAUUGCGCAUAAAAAAUAAUAAUAAUAUUAAUUUUCAUAAGAAUUUAUGCUCGUAGUAUUUCAUUACUUUUUAUUAACCGUUGCUUCAACUUAUGGUGGGUAUUAAGAGAACAAUAAUAAUAGAGUUAUAAACGGUUGCAUACUAUCAAUUAAAUUAACACUAUAAUUUGGUUUACCAUACAAAUCCUUAAUAUCAUAAAUAAUUAAAUUAUUGGGGUUUUAAAAUGCAGACUUGCCAUGGCUCCUAUAAGUAAUAUCAGCCGCACUCUUUGUUAUUGGUAAAAAAAAUUUCUAGGUACAAUUUGUGAAUUUGUACAACGUGCGGUAUUAAACAUUUGAAGCAUGAACUGACAAUGUUGUGUCAAUAAUAAAGAAAAGAAAACGAAUUGUAUAAUACACAGGUGUUCUAGUGUAACUUGGAUUCUUUUUCUUUAUAAGUGCACCUAUUAUGUGAUUUUUUUUUGAAAAAAGAAAAAGAAAAAAAGAACUCUUGAGAUUUUAAAAUUUUGUAAUUGCACUAUCUUUAGAUUGUCAGGAGAUUUUCUCUCCUUAAAGAUGCCCUUAAUCCAUAAACGGUCCAAAAAAUAAUUCAUAAAAUGAAUUGAUUAUUUUAGAUAAGUUUCAAGAAUGCACACCUUUUAUAACUCCAUAUUGCAUAACUCCUCAUUUCACUCAAUGGAUGCAUUUGUUCACUUUUUCUUUCUUGUAAAUUUUUGAAUGGCCGUAAUUCUAUAGAUUAUUAGUUAAGUGUUAUUAUUAUCAUUUUUUUGUUGAUGCAUAUGUGGGGUGGGGCCGAUUGGGGGGCAUGGAUCUCAAUACAGCAGAGGGCCAAAAUAUUUAUUCUUUAAGAGGAACCACAACCAACAACAAUGCCUUAAGUUCCAUUCCAUGUUACUUCUGUGCACUAGAUUGCAUAAACAACAUUAUCCAAGGUCAAAGUCUCUCAAAGACUUUGGUUACAAGACAAAGCAUGGGAUUGCAGCCAAAAAUUUCUUGUAGUGAAAGGCUCAUAAACUGAUGACAAUUGUCGGAUUGUUUUGGGCCUCAAUAGUUUUAAUAUUAUUCUCUUAAAAAUAUAUAUAUUGAUUAGAGAUGAGAGGAAGAAGAUGAUAUGAUUUAGCCAGCUGUACAAGAAAGAGUACGCAGUGGAGUCUAGAUUUUGAUUUCUCUUGUUAAAUUAUUUUCAAUUUACUACAAGGUAGAAUAAAUUGCAUUCUUAAAAAAUACUUUGAACAUCAUAUUUUUGUAUUACAAAUAUACCAAAAAUUAAAUUACUUUUUUUUUUAUCAGUAUAAACUAAAAUUUGCCUGAAUCCUCAUCUUUGUAAGUGGAAUUCUAUUAUGAAACUAAUAGUCCUUCCUAGUGCUAACUGUCACUUUGAACAUGUGUCAUCUCUAACAACAACUUCCAGACCUGCAGCUAGCUGCUUUUUAGCAUUAGAAGUAGCAUCCACAUUGGCUUUCAACUAGCCAUAAUUCGGAGGAGGGGACCAUUGUUUCUGUUUGUCAGUUUUCUUCCUUGAAGCAUACGCCAUAAUUAGGAGGAGGGCAAGCUUCCAAAUAGCAUUUCGAAUGGUAUUUUGAAAAUCUUCCACCCUUUUGGUUAAAAAAAAUAAAAACCUUAUUUCUAGUUCUUUCUUAACAAUCUUAUCACUUUAAGUUUUCCUCUUAAGUAGGAACAUCAUAUAUAUUAAUUUGUUCUUAAUACAAAUAAAACUAAAUAUUUAUGACUUAAAAGAUAGGUAUUGAAUGGCAGGCGUCUCACUCAAUAUAUAUAUAUAUAUAUAUAUAUUUAAAAGCAAUGGUGAUAUCAUCAUUUUUUGUACUGAUAUGAAAAUAUCACACUAGAUUUUUUUCUCGCAUUACAAAAAGUUUGAAUUCAAGAAUAAAUAAGCAAUAUCAAGAACAAUUUUUACAAAACGCCUCCAGGACAUGCCAUAUGAAUUUGUGAUACGAAAAAUAGUAUACUAGUCACUGGAUCUUCUUUUCCUCAUUAGGAAAAAUUAGAAAUGCAAUCUAAAUUGAUAUCAAUAACUAAUUUUAUAGUGAAUGGGUCUUGCACGAAAACAAGAAAUUUUUUUAUAAUAUAAGAAAUUAUUAGUCAUUUAUCCUAAAUUUAUUUUGUCUCAAAAAAUACUACAAAAACUUUAACUUGCUUUGUUUUUUUACCUUAAUUUAUAAUUUGUAUCAGUCACUCUCUAAAACGAUAGAAUCACUUCAUAAAAUGACAAAAUAAAAAUAAAUACAAAUGACAAAACCGGUUCAUUUUAUAAGGAUAAUUCAAUCCGUUUGGCUUCAAAUUACAAAUUAAAUUAUUUCAAAUAUUAUAAAUUAUUUUUAUACUGGGUGAUGGACCUAAUCAUUUUAAUACUUAUGACAAUUUAAUCUAUCUAAAUAUAAAAUUUUGAGUAGACUUAUGUUUGAGUAGGAGGAUAAUGUAAGAAAAUUUGGCACUUUUAUUCAACUGAAGAAAUUUUACAAUUUAAAUUAAAAACGAUAAAAUUUAAUAAUUAACUAUUAUUUGAACUAAUUGAAUCGUGCGCCAUCAUUUGUGUAAUGUAUCCUAUUGCAAAAUAAACGGCAGGAUGCGGUUUGCGUUAAUGUAUCCUAUUUUGGUAAUUCUCUUCUUCUUCUUCAACCCCAAAUAAUCAAAAGCUCUCCAAUGGCUUUCGUAUCCUCAACUCGUUCAUUUCAUUUUACUACAAUUUCAAUAUCAGCUCUUAGUUGUAAUUUCUCCUCUUCGUUCCCUCAUACCAGAAAACUCACAUCUUCAAUUUCGGAAAAUGAACCCUCAUAUCCGACUACAACAGCUAAACUGAAGGAGUCGCUACGACUGACAGUCAAAGACCGAGCCUCACUAGAAAAUUUCCUCAGAGAAAGGUUCAAAUCAUCAGGUGAAGGUGAUAUUACUACUAUUACUCCUAAUGAAGCCUUUUGUAUCUUUGAUUACAUGCUCAAUAUGCGCCCUUCUCCGCCUCCUGUCUGUUCCUUCAAUAUUUUGUUUGGUUGUCUCGCUAAGAAUAAACAUUAUGAUACUGUCCUUUCACUCUUCAAGAGACUCAAUUCAACUGGGUUGUUUCCAGAUCUUUAUACUUACAAUAUCUUGAUUAACUGCUUUUGCAAAAUGGGUCGAGUUUCUCAUGGUUUUGUUGUUCUUGGGAGAAUCCUCAGGUCUUGUUUUACUCCAAAUGCUGUGACCUUUACUUCUUUGAUUAAAGGUUUGUGUGCGGAGAGUAGAAUCAUGGAGGCUGCCGCAUUGUUUACGAAACUUAGAGUGUUUGGUUGUGAGCCUAAUGUUUUUACAUACAAUACUUUGAUUAAUGGAUUGUGUCGAACUGGCCAUACAAUUGUUGCUCUAAAUUUAUUUGAAGAGAUGGCUAGUGGAAAUGGGGAAUUUGGUGUUGUUUGUAAGCCAGAUGCUAUUACAUACAGUACUAUUAUAGAUGGUCUUUGUAAGGAAGGUUUUGUGGACAAGGCCAAGGAACUGUUUCUGCAGAUGAAGUAUGAGAAUAUUAACCCGGAUGUGGUUACCUAUACCUCUGUGAUUCGUGGUUUUUGUUAUGCUAAUGAUUGGAAUGAGGCCAAGUGUUUGCUAAUUGAGAUGAUGGACCAAGGGGUACAGCCCAAUGUUGUGACUUUCAAUGUGAUCAUGGAUGAGCUCUGCAAGAAUGGAAAGAUGGAUGAGGCAAGUCGGUUGUUGGACCUGAUGAUUCAGAUUGGUGUGCGUCCAAAUGCUUUUGUCUAUAACACAUUAAUGGACGGGUUUUGCUUGACAGGUAGAGUUAAUCGUGCGAAGGAACUAUUUGUUUCUAUGGAGAGUAUGGGUUGCACACAUACUGUUUUUAGUUACAGUAUUUUGAUAAAUGGUUACUGCAAGAAUAAGGAAAUAGAGGGAGCGUUAAGCCUUUAUGGAGAAAUGCUCUCUAAAGGAAUUAAGCCAGAUGUUGUUAUAUAUAACACCUUGUUUGUUGUCCUUUUUGAAAUACACCAGGUUGAGCGUGCUUUCAAGCUGUUUGAUGAGAUGCAACGUGAUGGCGUGGCAGCUGAUACCUGGACAUAUAGAACCUUUAUUGAUGGGCUCUGCAAGAAUAGUUAUAUCGUAGAGGCAGUUGAACUAUUUCGCACUUUGAGAAUUCUCAAGUGUGAACUUGAUAUUCGAGCCUACAACUGCCUCAUUGAUGGAUUAUGUAAAUCCGGCAGACUCGAAAUUGCAUGGGAACUAUUUUGUAGUUUGCCUCGUGGAGUCCUAAUAGCAGAUGUUGUAACCUAUAACAUCAUGAUCCAUGGGCUUUGUAACGAUGGGAAAAUGGACAAGGCGCAUGAUUUGUUUCUUGAUAUGGAAGCAAAAGGUGUAGCACCCGAUUGUGUCACAUUUAAUACGCUGAUGCUAGGUUGCAUCCGCAAUAAUGAGACAUCAAAAGUUGUUGAACUCCUUCACAGAAUGGAUGAGAGAAAUGUAAUACCAGAUGCAUCUACACUUUCAAUUGUUGUGGACUUGCUUGUAAAGAAUGAAAUUAGCUUAAACUCCAUUCCACAAUUCAAGAGUCAAAGGUAAGUGAGUUUAAUAAUGAUUUAGUCGCAUGUUUCUUCUGCCUGAAAACUCAAUGUGGAGGAUCCUAUUCUUAUUACAACAUGUAAAGGAGUGUUGUCUAAUGUUGGCAUGUUCCUAGGUUCUGUCCAUGGAUUCUGUUUGCAGACAUGGCUAACUUCUUGUUCAACAGAUAAGUUUUAAAGUCUUUCAACUUUAUGUUGUAAAAUAACUUUCUUAUUAUUCAAUUCAUGAGUUUUCCUUCUGUAACACAUACUUCUCAUUAGAUGGAAGUGCAAAUUUUUUAGGCUUUUCCCGUAUGGCCUCUUUUUCUGCUCUAAAUAAAAUGGCAUUUUAUUUCCCUCCUGUGAGGGUACAAGGUUUAUGUAUAAACUUUCUGUUAGUUAAAUUGGUUGUCUUUGAUAUAGGGAACUUCCAGUUGAGCUGAUUUGUAAUUCGAGUAUAUGAGAUUACCAACUGUAUUGGGAAUUAAUGCCAAAUUAAUUAUGUCAUCAGGUUUUUCAAUCAUUGUUCAUCAUUUAUUUCUGUUAACAAUUAAUAGCACAGCUUGUCUUCUCAGCUUCAUUGGUUCCUCUAAAAAAUAAUCUUGUAAAGACAAUUUUUUUUUUUUGGCAUGGUAAAUGCUAGAUUGUUUGUGGUAAAUACAAAAUUGAUACAAUCAACUUGUAUGAUAAGUUUUAAAAGUUUAUUCAUAUUUAUAUUACAUAAUUAAAAGUUCAUUCAUAUUUAUAUGAGAUAUCUAUUUUAGGACACAGUUUAAUAAUCAUGGAAACUAACCAUUUAAUAACAAUUAUGGUCGUUUAACCUAUCUAAACAUGAAAUUGUCAGCUGGCUUAUCUUUGAGUAGGAGGAUAAUGUAAGAAAAUUAAUAUUUUAAUGUACAAUUUGUAUGCCAAGCGAAAAAUUUCACAAUUUAAAUUAGAAAAAAUAAAAUUUAAUAGUUAAAUAUUAUUUGAGCCAAUUGACUAGUGGGACAUUAUUUGUUACUGUCCAAAAAGCAUAACAUUAUUUUGAUAAAUGGUUACUGCAAGAAUAAGGAAAUAGAGGAAGCGUUAAGCCUUUAUAGCGAAAUGCUCUCUAAAGGAAUAAAGCCAACAGUUGUUACAUAUAACACCUUGUUUCUUGGUCUUUUUGAAAUACACCAAGUUGAGCGUGCUUUAAAACUGUUUGAUGAGAUGCAGCGCAAUGGUGUGGUUGCUGAUACCUCUACGUAUAAUACCUUUACUGACGGGCUCUGCAAGAAUGGUUAUAUCGUAGAGGCAGUUGAACUAUUUCGUACUUUGAGAAUUCUAAAGUAUGAACUGUGGUGUCCAAUUUCAUCACAUUUGGUACGCUUAUCCAUGGUUUUAUCCGAAUCAAUGAGCCAUCAGAAGUUAUUCAACUUCUUCACAUGAUGAAGGAGAAAAAAGUAAUGCCAGAUGCGUCUACAGUUUCAAUCGUUGUCGACUUACUUGUAAAGAAUGAAAUUAGUCUGAACUCACUUCCGUCAUUUCCUGUCCAAGAGCGACAGGGGGAAGUUGAUGAGUCAAAUGUCAAGUUGUAGCAGCAUGUCCUGUCCAUUGCUUCAAUCCUAAAUGCUUUGAUCUACCUGAAAAGUAUACAAAUAUCGGAGUUAAAACAGAGCAGAUUAAAUCGUAUUGAUGAACUCAACUGAGAUAAAUGACAAAAGAAAACUAACUUUUCCUGUUCAAAGCUCGCACACCUUCCUUUAAGAGCUGACUUUCCAAGAAGAGAUCACCACAAUCGUUCACAUCAACAGUCCACUUGAAAUUUUUUAUAACCACAAUAGUCAUUCCAUUCAAACCACAUCCUUGAGAUCAGUUCCUUCUUCAAGCAAGUGGGAUGGUCUUCCUCUUGAGGAGACUCAGCAGCAACCAAUCAAAGCACAAUAAAGGUAACAUCCAGAAUAAUGAUCCAAAUUUUUGUGGACUUACAUGCAAAGAAUGAAAUUGGUUUAAACUCGAUUCCACAAUUCAAGAGUUAAUGAGUUUAUCUUGAUUCAGUAGCGUGUCUCUUCUGCUUUAAAACCAGAUCUGGGGAAUCCCAUUCUUAUUACAACAUGUGAAGGAGUGUUUGUGUAUUGUUGGCAUGUUCCCAGGUUCUGUUCACGGAUUCUGUUUGCAGACAUGGCUAACUCCUCGUUUCAUCAGAUAAGUUUCAAAGUCUGGCAACUUUUUGUUGUAAAAAUAACUAUUUCAUUAUUCAAUUCAUGAGUUUUCCUUCUAUGGUGCAUCUUUCUCAUUAGCUGUAGUUUCAAAAUUUUUAGGCUCUUCCUGCAUGACCUCUUUUUCUUCUCUAAAUAGAUAAAAUUUGUUUUUCAUUUUUCUCUUGCGAGGGUACAGGUUCAUGUUGAAACUUUCUGUUAGUUAAAUUGAUUGUCUUUGAUAUUCGAACUUCUAGCUGAACUAGUUUGCACUUCGAAUAUAUGAGAUUACCAACUGUAACGGGAAUUGGUGCCAAAUUGAUUAUGUUAUCAGGUUUCCCAGUCUGUGUUCAUCUUGUCUUCUCUGCUUCUUUGGCUCCUGUCAAAUAUAAACUUGUAAAGACAUUUUGUUUUGGCAUGGCACAUGCUAGAUUUUGUUUUUGGUUUGAAUGAUAUUAGACAUCUAAGUAAUUGUCCAAAUUUUUUCGUUCCUAGUGACAAGGCAUUCAAUUGAAAUGGUGACUCAUGAAUCAUGAUUGUGUAUGUUGGUAUUUGUUAUACUACGCGUUAGACAAACUUUGUUGAAACUGACAUACUUUUCUCUAUGGAGAUUGAAGACAACAUAAUAAGAUAAAAUUUAUCCAAAACAUAUAUACUUGAAAGGGCUGGAACGUCUGUUAUUAGUCCUCGCCUUCCAUUCUUGUUUCGUAUUCUUCUGCUAACAAAUCUUGAUCAUGAUAGUCUUCUCUUUCUAUACAACCCACAUAUAAAGUCUUGGCCAUAAGCCUCGAGGCCUAUUCUCUUUUGCAGUGGUGAGUUCACUCUCAGGAAUCGGAUCCUUCAAAUUCGAGCGAAUUUGAAGAAACUGCAAAAGCCUACAAAGCAAAUGGUGUAGAGAACCUUUUACUUAUCACGGGCACAGGAUUACUGACUUUCUGCAUUUUACAGUUGGCUAUGGUUUGAUGCAUUAUUUAUUGUUCUCAAAUUAUAUUCUCGUUGGAAGUUCAAUCAUUACUGUUUCUUUUUUCCCCCUCUUUUUACUUGAAGUUACCUGAAGUUCCAUGCAUGCUCCAAUCGAACAAGUAACGUAGGUGCUGACCAACUCAAAAUAAGUAGUCAGUUGCCUAGUGGUUGCUUUGCAUGAAAUUUGUUUUUGGUAUGAAUAAUGUUGUCUUAAUUUUACAAGCUUCCAUGCAACUCCUAAUUUGUUGGAAGCAUUAACUCAACCCGUCAUUUAAGGUUAGAUUUAACCAUUGACUUAUGUUGACUAUUAAAAGUACUAUAAUAUUUUUAUAUUUUAUAAAUAUAACGAAACCUCACUUUAUUAACAAAUAUAAUUUAAAAUAUAAAAAAUCAAUAAUAAAAAAUAACUAAAGUUGAAAUCCAAGGAGCAACUUCUAUCCUCUAACCAAGUUAUUAAAUAUUAGAAUAGAUAGAGGCAUAUACUUUUCUUCAUGAUUCAGAAUCAUAUCUCAAAGUCAAAUAAAAUUCUCAAUGAUUGCAGGCCUCAAUACCAUUAAGAUGAACUAGACCAUCAUGAAUUUUUGUGCAUCUUGCAAGGUCCAAUUUCUCCAAGUUUAUGAUCAAGCCAAAAAAUGUCAUAAUUCCUUUUAUAGUAAUUUCAUAGUGUUUACUAAACAAUAAUAGAAAUGGACUGAAAGACAAAUAGGGAAUGCAAAUUAGAAUAGGGAUGGCAAUGGGGAGGGGGGAGGGGACCAACAUCCCUGUACCCAUUCCUGAUGUUUUGUAUAUAUCCUUAUCCCCUUCCCGUCCCCAUCAGAAUUGCUUAAGGGGAUUCUCGUCCCCUCUCUAAAUAAUAACAAGGAAUCCCCAAGGGUCCCCGAUCCCCAAAUAACUGAUAUAUUUGUUUAGUUUUCAAACUUAAUUUAAUCAUAUUAACCUAAAAAUAUAUAAAAUAAAAUGAAAAUGAUCAUGAAUGGGCCUUAUAUUUCAUUCUACUCUUUCAAACUUUUGAUAUAUAUAAUAUUCAAAUAAUGAUUUUCAAAACAAAAUUCAAAUAAUGUGAUUUUUAUACAAUAUUGACGUGAUUGUUGUCCAUGAGUAAUGAUACCUGCUGAUGACCGACUAUGAUGCAACAAAGCCGCAUAUGUGGCUGCUAGUUGGCGUUGCGAUGAGUUAGGCUACUCGGCCACUGACAACACAACGUGCUACUGAGUUAUGAUGAGAUGAAGACGAGUUGAGUGCUUACUACUGCAUGAAUAUUUUGGAAAUGAUGAGCAAGACUGUGAGAAAGUGAUUUAGAGUUUGAUUUGUGAGUUAUGAGCUUGUGGUUGUAAUUAAGUCUAAAUUAUAUUAAACAUUUUAUAUUAACUAAUAUUUAUAUUAUUUGUAUAAAUAUUUUGAUAUUUGUUAUUUACACCAAUAUUUUAUAUUUUACAAUUUAAAAUUUAUUAUUUAUUGACUAAUAAUUCUAGAAAAAUAAAAAAAAAUAUUAAAAUAGAGAAAUGGGGAGGGGACGGGGAUUACACCUCAUCCCCAUCCCUUCCAUGAAUAAGUAAUUGGGUAAAAAAUCAUCAUCGUCCCUUCCCCGAAUAAGAAGUUUGGUAUAAAAUCGUACAUGUACCCUCACCAAAUGGGAAAAAUCCCCAAGAGCCCCCAUCCCCAUCGGGAUUUCUGCUAUUCCUAAAUUAGAAUAAAUUAUUUAUUUGAACUGUAGGAAUCAGAAUCAAAAUAAGUUGGAUUAUCAUUUAUGUGUCUAUUUUGUCUUGGAAUUAAAAUCAAAAUGAUUUACAUUUUAACAACUUACUAAAAAGUGCUUAAUGAGCUAUUGUCAUAAUUAUUAUUUUAUAUUUUAAUUAUGGUAAUUAUUUAUUCAAAAAUUAUAAUAAUUAUUAUUGUUAAUAAUAUAUUCAUAUAUUAAUUAAUUGAAAAUUAUUUAAAUUAAUUAAUUAUUAAUAGAUUAAUUAUAAUAAUACAUUAAUUAAUUAUAACUGAGGAUAAAAUAUAUAUUUUUUAUUUUGUGAGGGGAUAAAAUGGUCAUUUCAAGGAAUGCGAGAGUCAUUCCUGCCUCCCUUGAGAAUUAAUCUUCCAUUUGUCAUUCCCAAAUUGCUGUGGACUCAACGAUUUUCAAUUCCGAUUCUUGACUCUAUUUUGUGAAGUAAAUGCUCUCAAUAAUUUCGAUUCCUCAAUCCGAAGAAGUAAAUGCACAGGUACUGUUUCUUCUAAAGCUCAAACUUGUCAGGUUUGAGAGACCUGAUAGAUACUUCAGUCAUGCAUCUAAUCCAUCAUAAGACAAACUGAAAGUUAGAAAUAAAAGGGACAACUCAAGGAAAAUGCACACAAGUGAGGUUUCAAAAUUAAAAUAGACACUUCAGCUGCAAAUCAGCAUACAUAUACAAUGGAGGUCAUACAAAUAUCAUUUCUACAACCGCCCUACUGUAUUCUUGAAUGAAGAUUGGUUUAGAGUCAAGUAAUAAGAUAUUUAAACUCAAGACAAAAAAAUACAAUAAAAUUUGCUGGAACUUAUAAGUAACUUACUCUCAUCUCUCCUCCUAAUUUAAUUGGACAUGCGUAAAUUUUCCAUGUUACUAUGGAUGAAAUAAAUUUUCUUUUUAUAAUAUAUGUAUGCAUUAAAAAAAAUUAAUAAUAAUAACUUUUACAAGCAUUUAUGCUUGUAUUAAUACUCUACUUUUUACCACACGAUUGCUUCAGUAAAUGGUGGAUGUUAAGAGAACAAUAAUAAUAGAAUUACAAACAAUUGCAUACUAUUAACUAACUUAACACUAUAAUAUUGUUUAUGGUGUAAGCACUCGAGGUAAUGUUAAUAUGCCAAAGAUUUAAAAAUAUUAGUUGUAGCUUUUGAAGAAAAAUAUACUUUCAGUUAGAAGGAAAAAAAAAAAAAGAAGAAGCUUUCUAACAAGAUAUCAAAAUGGUUAAUAAAAAGAGCAGUAGUAAUGUUACGAGGGGGUUCAAAUGGAGGGGCACGGGAAUUUCCAAAUUUGUAUCCAUUAAAUUUACCAAAAAAAAAAGAGAUUGGAUUGUUUUUUACAUAUUCUUAAUGUCACUUACUUGUUAUUUUUUUAAAUAUCAAACUUGUCAACUCUUAGGGGAAACAGGUAUUGGGGAAACAUGUAUUUAAGGGACUUUGUGCGGCUAAUUCUCAUCAUUCGCUACUCUAAACUUUAUUUUACAGAUUUGCGCAUCAUUUAUAACAUUUAAUUAAAUACACUUAAAUUAUAUAGAUUCAACGGUUCAACCUUCAUAUAUCACAUGAAGAGAAUACUGAAUUUUUAACAUCUCUCAUCAAGAGAUUGUACUGUGUUUACUCAAUUAGAUACUAAGUUUAUAUUCCAACUAAUGUCUUAAUAGUAUUUGAAUUAAAAAUGAUAAAACUUAAUAAUUAAUUAUUGCUUAAGUCAAUUAAAUAGUAUCAUAUCAUUUGUUUUAAAAAAAAAAAUCUUUGUUGUUUCAAGAUUAUUAAUCCUUUUUCAUUUAUUUAUUAUCAUUACUAUCUGCAACUAAUCAUAAUGAUUUGCAUCAACAUGUGAUUGUUUUUUUGACUCCAAGAACAGCUUGUCAAUAACAUGAAGUUUAUUUCUGACCGCCAAAGACCGAUACUCACUGGACAAAUUCCUAAAAGAAAGAUUCAAAUUCCAAUGUCUUAUACUUAUUUGAUUUGCAGUUCUUGUUAUGCUAAUGACUAGAAUGAGGCAAAGUGUUUUUUAAUUGAGAUGAUGGAUCUAAGGGUGCAGCAUGAUGUUGUGAUUUUCAAUGUUGACCAUAUAUGAGCUUUGUGAAAAUAGAAAGAUAGAAGAAGCAUGUAGGUUUUUAGAAUCGCAUCAAUGGAUGGGUUUUGCUUGACCUAGGGAACUAUUUGUUUCUGUGGAGAAUAAAGGGUGCAGAAAUGAUGUUGCUAAAUACAACAAGUUGAUAAAUGGGUAAUGCAAAAAGAAAGAAGUAGAGGAAGCGUUAGGCCUUUAUAGCGAAAAGCUUUCUAAAAGAAUUCUCCUAGAAUAUGUUGGGGGGAUGGAGCAGCUGCCCCCAUCGUACCCUAAGCCAACAGACUCAAAAUUGGAUGGGAACUUUUUUCAUUGAUUAUUUCACGAACGCCCGAUUCCAAAUAUGUAACAUACAACAUCAUGAUUCAUGGGCUUUGUAACAAUGGGCAAAUGGAUACGGAAGCAAGGCGUACGACGCCCAGUUGUGUCAUGUUUACUAAGCUUAUGCGAAAGAAUGACACAUCAAAAGCUAUUGAACUUCCUCACUCAAUGGAUAAGAGAAAUGUAAUGCGGGAUGCAUCUACACUUGCAACUGUUGUGGACUUUCUUUUAAAGAAUGAUAUCCGUUUAAACUCGAUUCCAGAAUUCAAAAGCCAAAAUUGAAUAUUGAUUUAGUAGCAUGUUUUUCUGCCUGCUGAAAAUCGGAUAUGGAGGAUCCGUUUCAUUAUACCAAAUGUGAACGAGUGUCACGUUGUGAGGGCAAUGUAAAAUCCUCGCCAUCUGGUUCGGUUCACCAAAGAAACUUCCCCAUUAAUUUCUUGAAAAAGUUAAGUUAAAACUGUAAAUGAAAGAAUCAUGAUGAUCUGUUUUGGUUUGUGAGAUGUUAGAAAGAGGCCAUUGUUAAAUAGACAUGAAUGCUGGAGAAAACUGUUAUGUUCUUUUAUUGAAUUAAGUUGAUCCUACUCGAUCUCUGCAUUUUAGAUUCCUACUUCAGAGUCGAAGAAGUGAAAGAUGGUGUGAAAAAAUUGUAUGCUUAAGUUAAUUUGAAUCCUUGUUAUUUAAUAAAAGCUAAGCUUCUUUCAAUCCGCACCUACGGUGGUCAUUUUUUUAUAUAUAUGGCGGCUAAUAAAUGGAUAAGAAAUAAUGUUUUUAAAAGACAUUUUUUUUUUCAAACACUAAAAAAGUUGCAGAAAAAAUAUUUAAAUAAUCUUGAUGUAUGUAUCUAAUAGCGUGUUUGUUAAGUGGAAAUAAAAAUGAGGGAACGAGAUACAUAAACUUAUUUACUUAUAAAGAGAGUAGGAGGAUUGAGAAUUAAAUUUGCUGGCCUCACAUCAAUUUAUGACUAACUCUUCGAUUUCUAAUUUCUAAGGGGGAUUUAGAAUCUAAAUCUCAUUUUCAAGACGGACUAUACUACCCCGCCCAAAUGUAAUAAUUUUCAUUUUGUCCUUCUUUUAAAUAUUUAAAAAAUAAAUAAAAAUCGCAUGAGUACUGUGCAAAGAUGGAUUGUUCUUGUUAUUGUUGAUGUUACUAUUACUAGCACCGCAUUACAUAUUAUUAAAUUAUUUUAAAUAUUACAAAUUAAAUUAUUUUUAAAUGAGUGAUAAAACCUGAUCAUUUAAUAACCAUGGCCAUUUAACAUAUUUAAACAUAAAAUUUCGUGUUAAAUUAUGUUUGAGUAUAAGGAUAAUGUAAGAUAAUUGGUACUUUAAUUUACAUUUAUGUGCCAACUGAAUAAAGUUCGCUAUUUAAAUUAAAUUAGAAACGGUGAAAUUCAAAAAUUAACUAUUAUUUAGCCAUUCAAACGCAGAGACAAUUUGUCACGGUUCCAAAAGCAUAGCAUCAUUGAAAGUACCGUAUCCCACUUGUAUUAAUAUUCGGAAGAAUGGAAGGAAAAGGGCAUAUGUUUCUCUUCUUCUAUUUUGGUAAUUCUUUUCUUCUUCUUCAACCCCAAAUAAUCAAAAGCUCUCCAAUGGCUUUCGUAUCCUCAACUCGUUCCUUUCAUUUUACUUCAAUUUCAAUAUCGGCUCUUAGAUGUAAUUUCUCCUCUUCGUUCCCUCAUACCGGAAAACCCAAAUCUUCAAUUUUGGAAAAUGAGCCUUCAGAUCCGACUACAACAGCUAAACUGAAGGAGUCGCUACGACUGACGGUCAAAGACCGAGCCUCACUCGAAAAAUUCCUCAAAGAAAGGUGCAAAUCAUCCGGUGAAGGUGAUAUUACUUCUAUUACUCCUAAUGAAGCCUUGUGUGUCUUUGAUUACAUGCUCAAUAUGCGCCCUUCUAGGCCUCCCGUCACUUCCUUCAAUAUUUUGUUUGGUUGUCUUGCUAAGACUAAACAUUAUGAUACUGUCCUUUCACUAUUCAAGAGACUCAAUUCCACUGGGUUGUUUCCGGAUCGUUAUACUUACAAUAUCUUGAUUAACUGCUUUUGCAAAAUGGGUCGAGUUUCUCAUGGUUUUGUUGUUCUUGGGAGAAUCCUCAGGUUUUGCUUUACUCCAGAUGCUGUGACCUUUACUUCUUUGAUUAAAGGUUUGUGUGCGGAGAGUAGAAUCAUGGAGGCCGCCGCAUUGUUUACGAAACUUAGAGUGUUUGGUUGUGAGCCUGAUGUCAUUACGUACAAUACUUUGAUUAAUGGAUUGUGUCGAACCGGCCAUACAAUUGUUGCUCUAAAUUUAUUUGAAGAGACGGCCAAUGGAAAUAGGAAAUUUGGUGUUAUUUGUAAGCCAGACGCUAUUACAUACAAUACUAUUAUAGAUGGUCUUUGUAAGGAAGGUUUUGUGGACAAGGCCAAGGAACUGUUUCUGCAGAUGAAGGAUAAGAAUAUUAACCCAGAUGUGGUUACUUAUAACUCUUUGAUUCACGGUUUUUGUUACGCUAAUGAUUGGAACGAGGCGAAUUGUUUGCUUAUUGAGAUGAUGGAUCAAGGGGUACAGCCUGAUGUUGUGACUUUCAAUGUGAUCAUGGAUGAGCUCUGCAAGAAUGGGAAGAUGGAUGAAGCAAGUAGGUUGUUGGACCUGAUGAUUCAGCGUGGUGUGCGUCCAAAUACUUUUGUCUAUAGCACAUUAAUGGACGGGUUUUGCUUGACUGGUAGAGUUAAUCAUGCGAAGGAACUAUUUGUUUCUAUGGAGAGUAUGGGUUGCAAACAUACUGUUUUUAGUUACAGUAUUUUGAUAAAUGGUUACUGCAAGAAUAAGGAAAUAGAGGGAGCGUUAACCCUUUAUAGCGAAAUGCUCUCUAAAGGAAUUAAGCCAGAUGUUGUUAUAUAUAACACCUUGUUUACUGGCCUUUUUGAAAUACACCAGGUUGAGCGUGCUUUCAAGCUGUUAGAUGAGAUGCAACGUGAUGGCGUGGCAGCUGAUACCUGGACAUAUAGAACCUUUAUUGAUGGGCUCUGCAAGAAUGGUUAUAUUGUAGAGGCAGUUGAACUAUUUCGUACUUUGAGAAUUCUCAAGUGUGAACUUGAUAUUCGAGCCUACAACUGCCUCAUUGAUGGAUUAUGUAAAUCCGGCAGACUCGAAAUUGCACGGGAACUAUUUCGUAGUUUGCCUUGUGGAGUCCUAAUAGCAGAUGUUGUAACAUAUAACAUCAUGAUCCAUGCGCUUUGUACUGAUGGGAAAAUGGACAAGGCACAUGAUUUGUUUCUUGAUAUGGAAGCAAAAGGUGUAGCACCCAAUUGUGUCACAUUUAACACGCUUAUGCUAGGUUGCAUCCGCAAUAAUGAGACAUCAAAAGUUGUUGAACUCCUUCACAGAAUGGAUGAGAGAAAUGUAAUACCAGAUGGAUCUACACUUUCAAUUGUUGUGGACUUACUUGUAAAGAAUGAAAUUAGCUUAAACUCGAUUCCACAAUUCAAGAGUCAAAGUUAAAGUGAGUUUAUAUUGAUUUAGUCUCAUGUUUCUUCUGCCUGAAAACCCGAUCUGGAGGAUCCCAUUCUUAUUACAACAUGUAAAGGAGUGUUGUCUAAUGUUGGCAUGUUCCUAGGUUCUGUCCAUGGAUUCUGUUUGCAGACAUGGCUAACUUCUUGUCCAACAGAUAAGUUUUAAAGUCUUUCAACUUUAUGUUGUAAAAUAACAUUUUUAUUAUUCAAUUCAUGAGUUUUCCUUCUGUAACACAUCCUUCUCAUUAGCUGGAAGUGCAAAUUUUUUAGGCUUUUCCUUAUGGCCUCUUUUUCUUCUCUAAAUAAAAUGGCAUUUUGUUUCCCUCCUGUGAGGUACAACGUUUAUGUUCAAACUUUCUGUUAGUUAAGUUGGUUGUCUUUGAUAUAGGGAACUUCCAGUUGAACUGAUUUGUAAUUCGAGUAUAUGAGAUUACCAACUGUAUUGGGAAUUGAUGCCAAAUUAAUUAUGUCAUCAGGUUUUUCAAUCAGCGUUCAUCAUUUAUUUCUAUUAACAGUUAAUAGCACAGCUUGUCUUCUCAGCUUCAUUGAUUCCUCUAAAAAAUAAUCUUGUAAAGACAAUUUUUUUUUUUUUUUUUGGCGUGGUAAAUGCUAGAUAGUUUGUGGUCUGAAUGAUACUAAUAAUUGCCCAAAUUGCCAUGUAACAAGGAGUGUUGCAUAGUGAUGUCAUGCUCACAGGUACCACUCAUCAACAUGGCCAACGCUUUCGAUGCAGUCAUUAUUAUGGAAAUUCAAGAGUUCUCCUCCUAAGAGGUCUCUCUCUCGUUCUCUUAAUUUCCUUAUUCUGUUUUGGAAGUAAUGUAAUGGGAAAAUAGCAUUUAAUUUCCUUGUGUGUGACAUUUUCUUCUAUAAAUGCUAUAAAAUAUCUUUUUUUUUCAUCAUUGAUAUGUAUUACACAAUCAGAAGACUACUCGUAUUUAUAUGAAACAUCUACUUUAUGGCACAGUUCAGAUUUUUAUCCUUAUAAAUAUUGGAGGGAUAUCUUUAUGUUUCUUCUGUGAUAACGUUUCUGCGUGCUGCAACCUUUUUAUUAGAUUGAUAGAAUGUGAAUACAAGGAAAUUCUGUUUGAUAAUCUCGGCAAACCAGGAUUAAUAUGAAAUGGAGCGUCAUCAACAAAUACUUAGCAUAUUGCUGACUAUGAUUUGUUCUCCUCCCCUCAUUCUUUUUGUGAGUAGAAUUGGAUUGUGAAACUUGUUAUGUCAGCACAAGUGUUCUUACAAGUUGACGUAAAAUACACUGACUUGAAAUAAUGGCAUGGUAAUUGGUAUAGAUAAGCUAGCAUGAGUAUAUUUUGUCACCAAUUUCGCCAACCGCGUCUGGGUGUGGAAAUUAUAUUGCAUUUCUAAUGUCAUUUGAAAGAAAAACUUGCAAAAUUUGUAAUUUGUUAAAUCUGAACCGUGGUUCACAUCUACUCUUCCCGAACUUGAGUCAUAUGAUUCAAUUUUUUAGUGGGCAUGGCGAGAUAGAUUUCUACCAAGCCCAACCCAUUUAUCUACCCUUUUGUAAUUUUCUAUCAUGCAUAUAUUUAUAUUUUUGUAUAGUUAAUAUCUAAUUAUUUAUGUAUUUUUAUCGAAUAACUACUAAUUAUAUUUUUCUAAAAAAUCGGCAUGAAAAGUUCAACUUAAUAUUGAAUUAAAUUUUGAUAAGUAUAUGUCAAAUGUUUGGAAUUCUUUUUCUAGUCUUCAUGAUUGAUUAAUUGGAAAAUAAAUGUGUAUGUAUUAAAAUGGUAUUGGAUAAACAUGCCCCUAUCACCCAAGUUUUCCUUUGGAUAAUUUCCUAACUUGCAAGUUGAUAUCGAUGUUUAAAAAGAACCAAAAAAAAAAAAAAAAAAAUACAUUGAAAUCUUUAUAAAUUACUUCUUGACCUAAUAGUUGACACUUUCUCACCUUAUUCUUGAGGUUGAAGGUUUGAAUUUUCUUAUGUGGAUUUUAGGUGAACUACAGAAAAACAGCUUAUAUGAGACAUUUUCAAAAUAAGUAUGAAUGUGGUACUUAUUCAUCAGAUGGACAUAUUAAUGACGUGAUAAAUUCGUGUUAUGUAAAUUUUCCAGACUGUAUAUUUAUAUUAUAAUAUUAAAUAAAUAAAUAAGAAGAAAGAAAGGAAAAUGCAGCUUCCAAAUUUUUUCAUAGAUUGGCUAUAUGCACAAACAGCAAAUCAAAACAAAAAGAAAGGAUGUGACAUGACCUUACUUCCUGUUAUCCCAGUUAUGGAAUUCAAGUCAAUCUUUGAAGUAAUGCACUUUUAUUACUCUAUGACAGAGACAGGUCCAAGUCUUUCUUCCAAAUUCAUAAUCUUCAACAUUUCUCCAACCAAUCAAGCAAGGCUAGAGAUAGGUAACAUACAUUUUGAUGUACAUUUGGCUUUUGUAUCAUCUACUUCACUAGUGAUCCAUUAAAUGGAUCCACCAUUAACGUAAAUGCUAGUUUAACUAUUGACAGUGGAGCAAGUAUGUAUGUGGUCCCUACGCACAAGCAUACACGCCCAUUAAAGCAUUUACUCUCCUCAUCAUUGGAUAUGAAUUUUGUGAACUAUAUAUCUUUUUGGGGGUUUCAUUUAUCUUUCCGGUCUCUUAUGAUCAUUCACGGCUCCUGCUGCUGCUUCUUAUUGGCUCUUUGACAUCCUCUGUCUUGUUCUUGCUGUGUGUGUCAGCCACUAGCAACUGCUUCAAGCAAUGUGAGUUUGUUGCGUGAGCUUCCGUUUUGGUUAUUUUCAAUUAUUAUUUUUGUUGAUGGGUUUGUGAUUUUGUGCUGUAUUAUUACAGGAUUACACUGUUUAUAUGGAAGAGAGAAGAUAUGAUGAGCCUUAGCUGGUUCAGGAUUCGGACCAUCAGAUUCUUUCGGAUAUUCUUGGAAGGUUUAUAUUUCAAUCUCUUUAGCCGAAUUUACCUAUUAUAUUUUUAUCAUAUAAACGCUAUGCAAAAUGUUUAUGUUAAUGUAUGGCGAAAAUUGAAAAAUGGAAAAUAAAAAUAUUUGUGCUGCUUUCACUAUUUAUCUAUGUUAAUCUGUUUGAUAAAAUGAAGUGGAUGUCAUUAUUUCCAUGCAUCAGUAAUUACAAUCCAUAUUAUGCUCUUGCUAGUCUGUGCUCCAUUUGAACAUCGCAACGAACUUAUUUACUUACAUAUAUUUUGUGCUUUCUGGUUGGAAAUUGGAAGUUUUAACCAAUUUCUGAUCAGAAACAGCCCUUUUGAGUGCUAUGGCAGAAACCGCAGACGCGGCCUAACCUUCAUUUUUAAUUUGUAUCAAUUGGUAGUUUUUUAUAACUCUCUCUUUUCCCCUCUAUCAAUAAUGAAUGGUAUUCGCUAGAGAAACCGUAAGGGGACUAAUCAUUGUGAAAAGCACUAGGUGAUAACUAGCAGUUUCAAUUUGACAGCAAAGAAGCUGCUAAGGAAUCAAUUCUCUGUACAGCCACAAGCAUGGUUUUUCUGGAUUUGCCGCAGUCUUAACAGUCUCAAGCCAAGUUAACUGCAGGUGUUAUAAUGUUGGUGAAUGAAAUCUGUUUUAGCUGUCCAAAUUUGUUUUAUUAACCAAUAUUUUCUGUUGAUACGUUUUGUAUGAUGCAUUUGUGCAGAUCACCCUGCCGUGGUCUGUAUUGUACCAAAUAGGACACUCAGUUUGCACACAACCAAAAUGUUGUGAAUGAAAUUCCUUCAAAAGGCCAUUCAGGCGCUGGAAGUUAUUUUCAGAUUCAUGGAAAUAACUAUAAUACUGGUGGCAUUUAGUUUCCAAGUGAUCUUGGUAGUUCAAUAAGUUCUAGUUCUACACUUGUUUCCAAAGGUUUUGGUUACAUGAUGGUCUGCCCGUUGAAUUACAAACUUGUGAUGAUUUGUACAAGAGGAAAAAAUGUAUUGGUUGGAAUUUUUGUUUCAUAUGAUAUAACUCUGUGAAACAGCUUUACAUUUUGUGUUCAAGUUGAACAACAUACAAUUUGAACGAAGAUUAUUCAAUCAAAUUGAAGAUUUCUGUUUGAAUAUUUUGAAUGACAAAAUUAAAUUUACUUUCAUGCAGAUGCAGUAGCAUUUAAUCAAGUUCCUUGUGCUGUUGAAACAAAAAUAUAACAUCCUUGCUUGCAUUUCAACAUGAUAUGAUGCUACUCUUUUACUGUUAACCAACACACAUACAUCAUGUAGGCCUAAUGGCAAAUGUUGUAAUAUAUAACAUCAUGAUCCAUGGGCUUUGUAAUGAUGGGCAAAUGGACAAGGCAUCAUGAUCCCCCCCCCCCUCCUUUUUUGCUAUGGAUUGUAUUUCUUUUUUUUUCUACUUUUACUUGCGUUGACAAUUUGAGCUUGCUGUCUUGUGGUCUUAGAACCUGCUAAAGUAAGCGUGUAAGCGACAGUGAAGAAGGGGAAGGGUUUACUCGUCAUUUUCUUUUUGAAAGCAAUGCGUUUUAUGCGGUGAUAUUUUUUUUAUCUACGUUGUGAAAAAAUUUGACUGAUUUUGAAGAUCCUUAAAGAUCGUCCAUCUUGGUUCUGGCAUUGUUGCAGCCUUGAAGUUUGCAAAAUGAUUCCUGCUGGAUAAAUUGAACAGCUGCCUCUUUGAUGGAUUAUGUAAAUCUGGCAGACUUGAGUUUGCAUGUGAAUUGUUUCGUAGUUUGCCUCGUCGAGUCCUCGUGGCAGAUGCUGUAACAUAUAACAUCAUGAUCCAUGGGCAUUGUGACGACGGCCGAAUGGAUAAGGCACAUGAUUUAUUUCUUGAAAUGGAAGAAAAUGCUGUGGCACCCAAUGUGAUCACAUUUGGUACGUUUAUCCAUGGUUUUAGCCAAAUCAAUGAGCCAUCAAAAGUUAUUGACCUUCUUCACAAGAUGAGGGAGAAAAAAGUAAUGCCAGAUGCAUCUAUAGUUUCAAUCGUUGUGGACUUACUUGUAAAGAAUGAAAUUAGUCUGAACUCACUUCCGUCAUUUCCUGUCCAAGAGCGACAGGGGGAAGUUGAUGAGUGAAAUGUCAAGUUGUAGCAGCAUGUGCUUUCAGCCCAAAAUCCUGAUCCGCAGCAUCUCAUUCAUGUUACAAAAUGACAUGUUGGCUGGUGACAGCAUGUUCUCUCCGGUGCUGUUAAUGGAUUCUGAUUGUUCUUGUGAUCUGGAGAGUUUCAUUCAUAUUACAGAUCCUUAUCAGGACGAGCUAGCAUAUGUGAUCACCAACUGUACAUGGUUGUUGAUGCCAAAUUAAAUUAUGGUAUCAUGUUUUUCAACUUGUUAUUUAAUAUAGUGCUUCCAUUGAACGGCCACAAGAAACUGUAGAAUCACCGUGUCUUGUUUAGAAGCUAAUGAAUUAGUUGCACCUUGUCACUUUAUUGAGACUUGAUUGUCAUUUGUGCUUUGAAUUUACAGCAUAUUUUAUCCUUGCUGUACUCUUUGCAUAAUCACUUUUGAGGGCUGCUAGUAUGUAUAAUUGAAAAACCUUAUAUAAAUUGUAAGCAUUUUUAUUUAACUUGUUGUAAACGUCCAGUAUAUGUCUCUCCUGUGAAAUGAUUCAUUCUCCAUGCUGCUAGGGCCUAGGCUUAUGACUCUCUGAAAUGAUUUACCCUCACCUGCGCACAGACAUUUAUCACAUUCGAGAAAUCUUCAAACAAUGUGAAAAAAAUGCCUCAAACACGACAUAAACUUAGUUGUUUACAUGAAAAGUGGCAGAAACUUGGUGAAAUUACCGAUUAAACUUCCAAAUAACAUUUCAAAUGGUAUUGUGAAAAAUUUCACUCUUUUGGUAAUAAAAAAGAACCUUAUUUCUAGUUCUCUAUUAACAAUCUUACCACUAAGUUCUCUCUUAAGUAAACACAUAUAUAUGUUAAUUUAUUGUUAAUAUAAACAAAACUAAAUAUUUAUAACUUAAAAGAUAAGUGUUGAAUAGAGGCGUUCUCACAGGGAAAAAAAAAAAGUAUUUAAAAAUAGUGGUGAUAUCAUAAUUUUUUAUAUUGAUACGAGAAUAUCACACUAAAUUUUUAUACCAUGUAUUGGCAAGACAAAGUUUCUUGAAACUGACAAACUUUUCUCUAUGAAGAUUGAAGACAAUAUGAUAAGAUAAAAUUUAUCAAAAGCAUAUAUGCUUGCCAGGGCUGGACCUUUGAUUUUUAGUCCUCGCCUUUCGUUCUUGUUUCAUAUUCUUCUGCUAACAAAUCUUGAUCAGGAUGAGUCUCCUUUUUUCUUUAAAAAAAACCCACACGUAAAGUCUUGGCCAUAAGCCUCAAGACCUAUUGGCUGUUGCAGUGGUGAGUUCACUCUCAGGAAUCAAAUCUUUCAAAUUCAAGCGAAUUUGAAGAAGCUCGAAUUUGAAGAAAUUUCAAAUGCCUCGUGCAGGCCUAAUGCCAAAUGUUGUAACAUAUAACAUCACGAUUCAUGGGCUUUGUAACGAUGGGCAAAUGGAUGAGGUACAUGAUAUAUUCACGCUUCUGUCUAUAACACAUUAAUGGAUGGGUUUUGCUCGACGGGUAGAGUUAACCAUGCGGAGGAACUAUUUGGUUCUGCCAUUGUUGCAGCCUUGAAGUUUGCUAAACGUUUCCUGCUGGAUAGAUUGAAAAAGUUUGUCUGGAUGGCCUGGUUUUGAAUUGAUUUUAAUAGAAAACGAGCUUCAAGCAUGUGCUCCAACUACUCUGGCAUGAGGUAAUACUAUAAUUUAUUUAUUUUUAAUGAGUGAGGCUAUAAAUCCUGAAUUCCAACUUGACAUGGCAUUAAUCUGGUGAGUGGCAGAAUAUUAAUUAAAACAAAAUCAUUUUCAACUUAACUUUCACAUCAAACAGAGGGGCUAAUAUGCUUUCCGGAUUAUGAUCCGCUGGCAAUCGGAAAGCCAAAAAAUUAAUUAUUCCAUUAUUAAUUCCAAUAGUAUCGCUGUAUCAGCUAAAAAGCACAAGAUUAAAUUGAUUUACGCACUUGCACCAUUUAUUUAAGCAUACUGUUGGUUUAGCGUUUGCUUAAAUUUGAAAGUAGAGUGUUUCCAUGCCACAGUGCCAUGACAUUGGUGAUUGGCCAACAGUUUUUUUUUUUUUUUUUUUUGUGUAAUCUUUUUUGGUUGCAGUAAUAAAAUGUUAAUCCUUUCUUCUCAUGAAUGUUUUCUUGAACUGAAAUGUUAAUCAUUUCUUCAUGUUGAGGCAUUAAACUACUACAGACCUAGGGUGGCAAUAUAUGGAAGUAAAUGGUCGUUUAGUAGGACCCUUUAAUUAGGGUAUUAGCUGCUCAAUUUGGAGAUCUCAUGGACCAACAAUUUAUCUGGAAUGUCACAUUCACAUAUUUGAUUGAAAAAGGAAUUAAGGAAUUUCAGGUGGCCCGGAAACGCAACCAACUAUACCCGACAAUGGCAGAAGACAUUAUAGAUUAUCGAUUAUUGAGUUAAAUAUGAAUGGUGGGAUUUCAGGUGGCCUAAAAAGUUAAACAUGAAUGUUCUACAUAAGGUUAUCUGUAACUUGAAGUUCAACAAAAAGUUUUAAAACUAGAUAUUACAAUGGUGGGAUUUUGCCUUUUAUCUCUUGUUUCUCUUCCCUUAAUCGUUUCUUGGCAUGUUUUAUCAGCUCUUCCUUUGGGUCAUUUUGUAGGACGGGUUACACCAGCUAAGCACAUGGAAAGGUUAUGUAGACUGGACUCUGGAGGAAUAAACCUGCCCUGAGAGGCCGUCAUGGUGGCAUGCUUUGCUGCUUGUUUUGUCUUGGGUCGGUCUAUUUUUCCUAUUACUAAGGCACAUUUGCACCGUUAUGUCUUGCGAACGAUUAAACAUUUACACUUUAUAGUAAAAAAAAUUACAUAUUAAGAGAAAUAUUAUAUUUGCAUGCUGAUAUGAAUUAGCACUAGAAACAUGAGGCUUGCUAAUUAGAAUUGUUAUAUUGUCAAACUCAGCUGUGGAGGUACUGGAGAAUCCAGUAUAUCUGGCCAAUGCAAGCAACCUUGUGCUGUAUCUUUCAAAGUUUAUGCGUUUUUCACCAUCCAGCUCUGCAAACAUAGUUACCAAUUUCAUGGGUUCCUCUUUGCUCUACUUGGUGGCUUUUUUACGGUUGCUUUCUUCAACACCGACAGCAGCUAUGUCAUAAGUGAGCAAUAGAAUUCAUGGUAAGUUUUUUGUUAGGAUCAAACUUUUUAACUUGUUAAAUUUUUGUAAUUUCUUACUAAUAAGGCAGAGUUGCCUAUUUUUAUCCGAUUAUCAUGCCUCAUACAAUUUUCUUGGGAUUUGCUUCGAUGCCUCUGUGACUCACCAUGAAACUCAAAAACUUUCUAAAACUAGCUCCAAAUACACAUUUCUUUGGAUUAAACUUCAUUUGGUACUCCCUCAGCAAACCAAAUGUUUCUUUCAAAUGCUGCACGUGGUCACUCGAGUUGUGAGACUUUGUGAUAAUGCCAUCCUUAUAUGCCUCCAUUAUGUUCCCAAUCAGCAGCUUGAAGAUCUUAUUCACGAAUCUCUAGUAUGUUGCUCAAACAUUUUUCAAGCCAAAGGACACGACAUUAUAACAAUACAGCCCUUGGUUAGUAACAAAAGAAGUAUGCUCCUCAUCCUGCUCGAACAUCGGUACAUGGUUGUAAUCCAAAAAGGCAUCUACAAAGCUGAGAAGUCCAUGUCUAGUUGUGGAAUCGACCAACUGAGCUAUUUUAGGCAAUGGAAAAAUAUCUUUGAGGCAUACCUUAUUGAGGUUCAUGAAAUCCAUGCACAUUCUCCACCUCCUGUUCACUUUCUUCACCUACAUCACGUUCGAAAGCCGCUACGAGUUGUUUACCUCCUUGAUGAAACCUGCAUGUAAAAUUUUAUCCACUUCACUACUAAUGCCGUCAUACCUAUCCUAGUUAAAGCAUCUUCUGUUUUGUUUCAUCGGUCUCGCAUCUCUGCUCACUGCUAACUUGUGACAAGCCGCCUUGGCAUCGACCCCUGGCAUAUCUUUGUCCUGCAAGCCAAACACAUUAAAAUGUGGUUGCAACAACUCCACCAGCUUUGCUUCCAAAUCUUCCCCAUGGGUGGCUUUAAGUAUAGGCGAACAAGGCCGUCGCCUAAGCUCUCAUAUUUUAAGAAGACCUCAUUUUUUAAGUAUUUCCUUAAUAAUUCUCUAAUUAAUAAAAUAUUUUAAUAUAUAUUUUAAGAAAUUAAAAAGUUUAUUAGAUAUCUCUCUAUUCUUAAUUAUUCUAUAAUUAAGAAUUAUUUUUUAUAAAAAAAUCUAUAUUUGGGAACCUUAAUUUUAAAGAAAUAAUUAAUACUAUUCUUUAACCAUUAGUUCAUUCCUUUUCAAUUAUUCAAUGUUAGCAUAUUUGACUUUUAAUAUUUCUUUUAAUUUCUAUUAAAAACCUCAUAAUCUCAAGAAUUAGUAAAUGAAAAAAAUUUAUUGUUCGCUUCUCUACAAAUAAAAUUUUUAUAUUCGUUGGUUCAUUUAAAAUAAUUAGUUUCUUAAAAUAUAAAGUCCAUUUUUAUUUUUGAACAUCAAUUCAUCAUUUUAAAAUUUUUAUAUUCUAUCUUUCUAAAUAUUCUAUUUGAAAAUAAAAUUGUUUUUAUUUAUUUGUUUGUUUAUUUUUUAACGGUUUUAAUGGAAUAAAAAAAUUAUCUUCUUGACUAUUUUUUAGGUUUUAUUUUUUAAAUUUUUGAUUUUUUUAUUAUUGUUGAAAUUCAAGAAUUAAAGAUGGAAUAAAUUUUGAUCCUUUGUAUAUAUCUUUGAGUAUUAAAAUUACAAAACAAUAGAGGUCUCAUAAACAAAUUUCGCCUAAGGCCUCUCAAACUCUAAAGCUGGUCCUGAUCUUCCCCCUAGGGGUAGCCAUAAAUUUUGGGUUCGAUUUAGUUUAACCUUUAAAAUCCGAACAUGUUUAAACUUAGAACCUAUUCGUUUUUAAUUGUUUUGUCAAACUUUUAGGAGAUUAAAGGGGUGUGAAAGGACAUAAGAAGUCUUGUUAUGGCUUGGCCCUUUAUAAUAGAUAUUGGUGCACAUGCUCUUUUCUUCUAUAUUUUUAGAGAAAGAAAAUUAGUAUAUGAUCUGUUUGAAGUCGCCUGGAAUUUCAAAAAUCCUAUGCUUCAAUAUAUUAUUAAUCAAAUCCCCUUAUAUCUUGAUAAAAUCUUUUUUACUCUUUCAUUCGCAAGGAGCUGGAUGAUGGCUGGAAAUAAGGAAAUUCCUUUUUUUUUGUUUCACCCCAAUUGUUCUUGUAUUUGUAUAUUGCCAUAUAUCAUAAAAUACAAAUUUAUGUAUGUCAAAAUGAAAUCGAUCUUAAAAAAAGAAAAAAAAGAUCUCGCGUUACUGCCGCUUACACACCCCCAUGCCACAGCUGCUAUUAAUUCCGUUUGGCGCACCAGCAUUACAGCUUCUAGCUGUUCUUUCUUCCUUGAGUUGAUUUGGUUCCUCGUUCUAGGCUUCAAGUUAAUGUCGUCUUCAGCCAUUCUAGAGUCGUUUACUUUUGAUCUAGCUGUUGCUGUCUCUACCUCCUUCUUCAUUAAUUGCCAUCAGCCGCAUAAAGGAAGGAUGUGAGUUUAUGUUUACGAUUCCUAAUGGUGAUGAAUAAGACAUGGUGUAAGAGAUGUUGUUAACUGAAUUUAGUAUGCUUUCUAGGAUCAUAUGCAAUACAUAUGUAUUUCUUGUAUAAUUGUUGUUUGUAUAUUGUAUUUCAAUCGGGCAUGGCUAUCUUUGUCUUACUCUUGUACAUUUCUAUUACUUUAGAUAACUAUUAAGGUGUAGAUGGCUUUCACGGAUAAAUAAUAAGCAAUUUUAGGAGCUUUUCGUGUAAAAAUAUAGAACCUAUAUUGUUGAAAUGUCGAGUAUACUUAGUAGUUGAUAUUUGUUUAUAUUUUUACAUUAAUCUGGGAUGGGAUUUGAACUUUAUAACCGAAAUUGAAUCUAAACCAAAAUUAAGAUAAGAAUAUUCAAACUAAAUCGAUCCAAAAUGCAAACCUAAACCAAAUUGAGCUAAAUUAAAUUUGAUUUAGUUUGGUUUGGGUUUACUCUCUAAACCUGAUUGGAUUGACUUCUCCAACCCAAUUAAGUUUUAGCCCAAAUUGAAACCUAAACAACCUGAAUCAAAACCCGAUUUGCCCACCCUUAUGAUACGAACCCAUCCAAAAACUAACGCAACCCUAAUCAAUUUAAUCUCUAAGAUUAAAUAGAAGCACUACCCAAUGUUCAAUGAAAGCAUGAACCUUAGUAUGUGAGGAUGCUACAAUCAAUUAUGGAUGAUUUGAUUAUAAGUUAAGAGUUUGAAUGACACAGAAAUUUGAUAAAUUCAAAUAGUUUGUUUAAGAAUAAAAAAGAAUUAACUCUCUCACUAAUUGCAUCAAAAUUUAUUUGUCUUUGUUUAUUAGAUGCGAGUACAUUAUAUAGGAUUGGUUACAAAAAUUUUUAGAAAUAAAUCCUAAACCGAAAUCAAAUCAGAAUCCUAAUCUAAUGCAAAUAAGAAAAGAAUUUUAGUCAAAUCAUAAUCCUAAUCAAAGCAAGUAGGAAAGAAUCUAAAUCGAGUCAAAAUUAUAAUCUAAGUAAAUAGGAAAGAAUCUAAAUAAAAUCAUAAUCCUAAUCGGUUUAAAUAAAUUACAUCAAUUAAAAUAAAAACUCAACAAUUAAAAGAGAAAUAACUUCUUGUUUCUCCACCAGCAUCAUCCAGAAACGGGAAAGUAUUCAAAAAGAAAAGUAGCAUAUUUUUCAAAUGGAAAAGUAUAUGAAAAAGAAAAAUAAGAUAUUUUCUCGCCGUAAUGUGCAAGCCAACUUCCUAUUUUAUGGAAGUGAUUAUUUGGAAACUUUAAGAGCCGUAAUCAUGUAUUUAUCACGUGCAAUUCCUUCAAUAGGCCUCUAUAAAUUUGAUCGAGCCUCAAUUACUUGAAUAAACCCAUUAAACGCUUCUUUAAAUUUGUUUGUUCGAGCUCUAGUGACAGGUCCAACGAUAACUUGAAUAGGAUUUGAAUAUAUCUCAUCCCACGUGCUUGUGAUAGUUUUGUCCUCAAUCUAAUCAUUUUACUUCCCUAAUCUCGACCCAAUCUUUAAAAUUUUUUCAUGCUAGCUUGACUUUACUAUGACUGCCUUGAGAUUUUCAACUGGUUUUUAUCUCUCUUUCUUGAAAUCUCUUCAAGUGUCAAGUUAUCUACGUGGCUUCUUUAGUCGCGGACACAUAAUCGCACCUAACAAUUCUCUAGUCACCCUUUACAACUUUUGCCACACUAUUUACUCAUUCUUUGAGUGCCAUGUAAUGGUUAGACAUCAUGGACUUGCUAAUCCUCAUAAAGGGUCUUCCAAAAAUUAUUUGAUAUGGGCUGUCUUCCUCGACUAUUAUAAAAAAAACUGGCAUGAUGGUCUUUUCAAAUGGUCCAGAGCCGAUCGUUACUAGCAGCUCUAGGCAUUAAUUUUCCUCUUCUAUAUCCUUUCAAAGAACUGUUGGUGUGCUUGUUGGGUAAAAAUUCAAAUACUAUGGGUGUCAAUGUGUAAGUAUACACAACAAGUAAUAUAAUGAUAAAUAUACAAGAUCAUCUCCACAGGGGUUGAUGUUACGAAAAUUACUACAGCAAGCUUAACAAUUUUGGUUGAAGUGAAAGUAGAUUGAUCAAUUAAACAAAUAAACUACCUAAUAAAAUGCAAUAAGUAAAUAUGCAGAAAAGCAAACUCUCAGGUCAAACACAAAAAUAAAAUCAAUAGGAAUGAAGUAGUUGAGUGACUAAACUCUUUUAAUGGAAUUGACUAUUUCUUGCAAAUUUCGAUUCAGUUGCUGCAGCAUCUGCUACAGUACUAGGCAUAAUCCUCAUGCAUCAUCAGCUGUCGCAUGUUGGAUGUCUUAUAUCUAUAUGCAACCUAACAAUGACCAAUUGUUAUGCCAACAUAAUAUAUAUCAUUACACAUUUAGGUUCUAUUUACCCUAUAAGGUGAAUCCCUAUAUCUAGUUCAUCACUAAUUUUAGAUUAAGUAUGACCUUUUUUGGAAUCAAGUUGAACUCAAUCUAGGAACCCAAUCUAAAACUAAAUAUUAUUCUAAUAUGUUCCACUAAGAUAAGCCAUUUUGUGGCUCUUUCCUAGCUUGUACCAUUAAAUGGGUAGUCAGCUAAAAUAAUGACUUUAAAUAAAUACUAUCACAACAAAAUGUUAUAGCAAACAUGCAGCCAGGGACGUAGCCAGGAUUUUGAUCGAGUUGGGGCACAUUUAAAAUAAAAAAUGACUUGAAUGCGCGAUUGCUCGUGUGGUAAGUGUGGGCCCCACAAACUCCAAAUGGGAGCUUGCCACAUGUACAAUCGUGCUCCUUAUAGAGUGUUUCUGACUGCAUCUAAUUAAAAUGCUAUUAAAAUAUAAUACACUUCUAAAAAUUUAGAUGGAAAUAUAUAACAUUAUGUUGAGUGUUAGAAAAUGGAUAUUUAUAAAGGAGAAAAUCGUCAUUUUACAUUUCAAGUCUUACUAACAACCCUUACUUUUAUGUAUUUAAGCUUCUUGUAAUUUAAUUAUGUGUGUUUGAUUUUAAUUAAGUAUUUUAUGUAUUUUAGGGGCAUCAUAGUCAAUUCACAAUAAAUGAGAGAUCAAACGAUAAAACGGACAUCACUUUUGAACUCAGGACGGUCGAAAACCUUAAGAGAAGCAUAAAAGGAAAAAUGGCACUGUUCACAUGUACGGUACUAUUCAUAUGUACGGUACUGUCUACGUUACUGUUCACGACACUGUUCAUAUAGACGGAUCGAUGACGUGGCAUUGACCGAUGAUGUGGCAUUCACUGAUGAGGUGUCAUGAUCCUGUUGGACUAAAAUUCUUAUGUACUGUUGAUGGUGACGUGGCAGCAUAUUAGUGGACUAAAAAACGUGUGUACGGUACAUGCAACACAUGGGAAUAUUUUCAACCAAACCGCAUUACUGUUCAAACCGUGUCACUGUUCAAACCGCGUGGUCAAACCGUGUUACUGUUCAAACUGCGUACUGUUCACUGAUGACGUGGCACAAUCCUGAGCAUCCAAACUGUUUUCAAUCCGAUGGCCAUGAUUUACUCAAUGUAUCUAUAAAAAUGGGACUUCUCCCCCCGAACGCAUGCGAUUGCUCAUGAGGAAUAACAUACCUGCUGAUAUCUUUUGGUUAAUCGAGGUGAAAGUACGAUUGGCAGGUGAGUUACCUCCAAAAUUUAUUGCAUACAUGCCUGGUUGUGGUAAAGAAAAUUAUGCAAGAAAACGAUGAGCUCGAAGAAUUUCUGUUGCUUGUCAUAAGUAUGCCAGAAUGAGUUGCGAUAAAAAUCCAUAUUCUUUAGGAAUGGCGUCUGAUAACAGGGAAUAUAAGAUUCAAUUCAUUAGGGAUGACUUGAAUAAGGAGUCAUUGGAUGAUAUCCUUUUAUCUCUUGAAACGCAUCCCAUUAGAUAUGUGCAAGGAACGAUUAUUCAGUUAUGACCAUUAUUCCAGAAAGAGCAUGCACGAUAUAGUCUCGGGAAUCUGACUAUAAACGACCAUGUUUGCCAGUUUAUAAAAAAAUUGGAUGGGAAGCCUAUCCUAGACCCAUAAAGGGCGUUCAAGCCGUUUCUGGACGUAAAACCAGAGGAAGAUGUGAGCCACAGUCGCAACUACCUGUAAAUAUCCUUUUACUUUACUGUUAUUUUAUUUUACUGUUGUUUUAUUGUUUGUAUUAUUGUCUUUAAUAAUUUUAUUGUUGUUUGCUUUUUCCUUUUUACUGUUUCCUUUUUUACUCGCGAACCAUGUGCUUUACGCGUUAUUUGACACUGACAUACUACCUCAUACACAGCUGUGACCCACUGUCCCCAAGAUUCUUAAAUAUGAAUUUUUGUCAAGCACUCACAAAUUAUUUUUGAGAAGUAUCCCAAUGACAGCUACUCCACAUAGACAAUUUAAGAACAUUUGUGUGCUUUCUGGAUUUAACUAUGGCAAACCUAAAGAGUUCGUUGAGGCAGCCAUAGAUCUUGGUCGAAGCAUAGCAGAGAGAAAAUUACACUUGGUGUAUAGAGGAGGUAACUGAGGGUUAUUAAAAUUGGUCUCAAAAGCUGCUUUUGUCAGAGGAAGCCAAGUGCUAGGCAUCAUCCCAAGCGUCCUAAAACCUUUGGGCAGUUUGUCUGACUCAUCGACUGGAGAAGAGUUAGUCGACUCAGGUAUGCAAGCAAGAAUAACUGAAAUGCUUAAUCAUGCUGAUGUUUUUAUUUUCCUUCCAGGAGAUCUUACAACACUAGAGGCACUUAUCACACUAGCAUCUUGGGCCCAUCUGCACAUUCACCAGAAACCCAUCGGUUUGCUAAAUGUCAAUAACUUUUAUGAUGGCUUUAUCGCAUUUCUUAACCAUGCAAUAAAAAAAUAUUUCAUUCCUUCAAAUGCGAAAAAACUUUUUAUUUGUGCUCACACUGCUACUUGAUCUGUUACAAGCUCAUAGACCGGAGCCAAACCCCUGGACCUUUGUGUUGGAGCGUCCAAAUAAUGAUGGUAACAGUAGCAGCAGUAAGAAGUACAAAUUAGAUUUAACUCUCCGCUUGUAAAUAUUUUCUUUUGUGUUGCACCACUCAGGUGAUGCCUUCUACACUCUACUUCUUUCCUUUAAAACAUUGAGGACAAUGUUUCAUUCUGGUUGGGGAGAGGGAAUAGUCGACAAUUGUGGAAUCUUGGUUAAGUUUUUACUGAUUUUUUGUUGUAGAAACUAACUGUUGCUAACUUUUUAUGUUGAAGAUGGCUGAAUAUGGAGUGUAGUGACUCUAGAAACGCAUCUUCAUUGUUUGAAAAAAAUUAAAAAAAAAAAUCAGACAUUUUCUUUUUCUUUAUUAAGUUUUGAUGUUCAUUUUUCUUCUUCUUUUUAAUUUCUCCUCUAUAAAUAUACAUUUUCAAAUUGUUGAGUCGAAGAUGGCUGAAUAUGGAGUGUAGUGCCUCUAGAAACGCAUCUUCUUAGUAAAAAAAAAAAUUUCUUUUUCUAUCAUAUUAAGUGUAACUUUUCUAAUUAGUUUUUAUACAUCCUUUUCACAUUUCUGCAUGCAUAUUUUCCUUUCAUGUUUAGGAUAGGUUGGGGGGUAUAACGUUGUUUAAAAAAAAACAAAAACAAAAAAAAAAAUUUGUGUGAUUUGUUUUAAUAUUGGAUGACAUGAUUAAUUUCAUAUUUUAGUAUUUGUAUUAUCUUUGGUCUUAAGUGAUGUUACACUAUGUUUGCUACUCUACAUGUUGAUGUCGGAGAUAAAUAUGAGUUGCUUGAAGGAAUGAACAUGUCAUAAUAAGUACCAAGUGAGUUUUUGAGCCUAUCAUUUUUCUUGGAGAGUAACCCUUUCCCACAUUUUUUAUACAGCUUAACAGUUUAUUAUUUUAUACACGAUCUCUAGAUUUCUUUUGAGUUAACCCUUAAAACAAAAUUUGUAAAAAAAAGAAGAAAAAAAUGUGUGUUGCUACAUUUGGAGGUCCAUCUAACUAGUAGAUAUGGAAGAUUAUUUAGAGCCCUAAAAGACGGUGGAAAGGUCAUCUUUGAUCCGUUUGAGUCUUUCUACCCAUCCCUUUUAUGAAAUAUCUAUUGUUAACCCUUUUGAGCCUUUUAAAAAAAAAUUAAAAAAAAAAAACCUUUUCUUUGUCAACUUAUCAUCUUGACCCACUCUGAUUUGGAGUAUUAUCCAAUAUCUUACAAGUUCCAUCACCUAUUUAUGUUUGAGAAAAAUGUAAAUAAAUAUUUUGUACAGUGAAGUUAUGCCCAACAAAAGCAAAAACAAAAAAACAAAAAAUUGUUAUUUAAAAAAAAAAAGAAAAAAAUAACAAUAAAAGGUGAAAUCCACCUUACAACUUCAAAAAAAAAAGUUCUCUAUAGUUUUCUCAAACAUACACUUUGUUUUCCUUAUUUCCCUUCUUUGUUAGUCAUGUCCCUAGCCUACGUUACGUCCUAAUAAAAAUCCUUCUUGAUUUUAGGGAACUAUAGUCUGAAGUAAAUUGGGUUGACUACCAUUUUUGUUUGACUUGAGAUCGUAUUAUUUCUAAACUGAGGGCAUAUUUCUUUCAUCUUGGUGAGAGCAUGUGAUAUCACUUCUUUAUUAUUUUCUCUCAAUUAUCAUUCAUUGGAAUAACUAUUUUUAUUGGGUUUAAUUUCUUUGUAAGAGUGUCACUACUUCCAGUGAGAUUUUGGGGUUUGACAUGUCAUUCUUGAAAGUAACUGUGACAAUCUACUAAGCUGAUUCAUGUGGAUGGUUGAUGUGGGCGUGAUGUUCCUUUAGACUGGAGAUAAUGCUUAUACUUUUAUUUGAUUACUAUCAUUAGUCUGAUUAAAUAAACACGAGUGUUUAAAAAAAAAUCAUUUUGAAUUUGAAUUUUAUUUUCGCUUUAUUUGCUAGGGACUAGCAAUAAGUUGGUUGGGGGGUGUGUUGAGUAUUAGAAAAUGUAUAUUUAUAAAGGAGAAAAUAGUCAUUUUACAUUUCAAGUCUUACUAACAACCCUUACUUUUAUGUAUUUAAGAUUCUUGUAAUUUAAUUAUGUGUGUUUGAUUUUAAUUAAGUAUUUUAUGUAUUUUAGGGGCAUCAUAGUCAUUUCACAAUAAACAAGAGAUCAAACGGCAAAACGGACAUCACUUUUGAACUCAGGACGGUCGAAAACCUUAGGAGGAGCAUAAAAGGAAAAAUGGCACUGUUCACAUGUACGAUACUAUUCACAUGUACGGUACUGUCUACGUUAUUGUUCACGACACUGUUUAUAUAGACGGAUCGAUGACGUGGCAUUGACCGAUGAUGUGGCAUUCACUAAUGAGGUGUCAUGAUCAUGUUGGACUAAAAUUCUUAUGUACUGUUGAUGGUGACGUGGCAGCAUAUUAGUGGACCAAAAAACGUGUAUAUGGUACAUGCAACACAUGGGAUUAUUUUCAAUCAAACCGCGUUACUGUUCAAACCGUGUUACUGUUCAAACCGCGUGGUCAAACCGCGUACUAUUCACGCAUAUUGUUGACUGAUGACAUGGCGCAAUCUUGAGCGUUCAAACUGUUUUCAAUCCGAUGGCCAUUAUUUACUCAAUGUAUCUAUAAAAAUAGGACCUCUCCCCCCUAAUUUGGAUCUCUGAAUCCAUUUUUGGACUCUAUUUUAUGUAAUUCCUUCUCCAUCUUGUAUUUUCUACGUAUUUUAAUAAAUUCUCAUUUUGCCCCUAGUUCAAUUAUGAGUGGCUAAUUUUCUUUCAAGUUUGGGUUGAAGGUGAAGUCUCAACAUGUGUCAUGGGCUUUAUUUGGUAAAUUUAUUUUCUCUUCCCCUCUUGUUUUUGUGGAUGUUUUGACUUUUCGUUGACAAAUAAUAAUAAUCUUGUCUAGUACCGCCCUGGUUUCACCGGCUCCCUAGUAUAAGAUUAUUAUUAUUUGGCACGAUAAGCCCUUAGCACCAUAUUGAUUAGAGCGUGGUUCAUGAGGUGUGGAUUCCCCCCUCAUGAUUUAAUUGGCAUUAAUAAGGAUUAUUUAGCCCAUGAUGCAUAUUGAUACGGAUCCAGAUACUCAAGUACGUCAUUUCAAUAGAUUUUCACUUCAAUUUAUUCUUGCCAUUUCAAUUCCAAUUUUAGGAUCAUUUAAGUCACUUUCACCACAAAAUCCAACCACUUCAUACAAAAUUAAUUCUACAUAUAACUAAAAUCCACCUCCUCGUGGGAUCGACACUCGUCACCAUUAGUCUAUUCUACAAUAGAUUCGUGCGCUUGCGAGUUCAAUAAAAUUUGCACAACACAUUACAACUAUAAUAUUCAUUGCUAAUAAAUUUACUUAGUAUAAUUGGUCUCAGUGAAAACUUCUCAAUGCGAUUUUAUGAGUUGCAAAUAAUGCAUUAUCAAUAUAAGCACAAAUAUAUUUUUCAAUAUACAAGACUAGGUUAUAGCUUAAUUUGCUCUUAAAAUCUUUUAAUAAUAACAAAAAAUAUUUAUAUAUUGUAACACACAAAACAAAAUGAAUGCUAGAUAAAAUUCUAGAUUUUAAAACUAGACAAAAGAUUAAUCAAAAAAUUAAAAAUUAGAAUUGGGUAGACUUACAACUUAUGGUUCAAUGUCGAAAUACCAACUAUUUGAUUUUGCUUGAAUAAAAAACAAAACGAUUAAAGACUGGUCCAUUAACCAUUUUACUAACAUUUUGUUGUGAUUGUUUUUCAUUUUAAUAUUUGUUCUUGUGUCUUUAAUCCAGUUUCAUGAAAUGUUAAUAACUAAUUAAAUUAUUUAUAAUUAGAAAUUUAAACUAUGGACAAUAUGAAAUAUUUUAAAAUUACUAGAGUCAGUUUCAAAUUUUACAAUUCAGCUGGGGUAUUUUUCAUAAAUAACAAAUAAAAUACAUUUUUUUAGUAUAAUUAUAAAAAAAAUUUAAAAGCCAGCAGGGGCAUGUGCCCCACUCGUCCCAUGCUGGCUCUGUCUCUGCAUGUAGCAACAUAUAAAUUCAGUUAAUGAGCCAUUAAAGUUGUUUAUCACUCAACCACAAGGAAUAUUAGUUCAUGAUUUUCAAAACGAAACUAAACAACAAAGUUUCAGCCGGCAAAUACAUUCUCAUGUCAAAGAAUAAAAAUAAAUCAAAAUAAGAAUAAGAAAGACUGAAUUCCAAUUGAUUCCGGCAAACUUCUCCACUGAUGCAGUCUUGAUUCUUGCUCUUGAAAUCUAUUUUUCCUUGUUUCUUUUCUAUUUAUGAUCUUGGUUGACGGCCGCCUUUUUUCUUUUGUACAUGUGCCUCUGUUAUAGUCCAAAAUUAGGGUAAACGGAAGUUCAGAGCGCGCAUCUUCCCAAUUAGGAAAUUGCAGAUUGCAAUCCGUUAAGUAUCUUGCGCGAAAUCUUCUCUGUCAUUGUUCCCGAAUUGCUACAUCACGGUUUUCUACAGCAAUAGCUACAGUAUAUGCACUGUUCCAAAUUUACUCCAAUUCUUCUAUAGUCGUAUUCUUUUGUCCUUUUUGCAAACCCAUUGCUACAACAUCCUUCCCAUGAAAAUUUAACUUCAGGUUACCUACAAUUAUGCAUAUGUUUUAAGGACACAAUUAUUAGAAAUCAAGCAAAUUUUAUUAAACUUAAACUAAAAUGAAUGUUAAUGUAAACUAUCAUUAAAUGCACUAAAACACAUCAAUUACCCUCUAAGUAAUCUUGAUUUUAAGUCUAAAAGUAUCAUGAUAAUCUUAUUUCAUAGAGUUUUCAAUACUCUAACUUCAAGUUGCACGAAUCUAUAAGGAUUCUUAUGAAUUCUUUGCUCGUUACAUUAGCUUUUAACACCAAAACAUCUUCAUGCAAGUAUAGUAUCCCUUCCUCAUCGUAUUAUGUCCAAAUGAUUGGAACUUGCUUGGUUCUUGCUCAUUUUGUCAAUGAAGCAUUGAAGAGAAUAUCAUGACUUGUUAUUGCAUACCUUUUGUAGUACUUCUAGGCUUUGUUAGAGUUAUUUACUAGAGUUGGCCCUCUUACAAUAACUCUAGCUACUGGCUCUUCAAAAAUCAUAUCACCAGUAUUCUUUUUUGCUGUAUGCACUGUUGAUCUGUCAUUGGAUAAGAACUGUCAAUAUACUUAUUCAAAUAAUAAUUUCUUACUAGAACUUCUACUUGUUUUUUUAAGUCGUGACACUGUGGUUUGGUGUGGCCAUGGGUGUUAUUCAUCAGCAUUAUCCUAUCUCUUAGGAAAUUUUGGCAAGUAAGGACUAAUGAAGGUAGGUUUUGGUUUUGGUUUAGUUGACCUUGUAUUUUGAGUUGGGUUAACUUGGAUCAUUAUAGUGAGGAUGGCUAUCAACUAGUUAUAUCAUUUCAAGUAGCUCUAUUUAGAGAGGGGUGGGGUUAAUUUCUUUUUACAUAGUAUGGGAGAUAAGAGUGGCCAAAAUCAAAUUUAGAUUGGAUUCGGAUCAAUUUGAUCAUAUAUUAAAUUUUUCGGAUUGACUAAAAAAACUCAUCUGAAUGUACUCGAACUUGAAUCUAAUAUGAAUAUAUUUGGAUAGGAUGAAUAAUUUGGCUUAAGUUAGAUUUGGAUCGGUUUGGUAAAUCUCAAAUUUAAUUUUAAUUUACAGGUCACUAUACUCAAUGGAUAAGACAUAAUUUGUAUAUCUCUGUAAUAAACAUUCAAUUUUGAUAUUCAACUACAUAGAUAGAAGAAAAAUAAGUCAUUUACAUUACAAUUGUGGUGCAUAUCACUGAAAAGUAUCAUAAUAAUUCAUAUUUUUCCAACCAAAAUGAAAAGAAACCAUAAUUUAAACAACAUAAUAAGCAAAUAGAAUUUCUAAAGAAAAGGAAAAAGAGUAGAUGUAAGCUAGAAAAAGAGAAAUCAUGUAUUAGAGAAGAAAAGAGCAUUUUUGCACAAAAACAACUAAUACCAAAACUAAUAAAAAAAUCUCAUAUUCAUUUUCCAAUUUUCUCAUAAGCUUACGCAAUUCUUCCUCUUCUACUCUUCAAAAUCAUUUGCCAAUUUUCUCAAUUUUCUCAUAAGGUGAUCUUUGGUCUUUUGAUGAGAAAAUUACUUGAGUAACUUACAACUGGUUAGGUUUGGGAUUUUGGGGAAAACAAGUUAGGUUUACACAUUACAAACUUCACUAGUCAAAUUGUCGAAUUACAUCCGAAUUAGAUUUGAUCCGAUUAUAAUCUCAUCGGAUUGGGUUGUUUCUAUUUAAUCAAAUUACAACAAUAAUCCAUAUUCAAUUUGAAUAUGUUUGGAUUGAAUCAAAUCCAAUCAAUCUAAAUCCAAUUCGAUGCUAACCCUUAUGGGAAUAAGUAGCCAUCCUUAUUAUGACCGCUCUACUCACUGAUGGUUUGUCAUGAAGCCUAACUAGUCCACUUAUUUUUUAGCUCUCCUUUCAUUUCGUUUUAACUCCACAAGUUACUCGUCUCUAACUCUUGCUGCUUUUUCCUCCUCGAUUUCAAUAUCCACCUUCACCUAGUCAUAAGCAGUUGAAUAAGAGUUUAUUAUUGGGUUCCUUAAGUUAUACCACAAUUGGCCUAUCUUUACUCCCUCUUUUAAUCCCUUCAAGGCCUGAAGAUGAUUGAAAGCUCCAUAGUCAAGGAUUGCUUGGUGAUAUCUCUUGAAAAAUCUCUUAGAGUUUGAUUUUCUUCCUACUCGAGCCUCAUUGGCUCUAUCAUGUCAUCCUCUGGUGUUAUUGCUCCUAAAAAAUGUUCAGCAAAGUCUCCAUGCAAUUGAUUAGAAGUUCUGAUGCUUCCCUAUGGCAAUUUGCGAUACCAAUCAUGUGCAUGCUAUUCUAAUGUCAAUGGAAACACUCGACACCACUGUAGUGGUGUCAAACCAUGUACUCUAGUCAUCUCAUUAAAUCGUUCUAUAUGCAUAAAGAGUCACUCUUUCUGGAAUAUUUGAGGUUUAAAACUAAUCCCUUGAUAUUGUUGUGCUCAUGAUUUUUGCUGAGAGUAAGAUUCAUUAUCCAUAAUUAUUCUCCAGCUCAGUGCUCUUUCAAUCCUAUACUUCUUCAAUAAUUCGUGCUAACCUAUGCAUCUUAUCUUCUAAUUUCCCAACGCGACUUGGGUUCUACACCCUUAUCUACUUGCAGUCAGCGUUCUGUUUAUUCCAUAGAUUUUCACCGAAGUACGUUUUGGUUGCUCUCCAAAAAAAUAAAAAAGAAAGAAAUCACCUAAUACUUUUGGGGCAAGGCAAGCUUCCAAAUAACAUUGCAAAUGAUUUGGUGAAAAAGCUUUCAUCUAUUCCGGUAAUUUAGAAGCACUUUAAUUCGAUUCUCUCUUAAGAGUCCUAUCACUUUAGGAUGAUUUUUAAGUAAAAUCCUUGUAUAUAUUAUAUUUUUGUUAAUAUAACAAACACUAAAUAUUUAUGAUCUGAAAGAUAGUUGUUGAAUGGAGAUCGUUUCACACAAAAAAAGUAUUUAAAAAGAAUGUGGUAUUGUAAUAUUAAAUAAUUUUUUGUAGUGAUAUAAGAGUAUCACACUAGUUUUUUUUUUGCAUUCCAAAAAAUUGAAAAUAAGAUCUAAGUAAUUUCAAGAAUAAAUUAGCAAUAUUAGGAACAAGUUUUACAAAAAGCUUCUGGGACAUGUUAUACAAAUUUGUUAUAUAAGAAAGUCUCUACUAGAUCUUCUUUCCACAUUACAAAAAUUAGAAAUGAGAUCUAAAUCGACCAAUUAUAAAUUUUAUAGUGAGUGGGUCCUAUAUGAAAACAAGGUUUUUUUUUAUUAUAGUGUAGUCAAUUAUCAGCCAUCUACCCUAAGUUUAUUUUAUAUUAAAAAAAUACUAGGAAGAAUUAAUUUGUUUAGUUUUUUACUUUAAUUUUAUAAUUUGUAUUAGUUGUCUAUUAAAAAGAUAGAAUUAUCCUUACUAAAUGACAAAAUAGAAACAAAUACAAAUAACAACUAUGGUCAUUUUGUAAGGGUAAUUCUAUCUUUUUGGCAUCGAAUUGCAUAUUAAACUAUUUUAAGUACUUAAAAUAAUAUAAGUUCUUUAUCAAAUAAAUAAAAUUUUAAACUAUGUAUUUACCAAACAUUUUAAAAUCACAGCUCCUCUACUACAUCUCCAAAUAAAUUCUUAAAAUCAUAAAUAACUAAAUUAAUGGGGUUUUAAAAGGACUCUCCGGAUUUUGCAUGAUUUCUUUAUAUAUAGGUGCUGGGUGAUCAUGUUGGUUCCUAUAGGUACCAUCAGCCACACUUUUUGUUAGUGGUGAAAAAACAAUUUUGGGUACAAUUUGUGAUUUGUAUAACGUGCGGUAUUAAACAUUUGAAACAUACACCGACAGUAAUCUAAUCAAUAAUUAAAAAAAAUUGUAUAAAAUACAUAUGUCGUAGGCAACUCAGAUCCUUUUCUUUAUAAUUCCAUAUCAUGUGAUUAUCAAAAAACUUCUUGAGAUUUUUAAAUUUUGUAAUUGCACUAUCCUUGAAUUAUCAAAAGACUCUUGAUAAUGUUCUUCUUCUUAAAGAUGCCCUUAAUCCGUAAAUGGUCCAAUAAUUAGUUCAUAAAACGAAUUUAUUACUUUAGACAAGUCUCAAAUAUGCAUACCUCUUAUAACUCCGUAUUGCAUAAUUCCUUACUUAAAUGCAUUUGUUUCCUUUCUCUAAAUUUUAGAAUGGCCUUGUCUACUAAAUUUCCUCUUUAAAUUUGACUGCCAACUAGGAAUUUCGCCAAAAUUUCCACCCCAUCUUACUCUCUGAAAUAUGUCUUCCACGUUACUAUAGCAAAUUUUACAUCUAGGAUACUGAAACAUUUUUUUUUUUUCAAUUUUCAAAUAUUUAGCUGUUGACAAUAGGUCUUUAGCUGCUCACCAAGAGAAAAUUUUCAUCUAAAACUUUUUUUGAUAAGGCAAGCCUCCAAAUAACAUCCAAAUGGUUUGGACAUUCAGUUCUACUCAAAAUUCAGAUUAAUUCACACAUAUUUAGAUUUUAGACAAGAAACAUAUGCCACCUAAAUAUUUAUGACUUAAAAUUAUUUAAUAAUCAUGGCACAUUUAACCUAUCUAAACAUGAAAUCUUGUGGAGACUUAUGUUUAAGCAGGAGGAUAACGUGAGAAAAUUGACACAUUAAUUUACAAUUUGUACGCCAACUGAAUAAUUUUUGUUUGUUUUUUGUUUUUGAUAAUAAAACAAGCCUCGCAAGAGCUUAGGUUUUUAGCCAACUGAAUAAAUUUCCCCACUCAAAUUAGAAACAAUAAAAUCUAAUAAUUAUGUUAUGAGCCCAUCAGACAAAUAGUGAGACAUCAUAUUGUUAAUACCUACUCGUAAAAUUAACGGGAUAACGCGGUUUAUACGGACAGAUUAUCAAGGUAUUGUUAAUACCUUCUGUACCGGUAAUUCUUUUUUUCUUCUUUUUCAACCCCAAAUAAUCAAAAGCUCUCCAAUGGCUUUUGUAUCCACAACUCGUCCAUUUCAUUUUACUUCAAUUUCAGUAUCAGCUCUUAGAUGUAAUUUCUCAUCUUCGUUCCCUCAUACCAGAAAACCCACAUCUUCAAUUUCGGAAAAUGAACCCUCAGAUCCGACUACAACAGCUAAACUGAAGGAGUCGCUACGACUGACAGUCAAAGACGGAGCCUCAAUCGAAAAAUUUCUUAAAGAAAGGUGAAAAUCAUCAGGUCAAGGUGAUAUUAAUCUUAUUACUCCUAAUGAAGCCUUGUGUAUCUUUGAUUACAUGCUCCGUAUGCACCCUUCUCCGCCUCCGGUUUCUUCCUUCAAUAUUUUGUUUGGUUGUCUUGCUAAGAAUAAACAUUAUGAUACUGUCCUUUCACUCUUCAAGAGACUCAAUUCAACUGGGUUGUUUCCAGAUCUUUAUACUCACAGUAUUUUGAUUAACUGGUAGAGUUUCUCAUGGUUUUGUUGUUCUUGGGAGAAUCAUCAGGUCUUGUUUUACUCCAGAUGCUGUGACCUUUACUUCUUUGAUUAAAGGUUUGUGUGCGGAUAGUAGAAUCAUGGAGGCCGCCGCAUUGUUUACAAAACUUAGAGUGUUUGGUUGUGAGCCUGAUGUUUUUACAUACAAUACGUUGAUUAAUGGAUUGUGUCGAACUGGCCAUACAAUUGUUGCUCUAAAUUUAUUUGAAGAGAUGGCUAAUGGAAAUGGGGAAUUUGGUGUCGUUUGUAAGCCAGACACUGUUACAUACAACACUAUCAUCGAUGGUGUUUGUAAGGAAGGUUUCGUGGACAAGGCCAUGGAACUGUUUCUGCAGAUGAAGGAUGAGAAUAUUAACCCCAAUGUGGUUACUUAUAACUCUUUGAUUCACUAUUUCUCUCAUGCUGAUGAUUGGAAUGAGGCUAAACGUUUGUUUAUUAAGAUGAUGGACCAAGGUGUGCACCCUAAUGUUGUGACUUUCAGUGUGAUCGUGGAUGAGCUCUGCAAGAAUGGGAAGAUGGAAGAAGCAAGUAGGUUGUUGGACCUGAUGAUUCAGAUUGGUGUGCAUCCAAACACUUUUGUCUAUAACACAUUAAUGGAUGGGUUUUGCUUGACGGGUAGAGUUAAUCGUGCAAAGGAACUAUUUGUUUCUAUGGAGAGUAACGGGUGCAUGCAUGAUGUUGUUAGUUACACCACAUUAAUAAAUGGGUACUGCAAGACUAAGGAUGUAGAGGAAGCUUUAAAUCUUUAUAGGAAAAUGCUGUCUAAAGGAAUUAGGCCAACAGUUGUUACAUAUAGCACCUUGUUUCUUGGCCUUUUUGAAGUACACCAGGUUGAGCAUGCUUUAAAACUGUUUGAUGAGAUGCAGCAUAAUGAUGUAGCAGCCGAUACAUAUAUAUACAAUACCUUUAUUGACGGGCUCUGCAAGAAUGGUUUUGUUCUAGAGGCACUGGAAUUAUUCUGUGCUAUAGGAAAUAGCAAGUAUGAACUUGAUAUCAUAUCCUACAGCUGCCUCAUUGAUGGAUUGUGUAAAAUAGGCAAACUGGAAACUGCUUGGGAACUGUUUCAAAGUUUGUCUCGUGUAGGCCUAUUGCCAAAUGUUGUAACAUAUAACAUCAUGAUCCAUGGGCUUUGUAAUGAUGGGCAAAUGGACAAGGCACAUGAUUUGUUUCUUGAUAUGGAAGCAAAAGGUGUGGAACCCGAUUGUGUCAUAUUUAAUACGAUUAUGCUGGGUUUCAUCCGCAAUAAUGAGACAUCAAAAGUUAUUGAACUCCUUCAGCGAAUGGAUAAUAGAAAUGUAAUGCCAGACGCAUCUAUACUUUCAAUUGUUGUGGACUUGCUUGUAAAGAAUGAAAUUAGCUUAAACUCGAUUCCACAAUUCAAGAGUCAAUGAGUUUAAUGCUGAUUACUUGCAUGUUUUUUUCUGCCUAAAAUCUGGAUCUGGAGAAUCCCAUUCUUAUUACAACAUGUAAAGGAGUGUUGUCUAAUGUUGGCAUGUUCCUAGGUUCUGUCCAUGGAUUCUGUUUGCAGACAUGGCUAACUUCUUGUUCAACAGAUAAGUUUUAAAGUCUUUGAACUUAAUGUUGUAAAAUAACUUUUUUAUUAUUCAAUUCAUGAGUUUUUCUUCUAUAGCACAUCCUUCUCAUUAGCUGGAAGUGCAAAUUUUUUAGGCUUUUCCUGUAUGGCCUCUUUUUCUGUUCUAAAUAAAAUGGCAUUUUAUUUCCCUCCUGUGAGGGUACAACGUUUAUGUUUAAACUUUCUGUUAGUUAAAUUGGUUGUCUUUGAUAUAGGGAACUUCCAGUUGAACUGAUUUGUAAUUCGAGUAUAUGAGAUUACCAACUGUAAUGGGAAUUGAUGCCAAAUUAAUUAUGUCAUCAGGUUUUCCAAUCAGUGUUCAUCAUUUAUUUCUGUUAACAAUUAAUAGCACAGCUUGUCUUCGCAGCUUCAUUGGUUCCUCUCAAAAAAGUAAUGCCAGAUGCAUCUAUAGUUUCAAUCGUUGUGGACUUGUAAAGAAUGAAAUUAGUCUGAACUCACUUCCGUCAUUUCCUGUUCAAGAGCAGCAGGGGGAAGUUGAUGAGUCAAAUGUCAAGUUGUUGGAGCAUGUGCUUUCAGCCUAAAACCCUGAUCUGCAGCAUCUCAAUCAUGUUACAAAAGGACAUGUCGCCUGGUGACACCAUGUUCUCUACAGCGCUGUUAAUGGAUCCUGAUUGUUCUUGUGAUCUGGAGAGUCUCAUUCAUAAUACAGAUCUUGAUCAGGACGAGCUAGCAUAUGUGAUCACCAACUCUACAUGGUUGUUGAUGCCAAAUUAAAUAUGGUAUCAUGUUUUUCAACUUGUUAUUUUCUAUAGUCCUUCCUUUGAAUGGCCACAAGAAACUGUAAAAUCACCCUUUGUCUUGUUCCCUCUUAAUGAUCGAUCACUUUGGGAGCUAAUGAAUUAGUUGCACCUUGUCACUUUAUUGGUGCUUGAUUGUCAUUUGUACUUUGAAUUCACAGCAUAUUUUACCCUUGAUGUACUCUUUCCAUAAUCACCUUUGAGGGCUGCUAGUAUGUAUAAUUGAAAAACCUUAUAUAAAUUCUAAGCAUUUUUAUUUAACUUGUUGUAAACCUCCAGUGUAUGUCUCUUCUGUGAAAUGAUUCAUACUCUAUGCUGCUAGGACCUAGGCUUAUGACUCUUCUGUGAAAUGAUUUACCCUCACCUGCACACAGACAUUUAUCCCAAUCAAGAAAUCUUCAAACAAUGUGAAAAAAAUUGCUUGAAACACGACGCAGACUUAACCGAUUAAAAUGUCCCUACUGUGAGGAAGGAUGCUAUACAACUGACUCGGAAAAUGUAAAAUGGAUAACGUACGCCCAAGAUGAUCAACUAGAAACACAAUUCAAAACUCGGGCUGCUUUUGGCUGCCCGGCCUUCAGAAGUCAAUAUUUAUAUGAACUUUUGAGGAGAAAUUAUAUGAACUUUUGAGGAGAAAUUAUACUAAGGGUUCAGAAGUCAAUAUUUAUAUGAACUUCAGAAGUCAAUAUUUGGCUGCCCGGCCUUCAGAAGUCAAUAUUUAAAAACUUGGUGAAAUUACCGAUUAAAAUGUCCCUACUGUGAGGAAGGAUGCUAUACAACUGACUCGGAAAAUGUAAAAUGGAUAACGUACGCCCAAGAUGAUCAACCAGAAAGUGAGAGAUUAGGAUCACCAGUCAGUCAGAUUUGGAUAGAAAGUGAGAGAUUGCUAUGCCGUGCCAUUGCUUCAAUCCUAAAUGCUUUCAUCUCCCUGAAAAGUAUACAAAUGUAGGGGUUAAAACAGAAUAGAUGAAACCGUAUUGAGGAACUCAACUGAGACAGAUGAUAAAUGAAAACUAACCAACCUUCACGCAAAACUCGUACAUCUCCCUUUAAGAGCUGACUUUCUGAGAAGAGAUCACCACAAUCGUUCACAUCAAAAGUCUCCACUUGAAAAUUUUAUAACCAUAGUACUCAUUCCAUUCAAACCAGAUCCUUGAGAUCAGUUCCUUCUUCAGGCAAGUGGCAUGAUCUUCCUCUUUAGGAGACUCAGCAGCAACCAGUCUAUAUGCACAAACUUUCUUUGUUUGGCCUGGCCGGAAAGCCCUGCUGAUUGCCUGGCGGCUCACUGAUGGAUUAAAGAGAACAUCCAGAAUAAUGAUUCAAAUUUUUGUGGAAUUACUUGUAAAGAAUGAAAUUGGUUUAAACUCGAUUCCACAAUUCAAGAGACAAAACUAAGCAGACGGGUUGAAUCUUUGAUUGAGUAGCAUGUCUCUUCUGCUUUAAAAGCAGAUCUGGAGAAUCCCAUUCUUAUUACAACGUGUGAAGGAGUGUUGUGUAUUGUUGGCAUGUUCCCAGGUUCUGUUCAUGGAUUCUGUUUGCAGACAUGGCCGACUCUUUGUUUCAUCGGAUAAGUUUCAAAUAAUUCUGGCAAAUUUUUGUUGUAAAAUUACUUUUUUAUCAUUUAAUCCAUAUGCCUCUUUCUCAUUACCUGCAAGUGCAAAAUUUUUAGGCUCGUCCUAUUAGACCUCUUUUUCUUCUCUAAAUAGAUAAAACGGCAUUUCAUUUUUCUCUUGCGAGGGUGCAGGUUUAUGCUGAAACUUUCGGUUAGUUAAAUUGAUUGUCUUUGAUAUUGGAACUUGUAGUUGAACUAGUUUGCAUUUAGAAUAUAUGAGAUUACCAACUGUAACGGGAAUUGGUGCCGAAUUGAUUAUGUUAUCAGGUUUUUCAGUCUGUGCUCAUCUUUUAUUUCUGUUAAUAAUUAAUAGCACAGCUUGUCUUCUCUGCUUCUUUGGUUCCUGUCUAUUGUCAAAUAUAAACUUGUAGAGACAUUUUGUUUUGGCAUGGCACAUGCUAGAUUUUGUUUUUGGUUUGAAUGAUACUACACAUCUAAGUGAUUGUCCAGAUUUUUUUUCAUUCCUAGUGACAUGGCACUCAAUUGAAUGGUGACUCGUGAAUCAUGAUUGUGUGUGUUGGUCUUUGUUAUACUACGUGUUGGCAAGACAAAGUCUUUUGAAACUGCCAAACUUUUCUAUAUGAAUAUUGAAGACAAUAUGAUAAGAUAAAAUUAAUCAAAAACAUAUAUACUUGACAGGGCUGGAACGUCUGUUAUUAGUCCUCGCCUUCCAUUCUUGUUUCAUAUUCUUCUGCUAACAAAUCUUGAUCAUGAUAGUCUUCUCUGUUAUUAAUCCUUUUUUUUUUUUUUUUGGCUUUUGGAUUUUGUUUCCUUUAUAUAUAUAUAUAUAUAUAUAUAUAUAUAUAUAUUGUAUACAGUUAUUAGCAUCGACAACUUGAGCUUGCAGUCUUGUGAGUUUAGAGCCUACCAAAGUAAGCAUACACAUGACAAUGAAGAAUUGAAGAUUGUGAACGGUUUACUUGUGCGGCUAUGUUAGAAAAAUUUGACUGAUCGUGAAGAUAUUUAGAGAUCGUCCAUCUUGGUACUGCUAUUGUUGGAGCCUUGAAGUGUCAACUUCUCAUCGUUGCCUACAGUUGCCUCAUUGAUGAAUUGUAGGCAAACUGAAAAUUGCUUGGGAACUGUUUCAAAGUUUGCCCCGUACAGGCCUAAUGCAAAAUGUUGUAACAUAUAACAUCAUGAUUCAUGGGCUUUGUGAUGAUGGGGCAAAUGGAUAAGACACAUGAUUUAUUUCUUGAUAGACCAUUCUCAGGGCACAAAGGGUGUGGUGCCCAAUUGUGCCAUAUUUACUAUGCUUAUGCGAAAGAAUGAGACAUCAAAAUUUUCAUCACUCAAUGGAUAAAAGAAAUGUAAUGCCAGCUGCAUCUAUAGUUUCAAUUGGUGUGCGCUUACUGGUUAAGAAUGAAAUUAGUUUAAACUUGAUGCCAGAAUUCAAGAGACGGUUAAUUAGAUGAGUUGAAUGUUGAUUUAGUAGCCUUGAAGUUUUGCAAAUGUUUCCUGAUGGAUAAAUUGAACUUGUAUGCACACAUGUAAACUAAAAGAAAAAUUAUUUUAAUAGAAAACGUGCUUUAAGCAUGUCCUUCGGCAUGAGGUAAUACUAUAAAGUUUUUUUUUAAGUAAGGUUAUAAAUUCUAGCAAUUGAGUCUCAAUUUGAUAUUAUAUUCAUCUGGUAUAGGGUAGAAUAUUAAUUUUUUCAAUUAUAAAAUUUACUAUCUAAUAGAUGAACAACACUUAACAGUUGAGAAUGAAAUGGAGACUCAAUUGUUGGGAGUCCAAUCACUUUUUUCUCUUUUAACUUGCUAUUUUUGUUGUCCGAAAUUAUCUGAAGUUCCAUGCUUGCUCCAAUAGAACAAAUAAGAUAGGUUAUGAUCAACUUUUUUUUUUUCCAAAUAAAGGAACCACCUGCAUCGAUACUCCAUAAGCAAGUUUUUUCUUUUGACUGCCCCUUAUAUUUGUCACACUCCUUGUACUAGUGCCCAAUGAAACCACAACAGAAGCAAAAAUAUGGCAAUCUCUCAUAUACUACUGUAAUUGGAACAUCGUCUUCACCUUCAAGUUCUAAAUAACCAAUUUUCUUUAGUGGUUGUGUGAUAUCAAUUGAGAUACUUACUCUGGCAUACUAACCAAUGCACUCUCCUUCCACGUCCACAUCAACUUCUUCAACUAUACCAAUUGCCUCUCCCAAUGCUUUGAUUAUUUGCUGGUCUAUACACCCAACUGGGACAUUAUGAAGUUGUACCCAAAGGCAGCAUGAGUAAAUGAUUGUUUUGUUAUUUCCCCAAUUCCACUUGCCUCUUUUAGAACUAUUAGAGCUCGUUCAAAAUGCCACUGCCCACUUGAUAAAAUUCUCAUCUUAUCAACUUCAAAGGCAAAUUUAACUUAAAAAUCUUACUCCCCAGAUUUUCAAUUUCACCUAUUCUACUAUUCUGCAUACUUGUUGUAAUGCUCACUUGAGACCCUCUCUAGUAACUCCUCUUAGAUGUAAGACUUUGCCCAGAAAACAGCCCUCAACUAGCUCUCUCUCAUUCCCUUUCAUGACAUUACCAACAACUUCUUUACUCUAUUUUCCUUCUUCUAAUAUAAUAACUUUACACUUGCAAAUUAGUUCUUCUGUUUUCAUUAGGCACUAAAAUAUAAAUCCAUUGUGAUAACUCUUGAGUAUCUACCACUUCCUCUGUAAUUAAGACUCAACAACUCAAAUGAAAAACUUAAAAGUAAAAGAGACACCCAACUCGUGAGCAACUUUCGCAAUCUUAUGGGCUACUACCAUUUCAUUCUAGAUUCUCGCUCAUAGGGGGAGAACCUGUGAAGAAAGACUUCUACAGGUAGGAGACCGCUUACACAGUAGAUUAUUUAUAUUUCUUUGGACUAACUUUUUACUUUAUCAAAGACAAAAACAACAUAAACAAAGACAGAAGAUUAACAAAAGCAUCAAUUGCCAAAGAGUAGAGAGUAUUAUUAUAUUUUAGGAACAUAGGUUAUGACCAACUUAAAAGAAGCAGUUAGGGCUUGUUCAGUACUGUUUUAAAAGCCUUAUUUUCAUUUUUGUUUUGGGAGUACAAAUAUAAUACAUAUUUAGUGGGUUGAAUCCAAAAAUUAAAUCAUAAAAAAGAAUUGAUAUUCACUUUUACAGUUAUAAAAUUAAGAACCUAUUGAACAUGUUCUCAAACAAAUUACAAAUUAAAUUAAAACAUAAACCCCAAAAUAAAAUCUAAAAAGUUAUCUUCCUCUCCUAAAAUCUUAUCUCCUCCCUCUCGUUAUCUCUUCACAACUCUUCCUUCUUCAUGGUAGAUACUUCUCCUCUAACCACAACCCACCUGAACUGUGCACCGAUCUCUCUCUCCCCAUCCCCUUUAUCUAGGUCUACUUCACAGUUCUCUUCCUCUCAGUGGCUGUUACUUGUUCAUCAACCGCAAUCCAUCGUCGUAAGGUACUACGUCGGAAUAUUUUACCAAAAACAUGUCAAGACAAAGUGAUGUCUAUCAUGGUUUAUUACUGCAAGUGCAUUAUUUUCUUUGUACUAAAGUGAAUCUUUGAUGUAUUUAUUAAAUUUGGUGGAGCAAUCUUAGUUAAUUUUGAUGAUUUAUAUAUGCAUUUAAUUUCAUUUUUAAUAAUUCAUGUGCAGGAAAUAUGGAUUCUUGGCUUUGCUUGGACUGAUGGUUUGGGCAAUUUCAUUUGGAAUCAAUCAACUUCGAGGAUAAACACUUGUAGUUCAUCCUUUGUUCUCUAAUUUUGUUCAUGGGACUUGCUUUUCUUCCAUCCAACUUUUUUGUUCUCUAUUUCUAUGGUAGCAGUUUUAUGUUUUGUGUUGGUGGGAAACUUCAUGCUGCAAUUUUGUCAAAUUCUGUUGACAUACCCUAAUCAGUAAUGACUUUGCUGCAUGGCGAAAGCAUAAGCUCAUAGUUGACAUUGUUGUCAUUAGAGCUUGUUUCCAUAAAAAAAAAGUGUAAUUUGAAAGUACAUUGUACACUAUUGAAUUUGAAUUAUCUCCAACAAGUGUUGAUGCAUGAUGUCCAUCAUGUAAUUUUUUUAUAAUUAUUUUGUUUAACUUAUAUGUGUUGUAAUAUAUAGCUUAAUUAUAGUGUAAAAACAAUGGCAAUGUAAUUUUUUUAUUAAUGCUAAUACUAAAACUUUAUCAUCAUGCAAUGUUUUAUAAUUAUUUUGAUUAAAUUAUUUAUGGUAUAUUUUUGUAUUAAUUAAAUAAACAAUUAGUUUUUAUUAAAAAAAUUAUGACUUACAUGUUUAGUAAAAAUUGUUCAUGAAAAUAGUAUUACCGAACACAUUUUCUCUGUGUUUAUCUUUUUCAAUUGUGUUUACGGAACACAUGUUACUGUUUUCAAUUUAGAAAAUACAAGAUAUAGAAAAUGAUAUUAGAUGUCUAUUUAAUUCAAAAUGCAGCAACUGCAAAACACUAUUUUUACUCUCAUUUUUCUUUUUAGAAAAUACUAAUUUAGAAACAAUACCAAACAAGAACUUAGUUUUAGUACGAAUAAUGUUGUGUUAGUUUUAUAGGUUUACAUGCACCCUUAGAUUUAUUAGAAGUAUCAGCCCAACCCCCUAGUUACUGUUGACUAAUAUCGAACCCGCUGCCCGAUGUUGACUCUUGAAAGUAACUAUAACAUCUAUAUUGUAAUCUCACUUUAUUAACUAAUAAAUUUUAAAAAUAUAAACAGAUCAAUAAUAACAAAAUAAUUAAAGUUGAAAUCCAAGAAAUUACACAAAAAACCACACCUAAACCAAACCUGAAAACCAAAAUGCAUAAAAUUUCAUUAAUUUAGGUUGUGACAAUGAGUCGUCUACAUUAUAUGAUGAAGGAACAACUUCUAUCAUUUUACCAAGUUAUUAAUACUAUGUUUACGUACUAGAGUGGGCCUGAGAAGUAUAGAUUCCUCACACACUAGAGUUUACUUGCAUAUUCUAAGAGGUGUGGGAAUCUCACUCCGUUGAUCCCACCCAAUUUUGAAGUAGGGAGUGUGAUUUCCACUCCCACAAGGGAAGGUCCACUCCCACAACUUUAUUUUUUACCUUUCUUUUAUUAAAUUUAAUACAAUCAUAUUUAGUAAAAUAAAACAAAUAACAUCAUAUUUAUUUAAUAAAUAUUAUUAUAUUAUUUUAUAAAAUUCUAUUUAUUAAAAAGAAUAAUAUUAAUCUUAUUUAGAUAAAGUUAUUAUUAUAUUUAUUUAAAAAUAAUAGCAUUAUAUUUAUUUAAUAUUAAUAAUUAAUAUUAAUAAAUAGUUUAUUCUAAGAAAAUAUUUAUUUUGCACUAUAUUAUUAAUAAGAGAUAUUAUCAUUUUUCCACCAAAAUUAUUCUGAUACAUCAUGUUAGUAGCACGGUUUGGUAAAAACAUCAUUUUACCACCAAACGUUUAAAUUGUUAGUAUUUUUCCACAAUUCCGUUAAAACUCAGUUAAUAUUUAAUGGAAAAUGCAUAAAAAGUCAAUUUUACCCCUGGAGCAUAAAAGAUAAUUUUACCCUUUAAAAAGGAAGAACGACAAAAGAUGAUUUAAUUACAAAAUUACCCCCAAAAGACGACAAGACAAUUUUACCCUUUAAAAAGGGAGAACAACAAAAGACGAUUUAAUUACAAAAUUACCCCCAAAAGACGACACUGCUGCGAGAGUGAGAGAGAUAUGGGUCAGUGACAGUAAGCGAGAGAGGACGAAGAUGGAACAAGAAACGAGAGAGAGGGGGGUUGAUUUCGAUUUUUAGGGCUUCCAUAUCCAAAUUGCUUGUUUUUUUACAAUUGCAAAACACAACGUUUUGCCUUCGCAUGAGAUGUCCAAAAUGCCCUUAUGAUGUCAACAUAAUUUUUAUUUAGUUAACGGAAUGGUGGGAAAAUACUAACAGUAUAAAUGUUUGGUGGUAAAAUGAUGUUUUUAUAAAAUCGUAGUACUGAAAUGAUGUAUCAGAAUAACUUUGGUGGGAAAAUGAUAAUAUCCCUAUUAAUAAUAAUGUUUUAUUUGUGUUGCUCUUAUCAAUAAUUUUUAAUUUAAAUAAUUAAAAUUAAAACUAAUAAAAAUUUAUGAUUUACAUAAUUAAUAAUAUUAAUAAUUAUUGUUAAUUUACAAAUAUAGUGAAAUAAUAUAUUUUAUUUCAAAUAUAUUUUUUUAUUAAUUUUGUAAUUAAAAGGUACAAUUCUUUAAAUAAGUGUAAAACCGUAAUUUGAAACCAUUUACUCCCUUCUCAUUCUAGUGAGAGGAAACAACUUGCUCCCACUCCACACUCUUAAUCACAAGAUUCUCACUUCUCAAUAUUCCCACUAUAAUUUAAAAUGUAAACACCGUUUAAAACAUCAAAUAAAAUUCUCAAUUAAGUAAACCAUAAUGUGAUUGCAUAUAAAAAAAAAUUAAUAAUAUUAAUUUUCAUAAGAAUUUAUGCUCGUAGUAUUACUUUACUUUUUAUUAACCGUUGCUUCAACUUAUGGUAGAUUGUAACAUAUGCACUUUAAUUUUCUUAAUUAAGUGUAUUAUUUAAUUUUUCUCAUUCGAUGUUAAUUUUAAAUUUGUUUUGACAUAAAAUUGAGACAAUUCGAAUACGAUUCAAUGGCCGUGUAGCUGGAUUUUAUUUCAACAUGGGUCAGGCAUUAGCUUAGUUAGUAGUAAUCUUUAAAAAAAAAAGCUAGUUUAUAUAAAUGGAAAAGGGGGAGCUGAUUUCCAAAAGAGGAAAGAAAGAGGGGCACGCGAGAGAAAAUGAGAGAGAGAGAGAGAGAAGUUGACCCGUUUAGCCCGACCCGACCCGACCCACAAGACCGACCCGGCUCCAACUCCCGUUUCUGGCCACCAUUCCAAUCAAGCUUGGUACCAAUCUGAAGCUUGAGCGACGCUGGCCAUAUCCCCGCUGUCAUCGUCACCGAAAAACAGCCACAACGCCGGUGAUCAUCGUCAAUCUCGCUGGAAUUAGGUUGCACCACCGGCUGGGUUCGACUCCUCACAUCACCAGCUUUCAUUUCCGACUAACCCCGCCACCUGAAACCUCUGUUUUGGCCCUGAAUGACCACCGGAAAGCUCACGGCUUUGGGAGCACGAUCCGCCGCCAUCUCCGCGUGUGGGAGGUCACCGUCGACGCCAUUGGGCUCACCGAGGUUAGAACUAUCAUACUUGAGCUUUCCGUCGCCGUUGACUGAAGUCCGGUCACCGUUGAGCAGUGGGGGCAAUUUGGUAAUUUCACAAGACUUUAAGGUGGAUUUUUAAUUUGGUAAUUUUAGGUUAGGGCAGUGAGGUAAUUUAAGACUUUGAGGGUAAUUCGGUAAUUUAAGUUAUUAAGAGCAUUUUGGUAAUUUCGCACUUUGAGGGUAAUUUCUUAAAUUCAAAACUUGUGAUUAAUUUUGUUAUCCGAAUUGAGGACAAUUUGGUAGUUUAAGAUAUUGAAGAUGAUUCGAUAAAUUAUGAUUCCGAUGGUACUUCGGUAAAUUUCGGUGUCAGGGGCAUUUUGGUAAUUUUUGGACAUAAGGGUAAUUUUGAAAUUUUAUGUAUCCGGGAGUUUGGUUUUGAGCUUUAUUUCAUACUGUUAGUCGUAUUUCAUGAUACAGAUAAUAAUUAUGUCGUUUAUUUAAUUAGGAGGACUCGCGAGCAAAAAUCAACCAGCGGACGUUAGUGAUACCGAGUCUGGACAUCGUCACUGUGAGUGGAAUAUACAAAACUUAUUUUCAUGGUAUAUUCUGAUUUUACCAUACAGUACAACAUGUUUUGAUAAUAAGUAUUUGAUGCUUUGAUUUAAUGAUUUUCUAGAAAUUUGAUUUUCAUUCUACGUGCUGAUAUUUAUUAUUAUUGAAAAUGAGUUUGAUUAAUGAUUUUAUUAUCAUUUUUUUUGAGUAAAUGCAUGAUAUUAGAAUUGAGUGGAUUUGAGAUAUGUUGAAUAAAAAGGAAAUGGGAUUUUAUAUGUGAUUAUAUGUUUGCGUGCAUGUGCAUAAAAGAUUGUUUGGAAAAUCAUUGGAAGUACCUUUCCCCUUUUAGAUACAGAGAUACAUAUAAUAUGAGAUGAAUACAGUGAUACAGAUGAUAUGAGAUGAGAGGUUUUUGGGGCCCGUCUGAACACACACAAAGACUUUGGGCCGUGUGUUUGGGCGCUUUUGCCUUUUGGGGGCUUAUGCAUACAGUAUGAUGAUUACAUAAAUACAGAUGUUGAGAUACAUGAGAUAUGAGAUGACAUUUUCCUAUAUAUCCAUUGUAACUCCAGGGCAUGAUGGUUCCCUGAUUGUCCGUCCGUUGAGGUCCGAAUAUGAUGAGAUUAUUCCGCUGGAUACUUGUUUGAUGAUAGUUUUUUGUAUCUAGUAUUUGAUAUUAUAAGUAUUAUGAUUUCAUUGAUUUUAUGCAGAUUUAUGUAAUAUUGUUAUUUCAGUGCAUGAAUUAAAUUAAAUAAGUUUAUGUAAGUUCUUAUGAUAUUUUGAUGAAAUUAACUUGGAAAAGAUUAAAUCAUUUUAAAUAAAUUUAUUUUUCCAAAAACUACUAUCCACUCACUGAGCUCACUGAGUUUUAUAUUCACCCCGUUUUUAUUAUAUUUUUCCUCCUAUAGGAAAUUUGCAGGUACAUCAGUCGACCCAGCAACGAUAGUUAGAUUGAAAUUAUGGCCACGUGAUGGUGUUAGAAAUCAUAGAUGUUUUGUUGGGACAUGUUGAAUUGUAUAAUUUAUUACUUAUUUGUGAUUAAGGAUAAAUCAUUAUAUUCUUGACAUUAUAUGAUUGAAGGAUACUGAUAUUUAAAUUGAGGAAGUUGGUUGUGGAUGUUGAUUAAAUAUUGUAUUAUUUUUUGGAGUAUUAAUUGUAUAAAUUGUAGGUUUGGGGAUGUCAUAAUUAUAUAGAAAACUGUCGAAUUUUUUGUAAAAUUCUUAGAUAUCAGAAUUAUUAUUAGUUUGAUUAGGCGAGAUUAGAUAGACUCGUCCUGGGGAUUCGGGGCGGGUCGUUUCAUAGAUAUUAAGAGAACAAUAAUAAUAUAGCUAUAAAUGGUUGCAUACUAUCAAUCAACUUAACACUAUAAUUACCAACAAAUCCUUAAUACUAUAAAUAAUUAAAUUAUUGGGGUUUUAAAAUAACUCUCCAAACUUUGCAUGAUUUCUUUAUAUGUAGGUGCCAUGGUUCCUAUAAGUAAUAUCAGCCACACUUUUUGUUAUUGUUAAAACAAAUUUAUAAGUACAAUUUGUGAAUUUGUACAAAAUGUGGUAUUAUACAUUUGAAGCAUGAACCGAGAAGACAAUGUUGUGUCACUAAUAAAGAAAAAAAAAUUGUAUAAAAUACAGAUGUUGUAGUGUAACUUGUAUUCUUUUUAUUUAUAAUUGUACCUAUCAUGUGAUUAUAAAAAAAACUGAGAUUUUAAAAUUUUGUAAUUGCACUAUUUUUGGAUUAUCAGAAGGCUUCCUCUCCUUAGUGAUGCCCUUAAUCCAUAAAUGGUCCAAAAAAUAAUUCAUGAAAUGAAUUUAUUAUUUUAGAUAAGUUUCAAGUACGCAUACCUUUACUAGCUCCAUAUUGCAUAACUCCUCAUUUCAAUCAAUGGAUACAUUUGUUUACUUUUUCUUUCUUGUAAAUUUUUGAAUGGCCACAAUUCUAUAGAUAAUUAAUUAAGUGUUAUUGUUAUCAUUAUUUUGUAGAUUUAUAUGUGAGGUGGGGACGUUGGGGGGCAUGUAUCUCAAUAUAGCAGAGGGCCAUAAUAUUUAUUCUUUAAGAGGAACCACAACCAACAUCAAUGCUUUAAGUUCCAUUCCAUGUUCCUUCUAUGCACCAGAUUGCAUAAACAACAUUGAUUAUCCAAGGUCAAAGUCUCUCAAAGACUCUAGUUACAAUACAAAGCAUGGGUUAGCGGCCAAAAUUUUCUUGCAAUGAAAGGCUCGUAAACUGAUGAUAGCUGUUGGAUGGUUUUGGGCCCCAAUGGUUUUAAUAUUAUUCUCUUAAAAACAUAUAUGUUGAUUAGAGACGAGAGGAAAAAUAUAAUCUGAUUCAGCAAGCUGCAGAGGAAAGAGCACGCAGUGGAGUUCAGAUUUUGAAUUCUCUUGUUAAAUUGUUUUUAAUUUACUACAAGGUAGAAUACGUUGCAGUGUUAAAAAAACACUUUGAACAUCCUAUUUUUGUAUUACAAAUAUACCAAGAUUUAAAUUAUUAUUUUUCUUUAUUAGUAUAAACUAAAUUUUGCCUGAAUUCUCAUCCUUGUAAGUGGAAUUUUAUUGUGAAACUAAUAGUCAUUCCUAGUUGAACUAUCACUUUGAACAUAUGUGUCCUCUCUAAUAACAGCUUCCAAACCUGCAGCUACCUGCUUCUCAGCAUUAGAAGUAGCCAUAAUUAGGAGGAGGGCAAACUUCCAAAUAACAUUCCAAAUGGUAUUGUGAAAAAAUUUCACCCUUUUGGUAAUAAAAAAUAACCUUAUUUCUAACUUUCUAUUAACAAUCUUACCACAAAGUUCUCUCUCAAGUAGAAACAUUAUAUAUAUAUAUUAAUUUUUUGUUAAAAUAAACAAAACCAGUGGCGGAUCUACAGCUGGGCUAGGUCUAGAAAAAAUCAUUUAAACCCCUUGUCUUUUGAUUCAUUUUACAUAAGGAUAGACUUUUUAUUUUAUUUUUAUAUAAGUCCCCAAUUCAGUUACAAUUAUGUUUUUGUCAAAUUUCAUAGAAUAAUAGAGUUUUUACUUUAUUUUCAAAUAUUUCCUUAACUCAAUUAUAUUUUUUUCCCAACUGAAAUUAAUGACUUAUUUUAUAAAAUAAUUAAAUUAUAUAUUUAUUGAAUAGAUUGAAAACAUUAGGGGUUUAAAAUGUUAUUUUUAAUUUGUUUUUAAAAAAUUUAAUUUAACAAAGUAUGUGAAUGUAAUAUAACAUCGUCACUAUUAUUAAAAAUACUAAAAACAUAUAUAAUAAAAAUUAUUCAUAAAUUCAUAAAUUUUUUAUGUAAAUGUUAACAUUUUAUUUAUUAUUUACAUUAACUUAGAGGAUAAGUUAGAAAGUAAAAUUUGAGUAUUUUAAUCUGAUUUUUUAAAGAGAGUCAGAGUGUCUGGCAAAGAAAUAACGGCACGCAAGUACCUUUUUGCUAGGUUAGAGUUUAGUUUAUUAUUGAAACUCUUGACGACUAAUAUUUUUAUAAUUUAAAAAGAUGAAUAGAUUUUAAUUGUUUAAUUUAUUUAAGCUUGGUAACUAAGGUGGCAUUUGUUUUUUAACUUAAUGACUUAAAGUGACUUAACUUAAUUAAUUAAGUUAAUUAGAAGUGUUUGUUUUUAUAACUUAGACUUUUUAGAUAAUUUUGACUUAAUAAAAUAAGUCAAUUUUUUUGGCUUUUUACUUAAUGGAGAAAUUUGAAUUAAGUCAAUUACUUACUAAUGUCAAAAAUAUCCAUGUUUUAUAAUUUAUUUUUCAUAUCUAUCCCAAAACUCACCCAUAGAACAUUUACCCCACAUAAAAAUAUCCUUAUUUUUUAUUUCUUAUAUUAUAUACGAUAAAAUUUGAAAUUUAUGGUAUUUUAUAUAUUGAAAUUCUAAAAUAAUUAUGUAUUCACUUGAAUAUAGUUUUACUUAUAAAUGUUAAAAUAUUGUGGUAUUUAAUAUAUUAUUUAUUUGACAUUCAAAUUUAAUAAGGAUACGAAUGUAAAAGUACAUAUUUUUAGCUUUUUCAGUUGAAAAAAACAAACAACUCAAUACUUAUUUUCCGAGAUUCAAACGAAAAAACAAACAUAUUAUUCAGAUUCAGACAUACAGAUCUAUUCAGAAUUCAGACUAAUUCAGGUCUAUUCAGAUUUCAGACAAAAAAACAAACGCCACCUAAGUAUUUUUCAAACAUAAAGUUGUACUUGCACUUUUUAAAUGAUUAUAAUUACAUUUAUUGACUUAUUCUAAUUUAAAAUUCUUAAUAGAUUUAUUAAUUCUUAUAUAAUUAGAUGUUAUUAUAGGUUGCAAUGUUAGAUUUAAUAAUUAAAAAUAGUAUUUUUAUAUUUGAAUUAUCUUUUGUUUUUUAGUAUUUUUGUACAAUUAUUUUUGUUUAGAGUAUAUAUUCGUAGAGUUUUUCGUGUCCCCAUUAUUUGAUGUACUUCUUUUUACUUAUGAAUAUUUAUGUUCACUUCAAAAUAUAAAAUUUUAAAUUUAGCCCGGGGUAAUAUAAAUUCUUAGGUCCGCCCCUAAGCAAAACUAAAUAUUUAUGACUUAAAAGAUAGGUGUUGAACAGAGGCAGUCUCACAGAAAAAAAAAAAAAAAGUAUUUGAAAGCAGUGGUGAUAUCAUAAUUUUUUGUAUUGAUAUGAGAGUAUCAUACUAGAUUUUUUUCCGCAAUACAAAAAGUUUGUAUUCAAGAAUAAAUAAGCAAUUUCGGGAACAAAUUUUACAAAAAGCCUCGAGGCCAUGUCGUAUGAAUUUGUGAUACCAAAAAUAGUAUACUAGUCAAUAUAUCUUCUUUCCACAUUACAAAAAAUUAGAAAUGCAAUCUAAAUCGAUAUCAAUUAAUAAUUUUAUAGUACACGAAAUCAAGGUAUUUUUUCAUAAUUUAAGAAAUUAUUAGUCAUUUACCCUAAAUUUACUUUGUCUCCAAAAAUACUACGAAAACUUUAACUUGUUUAGUUUUUUACCUUAAUUUAUAAUUUAUAUCAAUCGCUCACUAAAAAGAUAAAAUUAGCUCAUAAAAUGACAAAAUAAAAACAAACACAAAUGACAAUACCAGUAAUUUUAUAAGGAUAAUAAAGUCCUUUUGGCACCAAAUUACGUAUUAAAAUAAUUUAAAUAUUAUAAAUUAUUUUCAGAUUGAGUGAGGAACCCUGGUCAUUUUAACAAUUAUGGUCAUUUAAUCUAUCUAAACAUGAUAUUUCAAGUAGACUUAUGUUUGCGUGGGAGGAUAAUGUAAAAAAAGUGGCACUUUUAUUCAACUGAAUAAAUUUCACAAUUUAAAUUAGAAAAGGAUAAAAUUUAAUAAUUAACUAUUUUUUUAACUAAUUCAAUCGGGAGCCAUUAUUUGUAGGCUGUAGCGGUCCCAAAAGCAUGACAUUAUUGUGAGUAAUGUAUCCUACUUGCAAAAUAAACGGCAGAAUGCGGUUUGGGGACGGAUUAUCGAGGUAUUUGUUAAUAUUCGGAAAUGAGAAGAAAAGGUCAAAUAAAAUUUUAACUUAUUAUUAUUAUUAUUAAAGAUUGUAACUCAGAUGAUUAGACAAAUAAAGGAACUUAAGGCCACUUGGCGGCUUCACUAGGAGCUGUUUGAGUUUAAUUCUAUUGGUAAAAUUCUAUUUUGGUAAUUCUAUUCUUCUUCUUUUCAACCCCAAAUAAUCAAAAGCUCUCCAAUGGCUUUCGUAUCCACAACUCGUCCAUUUCAUUUUACUUCAAUUUCAGUAUCAGCUCUUAGAUGUAAUUUCUCAUCUUCGUUCCCUCAUACCAGAAAACCCACAUCUUCAAUUUCGGAAAAUGAACCCUCAUAUCCGACUACAACAGCUAAACUGAAGGAGUCGCUACGACUGACAGUCAAAGACGGAGCCUCACUCGAAAAAUUUCUUAAAGAAAGGUGCAAAUCAUCAGGUCAAGGUGAUAUUAAUCUUAUUACUCCUAAUGAAGCCUUGUGUAUCUUUGAUUACAUGCUCCGUAUGCACCCUUCUCCGCCUCCUGUCUCUUCCUUCAAUAUUUUGUUUGGUUGUCUUGCUAAGAAUAAACAUUAUGAUACUGUCCUUUCACUCUUCAAGAGACUCAAUUCAAUUGGGUUGUUUCCAGAUCUUUAUACUUAUAGUAUCUUGAUUAACUGCUUUUGCAAAAUGGGUCGAGUUUCUCCUGGUUUUGUUGUUCUUGGGAGAAUCCUCAGGUCUUGUUUUACUCCAAAUGCUGUGACCUUUACUUCUUUGAUUAAAGGUUUGUGUGCGGAGGGUAGAAUCAUGGAGGCCGCUGCAUUGUUUAUGAAACUUAGAGUGUUUGGUUGUGAGCCUAAUGUUUUUACAUACAAUACUUUGAUUAAUGGAUUGUGUCGAACUGGCCAUACAAUUGUUGCUCUAAAUUUAUUUGAAGAGAUGGCUAAUGGAAAUGGGGAAUUUGGUGUUGUUUGUAAGCCAAACACUGUUACAUACACUACUAUUAUCGAUGGUCUUUGUAAGGAAGGUUUUGUGGACAAGGCCAAGGAACUGUUUCUGAAGAUGAAGGAUGAGAAUAUUAACCCCAAUGUGGUUACUUAUAACUCUUUGAUUCACGGUUUUUGUUACGCUAAUGAUUGGAAUGAGGCGAAGUGUUUGUUUAUUGAGAUGAUGGACCAAGGGGUACAGCCGAAUGUUGUGUCUUUUAAUGUGAUCAUGAAUGAGCUUUGUAAAAAUGGGAAGAUGGACGAAGCAAGUAGGCUGUUAGAAUUGAUGAUUCAGAUUGGUGUGCGUCCAAAUGCUUUUGUCUAUAACACAUUAAUGGACGGGUUUUGUUUGACAGGUAGAGUUAAUCGUGCGAAGGAACUAUUUGUUUCUAUGGAGAGUAUGGGUUGCAAACAUAAUGUUUUUAGUUACAGUAUUUUGAUAAAUGGUUACUGCAAGAAUAAGGAAAUAGAGGGAGCGUUAAGCCUUUAUAGCGAAAUGCUCUCUAAAGGUAUUAAGCCAGAUGUUGUUAUAUAUAACACCUUGUUUAUUGGCCUUUUUGAAAUACACCAGGUUGAGCGUGCUUUCAAGCUGUUUGAUGAGAUGCAACGUCAUGGCGUGGCAGCUGAUACCUGGGCGUAUAGAACCUUUAUUGAUGGGCUCUGCAAGAAUGGUUAUAUUGUAGAGGCAGUUGAACUAUUUCGUACUUUGAGAAUUCUCAAGUAUGAACUUGAUAUUCGAGCCUACAACUGCCUCAUUGAUGGAUUAUGUAAAUCCGGCAGACUCAAAAUUGCAUGGGAACUAUUUCGUAGUUUGCCUCGUGGAGUCCUAAUAGCAGAUGUUGUAACAUAUAACAUCAUGAUCCACGCGCUUUGUGCUGAUGGAAAAAUGGACAAGGCACGUGAUUUGUUUCUGGAUAUGGAAGCAAAAGGUGUAGCACCCAAUUGUGUCACAUUUAACACGCUGAUGCUAAGUUGCAUCCGCAAUAAUGAGACAUCAAAAGUUGUUGAACUCCUUCACAGAAUGGAUGAGAGAAAUGUAAUACCAGAUGCAUCUACACUUUCAAUUGUUGUGGACUUACUUGUAAAGAAUGAAAUUAGCUUAAACUCGAUUCCACAAUUCAAGAGUCAAAGGUAAGUGAGUUUAAUAUUGAUUUAGUCGCAUGUUUCUUCUGCCUGAAAACCCGAUCUGGAGGAUCCCAUUCUUAUUAACACAUGUAAAGGAGUGUUGUCUAAUGUUGGCAUGUUCCUAGGUUCUGUCCAUGGAUUCUGUUUGCGGACAUGGCUAACUUCUUGUCCAACAGAUAAGUUUUAAAGUCUUUCAACUUUAUGUUGUAAAAUAACAUUUUUAUUAUUCAAUUCAUGAGUUUUCCUUCUGUAUCACAUACUUCUCAUUAGCUGGAAGCGCAAAUUUUUUAGGCUUUUCCUGUAUGGCCUCUUUUUCUGCUCUAAAUAAAAUGGCAUUUUAUUUCUCUCUUGUGAGGGUACAAGGUUUAUGUUUAAACUUUCUGUUAGUUAAUUUGGUUGUCUUUGAUAUAGGGAACUUCCAGUUGAACUGAUUUGUAAUUCGAGUAUAUGAGAUUACCAACUGUAUUGGGAAUUGAUGCCAAAUUAAUUAUGUCAUCAGGUUUUUCAAUCAGUGUUCAUCAUUUAUUUCUGUUAACAAUUAAUAGCACAGCUUGACUUCUCAGCUUCAUUGGUUCCUCUCAAAAAUAAUCUUGUAAAGACAAUCUUUCUUGGGCAUGGAAAAUGCUAGAUUGUUACAUGGCAUUCAAUUGAAUGAGGACUCAUGAUUGUGUGUAUUGGUAUUUGUUAUACUAUGUAUUGGCAAGACAAAGUUUCUUGAAACUGACAAACUUUUCUCUAUGAAGAUUGAAGAAAAUAUGAUAAGAUAAAAUUUAUCAAAAGCAUAUAUGCUUGCCAGGGAUGGACCUUUGAUUAUUAGUCCUCGCCUUUCGUGCUUGUCUGUUCUGUGAAAUAAUUCAUUCUCCAUGCUGCUAGGGCCUAGGCUUAUGACUCUUCUUUGAAAUAAUUCAUUCCCCACAAUGUGAAAAAAAUGCUUGAAACACGACACAGACUUAACUGUUUACAGGAAAAGCGGCAGAAACUUGUGAAAUUACCGAUUAAAAAGUACCUACCAUGAGGAAGAUGCUAUACAACUCACUCGGAAAAUGUAAAAUGGUUAACAGACAUCCAAGAUGAUCAACCAGAAACACAAUUCAGAACAUGGGCUGCUUUUGGUUACCCGGCUUUCAGAUUAGGAGAUUAGGAUCCUAAAUGCUUUGAUCUACCUGAAAAGUAUACAAAUAUCAGAGUUAAAACAGAGCAGAUGAAAACGUAUUGAUGAACUCAACUGAGAUAAAUGACAAGAAAACUAACUUUUCCUGUACAAAACUCGCACACCUUCCUUUAAGAGCUGACUUUCCAAGAAGAGAUCACCACAAUCGUUCACAUCAACAGUCUCCACUUGAAAAUUUUUAUAACCACAAUAGUCAUUCCAUUCAAACCACAUCCUUGAGAUCAGUUCCUUCUUCAAGCAAGUAGGAUGGUCUUCCUCUUGAGGAGGCUCAGCAGCAACCAAUCUAUAUGCAUAAACUUUCUUUGUUUGGCCUGGCCGGAAAGGCCUGCCGAUUGCUUGGCGGGUUUCUGAUGGAGUAAAGGUAACAUCCAGAAUAAUGAUCCAAAUUUUUGUGGACUUACAUGCAAAGAAUGAAAUUGGUUUAAACUCGAUUCCACAAUUCAAGAGUUAAUGAGUUUAUCUUGAUUCUGUAGCAUGUCUCUUCUGCUUUAAAACCAGAUCUGGGGAAUCCCAUUCUCAUUACAACAUGUGAAGGAGUGUUUGUGUAUUGUUGGCAUGUUCCCAGGUUCUGUUCACGGAUUCUGUUUGCAGACAUGGCUAACUCCUCGUUUCAUCAGAUAAGUUUCAAAGUCUGGCAACUUUUUGUUGUAAAAAUAACUAUUUCAUUAUUCAAUUCAUGAGUUUUCCUUCUAUGGUGCAUUUUUCUCAUUAGCUGUAGUUUCAAAAUUCGAGCGAAUUUGAAGAAACUGCAAAAGACUACAAAGCAAAUGGUGUAGAGCACCUUUCACUUAUCACGGGCACAGGAUUACUCUGACUUUCUGCAUUUUACUGUUGGCUAUGGUUUGAUGCAUUAUUUAUUGUUCUGAAAUACCAUUCUCGUUGGAAGUUCAAUCAUUACUGUUUCUUUUUUCCCCCCUUUUUACUUGAAGUUACCUGAAGCUCCAAUCGAACGAGUAAUGUAAUGUAGGUGUUGACCAACUCCAAAUAAGUAGUUAGUUGCCUAGUAGUUGCUUUGCAUGAAAUAUGUUUUUGGUAUGAAUAAUGUUGUCUUAAUUUUACAAGCUUCCAUGGAACUCCUAAUUUGUUGGAAGUAUUAACUCAACCCGUCAUUUAAGGUUAGAUUUAACCAUUGACUUAUGUUGACUAUUAAAAGUAUUAUAAUAUUCUAUAAAUAUAACGAAACCCCCCUUUAUUAACAAAUAUAAUUUAAAAUAUAAAAAAUUAAUAAUAAAAAAUAACAAAGUUGAAAUCCAAGGAGCAACUUCUAUCCCCUAACCAAGUUAUUAAAUAUUAGAGUAGAUAGAGGCAUAUACUUUUCUUCAUGAUUCAGAAUCAUAUCUCAAAUAAAAUUCUCAAUGAUUGCAGGCCUCAAUACCAUUAAGAUGAACUAGACUAUCAUGAAAUUUUGUGCAUCUUGCAAGGUCCAAUUUCUCCAAGUUUAUCAUCAAGCCAAAAAAUGUCAUAAUUCCUUUUAUAGUAAUUUCAUAGUGUUUACUAAACGGUAAUAGAAAUGGACUGAAACACAAAUAGGGAAUGCAAGUUAGAAUAAGGAUGGCAAUGGUGAGGGGGGAGGGGACCAACAUCCUUGUACCCAUCCCUGAUGUUCUGUAUAUGUCCCCAUCCCCUUCCCGUCCCCAUCAAAAUUACUUAAGGGAAUUCACGUCCUCCCUCUGAAUAAUAACAGGGAAUCCCCAAAGGUCCCCGAUCCCCAAAUAACUGAUAUAUUUGUUUAGUUUUCAAACUUAAUUUAAUCAUAUUAAGCUAAAAAUAUAUAAAAUAAAAUGAAAAUGAUCAUGAAUGCGCCUUAUAUUUCAUUCAACUUGGUAUAUAUAAUAUUCAAAUAAUGAUUUUCAAAAAAAAAUUCAAAUAAUGUGAUUUUUAUACAAUAUUGACGUGAUUGUUGUCCAUGAGUAACGAUACCUACUGAUCACCGACUAUGAUGCAACAAAGCCGCAUGUGUGGCUGCUAGUUGACAUUGCGAUGAGUUAGUGUAACCCCCACUUUUAUUUAUUUAUUUUUUUCCUCUUUUGCCCUUAUUAAACUGAGUAGGAUAGUUAUUAUUGAGUGUUUGUGUGUGAGUAAAAUUUAUCGGAUUGUUUUAAAUAAGUUACGUAAGUUAUUUUUUUUAAAAAAAAAUAUUUAUUAAUUACCAAGUAUUUAAGAGAAAACCAUAUUUUUAAGAAGCCGUUUUUUAUUUUUCUUACACCGUUACAAACCCUAGAAAGAAAAGAAAGAAAUAUAAGUCUUUGCAAAAGGAAAAGAAAGUUUUAUCACUUCUUUUCUUAGUGUUUGCUUUAAGGUAUUAAGUAUUUCUUCGACUUAUAUGAUUUAUUUUUAUGAAAUUGUUUGCAUUUAAUUACUUGUAGUAUGAAUUGGGUAAUAUAUGUGUUUGUAAUGUUGUGAUGAUAUGAACAGUCUCUAUUCCUUGCUUGAAAUCGUUUUCUUUAUUUAGAAUCACGUGAAUAUCUUACAUAUCAUGGAACUAGACAUCCUAGGCUUUCCAUUGAUAGGUUUUGUGUUGAAAUCGCCUGAGAAUGCAAAUUCUUAUGGGUUUUCGAAGUUGGGUUACUGGUGCUGGAAAAUUCCGAUUUUCAGCAGCGGUUCUCAACUCUGGAAAUUUUUCUAUAAGGUUACACAUCCUUAAAAAUUAUGCUGAUUUUUGUGCCAACAGAUCUAUGUCUCCUAUGCUUGCAUGUUUAAUUUCGUAGUUUUAUUCUUUAUGGUUGAAUUAUUAAAAAUCGUAACAUAUGGCUGCUGCAAAUCUGGAGACUGUUAUCCAGAAUUUCAGAAGCUGAAACGUGUAACAGUUGAGCUAGUUUAUGAAUAUUACAUGCCAUGUUAGGAUUUUAUAAUGAAAUUUCAAUCUUUCCUCUGUCUUUAAAAACUGGAAUCGCGAUUUUUGGGGAUGUAAAAUAAAAGAUACGAAUUUUUGAAAUUCUGUUUUCAAAUCUGGAAUUUUCUGGACGGGUUAGAUGUUCUCGGAAAUAAAACGUUUUAAAAUAGUCUCAGGAGUCCAAAAAUUAUGAAUUUUAAUUAUAUGCUUUUUGAAUGUGUCUUCUGUAAUUAGAAAAAAAGAUAGCAUAUUACUUCGAGUACCAAAGAAUAUUUUAUGAAUUUUCUAAGUGGAAAAGGUCUGUUUUGGUCAGUGCUGGACAGUUUUGUUACUUUGGUGAAAGGUCAAUAUUCUGACUCGAUUUUGACUUGUGCUGAUUUUUGUGAAAUAUUGUAUGCAAUGCUAUACAUGUUCACAGUGCCUCUGUAAAUUUUCAUGGUUUUCCGACAUGUGUAUAGGUUAUUAAAAAUCAUCAUGUGCAGGAUACUCAUAAGUAUAGGAUAUGUUUAGAAUAUGUAUAAGUAUUAAGCUAGUAUUAGUGUCUAUGAUUUAAGGAUGAUUGGGAUUAUAUUUAAGGUUAGAGAUGAUAUUGAUAAGAAUAUUUUUAUGAUGAUUAUAGGACGUGGGUGAGCUCGUUGGUUGUUCUUGAGGUUUUGAAUUGAUUGCUACGGAUCGAGAUAAGUAGAUUCAUGCAUGAUGUGCUUUAUAAUAAAUGCAAUUUAUGUUACAAAAAUUAUGUUUAAAUGGAAAUUUUUACAAAACUGAUUUCUAAAAUAUUUAAAUGAAUUUUGUAAAAUAAAAACACUUUUAAAUGAAUUUAUAUAAAUGAAUUUUAAAAUGAAUUUUUCUUAAGAAAUGAGUUUUCUUAAACAAAAUAUUUUCUUAAAGAAUUUUCUAAAAGAAUUAAAUGAUCAAAGAAAGGUUCUUAAAUGUUUUAGAAAACUUUAAAAGCUAUUUAUGAAAGGAUGUAAGGUGGAUUCAAAAUGUUUUGGCUUAUAGUCCGUAGUAAUGUAUACAAUGGAAAUGUUAUGAUGUUAUGUAAUAUUAUGGUCAGCUUGCUGGUACGAUGAUGGUCUUGUGCACAAGGAUGUUAUGAACAAUGUGGGACAUAGUACCCUAAAUGAGGAACAAUGCGGGGUAUAACACCCUAAAUGAUGAAUGAUGAUGAUUAUGAGGCAUGAGCUACCAAUGUUUACGCUUUAAUGUUUUCAUAAAUGUUUUAAUGUUUUUAUAUGAAUCCACCCCUUAUGUUAAAUGAAGAUGUUGUUAUAAAAUGUUUAAAGGUAUAUGACAAAGGUUUUCAAAUAUUGUGCAUGGAUUUGAUUACCGAGUUGACGGCUCACCCCUCGUCUCCAAUAUUUUACAGAUUGAUUAGAGAUAUGGCUUGGGUUCUUAGACGGAGAAUUUUUCUUAGUGGAUCUUUAGAGUUGUUUUAAAGAUUAAAUUUGGCUAGACUUCCUAUUUUGCAUUAGAGACUUUUCUUUGGAGACCUUAUUUCAUAUGUUUUAUGUAAGGAUUCAGUUGGAGUAUGAAUAAUUAUUGUUUAUCUUGAGAUUUAUUAAUAAGAAUAAAUGAUGUGAGGUUUCAUUCCAAUUUUACCCUUGUGUUUUCAUGAGUAAUUUUUGGGGUGUUACAGUUAGGCUACUCGGACACCGACAACGCAAUGUGCUACUGGGCUAUGAUGAGAUGAAGACGAGUUGCGUGCUUACUACUGCAUGAAUAAUUUGGAAAUUAUGAGCAAGACUGUGAGAAAGUGAUUUAGAGUUUGAUUUGUGAGUUAUGAGCUUGUGGGAUUGUGUGCUUUUGGUUGUAAUUAAGUCUAAAUUAUAUUAAACAUUUUAUAUUAACUAAUAUUUGUAUUAUUUGUAUAAAUAUUUUGAUAUUUGUUAUUUACACCAAUAUUUUAUAUUUUACAAUUUAAAAUUUAUUAUUUAUUGACUAAUAAUUCUAAAAAAAUAAAAAUAAAAUAAAAUAUUAAAAUAGGGAAAUGGGGAGGGGACGGGGAUUCCACCUCAUCCCCAUCCCUUCCCUGAAUAAGUAAUUGGGUAAAAAAUCGUCUUCGUCCCUUCCCCGAAUAAGAAGUUUGGCAUAAAAUCGUCCAUGUACCCUCCCCAAAUAGGAAAAAUCCCCAAGGGCCCCCAUCCCCAUGGGGAUUCCUGCCAUUUCUAAAUUAGAAUAAAUUAUUUACUUGAACUGUAGGAAUCAGAAUAAAAAUAAGCUGGAUUGUCAUUGAUGUGUCUAUUUUGUCUUGGAAUUGAAAUCAAAAUGAGUUACAUUUUAACAACUUACUAAAAAGUGCUUAAUGAGCUAUUGUCAUAAUUAUUAUUUUAUAUUUUAAUUAUGGUAAUUAUUUAUUCAAAAAUUAUAAUAAUUAUUAUUGUUAAUAAUAUAUUCAUAUAUUAAUUAAUUGAAAAUUAUUUAAAUUAAUUAAUUAUUAAUAUAUUAAUUGAUUAAUUAUAAUAAUACAUUAAUUAAUUAUAACUGAGGACAAAAUAAAUAUUUUUUAUUUUGUGAGGGGGCAAAAUGGUCAUUCCAAGGAAUGGGAGACUAAUUCCCGCCUCCCUUGGGAAUUAAUCUUCCAUUUGCCAUUCCCAAAUUGCGGUGGACUCAACGAUUUCAAUUCCGAUUCUUGACUCUAUUUUGUGAAGUAAAUGCUCUCAAUAAUUUCGAUUCCUCAAUCCGAAGAAGUAAACGCACAGUUACUGUUUCUUCUAAAGCUCAAACUUGUCAGGUUUGAGAGACCUGAUAGAUACUUCAGUCAUGCAUCUACUUCAUCAUAAGACAAACUGAAAGUUAGAAAUAAAAGGGACAACUCAAGGAAAAUGCACACAAGUGAGGUUUCAAAAUUAAAAUAGACACUUCAGCUGCAAAUCAGCAUACACAUACAAUGGAGGUCAUACAAAUAUCAUUUCUACAACCGCCCUACUGUAUUCUUGAAUGAAGAUGGUUUAAAGUCAAGUAAUAAGAUAUUUAAACUUAAGACAGAACAAUACAAUUAAAUUUGCUGGAACUUAUGAGUAACUUACUCUCAUCUCUCCUCCUAAUUUAAUUGGACAGGCGUAAAUUUUCCAUGUUAAUAUGGAUGAAGUAAAUUUUCUUUUUGUAAUAUAUCUAUGCAUUAAAAAAAAUUAAUAAUAAUAACUUUUACAAGCAUUUAUGCUUGUAUUAAUACUCUACUUUUUACUACACGAUUGCUUCAGUAUAUGGUGGAUGUUAAGAUAACAAUAAUAAUAGAAUUACAAAUACUUGCAUACUAUUAACUAACUUAACACUAUAAUAUUGUUUACGGUGUAAGCACUCGAGGUGAUGUUAAUAUGCCAAAGAUUUAAAAAUAUUAGUUCUAGCUUUUGAAGAAAAAUAUACUUUUAGUCAGAAGGGAAAAAAAAGCUUUCUAACAAGAUAUCAAAAUGGUUAAUAAGAAGAGCAGUAGUAAUGGGGUAAAAGCUCGUUUAGUCCCUAUAUUUUGAGGUUAGUACUUGUUUAGUCCCUAUAUUUUUAAAAAUGCUUUAAAACAUCUUUGUCGUUAAAUUAUUGACACCCCUGUCUUUACUUUGUAUUCCUUUUAGCUUACUUUUACAAUAUUACCAUUUUUGCAAUAUUGUUUAAUUUUUUGGACAUUAAUAAUAAAUAAAAUUACCAAUUUAACCCCAAAAAUAAAAUAAAGACAAAGAAAAUAUAUAUUAAUCUUUGUCGAAACUAUGUCAAAAAAAUAAAUAUUGUAAAAAAAAUUUAACUACUAAUUUUUUAGACAUUAAUAAAAAAAUUAAUAUAUUAAUUCCUCGUGGAGUAUUCAAAAAAAUUAAUAUAGAUUUUUUUUUGUUUCUAUUUUACUUUUUUGGGUUAAAUUGAUAAUUUGAUUUUUCUUGUUAUUAAUGUGCAAUAAAGAAUAAAUAUUAUUGUACGGGGGUAAUAUUGUAAAAGUAAGUUAAAAAGAACAAAAAAUAACGGUAAGGGUGUCAAUAUUUAACGAUAAGGAUGUUUUAAGGCAUUUUUAAAAAUAUAGAGACUAAAUAGGUAUUAAUCUCAAAAUAUAAGGAUUAAACGAGAUUUUACCCUUAAUAAUGUUACGAGGGGGUUCAAAUGGAGGGGGAUGGGUAUUUCCAAAUUUGUAUCCAUUAAUUUUUUUAAAACUCAUAUCUGUCACUUGUUAUUAUUUUAAAGGAAAUUAUCAGUCAUAUACCUUAAGUUGACAAAACACUUCUACCGUCCACCAUUCCUUUAACUUCCAUUUGCAAGCGUUGACAUCAUAAGGGUAAUUUAGUCUUUUAAGACUGACGAAACUUUGAUAAAAAAAACGGCAUGUCAUCCCAUUUACCGAAUAAAAAAUGACAUGUCAUAUGAUAUAUAUUGAUAAAAAUAACAUGUCAUUCCACUUAUCGGUUAAUUGUUAAUAAUUGCUAAAAAAAACUAUUUUACAACUGAAUCUACUCCUCCAAAAUUUAACUUAAAUUUUUGAAGAUCUACUCCUCCAAGCUCCAACUUGAAAUUUUUAUGGUAUAAUAUGUAUAAUUGUAAAUAAUAUGUUGUUAAUAAUUUUUUAUGGUAUAAUAUGGAUAUUUUUUAUGGAUAAUUGUUAAUACUAUGUACCAUUAAUAAUUCAUUUUUUAAUCAAAAAAUGUAUUGGUAAUAACAAAAUAAAAAAAAUUAUGUAUUGAAAAUUUACGUUAAUUUUUGGGAUAAAUUUAUUUUUUUACCUCAUUUUGAGUUUUAAGGGCAAAAUAGUCAAUUUACCACAAUUCUGUUAACUUUCUAACAGAAGUUAAUAGAAUGGUGGACGGCAGAAGUAUUUUGUCAACUUAGGGUAUACGAGUAAUACACUUGAAAAGUAUUCACACACGUUUGAUACGGGUAUCAUUUAAGGGUAUAUAGCUGAUAAUUUCCCUUAUUUUAAAUAUCAAACUUGUCAACCCUUAGGGGAAACAAGUAUUUAACGGACUUUGUGCGGCUAAUUCUCAUCAUUCGCUACUCUAAAUUUUAUUUUACAGAUUUGUGCAUCAUUUAUAACAUUUAAUUAAAUACACUUAAAUUAUAUAGAUUCAACGGUUCAACCUUCAUAUAUCACAUGAAAAGAAUACUGAAUUUUUAACAUCUCUCAUCAAGAGAUUGUACUGUGCUUACUCAAUUAGAUACUAAGGUGGCGUUUUUUUUUUAACUUAAUGACUUAAAGUGACUUAACUUAAUUAAUUAAGUUAAUUAGAGGUGUUUGUUUUUAUAACUUAAUGAGACUUUGUAGAUAAUUUUGACUUAAUAAAAUAAGCUAAUUUUUUUUGCUUUUUACUUAAUGGAGAAAUUUGAAUUAAGUCAAUUACUUACUAAUGUAAAAAAUAUUCAUGUUUUAUAAUUUAUUUUUCAUGUCUAUCCCAAAACUCACCUAUAGACAUUUACUCCACAUAAAAAUAUCCAUGUUUUUUCUUUCUUAUAUUAUAUACGAUAAAAUUUAAAAUUUAUGGUAUUUUAUAUAUUAAAAUUCUAAAAUAAUUAUGUAUUCACUUCAAUAUAGUUUUACUUAUAAAUGUUAAAAUAUUGUGGUAUUUAAUAUAUUAUUUAUUUGACAUUCAAAUUUGAUAUGGAUACAAAUGUAAAAGUACAUAUUUUCAGUUUUUUCAGUUGAAAAAAACAAACAACUUAAUACUUAUUUUCCGAGAUUCAGAUGAAAAAAUAAACAUAUUAUUUAGAUUCAGACAUUCAAAUCUAUUCAGAAUUCAGACUAAUUCAGGUCUAUUCAGAUUUCAGAUAAAAAAACAAACGACACCUAAGUUUAUACUCCAACUAAUGUGUUAAUAGUAUUUGAAUAAAAAAUGAUAAAACUUAAUAAUUAAUUAUUGCUUAAGUCAAUUAAAUAGUAUCAUAUCAUUUGUUAAAAAAAAAAAAAAAUCUUUGUUGUUUCAAGAUUAUUAAUCCUUUUUCAUUUACUUAUUAUCAUUACUAUCUGCAACAAUCAUAAUGAUUUGCAUCAACAUGUGAUUGUUUUUUUGACUCCAAGAACAGCUUGUAAAUGUAAUUUCUCUUCUUCCCCACUCACCCUUGAAAACCCACUAUUUGUGUACUUCCAAAACGAUUUAUUGCUGACCGCCAAAGACCGAUACUCACUGGACAAAUUCCUAAAAGAAAGAUUCAAAUUCCAAUGUCUUAUACCUAUUUGAUUUGCAGUUCUUGUUAUGCUAAUGACUAGAAUGAGGCAAAGUGUUUUUUAAUUGAGAUGAUGGAUCUAAGGGUGCAGCAUGAUGUUGUGAUUUUCCAUGUUGGUCAUAUAUGAGCUUUGUGAAAAUAGAAAGAUAGAAGAAGCAUGUAGGUUUUUAGAAUCGCAUCAAUGGAUGGGUUUUGCUUGACCGAGGGAACUAUUUGUUUCUGUGGAGAAUAAAGGGUGCAGAAAUGAUGUUGCUAAAUACAACAAGUUGAUAAAUGGGUAAUGCAAGAAUAAGGAAGUAGAGGAAGCGUUAGGCCUUUGUAGCGAAAAGCUUUCUAAAAGAAUUCUCCUAGAAUAUGUUGGGGGGAUGGAGCAGCUGCCCCCAUCGCACCCUAAGCCAACAGACUCAAAAUUGGAUGGGAACUUUUUUCAUAGAUUAUUUCACGAACGCCCGAUUCCAAAUAUGUAACAUAUAACAUCAUGAUUCAUGGGCUUUGUAACAAUGGGCAAAUGGAUACGGAAGCAAGGCGUACGACGCCCAGUUGUGUCAUGUUUACUAAGCUUAUGCGAAAGAAUGAGACAUCAAAAGUUAUUGAACUUCCUCACUCAAUGGAUAAGAGAAAUGUAAUGCGGGAUGCAUCUAUACUUGCAACUGUUGUGGACUUUCUUUUAAAGAAUGAUAUCCGUUUAAACUCGAUUCCAGAAUUCAAAAGCCAAAAUUGAAUAUUGAUUUAGUAGCAUGUUUUUCUACCUGCUGAAAUUCGGAUAUGGAGGGUCCGUUUCAUUAUCCCAAAUGUGAAGGAGUGUCACGUUGUGAGGGCAAUGUAAAAUCCUCGCCAUCUGGUUCGGUUCACCAAAGAAACUUCCCCAUUAAUUUCUUGAAAAAGUUGAGUUAAAACUGUGAAUGAAAGAAUCAUGAUGAUCUGUUUUGGUUUGUGAGAUGUUAGAAAGUGGUCAUUGUUUAUUAAGUGGAAAUAAAAAUGAGGGAAUGAGAUUCAUUAAUUUGUUUACUUAUAAAUAGAGGAGGAGAAUUGAGAAUUAAAUUUGUUGGCCUCACAUCAAUUUAUGAAUAACUCUUGGAUUUCUAAUUUCUAAGGGAGAUUUGGAAUCUACAUCUCAUUUACAAUCUACCCAAUUGUAAUAAUUUUCAUUUUGUCAUUCUUUUAAAUAUUUAAAAAAUAAAUAAAAAUCGCAUGAGUACUGUGCAAAGAUGGAUUGUUCUUGUUAUUGUUGAUGUUAUUAUUACUAGCACCGAAUUACAUAUUAUUAAAUUAAUUUAAAUAUUACAAAUUAAAUUAUUUUUAAAUGAGUGAUAAAACCUGAUCAUUUAAUAACCAUGGCCAUUUAACAGAUUUAAACAUAAAAUUUCGUGUCAAAUUAUGUUUGAGUAUAAGGAUAAUGUAAGAUAAUUGGUACUUUAAUUUACAUUUAUGUGCUAACUGAAUAAAGUUCGCUAUUUAAAUUAAAUUAGAAACGGUGAAAUUUAAAAAUUAACUAUUAUUUAGCCAUUUAAACGCAGAGACACAAUUUGUCACGGUUCCAAAAGCAUAGCAUCAUUGAAAGUACCGUAUCCCACUUGUAUUAAUAUUCGGAAGAAUGGAAGGUUCUAUUUUGGUAAUUCUUUUCUUCUUCUUUUUCAACCCCAAACAAUCAAAAGCUCUCCAAUGGCUUUCGUAUCCACAACUCGUCCAUUUCAUUUUACUUCAAUUUCAAUAUCAGCUCUUAGAUGUAAUUUCUCCUCUUCGUUCCCUCAUACCGGAAAACCCAAAUCUUCCAUUUCGAAAAAUGAGCCCUCAGAUCCGACUACAACAGCUAAACUGAAGGAGUCGCUGCGACUGACAGUCAAAGACCGAGCCUCACUCGAAAAAUUCCUCAAAGAAAGGUGCAAAUCAUCCGGUGAAGGUGAUAUUACUUCCAUUACUCCUAAUGAAGCCUUGUGUAUCUUUGAUUACAUGCUCAAUAUGCGCCCUUCUCCGCCUCCUGUCACUUCCUUCAAUCUUUUGUUUGGUUGUCUUUGCUAAGACUAAACAUUAUGAUACUGACCUUUCACUCUUCAAGAGACUCAAUUCCACUUGGUUGUUUCCGGAUCUUUAUACUUGCAACAUAUUGAUUAAUUGCUUUUGCAAAAUGGGUCGAGUUUCUCAUGGUUUUGUUGUUCUUGGGAGAAUCCUCAGGUCUUGUUUUACUCCAGAUGCUGUGACCUUUACUUCUUUGAUUAAAGGUUUGUGUGCGGAGAGUAGAAUCAUGGAGGCCGCCGCAUUGUUUACGAAACUUAGAGUGUUUGGUUGUAAGCCUAAUGUUUUUACAUACAAUACUUUGAUUAAUGGAUUGUGUCGAACUGGCCAUACAAUUGUUGCUCUAAAUUUAUUUGAAGAGAUGGCCAAUGGAAAUGGGGAAUUUGGUGUUGUUUGUAAGCCAGACGCUGUUACAUACACUACUAUUAUAGAUGGUCUUUGUAAGGAAGGUUUUGUGGACAAGGCCAAGGAACUGUUUCUGCAGAUGAAGGAUGAGAAUAUUAACCCAGAUGUGGUUACCUAUAACUCUUUGAUUCACGGUUUUUGUUACGCUAAUGAUUGGAACGAGGCGAAUUGUUUGCUAAUUGAGAUGAUGGACCAAGGGGUACAGCCUAAUGUUGUGACUUUCAAUGUGAUCAUGGAUGAGCUCUGCAAGAAUGGGAAGAUGGAUGAAGCAAGUAGGUUGUUGGACCUGAUGAUUCAGCGUGGUGUGCGUCCAAAUGCUUUUGUCUAUAGCACAUUAAUUGAUGGUUUUUGCUUGACAGGUGAAAUAGAUCGUGCGAGGGAAUUAUUUGUUUCUAUGGAUAUUAACGGGUGCAUGCAUAAUGUUGUUACUUACAACACGUUAAUAAAUGGGUACUGCAAGACUAAGGAUGUAGAGGAAUCUUUAAAUCUAUAUAGUGAAAUGCUUUCUAAAGGAAUUAGGCCAACAGUUGUUACAUAUAACACCUUGUUUCAUGGCCUUUUUGAAAUACACCAGGUUGAGCAUGCUUUAAAAUUGUUUGAUGAGAUGCAGCAUAGUGAUGUGGCAGCUGAGACCUCUACGUAUAAUACCUUUAUUGACGGGCUCUGCAAGAAUGGUUAUAUUGUAGAGGCAGCUGAACUAUUUCGUACUUUGAGAGUACUCAAGUGUGAACUUGGUAUUGAAGCAUACAGCUGCCUCAUUGAUGGAUUGUGUAAAAUAGGCAAACUGGAAACUGCUUGGGAACUGUUUCAAAGUUUGCCUCGUGUAGGCCUAAUGCCAAAUGUUGUAACAUAUAACAUCAUGAUCCAUGGGUUUUGUAAUGAUGGGCAAAUGGACAAGGCACAUGAUUUGUUUCUUGAUAUGGAAGCAAAAGGUGUAGCACCCAAUUGUGUCACAUUUAACACGCUUAUGCUAGGUUGCAUCCGCAAUAAUGAGACAUCAAAAGUUGUUGAACUCCUUCACAGAAUGGAUGAGAGAAAUGUAAUACCAGAUGCAUCUACACUUUCAAUUGUUGUGGACUUACUUGUAAAGAAUGAAAUUAGCUUAAACUCGAUUCCACAAUUCAAGAGUCAAAGUUAAAGUGAGUUUUAUAUUGAUUUAGUCACAUGUUUCUUCUGCCUGAAAACCCGAUCUGGAGGAUCCCAUUCUUAUUACAACAUGUAAAGGAGCGUUGUCUAAUGUUGGCAUGUUCCUAGGUUCUGUCCAUGGAUUCUGUUUGCAGACAUGGCUAACUUCUUGUCCAACAGAUAAGUUUUAAAGUCUUUCAACUUUAUGUUGUAAAAUAACUUUUUUAUUAUUCAAUUCAUGAGUUUUCCUUCUGUAACACAUCCUUCUCAUUAGCUGGAAGUGCAAAUUUUUUAGGCUUUUCCUGUAUGGCCUCUUUUUCUUCUCUAAAUAAAAUGGCAUUUUGUUUCCCUCCUGUGAGGGUACAACGUUUAUGUUCAAACUUUCUGUUAGUUAAGUUGGUUGUCUUUGAUAUAGGGAACUUCCAGUUGAACUGAUUUGUAAUUCGAGUAUAUGAGAUUACCAACUGUAUUGGGAAUUGAUGCCAAAUUAAUUAUGUCAUCAGGUUUUUCAAUCAGCGUUCAUCAUUUAUUUCUAUUAACAAUUAAUAGCACAGCUUGUCUUCUCAGCUUCAUUGCUUCCUCUAAAAAAUAAUCUUGUAAAGACAAUUUUUUUUUUUUUUUUUUUGGCAUGGUAAAUGCUAGAUAGUUUGUGGUCUGAAUGAUACUACACAUCUAAGUAAUUGCCCAAAUUGCCAUGUAACAAGGAGUGUUGCAUAGUGAUGUCAUGCUCACAGGUACCACUCAUCAACAUGGCCAACGCUUUCGAUGCAGUCAUUAUUAUGGAAAUUCAAGAGUUCUCCUCCUAAGAGGUCUCUCUCUCGUUCUCUUAAUUUCCUUAUUCUGUUUUGGAAGUAAUGUAAUGGGAAAAUAGCAUUUAAUUUCCUUGUGUCUGACAUUUUCUUCUAUAAAUGCUAUAAAAUAUCAUUUUUUUUUUCAUCAUUGAUAUGUAUUACACAAUCAGAAGACUAAUAUUUAUAUGAAACAUCUACUUUAUGGCACAAUUCAGAUUUUUAUCCUUAUAAAUAUUGGAAGGAUAUCUUUAUGUUUCUUCUGUGAUAACUUUUCUGGGUGCUGCAACCUUUUUAUUAGAUUGAUAGAAUGUGAAUACAAGGAAAUUCUGUUUGAUAAUCUUGGCAAACCAGGAUUAAUAUGAAAUGGAGCAUCAUCAACAAAUACUUAGCAUAUUGCUGACUAUGAUUUGUUCUUUCCUCGCCUCAUUCUUUUUGUGAGUAGAAUUGGAUCGUGAAACUUGUUAUGUCAGCACAAGUGUCCUUUCAAGUUGAUGUAAAAUACACUGACUUGAAAUAAUGGCAUGGUAAUUUGGGGGUAUAGAUAAGCUAGCAUGAGUAUAUUUUGUCACCAAUUUCGCCAACCGCGUAUGGGUGUGGAAAUUAUAUUGCAUUUCUAAUGUCAUUUGAAAGAAAAACUUGCAAAAUUUGUAAUUUGUUAAAUCUGAACCGUGGUUCACAUCUACUCUUCCCCAACUUGAGUCAUAUGAUUCAAUUUUUUAGUGGGCAUGACGAGAUAGAUUUCUACCAAGCCCAACCCAUUUAUCUACCCUUUUGUAAUUUUCUAUCAUGCAUAUAUUUAUAUUUUUGUAUAGUUAAUAUCUAAUUAUUUAUAUAUUUUUAUUGAAUAACUAUUAAUUAUAUUUUUCUAAAAAAUCGGCAUGAAAAGUUCAACUUAAUAUUGAAUUUAAAUACUUUGAUAAGUAUAUGUCAAAUGUUUGGAAUUCUUUUUCUUAGUCUUCAUGAUUGAUUAAUUGAAAAAUAAAUGUGUACGUAUUAAAAUGGUAUUGGAUAAACAUGCCCCUAUCACCCAAGUUUUCCUUUGGAUAAUUUCCUAACUUGCAAGUUGAUAUCGAUGUUUAAAAAGAACCAAAAAAAAAAAGUACAUAGAAAUCUUCGUCAAUUACUUCUUGACCUAGUAGUUGACACUUUCUUAUCUUAUUCUUGAGGUUAAAGGUUUGAAUCUUCUUAUGUGGAUUUUAGGUGAACUAUAGAAAAACAAAUUAUAUGAGACAUUUUCAAAAUAAGUAUAAAUGUGGUACUUAUUCAUCAGACGAACAUAUUAAUGACGUGAUAAAUCCGUGUUAUGUAAAUUUUCCAGACUGUAUAAUUAUAUUAUAAUAUUAAAUAAAUAAGAAGAAAGAAUGGAAAAUGCAUCUUCCAAAAGUUUUCAUAGAUUGGCUAUAUGCACAAACAGCAAAUCGAAACAAAAAGAAAGGAUGUGACGUGACCUUACUACCUGUUAUCCCAGUUAUGGAAUUCAAGUCAAUCUUUGAAGUAAUGCACUUUUAUUUCUCUAUGACAGAGACAGGUCCAAGUCUUUCAUCCGAGGCAAAUGCUAAGCUCCAAUUACUUAGCAGGGGUGUUCAUAAUCUAAUCCGAUCCACUUAAUUUAUCUGAUCCGUGAAAAUUCGAUUCGUAUAAAUUCAAUCCGUGGAUUUGUGAAUUGGAUAUGGAUUGAAAAUUUAAAAAUCCGCAGUCGAUGGAUUGGAUAUGGAUUUACUUUUGUAAAUCCGUAAAAAUCCGUGAAUUCACAAAAAAAAAUAUAUAUAUAUAUAGUUAAAAAAUUAUUAUAAAUUUAAUUAAAGAAUAUUAUAAUUGUGACAUUACAUAGUUACAUAAGAACUAUAACAUAUCUUAACCAUUACCCAACAAUAAUAUAAAAUAAUUAAAUAAUCAAAUAUACAAAUAUAACUUGUAAAAAUUAUAAAACAAAAUAAAAGGAAAGUCACACGCACUAACAAAAGCAAAGUAACAUAACGCAAAGUCACCAACAAUUUACAAACAAAAAACCCUAAGCUUCCCCGCUGUCACAUGCACUAGCAACCAAUAUUGGUUUGAUACACUCUCGACACCGAUUUGAAGGACGUCGGUCGCACGAUUCUAGCGAGAGCAAGCCAUCUUCUUCCCCGAGUCCAUCGAGCCACUUCACAAUCACUAGUUCCAGCCAAACAAUUGCACUAUCACAACCUUCAAGAUCGCCACCCGUACUUCUCCUGGUUCCCAUCGUUGACGGCUACGUAAUCACCACUUUUCGACAAAUACAACAGCCCUGGUGAAGGAUCAGACUGUGUUUGGUUUCGGAAACUUCACCAUUUCAAUUAAUUAUGGCUUUAUUUGAAUAAUUAAUUUCGGUGUUAUAUUAAUGUAUUAUUGUAACUUUAUUUGAACAAUUAAUCUCGAUGUGCUAUAUUUUGAAACUUUGAAUGUAUUAUUUUAGUUUUAUUUAAAUAAUUAAUUUGUUUAAAUUUUAUUCAAUUUUAAAUUUAAUUGGUAGUAAAAUUAUUUUUAUAUUAGAUUUUUUUUUUUAAAUUUCAUUAGUUCAUGGAUUGGGGAGAACAAAAAAUUUUUAAUUCGGAAGCUAAUGUGUAAAAUGGUGGAUUGGAUAUGGAUUAAGUUAAAUCCACAUCUGAUCCGCAGACGUAUGGAUUGGAUAUGGAUUUAGUCAAAUCCGCAUCCGAUCCGCAGAUAUAGGAUUGGAUUUGGAUUGAGUUUAAUCAAUCCGUGGAUUGGAUUGGAUUGAAAAAUUAUAAUCCGCAAAAUUGUGGAUCAGAUAUAAAUUAAUGUCCAAUCCCUAAAAUCCGAUCCGCGAACACCUCUAUUACUUAGAGGCUCCCUUCUUCCAAAUUCAUAAUCUUCAACAUUUCUCCAACCAAUCAAGCAAGGCUAGAGAUAGGUAACAUACAUUUUGAUGUACAUUUGUCUUUUGUAUCAUUUACUUCACUAGUGAUCCAUUAAAUGGAUCCACCAUUAACGUAAAUGCUAGUUUAACUAUUGACAGUGGAGCAAGUAUGUAUGUGGUCCCUACGCACAAGCAUACACGCCCAUUAAAGCAUUACUCUCCUCAUCAUUGGAUAUGAAUUUUGUGAACUAUAUAUCUUUUUGGGGGUUUCAUUUAUCUUUCCGGUCUCUUAUGAUCAUUCACGGCUCCUGCUGCUGCUUCUUAUUGGCUCUUUGACAUCCUCUGUCUUGUUCUUGCUGUGUGUGUCGGCCACUAGCAACUGCUUCAAGCAAUGUGAGUUUGUUGCGUGAGCUUCCGUUUUGGUUAUUUUCAAUUAUUAUUUUUGUUGAUGGGUUUGUGAUUUUGUGCUGUAUUAUUACAGGAUUACACUGUUUAUAUGUAAGAUAGAAGAUAUGAUGAGCCUCAGCUGGUUCAGGAUUCGCACCAUCAGAUUCUUUCGGAUAUUCUUGGAAGGUUUAUAUUUCAAUCUCUUUAGCCGAAUUUACCUAUUAUAUUUUUAUCAUAUAAACGUUAUGCAAAACGUUUAUGUUAAUGUAUGGUGAAAAUUGAAAAAUGGAAAAUAAAAAUAUUUGUACUGCUUUCACUAUUUAUCUAUGUUAAUCUCUUUGAUAAAAUGAAGUGGAUGUCAUUAUUUCCAUGCAUCAGUAAUUACAAUCCAUAUUGUGCUCUUGCUAGUCUGUGCUCCAUUUGAACAUCGCAACGAACUUAUUUACUUACAUAUUUUUUGUGCUUUCUGGUUGGAAAUUGGAAGUUUUAACCAAUUUCUGAUCAGAAACAGCCCUUUUGAGUGCUAUGGCAGAAACCGCAGACGUGACCUAACCUUCAUUUUUAAUUUGUAUCAAUUGGUAGUUUUUUAUAACUCUCUCUUUUCCCCUCUAUCAAUAAUGAAUGGUAUUCGCUAGAGAAACCGUAAGGGGACUAAUCAUUGUGAAAAGCACUAGGUGAUAACUAGCAGUUUCAAUUUGACAGCAAAGAAGCUGCUAAGGAAUCAAUUCUCUGUACAGCCACAAGCAUGGUUUUUCUGGAUUUGCCGCAGUCUUAACAGUCUCAAGCCAAGUUAACUGCAGGUGUUAUAAUGUUCGUGAAUGAAAUCUGUUUUAGCUGUCCAAAUUUGUUUUAUUAACCAAUAUUUUCUGUUGAUACGUUUUGUAUGAUGCAUUUGUGCAGAUCACCCUGCCGUGGUCUGUAUUGUACCAAAUAGGACACUCAGUUUGCACACAACCAAAAUGUUGUGAAUGAAAUUCCUUCAAAAGGCCAUUCAGGCGCUGGAAGUUAUUUUCAGAUUCAUGGAAAUAACUAUAAUACUGGUGGCAUUUAGUUUCCAAGUGAUCUUGGUAGUUCAAUAAGUUCUAGUUCUACACUUGUUUCCAAAGGUUUUGGUUACAUGAUGGUCUGCCCGUUGAAUUACAAACUUGUGAUGAUUUGUACAAGAGGAAAAAAUGUAUUGGUUGGAAUUUUUGUUCCAUAUGAUAUAACUCUGUGAAACAGCUUUACAUUUUGUGUUCAAGUUGAACAACAUACAAUUUGAACGAAGAUUAUUCAAUCAAAUUGAAGAUUUCUGUUUGAAUAUUUUGAAUGACAAAAUUAAAUUUACUUUCAUGCAGAUGCAGUAGCAUUUAAUCAAGUUCCUUGUGCUGUUGAAACAAAAAUAUAACAUCCUUGCUUGCAUUUCAACAUGAUAUGAUGCCACUCUUUUACUGUUAACCAACACACAUACAUCAUGUAGGCCUAAUGGCAAAUGUUGUAACAUAUAACAUCAUGAUCCGUGGGCUUUGUAAUGAUGGGCAAAUGGGCAUCUAGUUUUUCGUUUGUGAGGCUACUAGGUCUAUGCUGAAACUUUAUGUUAGUUAAAUUGAUUGUCUUUGAUAUCUAGAACUUCUAGUUGAACUAAUUUGUACUUUGAGUAUAUGAGAUUGCCGGCUGUAAUGGGAAUUGAUGCCAAAUUAAUUAUGCAUCAGGUUUUUCAACGUGUUCAUCUUUUAUUUCUGUUAACAUUUUGGCUCUGGACAUGCUGGAUUGUUUUUGGUUUCAGUGAUACAAAACAUCUAACUAAUUGUCCAAAGUUUUUCAUUCCUUGCGACAUAGCAUUCAAUUGAAUGGUGACUCAUGAAUCAUGAUUGUGUGUUUUGGUAUUUGUAUACUAUGUAUUGGCAAGACAAAGUCUGUUGAAACUGAGAAACUUUUUUCCGCCUUCCAUUCUUGUUUCAUAUUCUUAUGCUAACAAAUCUUGAUCAUGAUGAGUCUCCUCUUUUCUUUUCAACCCACAUAUAAAGUCUUGGCCAUAAGCCUCAAGGCCUAUUGGCUAUUGCAGCAGUGAGUUCACUCUCUGGAAUCAAAUCUUUCAAAUACGAGGAAAUUUGAAAAAAUUGCAAAUGUCUACAAAGCAAAUGAUCCAAAGGUCCUUUUUGUUAUCACACACACACAACAUUACUCAGACAUUGUCAGAGUAUCCAUGUUUUACAGUUGGUCCUGUUGUGCAAACAGCAUUUCUGAUUUUUCCAGAAGACAAUUCUUCGAAGCAUGUAUUUGAGAUGCGCGUAGAGCGUUGGAAUUAUAUGAUUAAUUCUCUUUAAUUUCCAGCCAUAGUUCUAUGCAGGCCAGUUAAUCCCCUUUUUUGUAACACCCCCCCCCCCCCCCCCCCCUCUUCCUUUUUUGCUAUGGAUUGUAUUUCCUUUUUUUUCUACUUUUACUUGCGUUGACAAUUUGAGCUUGCUGUCUUGUGGUUUUAGAACCUGCUAAAGUAAGCGUGCAAGUGACAAUGAAGAAGGGGAAGGGUUUACUCGUCAUUUUCUUUUUGAAAGCAAUGCGUUUUAUGCGGUGAUAUUUUUUUUUUAUCUAUGUUGUGAAAAAAAUUUGACUGAUUUUGAAGAUCCUUAAAGAUCGUCCAUCUUGGUUCUGGCAUUGUUGCAGCCUUGAAGUUUGCAAAACGAUUCCUGCUGGAUAAAUGGAACAGCUGCCUCUUUGAUGGAUUAUGUAAAUCUGGCAGACUUGAGUUUGCAUGUGAAUUGUUUCGUAGUUUGCCUCGUCGAGUCCUAAUGGCAGAUGCUGUAACAUAUAACAUCAUGAUCCAUGGGCAUUGUGACAACGGCCGAAUGGAUAAGGCACAUUAUUUCUUUCUUGAAAUGGAAGAAAAUGCUAUGGCACCCAAUGUGAUCACAUUUGGUACGUUUAUCCAUGGUUUUAGCCAAAUCAAUGAGCCAUCAAAAGUUAUUGACCUUCUUCACAAGAUGAGGGAGAAAAAAGUAAUGCCAGAUGCAUCUAUAGUUUCAAUCGUUGUGGACUUACUUGUAAAGAAUGAAAUUAGUCUGAACCCACUUCCGUCAUUUCCUGUCCAAGAGCGACAGGGGGAAGUUGAUGAGUGAAAUGUCAAGUUGUAGCAGCAUGUGCUUUCAGCCCAAACUCCUGAUCUGCAGCAUCUCAUUCAUGUUACAAAAUGACAUGUCGCCUGGUGACAGCAUGUUCUCUCCGGUGCUGUUAAUGGAUUCUGAUUGUUCUUGUGAUCUGGAGAGUUUCAUUCAUAUUACAGAUCCUGAUCAGGACGAGCUAGCAUAUGUGAUCACCAACUGUACAUGGUUGUUGAUGCCAAAUUAAAUUAUGGUAUCAUGUUUUUCAACUUGUUAUUUAAUAUAGUGCUUCCAUUGAACGGCCACAAGAAACUGUAGAAUCACCGUGUCUUGUUCCCUCUUAAUGAUCCAUCACUUUGGAAGCUAAUGAAUUAGUUGCACCUUGUCACUUUCUUGGUACUUGAUUGUCAUUCGUGCUUUGAAUUUACAGCAUAUUUUAUCCCUGCUUUACUCUUUGCAUAAUCACCUUUGAGGGCUGCUAGUAUGUAUAAUUGAAAAACCUUAUAUAAAUUGUAAGCUUUUUUAUUUAACUUGUUGUAAACUUCCAGUGUAUGUCUCUUCUGUGAAAUGAUUCAUUCUCCAUGCUGCUAGGGCCUAGGCUUAUGACUCUUCUGUGAAAUGAUUUACCCUCACCUGCGCACAGACAUUUAUCACGUUCGAGAAACCUUCAAACAAUGUGAAAAAAUGCCUCAAGCAUGACAUAAACUUAACUGUUUACAUGAAAAGUGGUAGAAACUUGGUGAAAUUACCGAUUAAAUUGUACCUACUGUGAGGAAGGAUGCUAUAUAACUAAGUCGGAAAAUGUAAAUGCCCGGCUUUCAGAAGUCAAUAAUUAGAUGAACUUUGAGGAGAUUAGGAUCACCAGUCAGUCAGAUUUAGAUAGAAAGUGAGAGAUUGCUAUUGCCGAGCCAUUGCUUCUAUCCUAAAUGCUUUGAUGUACCUGAAAAGUAUACAAAUAUCGGGGUUAAAACAGAGCAGAUGAAAUCGUAUUGAUGAAUUCAACUGUGAUAAGUGGUAAAAGAAAACCAACCGACCUUCUGUACAAAACUCGCACGUCUUCCUUUAAGAGCUGACUUUCCAAGAAGAGAUCACCACAAUCGUUCACAUCAACAGUCUCCACUUGAAAAUUUUAUAACCAUAAUACUCAUUCCAUUCAAACCAGAUCCUUGAGAUCAGUUCCUCAGGCAAGUGGCAUGAUCAUCCUCUUCAGGAGACUCAGCAGCAACCAGUCUAUAUGCAUAAGCUUUCUUUGUUUGGCCUCGCCGGAAAGCCCUGCCGAUUGCCUGGCGGGUCACUGAUGUAUUAAAGCUUUCUGUAAUUUCAUUUUUUCAUUUUUCCCUUGCGAGGGUACAGGUUUAUGUUGAAACUUUCUGUUAGUUUGCACUUUGAAUAUAUGAGAUUACCAACUGUGACAUGGCAUUCAAUUGAAUGGUGACUCAUGAAUCAUGAUUGCGUGUGUUGGUAUUUAUUGUACUACGUGUUGGCACGACAAAGUUUGUUGAAACUGACAUACUUUUCUCUAUGAAGAUUGAAGACAACAUAAUAAGAUAAAAUUUGUCAAAAACAUGUAUACUUGACACUUGACAGGGCUGGAACGUCUGUUAUUAGUCCUCGCCUUCCAUUCUUGUUUCAUAUUCUUCUGCUAACAAAUCUUGAUCAUGAUGAGACUUCUUUAUUUUCAAAAAAAAAAAAAUAUCCACAUGUAAAGUCUUGGCCAUAAGCCUCAAGACCUAUUGGCUGUUGCAGUGGUGAGUUCACUCUCAGGAAUCAUAUCUUUCAAAUUCGAGCGAAUUUGAAGAAGCUCGAAUUCGAAGAAAUUGCAAAUGCCUACAAAGCAAAUUGUGUGUAGGUCCUUUCACUUAUUAUUGGAGAAGACCAUUUGUUGAAGCAUGUAUUUGAGAUGCGCAGAGAACCUUUGGAAUUAUAUGAUUAAUUCACUUUAAUCUCCAGCCAUAGUUCCAUACAGCCCAGUUAAUCUUUUUUUUUUUUUGGCUUUUGGAUUUUGUUUCCUUUAUAUAUAAAGGAAAUCGGGACUCAAUUGUUGGGAGUCCAAUCACUUUUUUCUCUUUUAACUUGCUAUUUUUGUUGUCCGAAAUUAUCUGAAGUUCCAUGCAUGCUCCAAUAGAACAAAUAAUACAGGUUAUGAUCGUCAUACUCCAUAAGCAAGUUUUUUUUUUGGCUGCCCCUUAUAUUUGUCACACUCCUUGUACUAGUGCCCAAUGAAACCACAAUAGAAGCAAAAAUCUGACAAUCACUCAUAUACUACUGUAAUUGGAACAUCAUCUUCACCUUCAAGUUCUAAAUAAAUAAUUUUCUUCAAUGGUUGUGUGAUAUCAAUUGAGAUACUUACUCUGGCAUACUGACCAAUGCACUCUUCUUCCUCGUCCGCAUUAACUUCUUCAAUUAUACCAAUUGCCUCUCCCAACGCUCUGAUUAUUUGCUGGUCUAUACACCCAACUGGGAUACUAUGAAGUUGUACCCAAAGGCAGCAUGAGUAAAUGAUUGUUUUGUUAUUUCCCCAAUUCCAUUUGCCUCUUUUAGAUAGGGUUGGGCAAAUAACCCGACCCGACCCGACCCGACCCGACCCGACCCGAUCAGAUCCGAAAACAAUCGGGUUCGGAUCAGAUCGGGUUUUUAACAUAACCCGAUCGGAUUUAAUUUCGUCAACCCGAUCGGAUCGUCAUCGGAUCGGGUUUCACCCGAUCCGAUCCGAAAAUCCGAUCGGAUUUGGCUAUUGAAAAAAAAAAUAAAAUAAAACACCCACACACAAAGGGGUGAAAAACACAACACUGCCACACUCAAACUCACUGACACACACCCACUCCCCAUCCACACACACACACACACUGAUACACCCACCACCCACCCCCCAUCCACAAAAAAUCGCAAUAGAUAGCCUUUUACUCACAUUUCAGAUUUCAUAGCUAGGGGUGGGCAAAUCGGGUUUCGGUUCAGGUUUCGGUUUGGGUUUCAACCCGUUCGGGUUGGAGAAUUGAACCCAAUCGGAUUGAAAAUGCCAACCCGAACCAAACCGAACCGAAUUUAAUUCGGUUCGGUUCGGUUUGGGUUGACAAUUCGGAUCGGAUUGGGUUGAUAAUUCGGGUUAAUUCGGGUUAGUUCGGGUUAGAAUAAUUCGGGUUAGUUCGGGUUAGAAUAAUUCAAGUUAGUUCGGGUUAGAAUGGAUUGAAACAAUUUAAUCUAAAAAUUCUAACAACUAAUAUCAAGUACAAUCAAACUACAAAAAUUACAAAUCUAAAAAUUAAAAUGGCAAAUGACAACCAUGAUUAAACAUCUCCAUUCUCCACAUGACAAUUAAUCAAUCAAUUAAUUAACAUUUGGUCGUCUGACAUGAACAGAAUAAAUCAAUAGCAAGCAUGUAGUUCUUUGAAAAGAACAAAAAACAUAAAACGAAAAUGCAUAUGAGAGUGCCAACAAACAUGAUAGCGACAUUUAAACAAAGCAAAAUUGGAGGUACUGGCAUGAUUUAUAGGCCAAGUAUCAAGAUGGAGACUUUUAAUUAAUUUUUGGAAUCUUUAAAAUAAGAAAACAUAUUAGCAUAAAAGAUAUUAGAAUUGUAUAAUGAAAACAACAGAUGCCAGCAAAACGCACACUGACCAUUUUCCCUGAGAGAUCGUGUACUAGUAACAAAAUUAAGAACUGAAUCAUCAGCAGUUGUUCUUCAACAAAUAUUAACAGAAGCCCAAACUGAAUACCUUUUUCGGUUCCUUUGAGCAGCGGAUCUCGCUUUACGCUUCCUCUUCUCCUGACUGCUCUCAAAAAAUCUUCUUCUCUUGCACUCUUGUAUAAUACCAGCUCUCAGCACCGCACUCCUAAACCGCCUCGCUAUCUUCUCCUCGGGCUAGUCGUCGGCGACUUCUAUCUGCACGUUGAAGAAAUAUAUGGUGUCUGUUGGAGCUGGACGGGGCUGCUGGCUGCUGCUGUGAGUGCUGUCGUCGUGGGCCACAAAACUCAAAAAGUGAGAAGAGGGAGCAAGGAGGGGGAGGGAGUUAGACGGUGAGACCGGCUGGUGUCUGUUGGAGCUGAACGGGGCUGCUGUGGCUGCUGCUGAAGUGCUGAUGUCGUCGGCCACAGUUCUCAGAAAGUGAGAACUGAGAAGAGGGAGCAAGGAGGGGGAGGCCGGGAGGUAGACAGGGAGUGAGAGAUUUUUGUUUAGGGAUUUUUAGGGAUUUUUUGGUUUAAUUAAUGUAUAUAUAUUUUUUAUUUAAAAGCUAAAUCUAAAAAAAAAAAAAAAGCUUCAACCCGAACGGGUUGAAAAUUCGGUUCGGGUUGAACCCGAACCGAAAUUUAACCCGAACGGGUUGAAGCUUUGAAUCCGUUCGGGUUUCACUGGUUAAUCCAAACCGAACCGAACCCGAAAUAAAUUUCGGGUUCGGUUUGGUUCGGGUUAACCCGAACCGAACGCCCACCCUCACGCUUCACUCUCUUCUUUGGUUCUUCUCCAAUUUUCACCCUUAAAUCUUCACAGCUUUCUUCUUUUUAAGUCUUCACUCUUCAGUUUUCACAAAUCGAUUUCUCACACAAUCGGGUUUCACAGAUCGAGUUUCAGUCACAAAAGCAAACCGAUGGUCACUCAAAGACGCAGCGCAAGAACCGAAGAUCAUUUGCAGACACAGCCACCGGAUCCGUGGUUCCGUCCAUCACCAAGUUUCUCACCUCCAAGCUCCACUUCAACCCAGCAACCUGACUUCUCCAACCUGCAACCUGAGCCUUGUGUUUUGAAAUUUUGAUGGUUUUUCUUGAUGUUGUGAUUAUUAUCAUAUAUAAAUUGUAAAAUUUUAAUGUUCACCAGCUAAUGAUAAAGAAAAUCAGUGAUAAAGAAAGUUGUAAUGUAUUUUUUUUCCAAUGAUGGGCAUAAAUUUUUUCAUUUUUCAGUCCAAACUGAUUUUAAUCCGAAUCCGAUCCGAACCGAACUCAACCCGAUUUUUUGACCCGGAUCGGAUUGGAUCGGAUUACAAGUUCGGAUUGAAUUCGGAUGGAUUUCUGCCCAACCCGACUAACCCGAAAUCCGAUCGGGUCGAACCAAACCCGAUCCGAAUCCGAUUUUGCCCAGCUCUACUUUUAGAACUAUCAGAGCUCGUUCAAAAUGUCACGGCCCACUUGAUAAAAUUCUCAUCUUAUCAACUUCAAAGGCAAAUUUAACAUAAAAAUCUUACUCCCCAAAUUUUCAAUUUCACCUAUUCUGCAUACUUGUUGUAAUGCUCACUUAAGACCCUCUCUAGUAACUCCUCUUAGAUGUAAGACUUUGCCCAGCAGACAACCCUCAACUAACUCUCUCGCAUUCCCUUCCAUGACAUUACCAACAACUACUUUACUUUCUUUUCCUUCUUCUAAUGUAAUAACUUUACACUUGCGGAUUAGUUCUUCUGUUUCCAUGAGGCACUAAAAUAUAAAUCCACUAUGAUAACUCUUGAGUAUCUACCACUUCCUCUGUAAUUAAGACUCAACAACUUAGAUGAAAAACUUAAAACUAAAAGAGACACCCAACUCGUGAGCGACUUUCGCAAUCUUAUAGGCUACUACCCUUUCAUUCUAGAUUCUCACUCAAAGAGAGAGAACCUGUGAAGAAAGACUUCUACAGGUAGGAGAGCACUUACACAGUAGAUUAUUUAUAUUUCUUUGGACUGACUUUUUUACUUUAUUAAAGACAAAAACAACAUAAACAAAGACAGAAGAUUAACAAAAGCAUCAAUUGCCAAAGAGUAGAGAGUAUUAUUAUAUUUUAGGAACUUAGGUUAUGACCAACUUAAAAGAAGCAGUUAGGGCUUGUUCGGUACCGUUUUAAAAGCCUUAUUUUCAUUUUUGUUUUGGGAGUAUAAAUAUAAUACAUAUUCAGCGGGUUGAAUCCAAAAAAAUAAAUUAUAAAACAAAUAAUUGAUAUUCACUUUUACAGUUAUAAAAUUAAGAACCUGUUGAACAUGUUCUCAAACAAAUUACAAAUUAAAUUAAAAAAAAAACCCCAAAACAAAAUCUAAAAAGUUAUCUUUCUCUCCCAAAAUCUUAUCCCCUCCCUCUCGUUAUCUCUUCACAACUCUUCCUUCUUCAUGGUUGAUACUUCUCCUUUAACCACAACCCACCUGAACUGUGCACCGAUCUCUCUCUCCCCUUCCCCUUUAUCUAGGUCUACUUCAAUGCUCUCUUCCUCUCGGUGGCUGUUACUUGUUCAUCAACCGCAAUCCAUCGUCGCAAGGUACUACGUCGGAAUAUUUGACCAAAAACAUGUCAGGACAAAGUGAUGUCUAUCAUGGUUUAUUGCUGCAAGUGCAUUAUUUUCUUUGUACUAAAGUGAAUCUUUGAUGUAUUUAUUAAAUUUGGUGGAGCAAUCUUUGUUAAUUUUGAUGAUCUAUAUAUGCAUUUAAUUUCAUUUUUAAUAAUUCAUGUGCAGGAAAUAUGGAUUCUUGGCUUUGCUUGGACUGAUGGUUUGCGCAAUUUCAUUUGGAAUCAAUCAGCUUCGAGGAUAAACACUUGAAGUUCAUCCUUUCUUGUGCAUGGGACUUGCUUUUCUUCCAUCCAACUUUUUUGUUCUCUUUUUCUAUGGUAGCAGUUUUAUGUUUUGUGUUGGUGGGAAACUUCAUGCUGCAAUUUUGUCAAACUCUGUUGACAUACCCUAAUCAGUAAUGACUUUGCUGCAUGGCGAAAGCAUAAAUCUUGUCAUUAGAGCUUGUUUCCAUAAAAUAAGUGUAAUUUGAAAGUACAUUGUACACUAUUGAAUUUAAAUUAUCCCCAACAAGUGUUGAUGCAUGAUGUCUAUCGUGUAAUUUUUUUUAUAAUUAUUUUGUUUAAAUUAUAUGUGUUGUAAUAUAUAACUUAAUUAUAGUGUAAAAACAAUGGCAAUGUAAUUUUUUGUAUUAAUGCUAAUACUAAAACUUUAUCAUCAUGCAAUUUUUUAUAAUUAUUUUAUUUAAAUUAUUUAUGAUAUGUUUGCGUAUUAAUUAAAUAAACAAUUAGUUUUUACUAAAAACUAUGACUUACAUGUUUAGUAAAAACUGUUCAUGAAAAUAGUACUACAGAACACAUUUUCUCUGAUUUUAUCUUUUUCAAUUGUUUUUAUCAAACACAUGUUACUGUUUUCAAUUUUAAAAUACAAGAUAUAGAAAAUGAUAUCAGAUGCCUAUUUAAUUCAAAAUGCUGCAACUGCAAAACACUAUUUUUAUUCUCAUUUUUGUUUUCAGAAAAUACUAAUUCAGAAACAAUAACAAACAAGAACUUAGUUUUAGUACGAAUAAUGUUGUGUUAGUUUUACAGGCUUACAUGCACCCUUAGAUUUAUUAGAAGUAUCAACCCAACCCCCUAGUUACCGUUGACUGAUAUCUAACCCGUUGACUGAUGUUAACUCUUGAAAGUAACUAUAACAUCUAUAUUGUAAUCUCACUUUAUUAACUAAUAAAUUUUAAAAAUAUAAACAGAUCAAUAACAACAAAAUAAUUAAAGUUGAAAUCCAAGAAAUUACCUAAAAAUCAUACCUGAAAACCAAAAUGCAUAAAAUUUCAUUAAUUUAAGUUGUGACAAUGAGUAGUCCACAUUAUAUGAUGAAUGAACAACUUCUAUCAUUUUACCAAGUUAUUAAUGUUAUGUUUACUUACUGGAGUGGACAUGAGAAGUAUAGAUUCCUCUCACUCUAAAGUUUACUUGCAUAUUCUAAGAGGUGUGGGAAUCCCACUCCGUUGAUCCCACCCAAUUUUGAAGUAGUGAGUGUAAUUCCCACUCCCACAACUUUCUUUUUUACUUUUCUUUUAUUAAAUUUAAUACAAUCAUAUUUAGUAAAAUAAAACAAAUAACAUCAUAUUUAUUUAAUAAAUAUUAUUAUUUUAUUUUAUAAAAUUCUAUUUAUUAAAAAGAAUAAUAUUAAUCUUAUUUAGAUAAAAUUAUUAUUAUAUUUAUUUAAAAAUAAUAGUAUUAUAUUUAUUUAAUAUUAAUAAUAAAUAGUUUAUUGUAAGAAACUAUUAAUUUUUCACUAUAUUAUUAAUAAUAAUGUUUCAUUUGUGUUGCUCUUAUCAAUAAUUUUUAUUUCACAUAAUUAAAAUUAAAACUAAUACAAAAUUUUGAUUUACAUAAUUAAUAAUAUUAAUAAUUAUUGUUAAUUUACAAAUAUAGUGAAAUAAAUAUUUUAUUUCAAAUAGAUUUUUUAUUAAUUUUGUAAUUAAAAACUACAAUUCUUUAAAUAAGGGUAAAACCGUAAUUUGAAACCAUUUACUCCCCUUCUCAUUCUAGUGAGCAAAAACAACUUGCUCCCACUCCACACUCUCAAUCACAAGGUUCCCACUUCUUAAGAUUUCCACUAUAAUCUAAAAUGUAAACACCGUCUAAAACGUCAAAUAAAAUUCUUAAUUAAGUAAACCAUAAGGUGAUUACGUAUAAAAAAAAUUAAUAAUAUUAAUUUUCAUAAGAAUUUAUGCUUGUAGUAUUACUUUACUUUUUUAUUGACUGUUGCUUCAACUUAUGGUAGAUAUUAAGAGAACAAUAAUAAUAGAGCUAUAAAUGUUUGCGUACUAUCAAUCAACUUAACAGUAUAAUUACCAACAAAUCCUUAAUACCAUAAAUAAUUAAAUUAUUGGGGUUUUAAAAUGACUCUCUAGACUUUGCAUGAUUUCUUUAUAUGUAGGUGCCAUGGUUCCCAUAAGUAAUAUCAGCCACACUUUUUGUUAUUGUUAAAAAAAUUUUAUAGGUACAAUUUGUGAAUUUGUACAAAAUGUGGUAUUAUACAUUUGAAGCAUGAACUGACAAGACAAUGUUGUGUCAAUAAUAAAGAAACAAAAAAAAAAUUGUAUAAAAUACAGAUGUUGUAGUGUAACUUGGAUUCUUUUUCUUUAUAAUUGCACCUAUCAUGUGAUUAUCAAAAAAAAAAAAAGAACUCCUGAGAUUUUAAAAUUUUGUAAUUGCACUAUUUUUGGAUUAUCAGAAGACUUCCUCUCCUUAAAGAUGCUCUUAAUCCAUAAAUGGUGCAAAACAUAAUUCAUGAAAUGAAUUUAUUAUUUUAGAUAAGUUUCAAGUAUACAUACCUUUUAUAGCUCCAUAUUGCAUAACUCCUCAUUUCAAUCAAUGGAUGCAUUUGUUUACUUUUUCUUUCUUGUAAAUUUUUGAAUGGCCGUAAUUCUAUAAAUAAUUAAUUAAGUGUUAUUGUUAUCAUUAUUUUGUAGAUGCAUAUGUGGGGUGGGGACGUUGGGGGGCAUGGAUCUCAAUAUAGCAGAGGGCCUGAAUAUUUAUUCUUUAAGAGGAACCACAACCAACAACAAUGCUUUAAGUUCCAUUCCAUUUUACUUCUGUGCACCAGAUUGCAUAAACAACAUUGAUUAUCCAAGGUCAAAGUCUCUCAAAUACUCUAGUUACAAGACAAAGCAUGGGUUAGUAGUGGCCAAAAUUUUCUUGCAACGAAAGGCUCGUAAACUGAUGACAGCUGCUGGAUUGUUUUGGGCCUUAAUGGUUUUAAUAUUAUUCUCUUAAAAACAUAUAUGUUGAUUAGAGACGAGAGGAAGAAGAUGAUAUGAUUCAGCCAGUUGCAGAAGAAAGAGCACGCAGUGGAGUUCAGAUUUUGAAUUCUCUUGUCAAAUUGUUUUUAAUUUACUACAAGGUAGAAUAUGUUGCAUUGUUAAAAAAUACUUUGAACAUCCUAUUUUUGUAUUACAAAUAUACCAAAAAUUAAAUUAAUUUUUUUCUUUAUUAGUAUAAACUAAAUUUUGCAUGAAUCCUCAUCCUUAUAAGUGGAAUUCUAUUGUGAAAUUAAUAGUCCUUCCUAGUUGAACUAACUAUCACUUUGAACAUAUGUGUCAUCUCUAACAACAGCUCCCAAACCUGCAGCUACCUGCUUCUUAGCAUUAGAAGCAGUAUCUGCAUUGGCUUUCAACCAGCCAUAAUUAGGAGGAGGGCACCAUUGUUUCUGUUUGUCAAUUUCCUUUCUUGAACCAUAAGCCAUAAUUAGGAGGAGGGCAAACUUCCAAAUAACAUUCCAAAUGGUAUUGUGAAAAAUUUUCACCCUUUUGGUAAUAAAAAAGAACCUUAUUUCUAGUUCUCUAUUAACAAUCUUACCACUAAGUUCUCUCUUGAGUAGAAACAUCAUAUAUAUUAAUUUAUUGUUAAUAUAAACAAAACUAAAUAUUUAUAACUUAAAAGAUAGGUGUUGAAUAGAGGCAGUCUCACAGAAAAAAAAAAAAAAAAGUAUUUGAAAGCAGUGGUGAUAUCAUAUUUUUUGUAAUGAUACGAGAGUAUCACACUAGAUUUUUUUUCUGCAUUACAAAAAGUUUGUAUUCAAGAAUAAAUAAGCAAUAUCAGGAACAAAUUUUACAAAAAGCCUCCAGGACAUGUCAUAUUAAUUUUGUGAUAUAUUAGUCACUAGAUCUUCUUUCCACAUUACAAAAAAAUUAGAAAUGCAAUCUAAAUCGAUAUCAAUUACUAAUUUUAUAUUGAAUGGGUCCUACAUGAAAAUAAGGAGUAUUUUUAUAAUUUAAGAAAUUAUUAGCCAUUUACCCUAAGUUUACUUUGUGUCAAAAAAUACUACGAAAACUUUAACUUAUUUAGUUUUUUACCUGAAUUUAUAAUUUAUAUCAAUCGCUCACUAAAAAGAUAGAAUUACCUCAUAAAAUGACAAAAUAAAAACAAACACAAAUGACAAUACCAGUAAUUUUAUAAGGAUAAUCCAAUCCUUUUGGCACCAAAUUACAUAUUAAAUUAUUUUAAAUAUUAUAAAUUAUUUUUAAAUUGAGUGAGAAACCCUGGUCAUUUUAAUACUCAUGGCCAUUUAAUCUAACAAAACAUGAUAUUUCGAGUAGACUUAUGUUUGCGUAGGAGGAUAAUGUAAAAAAAGUGGCACUUUUAUUCAACUGAAUAAAUUUCACAAUGUAAAUUAGAAAACAAUAAAAAUUUCAUAAUUAACUAUUAUUUGAACUAAUUGAAUCGGGAGCCAUCAUUUGUAGCGGCCUCAAAAGCAUAACAUAUUUUUAUACUGAGUGAUGGACCUAAUCAUUUUAAUACUCAUGACAAUUUAAUCUAUCUAAAUAUGAAAUUUCGAGUAGACUUGUGUUUUUUUUUUUUUUUUUGAAGGGAAGCAAUUUCAUUAAACCAAAAACGAAUUACAGACUAUGUAAUAACCACAAAGGUGGAACGAAAUUCCACUCUUGGGGACCUGACAUAGAACCUACUGCCCUUGCAACAGAAUGAGCAGCCAGGUUCGCAGACCGACGUACAAACGAGAAUUGUACUUCUCCUAAAGGCUUAGCUAAAGCUCGACAUUCAUCAACUAUUAAACCAAAACCGUUAGGCCCUGAAAACUCCUCAACUAGAGCUUGAAAUACUUGUAAACAAUCAGUUUCAACAAUGACACAAGGAAAUUGUAAGCCUUUAAGCCAACUAAGGGCCUCCCGAAUACCAAGAGCUUCAGCCUCCCUUGCUCCAAAAUUCCCAGCCAUUCCAGCACAUCUUGCUGUUAAGAAAACACCCUCUGAAUUUCGAAGCACACACCCAAAACCAAUCUUUCCUUGAGAUGAAAAGAUAGCAGCGUCAACAUUACAUUUGACCCAACCAAACUUUGGCCUCUCCCAACAUAUUGCCCCAUGGACCAGCUUAUGGACAUCAGUAUCAGCAUAGAAUUGUUGCUUCUUUGCUGCUUGCCACUGAUAGAGAAGUUGCCCAGCAGAAUUGAGCACUUGAUUCACUGAACCAGUUUUGUUAUUCCAUACUUUGUCAUUACGAUUAAUCCAAACUCUCCAGCAGAUCAUCAUGGCAACAUGGCAUUCUUCUUUACUGCAGCGUGUAAAGAUGUGAUCAAGCCACUCUAAGAAAGAAUAACAAUGGCCAAUAAAACCCACAGAGGAAGAAAUCCAGCAAGCCUUAGCAACAUUACACUCAACCAACGAAUGGAGAACCGUUUCAUCAGAAGCAAGACACACAACACAAGUAGGGGGGAUAUUCACCCGCUUAGAAAUUAAAUUAACUGCAGUAGGCAACACAUUAGUUGCCGCUCGCCAAACAAAAUUCUUAACCUUAUUCGGCACAUUCAAGUUCCAUAGUUUUCGCCACACAUCUGUGAAAGGGCCAGGGGUAAGAGAAUGUAAAACCUUAUAACAGCUACGGACUGAAUAGCAUCCGCGAGAAUCAGCCAACCAAUACCACACAUCAUCAUUUCAGUGGGAACUAAGGGGAAUUUGAAGUAUCAACUCCUUGUCUCUUGCGUUGAAAAGAUCCGAAACAAGAUCAUAAUCCCAAGCUCGUUGAUUAGGCACCAGUAAACUACUAACAGGAGCUGCAGCAAGCUCUGCAUGGAGAUUAGAAGAAACAAAUCCAUUAUUAGUAUCAGGAAGCCACGGAUCCUUACCAAUGAAGAUCGAAUUCCCACAGCCAACUUGCAGUCUACUCCCUUGAAUUACCACAUCCUUUGCAGCCAAAAUAAAGCGUCAUACAUAGCUAGGAUUAUGCCCCACAGAAGCUUGAAGAACAGAGGUGCGCGGAUGGUAGCGAGCUUUAAUUAUCUUGGCCACAAGAGAUUCCGGACAAGUUAACAGCUUCCACAUUUGCUUUCCUAACAUCGCUAGAUUGAAUAAAUGAAGUUGUUUAAAACCAAGGCCCCCAUAUCCUUUUGGUUUGCACAGAUUUUCCCAUUUGGACCAGUUUAUUCCUUUCCCUCCACUUCGAUUACUACGCCACCAGAAUGAGUUCAUCAGUCCUUCUAGUUCUCUACACAAAUCCUUUGGCAGUAAAUAUAUACCCAUAGCAUAAUUAGGCAUCGCAAGGGCUACCGUUUUUAACAAAAUCUCCUUCCCAGCCCGAGAAAGCAUCCGCGUACUCCAUCCCUGCAGGCGUUGCCAGAGCUUGUCCCUAAUAUACCUGAACACCUCUUUCUUGUUUCUGCCAAUAUAUGAUGGAAGACCAAGGUAGGCUCCAUGAUUAGAGGUCAUGGUAACCGCUAGAAUAUCACAAACCUGCUGAGUAACAGAUGCAAUCACAUUAGUGCUAAAAGAAAUUGAAGACUUGUUGAAAUUAACCUCUUGGCCAGAAGCUCGACCAUAAACCUCCAGCAGCUGCUUGAUUAAAGAAGCUUCAUUGUUAUUUGCCCUGAAAAAAAGGAAGCUAUCAUCGGCAAAAAACAAAUGCGAGACCGAUGGUGCCCCUCUCGCGAUCCGUACACCAUGAAGUAAGCCAUUCCUUUCUUGUCUUCGAAUUAAAGAACUGAGCCCUUCCGCGCAAAGAAUAAAUAGAUACGGAGAUAAUGGAUCUCCCUGUCGAAGGCCUCUACUCGGAACAAUCGGCCCAACUUCCUUUCCCUCCCGUAGCACAUGAUAUCUGACAGUAGAUACACAGAGCAUAAUUAACUCCACCCACUUGGCAUCAAACCCCAUCUUAAGCAUCAUUGCUUGAAGAAAAUUCCACUCAAUCCUGUCAUAUGCCUUAGACAUAUCAAUUUUCAGAGCAGCUACCCCAUUUUUGCCUUGUCUCUUCCGUUUCAAAAAAUGCAUAAUUUCAGCCGAAAUGAUUAUGUUAUCCGUGAUAGCUCGACCCGGGAUAAAAGCGCUUUGAGAGUCUAAAAUAACCACAUCAAGAACUGAUUUCAUGCGGUUAGCUAGCAUUUUGGAUAUUAUCUUAUACAACACAUUGCAUAACGCAAUUGGUCUCGUAUCUGAUAAUAAUUCAGGUUUGUGUUUCUUCGGUAUUAGCACAAUUGAAGUGUCAUUCAAGCCCACUAGGAAAGAGCAAUCAUGAAUAAAUUUUAAACAAGCCAAAAUCACAUCCUUACCCACAAUAUGCCAGAACUUUUGGUAGAAAGCAGGGUUCAUCCCGUCGGGUCCUGGAGACUUGUCCGGAUGCAUUUCAAAGAGUGCUUCUUUAACCUCAAUGUCAGUAAAAGGAGCUAAAAGCAUUGCAUUAUGCUCGUUUGUAAUUCUUUUAUCCACACACUGGGUAACUUCAGCAGUAUGACACCCUCCGGAGGUGAAAAGGCUCUGGAAAUAGUCCACAAUCAAAGUAUCCACCUCCUCUGGGUUGGAACACCAGUCUCCUUGAUUAUUGCGAAGAGACUCGAAGGAAUUCUGCCUUCUCCUGGCAGAGGCCGAGGCAUGGAAAUAGUGAGUGUUCCUGUCACCUUCCUUUAACCACAAAGACUUUGCUCUCUGUUUCCAAAAAACCUUAUGACUAUGCAAAAGCUCAUUAUAACGCUGUCUCGCUUCUGAAAAAGCAACCACACCCUCACUAUCUCGCCUACCCCGAAAAACAGCCAUACACUUCUUGCAUUCCCGAAUUCGCUGUCGAAAAUCUCAAGCAAAAUGCCCUCCCCACUCCAUAAGAGCAGACCCACACAGCAUAAUUCUAUGUUGAAUAGAAGCACCAGUAUAGGAGCUCCAGCUAUCCCGAAUAACAUCACUACAGUCAGCCUCACGCAACCAAGUAUUCUCAAAACGAAAACGGUUAUGCCUUAAAAUAGGCUGGGUCGGGCUAGGAUCCAACAAGAUAGGAAGAUGAUCAGAGCAAGAGGAGUCUAAGCUAUAGACUUUCACCUUGUUGAAUCGCUGAAUCCAUUCCUCAGAUGCAAAAGCUCGAUCAAGCCUUUCUUCAACCCAUUUAUCAGUGCCCCUAGCUCUCUCCCAUGUAAACUGAUACCCAUCGAUGCCAAGAUCAACUAAAUUGCAAUCGGUAAUAGCUCGCUGAAAACCCACCAGCUUCCAAUUUGGGUGCGCAAUACUACCUCUCUUCUCAUUUGCCGCCAGUAAAUCAUUAAAAUCACCUAUACACACCCAUGGGAGUGAAGAGGAAGAAGCAAGCAAACGGAGCAAGUCCCACGAUUUGCGGCGCCGGCUAGACUCAGGAUAGCCGUAAUAACCAGUUAAUCUCCAUUUUCCUAAAACGGGCACUUCAACUUCAGCAUCUAUAAAAUUGGUGGCAAACUGCAGCAGAUUAACAUUACUAGUAGCUUUCCAAAGAAGCGCGAGCCCACCACUCCGGCCAACUCUAUCAACAACAAACAGCCCAUCAUAGCCCAAUUGAAUUUUGAUCAUCUCUAACUUAUCUCUACUGCAUAGCGUUUCAAUAAGAAAAAUGAACGUAGGCUUCUUGUUACGGACCACCUCUGCCAACAUACGAACUGUCCGUGGCUGGCCCAACCCACGGCAGUUCCAACUUAAAGUACUCAUUGCUCUCGGUGGGCCUGAAGUACAGGUCCCACCGCUAGCCCGUUUUUUGGAUCUACCACCAUAGAACUCACAUCCACCUCUGUUUGUACUAUACCCUCCAGCCCCAUAUCCGCUCUUCUUCUUUUAGCUUCCUUUAACACUAACUCUUUCUCCCCAUACCUUACAGCUACUUGAGUAAGGUCCAGCCCAUUUGCAAAUGAAACCACGUCUUUGCCCUUACCAAGCCGUUGACUGCUAGUGGCCUGGACAACUGGCAAUGCUUGUAAGCUCAUUAUAUUAUCCAUAGAAUCCCGCCCAUCACUCCCUAUAUGGUUGGCAAAUUUCGUAUUGUUGGAAAUUCCUGAUUUGGAGGCAUUCAUCUCAUUAACCACGGUACCACUUAAGGAAGUUUUAAAAUUUCCUGAAUUAGCCAUACAUUCUUCUGACAGUUCCGAAUGUAACCACCUUUCACCGGAGGACAUGGCAUUCCGACGAGUUGGAGCCUUCAUCUCUGGCCUAUAUGACCUUGUAAUAUCAGCAGCAUCACAAUUAUACAACUUCGGACAAAGUUUUUCUGAGUGCCCAAGGAGUCCACAAAUGAAGCAGAAAGUAUUUAAUCGUUCAAACUUGAAAUCAACCCAGAACCAAUCUCCUCCCUCCUUCUUUAGUCGCAAUCUUCGCUUCAGGGGUUUCCGGACAUCAAUGGAUACCCUUAUGCGCAUAUAGUUUCUCCACACUCCCAUGAGAUUAUUAGGAUCUGAAGAUUGAAACUCACCAUUAUUGUUACCAAUAUUUAUCAAUACUUUCUCUGACAGAAACCCAAUGGGUAAGUUGUACACCUGGAUCCAAAACGAAGUAUGGAAUAAAGAAACCAUAUUCGGUUGUUCAUUCUCCCCCAAUCUCUUUAAAAUUAGAAUAUGUUGGUCGAAGGUCCACGGUCCCGAAUCAAUCACACGCUUGAGGUCAACUUCGUGAAAGAAUUGGAACAAGAAAAGAGAAGGUGAUAAAUCUUUGAUGCACACUCCCUUCCCUGGACGCCAUAAUGCCGCCAUAGUAUUUUUCAUGGCCGGAAAAUUGAUCACCUUAUCAGUUAAAAACCUCCCCACCAAGCAGAAUCUAAAAUCAGUCAACCCUGCAUUUCCAGUGGCAAUAUCCUCACUAUGAAAAACAAGACCAUCGUCAUCUUCCUCCCCAAUAGAAACCUUUUCAUAUGCAGCAUUCAUCUCAUGCUCCCCAAAAUUUCUACUGGUUGUCAUAGUACUCGUAAUAAGCAGGAAAUAUGGCUAUCUAGCCGGAAAUAUCCUAGAGCAAACUUGUCAGAAGGACAAGACAAACAAAGCUUGCCAAAGAGACAAGAGUAGCCUAAAAUUACGACUUGUGUUUGAGUAGGAGGAUAAUGUAAGAAAACUUGGCACUUUUAUUCAACUGAAGAAAUUUUACAAUUUAAAUUAGAAACGAUAAAAUUUAAUAAUUAACUAUUAUUUGAACUAAUUGAAUCGUGCGCCAUCAUUUGUGUAAUGUAUCCUAUUUGCAAAAUAAACGGCAGGAUGCGGUUUGCGGACAGAUUAUGGAAAGAAAAAGGCAUAUAUUUCUCUCCUAUUUUGGUAAUUCUAUAUUUCUAUUCUUCUUCUUUUUCAACCCCAAAUAAUCAAAAGCUCUCCAAUGGCUUUCGUAUCCACAAGGACCACAACUCGUCCAUUUCAUUUUACUUCAAUUUUAGUAUCAGCUCUUAGAUGUAAUUUCUCAUCUUCGUUCCCUCAUACCGGAAAACCCACAUCUUCAAUUUCGGAAAAUGAACCCUCGUAUCCGACCACAACAGCUAAACUGAAGGAGUCGCUACGACUGACGGUCAAAGACUGAGCCUCACUCGAAAAAUUCCUCAAAGAAAGGUGCAAAUCAUCAGGUCAAGGUGAUAUUAAUCUUAUUACUCCUAAUGAAGCCUUGUGUAUCUUUGAUUACAUGCUCCGUAUGCACCCUUCUCCGCCUCCUGUCUCUUCCUUCAAUAUUUUGUUUGGUUGUCUUGCUAAGAAUAAACAUUAUGAUACUGUCCUUUCACUCUUCAAGCGACUCAAUUCAACUGGGUUGUUUCCAGAUCUUUAUACUUACAAUAUCUUGAUUAACUGCUUUUGCAAAAUGGGUCGAGUUUCUCAUGGUUUUGUUGUUCUUGGGAGAAUCCUCAGGUCUUGUUUUACUCCAGAUGCUGUGACCUUUACUUCUUUGAUUAAAGGUUUGUGUGCGGAGAGUAGAAUCAUGGAGGCCGCCACAUUGUUUAUGAAACUUAAAGCGUUUGGUUGUGAGCCUAAUGUCAUUACAUACACCACUUUGAUUAAUGGAUUGUGUCGAACAGGCCAUACAAUUGUUGCUCUAAAUUUAUUUGAAGAGAUGGCUAAUGGAAAUGGGGAAUUUGCUGUUGUUUGUAAGCCAGACACUGCUACAUACAGUACUAUUAUCGAUGGUCUUUGUAAGGAAGGUUUUGUGGACAAGGCCAAGGAACUGUUUCUGCAGAUGAAGGAUAACAAUAUUAACCCUAACAUGGUUACCUAUACCUCUGUGAUUCGUGGUUUUUGUUAUGCUAAUGAUUGGAAUGAGACCAAGUGUUUGCUAAUUGAGAUGAUGGACCAAGGGGUACAGCCUAAUGUUGUGACUUUCAAUGUCAUCAUGGAUGAGCUCUGCAAGAAUGGAAAGAUGGAUGAGGCAAGUCGGUUGUUGGACCUGAUGAUUCAGUUUGGUGUGCGUCCAAAUGCUUUUGUCUAUAACACAUUAAUGGACGGGUUUUGCUUGACGGGUAGAGUUAAUCGUGCGAAGGAACUAUUUGUUUCUAUGGAGAGUAUGGGUUGCAAACAUACUGUUUUUAGUUAUAGUAUUUUGAUAAAUGGUUACUGCAAGAAUAAGGAAAUAGAGGGAGCGUUAACCCUUUAUAGCGAAAUGCUCUCUAAAGGAAUUAAGCCAGAUGUUGUUAUAUAUAACACCUUGUUUAUUGGCCUUUUUGAAAUACACCAGGUUGAGCGUGCUUUCAAGCUGUUUGAUGAGAUGCAAUGUGAUGGCGUGGCAGCUGAUACCUGGGCAUAUACAACCUUUAUUGAUGGGCUCUGCAAGAAUGGUUAUAUUGUAGAGGCAGUUGAACUAUUUCGUACUUUGAGAAUUCUCAAGUGUGAACUUGAUAUUCGAGCCUACAACUGCCUCAUUGAUGGAUUAUGUAAAUCCGGCAGACUCGAAAUUGCAUGGGAACUGUUUCUGAAGAUGAAGGAUGAGAAUAUUAACCCCAAUGUGGUUACUUAUACCUCUUUGAUUCACGGUUUUUGUUACGCUAAUGAUUGGAAUGAGGCGAAGUGUUUGUUUAUUGAGAUGAUGGACCAAGGGGUACAACCUAAUGUUGUGACUUUCAAUGUGAUCAUGGAUGAGCUCUGCAAGAAUGGAAAGAUGGAUAAAGCAAGUCGGUUGCUGGACCUGAUGAUUCAGAUUGGUGUGCGUCCAGAUGCUUCUGUCUAUAACACAUUAAUGGAUGGGUUUUGCUUGACGGGUAGAGUUAACCGUGCGAAGGAACUAUUUGUUUCUAUGGAGAGUAUGGGUUGCAAACAUAAUGUUUUUAGUUACAGUAUUUUGAUAAAUGGUUACUGCAAGAAUAAGGAAAUAGAGGAAGCGUUAAGCCUUUAUAGCGAAAUGCUCUCUAAAGGAAUUAAGCCAACAGUUGUUACAUAUAGCACCUUGUUUCUUGGACUUUUUGAAAUACACCAGGUUCAGCAUGCUUUAAAACUGUUUGAUGAGAUGCAGCGUAAUCAUGUGGCAGCUAAUACAUAUAUAUAAACUACCUUUAUUGACGGGCUCUGCAAGAAUGGUUUUGUUCUAGAGGCACUGGAAUUAUUCCGUGCUAUAAGAAAUAGCAAGUAUGAGCUUAAUAUCGUAUCCUACAACUGCCUCAUUGAUGGAUUGUGUAAAAUAGGCAAACUGGAAACUGCUUGGGAACUGUUUCAAAGUUUGCCUCGUGUAGGCCUAAUGGCAGAUGUUGUAACAUACAACAUCAUGAUCCAUGGGCUUUGUAAUGAUGGGCAAAUGGACAAGGCACAUGAUUUGUUUCUUGAUAUGGAAGCAAAAGGUGUGGAACCCGAUUGUGUCAUAUUUAAUAUGAUUAUGCUGGGUUUCAUCCGCAAUAAUGAGACAUCAAAAGUUAUUGAACUCCUUCACAGAAUGGAUAAGAGAAAUGUAAUGCCAGACGCAUCUAUACUUUCAAUUGUUGUGGACUUGCUUGUAAAGAAUGAAAUUAGCUUAAACUCGAUUCCACAAUUCAAGAGUCAAAGGUAAGUGAGUUUAAUACUGAUUUAGCCACAUGUUUCUUCUGCCUGAAAACCCAACCUGGAGGAUCCCAUUCUUAUUACAACAUGUAAAGGAGUGUUGUCUAAUAUAGGCAUGUUCCUAGGUUCUGUCCAUGGAUUCUGUUUGCAGACAUGGCUAACUUCUUGUUCAACAGAAAGUUUUAAAGUCUUUCAACUUUAUGUUGUAAAAUAACUUUUUUAUUAUUCAAUUCAUGAGUUUUUCUUCUAUAACACAUCCUUCUCAUUAGCUGGAAGUGCAAAUUUUUUAGGCUUUUCCUGUAUGGCCUCUUUCUCUGCUCUAAAUAAAAUGGCAUUUUAUUUCCCUCUUGUGAGGGUACAAGGUUUAUGUUUAAACUUUCUGUUAGUUAAAUUGGUUGUCUUUGAUAUAGGGAACUUCCAGUUGAACUGAUUUGUAAUUCGACUAUAUGAGAUUACCAACUGUAUUGGGAAUUGAUGCCAAAUUAAUAAUGUCAUCAGGUUUUUCAAUCAGUGUUCAUCAUUUAUUUCUGUUAACAAUUAAUAGCACAGUUUGUCUUCUCAGCUUCAUUGGUUCCUCUCAAAAAUGAUCUUGUAAAGACAAUCUUUCUUGGGCAUGGAAAAUGCUAGAUUGUUUGUGGUCUGAAUGAUACUACACAUCUAAGUAAUUGCCCAAAUUUUUUGUUCCUUGUUACACGGCAUUCAAUUGAAUGAGGACUCAUGUUUGUGUGUAUUGGUAUUUGUUAUACUAUGUAUUGGCAAGACAAAGUUUCUUGAAACUGACAAACUUUUCUCUAUGAAGAUUGAAGACAAUAUGAUAAGAUAAAAUUUAUCAAAAGCCUAUAUAUGCUUGCCAGGGCUGGACCUUUGAUUAUUAGUCCUCGCCUUUCGUUCUUGUUUCAUAUUCUUCUGCUAACAAAUCUUGAUCAUGAAUCUCAUCACAUUUGGUACGCGUAUCCAUGGUUUUAUCCGAACCAAUGAGCCAUCAAAAGUUAUUGACCUUCUUCACAAGAUGAGGGAGAAAAAAGUAAUGCCAGAUGCAUCUAUAGUUUCAAUCGUCGUGGACUUGUAAAGAAUGAAAUUAGUCUGAACUCACUUCCGUCAUUUCCUGUUCAAGAGCAACAGGGGGAGGUUGAUGAGUCAAAUGUCAAGUUGUAGCAGCAUGUGCUUUCAGCCUAAAAUCCUGAUCUGCAGCAUCUCAAUCAUGUUACAAAGUGACACGUCGCCUAGUGACAGCAAGUUCUCUACGGUGCUGUUAAUGGAUCCUGAUUGUUCUUGUGAUCUGGAGAGUCUCAUUCAUAUUACAGAUCCUGAUCAGGACGAGCUAGCUUAUGUGAUCACCAACUGUACAUGGUUGUUGAUGCCAAAUUAAAUUAUGGUAUCAUGUUUUUCAACUUGUUAUUUAAUAUAGUGCUUCCAUUGAACGGCCACAAGAAACUGUAGAAUCACCGUGUCUUGUUCCCUCUUAAUAAUCCAUCACUUUGGAAGCUAAUGAAUUAGUUGCACCUUGUCACUUUCUUGGUACUUGAUUGUCAUUCGUGCUUUGAAUUUACAGCAUAUUUUAUCCCUGCUUUACUCUUUGCAUAAUCACCUUUGAGGGCUGCUAGUAUGUAUAAUUGAAAAACCUUAUAUAAAUUGUAAGCAUUUUUAUUUAACUUGUUGUAAACGUCCAGUAUAUGUCUCUUCUGUGAAAUGAUUCAUUCUCCAUGCUGCGAGGACCUGGGCUUAUGACUCUUCUGUGAAAUGAUUUACCCUCACCUGCAGACAGACAUUUAUCACAUUCGAGAAAUCUUCAAACAAAGUGAAAAAAAUGCCACAAACACGACAUAAACUUAACUGUUUACAUGAAAAGUGGCAGCAACUUGGUGAAAUUACCGAUUAAAAUGUCCCUACUGUGAGGAAGGAUGCUAUACAACUGACUCGGAAAAUGUAAAAUGGGUAACGUACGUCCAAAAUGUCCCUGUAUUGUUGGCAUGUUCCCAGCUUCUGUUCAUGGAUUCUGUUUGCAGACAUGGCAGACUCUUUGUUUCAUCGGACAAGUUUCAAAUAAUUCUGGCAACUUUUUGUUGUAAAAUUACUUUUUUAUCAUUUAAUUCAUAUGCCUCUUUCUCAUUACCUGCAAGUGCAAAAUUUUUAGGCUCGUCCUCUUAGACCUCUUUUUCUUCUCUAAAUAGAUAAAAUGGCAUUUCAUUUUUCUCUUGCGAGGGUGCAGGUUUAUGCUGAAACUUUCUGUUAGUUAAAUUGAUUGUCUUUGAUAUUGGAACUUGUAGUUGAACUAGUUUACAUUUAGAAUAUAUGAGAUUACCAACUGUAACGGGAAUUGGUGCCGAAUUGAUUAUGUUAUCAGGUUUUUCAGUCUUUGUUCAUCUUUUAUUUCUGUUAAUAAUUAAUAGCACAGCUUGUCUUCUCUGCUUCUUUGGUUCCUGUCAAUUGUCAAAUAUAAACUGGUAAAGACAUUUUGUUUUGGCAUGGCACAUGCUAGAUUUUGUUUUUGGUUUGAAUGAUACUACAAAUCUGAGUAAUUGUCCAGAUUUUUUUCAUUCCUAGUGACAUGGCACUCAAUUGAAUGGUGACCCGUGAAUCAUGAUUGUGUGUGUUGGUAUUUGUUAAACUACGUGCUGGCAAGACAAAGUUUGUUAUUAGUCCUCGCCUUCCAUUCUUGUUUCAUAUUCUUCUGCUAACAAAUCUUGAUCAUGGUAGUCUUCUCUUUUCUUUGCAACCCACAUAUAAAGUCUCGGCCAUAAGCCUCGAGGCCUAUUCUCUUUUGCAAUGGUGAGUUCACUCUCAGGAAUCAGAUCGAAUUUGAAGAAACUGCAAGGGACUACAAAGCAAAUGGUGUGAAGCUCCUUUCACUCAUCACUGGCACAGCAUUACUCUGACUUUCUACAUUUUACUGUUGCGUAUGGUUUCUCCAUACCAUUCUCGUUGGAAGUUCAAUCAUUACUGUUUUUUUCCCCCCUCUUUUUACUUGCUCUUGCUAUUUUUGUUGUCUGAAAUUAUCUGAAGUUCCAUGCAUGCUCCAAUAGAACAAGAAAUGUAGGUGCUGACCAACUCAAAAUAAGUAGUUAGUUGCCUAGUAGUUGCUUUGCAUGAAAUUUGUUUUUGGUAUGAAUAAUGUUGUCUGAAUUUUACAAGCUUCCAUGCAACCCCUAAUUUAUUGGAUGUCUUAACCCAACCCCUCAUUUAAUAUUAGAUUUACCCGUUGAUUGAUGUUGACUCUUGAAAGUAAUGUAAUAUUUAUUUAUUUGAUAUUAAUGAUUAUAUCAUUUAAAUAGUCUAUUCUAAGAUAUUAUUAAUUUUCUCAUUUAAAUAAAAUAUUAUUAUAUUUAUUUGAUAUUAAUGAUUAAUUAUAAUAAAUAGUCUAUUCUAAGAAAAUAUUAAUUUUCUAUUAUGUUAUUAAUAAUAAUGUUUCAUUUCUAUUACUUUCAUCAAUAAUUUUUAAUUAAGAUAACUAAAAUUAAAACUAACAAAAAAUUAUGAUUUACAUAAUUAAUAAUAUUAAUAAUUAUUGUUAAUUUACAAAUAUAAUGAAAUAAAUAUUUCUUUUUCAAAUAUAUUUUUUAUUAAAUUUUUAAUUAAAAACUAUAUUUUUUAAAUAAGGAUAAAAUUAUAAUUUGAAACUAUUUACUCCCGCUCCGAGACAAAGUAAACACGUAAAUUGAAUUUUAAUUCCAAUUCCAUACUCCUAUUCCAGUGUAAGUAAAUAAUCUACUCUCACUCCACACUCUCAAUAUCAGGAUUCUUACUUCUUAGGAUUACCUCUCUAUUCCAAAAUAUAAACGCUAACAAAAUAUAAACCAUAUAGAGACACAUAUAUAUAGAAUCAUAUCAUAUCUCAAACGUCAAAUAAAAUUCUUAAUUAAGUAAACCAUAAGGUGAUUGCGUAUAAAAAAAUUAAUAAUAUUAAUUUUCAUAAGAAUUUAUGCUUGCAGUAUUACUUUACUUUUUAUUAACCAUUGCUUCAACUUAUGGUGGAUAUUAAGAGAACAAUAAUAAUAGAGCUAUACACGUUUGCAUACUACCAAUUAAAUUAACACUAUAAUUUGGUUUACCAAACAGAUCCUUAAUAUCAUAAAUGAUUAAAUUAUUGGGGUUUUAAAAUGUAGACUUUGCAUGAUUUCUUUAUAUUUAGGUGCCAUGGCUCCUAUAAGUAAUGUCAGCCACACUUUUUGUUAUUGGUAAAAAACUUUUCUAGGUACAAUUUGUGAAUUUGUACAACGUGUGGUAUUAAACAUUUGAAGAAUGAACCGACAAUGUCGUAUCAAUAAUAAAGAAAAGAAAACGAAUUGUAUAAUACCCAGGUGUUCUAGUGUAACUUGGAUUCUUUUUCUUUAUAGGUGCACCUAUUAUGUGAUUUUUUUUUUUUUAAAAAAGAAAACAAAAAAAAAGAACUCUUGAGAUUUUAAAAUUUUGUAAUUGCACUAUCUUGAAAUUACCAGGAGACUUCCUCUCCUUGAAGACACCCUUAAUCCAUAAAAGGUCCAAAAAAUAAUUCAUGAAAUGAAUUGAUUAUUUUAGAUAAGUUUCAAGUAUGCAUACCUUUUAUAACUCCAUAUUGCAUAACUCCUCAUUUCACUCAAUGGAUGCAUUUGUUCACUUUUUCUUUCUUGUAAAUUUUUGAAUGGCCGUAAUUUUAUAGAUUAUUAAUUAAGUGUUAUUAUUAUCAUUAUUGGCCGUAGAUGCAUAUGUGGGGUGGCGCCGUUUGGGGGGCAUGGAUCUCAAUACACCAGAGGGCCAGAAUAUUUAUUCUUUAAGAGGAACCACAACCAACAGCAAUACUUUAAGUUCCAUUCCAUUUCACUUCUAUGCACUAGAUUGCAUAAACAACAUUGAUCAUCCAAGGUCAAAGCCUCUCAAAGACGUUAGUUGCAAGAAAACGCAUGGGAUUGUGGUCAAAAUUUUCUUGCGGUGAAAGGUUCAUACAUUGAUGACAAUUAUUGGAUUGUUUUGGGCCUCAAUGGUUUUAAUAUUAUUCUCUUAAAAACAUAUAUGUUGAUUACAGACGAGAGGAAGAAGAUGAUCUGAUUCAGCCAACUGCAGAAGAUAGAGCACGCGGUGGAGUUCAUAUUUUGAAUUCUCUUGUUAAGUUGUUUUUAAUUUAUUGCAAGGUAGAAUACGUUGCUUUCUUAAAAAAUACUUUGAACAUCAUAUUUUUGUAUUACAAAUAUACCAAAAUUAAACUAAUUUUUUUUCUUUAUUAGUAUAAACUAAAUUUUGCCAGAAUGGUUGUCCUUGUAGGUGGAAUUCUAUUAUGAAACUAAUAGUCCUUCCUAGUGCUAACUAUCACUUUGAACAAAUGUGUCAUCUCUAACAACAACUUCCAAACUUGCAGCUACCUGCUACUCAGCAUUAGAAGCGAUAUCCACCUUGGCUUUCAACCAGCUGUAAUUAGGAGGAUGGUACCAUUGUUUCUGUUUGUCAAUUUCCUUCCUUGAAGCAUAAACCUUAAUUAGGAGGAGGGCAAGCUUCCAAAUAACAUUCCAAAUAGUAUUGUGAAAAUUUUUCACCCUUUUGGUCAUAAAAAAGAACCUUAUUUCUAGUUCUCUAUUAACAAUUUUAUCACUUUAAGUUCUCUCUUUACUAGAAAUAUCAUAUAUAUUAUUUUGUUGUUAAUAUAAAUACGACUAAAUAUUUAUGAUUUAAAGAUAGUUGUUGAAUGGAGGCCGUCACACACACACACACACACACACACAAAAGUAUUUAAAAGCAAUGGUGAUAUCAUAAUUUUUUGUACUGAUAUGAGAAUAUUACACUAGAUUUUUUUUAUGCAUUACAAAAAGUUUGAAUUCAAGAAUAAAUAAGCAAUAUCGGGAGCAAAUUUUACAAAAAGUCUCCAGGACAUGUCAUACGAAAAAUAGUAUACUAGUCAGUAGAUCUUCUUUCUACAUUACAAAAAAUUAGAAAUGCGAUCUAAAUCGAUAUCAAUUACUAAUUUUAUAGUGAAUGGGUCCUUCAUGAAAACAAUGAAUAUUUUUAUAAUUUAAGAAAUUAUUAGCCAUUUACCAUGAGUUUACUUUGUGUCCAAAAAUACUACGGAAACUUUAACUUGUUUAGUUUUUUUACCUUAAUUUAUAAUUUAUAUUAGUCGCUCAUUAAAAAAAUAGAAUUGCCUCAUAAAAUGAUAAAAUAAAAACAAACACAAAUGACAAUACUAGUUGCUUUAUAAGGAUAAUCCAGUCCUUUCGGCACCAAAUUACUGGUUAAAUUAUUUUUAGACUGAGUGACGAAGGGUCAUUUUAAUAUUCAUGGCCAUUUAAUCUAUCUAAACAUGAUAUUUCGAGUAGACUUAUGUUUGCGUAGGAGGCUAAUGUAAAAAAAGUGGCACUUUUAUUCAACUGAAUAAAUUUCACAAUUUAAAUUAGAAAACGAUAAAAUUUCAUAAUUAACUAUUAUUUGAACUAAUUGAAUCGGGAGCCAUCAUUUGUAGCGGCCCCAAAAGCAUAACAUUAUUGUGAGUAAUGUAUCCUACUUGCAAAAUAAACGGCAGAAGGCGGUUUGGGGACGGAUUAUCGAGGUAUUUGUUAAUAUUCGGAAAUGGAAAGAAAAGGGCAAAUAAAAUUUUAACUUAUUAUUAUUAUUAAAGAUUAGACAAAUAAAGGAGCUGUUUGAGUUUAAAUCUCAAAUCAAACCGUACCCAUCGCAAGUAAUGCAUGUGCACAUAAAAUUAUAUUUUGGUAAUUCUUUUCUUCUUUUUUAACCCCAAAUAAUCAAAAGCUCUCCAAUGGCAUUCGUAUCCACAACUCGUUCCUUUCAUUUUACUUCAAUUUCAAUAUCAGCUCUUAGAUGUAAUUUCUCAUCUUCGUUCCCUCAUAUCGGAAAACCCACAUCUUCAAUUUCGGAAAAUAAGCCCUCGUAUCCGACCACAACAGCUAAACUGAAGGAGUCGCUACGACUGACAGUCAAAGACCGAGCCUCACUCGAAAGAUUCCUCAAAGAAAGGUGCAAAUCAUCAGGUCAAGGUGAUAUUAAUCUUAUUACUCCUAAUGAAGCCUUUUGUAUCUUUGAUUACAUGCUCCGUAUGCACCCUUCUCCGCCUCAUGUCUAUUCCUUCAAUAUUUUGUUUGGUUGUCUUACUAAGAAUAAACAUUAUGAUACUGUCCUUUCACUCUUCAAGCGAUUCAAUUCAACUGGGUUGUUUCCAAAUCUUUAUAUUUACAAUAUCUUGAUUAACUGCUUUUGCAAAAUGGGUCGAGUUUCUCAUGGUUUUGUUGUUCUUGGGAGGAUCCUCAGGUCUUGUUUUACUCCAGAUGCUGUGACCUUUAAUUCUUUGAUUAAAGGUUUGUGUGCGGAGAGUAGAAUCAUGGAGGCUGCCGCAUUGUUUACGAAACUUAGAGUGUUUGGUUGUGAGCCUAAUGUUUUUACAUACAAUACUUUGAUUAAUGGAUUGUGUCGAACUGGCCAUACAAUUGUUGCUCUAAAUUUAUUUGAAGAGAUGGCUAAUGGAAAUGGGGAAUUUGGUGUUGUUUGUGAGCCAAAUACUGUUACAUACACUACUAUUAUUGUAAGGAAGGUUUUGUGGACAAGGCCAAGGAACUGUUUCUGCAGAUGAAGGAUAACAAUAUUAACCCUAACGUGGUUACCUAUACCUCUGUGAUUCGUGGUUUUUGUUAUGCUAAUGAUUGGAAUGAGACCAAGUGUUUGCUAAUUGAGAUGAUGGACCAAGGGGUACAGCCUAAUGUUGUGACUUUCAAUGUCAUCAUGGAUGAGCUCUGCAAGAAUGGAAAGAUGGAUGAGGCAAGUUGGUUGUUGGACCUGAUGAUUCAGUUUGGUGUGCGUCCAAAUGCUUUUGUCUAUAACACAUUAAUGGACGGGUUUUGCUUGACAGGUAGAGUUAAUCGUGCGAAGGAACUAUUUGUUUCUAUGGAGAGUUUGGGUUGCAAACAUACUGUUUUUAGUUACAGUAUUUUGAUAAAUGGUUACUGCAAGAAUAAGGAAAUAGAGGGAGUGUUAACCCUUUAUAGCGAAAUGCUCUCUAAAGGAAUUAAGCCAGAUGUUGUUAUAUAUAACACCUUGUUUAUUGGCCUUUUUGAAAUACACCAGGUUGAGCGUGCUUUCAAGCUGUUUGAUGAGAUGCAAUGUGAUGGCGUGGCAGCUGAUACCUGGGCAUAUACAACCUUUAUUGAUGGGCUCUGCAAGAAUGGUUAUAUUGUAGAGGCAGUUGAACUAUUUCGUACUUUGAGAAUUCUCAAGUGUGAACUUGAUAUUCGAGCCUACAACUGCCUCAUUGAUGGAUUAUGUAAAUCCGGCAGACUCGAAAUUGCAUGGGAACUAUUUUGUGGUUUGCCUCGUGUAGGCCUAAUGGCAGAUGUUGUAACAUAUAACAUCAUGAUCCAUGGGCUUUGUAAUGAUGGGCAAAUGGACAAGGCACAUGGUUUAUUUCUUGAUAUGGAAGCAAAGGGUUUGGAACCCAAUUUUGUCAUAUUUAAUACGCUUAUGCUGGGUUUCAUCCCCUGUAAUGAGACAUCAAAAGUUAUUGAACUCCUUCACAGAAUGGAUAAGAGAAAUGUAAUGCCAGACGCAUCUAUACUCUCAAUUGUUGUGGACUUGCUUGUUAAGAAUGAAAUUAGUUUAAACUCGAUUCCACAAUUCUAGAGACACAAGUAAGUCAAUGAGCUGAAUGCUGAUUUACUUGCAUGUUUUUUCUGCCUAAAAUCUGGAUCUGGAGAAUCCCAUUCUUAUUACAACACGUGAAGUAUUGUUGCGUAGUGAUGGCAUGUCCCAGGUUCUGUUCAUAGAUUCUGUUUGCAGAUAUGGAUGACUCAUCAGUUAAGUUUCAAAGUCUGGCAACUUUUUGUUGUAAAAUUACUUUUUAUUAUUCAGGUCAUAUGUUUUCCUUCUAUAAUGCAUCUUUUUCAUUAGCUGGAAGUGCAAAGUUUUUAUGCUCUUUCUGUAUGACCACUUUUUCUUCUCUAAAUAGAUAAAAUGGCAUUUAGUUUUUCGUUUGUGAGGCUACUAGGUUUAUGUUCAAACUUUCUGUUAGUUAAAUUGAUUGUCUUUGAUAUCUAGCACUUCUAGUUGUACUAAUUUGUACUUCUGAGUAUAUGGGAUUGCCGACUGUAAUGGGAAUUGAUGCCAAAUUAAUUAUGCAUCAAGUUUUUCAGCGUGUUCAUCUUUUAUUUCUGUUAACAUUUUGGCUUUGGACAUGCUGGAUUGUUUUUGGUUUCAGUGAUACAAAACAUCUAACUAAUUGUCCAAAGUUCUUCAUUCCUUGUGACAUAGCAUUCAGUUGAAUGGUGACUCAUGAAUCAUGAUUGUGUGUUUUGGUAUUUGUAUACUAUGUAUUGGCAAGACAAAGUUUGUUGAAACUGAGAAACUUUUCUCCGCCUUCCAUUCUUGUUUCAUAUUCUUAUGCUAACAAACCUUGAUCAUGAUGAGUCUCCUCUUUUCUUUACAACCCACAUAUAAAGUCUUGGCCAUAAGCCUCAAGGCCUAUUGGCUAUUACAGCAGUGAGUUCACUCUCAGGAAUCAGAUCUUUCAAAUUCGAGGAAAUUUGAAAAAAUUGCAAAUGUCUACAAAGCAAAUGGUCUAAAGGUCCUUUUUGUUAUCACUCACACAACAUUACUCAAGAGUAUCUACGUUUUACUGUUGGUUCUGUUGUGAAACAGCAUUUCUGAUUAUUAUAGAAGACAAUUCUUCGAAGCAUGUAUUUGAGAUGCGUUUAGAGCCUUUGGAAUUAAAUGAUUAAUUCGCUUUAAUUUCCAGCCAUAGUUCUAUGCAGGCCAGUUAAUCCCCUUUUUUGUUACCCCCCUCUUUUUCCUUUUUGCUAUGGAUUGUGUUUCCUUGUUUUUCUACUUUUACUUGCGUUGACAACUUGAGCUUGCUGUCCUGUGGUUUUAGAACCUUCCUAAGUAUCUUCUCAAAAAAAAAAAAGAACCUUCCUAAGUAAGCGUGGAAAUGACAAUGAAGAAUUGAAGAUGGUGAAGGGUUUACUAGUCAUUUUCUUUUUUAAAGCAAUGCGUUUUAUGCGGCAAUCUUAUUGAUCUACGUUGGGAAAAAAUUUGACUGAUUUUGAAGGUCCUUAAAGAUCGUCCAUCUUGGUUCUGGCAUUGUUACAGCCUUGAAGUUUGCAAAACGUUUCCUGCUGGAUAAAUUGAACUUGUACACACACAUGUGAACCAAAAGAAAAAUGAUAUAUGUAUCGAAACACUUUUAAAUAGAGAAAAGUUUGUCUGGAUAGCCUGGUUUUGAAUUGAUUUUAACAGAAAACGAGCUUCAAGCAUGUGCUCCAACUACUCUGGCAUGACAUUGGCGAUUGCCCUACAUUUUUUUUAACUACUUUUGGUAAUCUUUUUUGGUUUAUGCUUUGCAGUAAUAAAAUGUUAAUCCUUUCUUCUCAUGAAUGUUUUCUUGAACUGAAAUGUUAAUCAUUUCUUCACGUUGAAGCAUAAAACUACUAUAGGCCCAGGGCCGCAAUAUAUGGAAGAAAAUGCUUGUUUAGUAGGACCCUUUAAUUAGGAUAUUAGCCACUCAAUUUGGAGAUCUUAUGGACCAACAAUCUAUCUGAAACGUCACAUUCACAUGUUUGAUUGAAAGGGGAAUUAAGGAAUUUCAAGUGGCUUAGAAAGGUAACCGACUCUACCCAACAAUGGUAGAAGUCAAUAAUUCAUUGGCUACAUGAGUACUUUAUGAUAAAGAAACAAUACCAGCCAACAUCGACGUGCAGCAAGAACAUGAAAGAAAGAAGAUCACAUGAAUCAAUCAAAACCAAAUGAUAAAAUUACCGAUGCCCCUUCAUGUCAUUCAAGAAAAUGGAUAAAAUAGGAAUACAAGUUCAUGUUAGGAUUAUAUAUUAAAAAUAAAAAUAAGCAUGCAUCAUUAUAUAUAUGUGUAAGUAGACAAAGCAUUGAUCUCUAGGGAUUAGCUAGCCUUUAACAAUCAGUGGUGUUCCCACUACCGGGGUGACAGAUUGUGUAUUUGUCUCUGAAUCUGGGGCAUAUCUAAAAAGCUAAAAGAUUUACUUUCUAUCUUCAAGCACAAGAGCAUACCAUUAUGAUCUGAUUAUCAAGUCCACUAACUUGGCUUUUUUUUUUUUAAUCUAUAUACCAUUUUGUGCUAUCCAUCCACAUUGACAAGACAUAUUGCACAGUUUAUCCUGAAAAUCAUCCAACACCAAGUUCCAAUAUCUUGGAGGAUAAUCACCUUCUUUUACCUAUAUACUUAGCUUUAAAGAAAAUUAUGUUAUUUCAUUAGAGUUAUUUUCAUGAUUAGCAUUACCAUUUCAAGUCAAAUGUAACUCAAUAAUCUAUAAUAGUAUAUCGGUUCCUUGUUUAUCAAUUCUCUCUCUCCAUUUCAGGUUUCAUUCGGACCAAGUAUUCCCUUUCUCAUGUGUACGAGAUGUCAAGCUUGGCAAGUUAAAAAGAAAAUGAAUAGUCAUUUUCAAUCAGUCUAGAACUUUCUCUAGGGGCAACUGGACCCCCAACUUCUCAAUCUAUUUUGUGUUUGGUGUGUGUAGAACUUUCUUGGCAUGUUUUAUCAGCCCUUCCUCUGGGUCAUUUUGUAGGACGGGUUACACCAGCUAAACACAUGGGAAGGUCAUGUAGACUGGAUGAAUAAAGCUGCCCUGAGAGACCGUCAUGGCGGCAUGCUUUGCUGCUUGUUUUGUCUUGGGUCGGUCUAUUUUUCCCAUUACUAAAGCACAUUUUUCACCGUUUUCUCACAUGCUUACCAUAAUGUAAAAACCUUAGCUGCUGCGACAUGACAUGAGAGUAUCACACUAGAUUUUCUUUCCGCAUUACAAAAAAUUAGAAAUAAGAUCUAAGUAGAGAUCAAUUUCAAGAAUAAAUAAGCAAUAAUAGGAACAAGUUUUACAAAAAGUUUCUGGGACAUGUCAUACAAAUUUGUUAACUAAGAAAGUCUAUACUAGAUCUUCUUUCCACAUUACAAUAAAUUAGAAAUGAGAUCCAAACUGACCAAUUAUUAAUUUUACUGCAAGUGGGUCCUAUAUGAAAACAAGAAUUUUUUUUUUUUUAUAGUGUAGGCAAUUAUCAGCCAUCCACCCUAAGUUUAUUUUAUAUUAAAAAAUAUUAGGAAGCUUUAAUUUGUUUAAUUUUUUUACUCUAAUUUUAUAAUUUGUUUUAGUUGUCUACUAAAAAGAUAGAAUUAUCCUUACUAAAUAACAAAAUAGAAACAAAUAAAAAAUGAAAAUUGUGGUCAUUUUUUAAGGAUAAUUCUAUCUUUUUGGCAUCGAAUUGCAUAAUAAACUAUUUUAUCAAAUAAAUAAAAUUUUAAACUAUGUGUUUACCAAAUAUUUUAAAAUCACAACUCCUCUACUACAUUUUCAAACAACUUGUUAAAAUCAUAAAUAACUAAAUUAAUGGGGUUUUAAAAGGACUCUCCAGACUUUGCAUGAUUUCUUUAUCUGUAGGUGCCGUGUGAUCAUGUUGGUUCCGAUAUGUGUGUGAUCAUGUUGGUUCCGAUAUGUGCCAUCAACCACACUUUUUGCUGUUGGUAAAAAAAAUGAAAAAAAAAUUCUGGGUACAAUUUUUGAAUUUGUAUUACGUGCGGUAUUAAACAUUUGAAACAUGUACUGACAGAAAUCUUAUCUAUAACUAAAAAAAUAAAAAAAUUGUAUAAAGUACUUAUGUUGUAGUGUAACUCAGAUCCUUUUCUUUAUAAUUCCAUAUCAUGUAAUUAUCAAAAAACCUCUUAAGAUUUUUAAAUUUUGUAAUUGCACUAUCCUUCGAUUAUCAAAAGACUCUUGAUAAUGUUCUUCUUCUUAAAGAUGCCCUUAAUCCAUAAAUGGUCCAAUAAUUAGUUCAUAAAAUGAAUUGAUUGCUUUAGAUAAGUCUCAAGCAUGCGUGCCUCUUAUAACUCCAUAUUGCAUAAAUCCUUACUUAAAUCAAUGGAUGCAUUUGUUUUCUUUUCUGAAUUUUAGAAUGGCAUUGUCUACUUAAUUUCCUCUUUAAAUUCGACUCCCAAUUGGGAAUUUCGCCAAAUUUUCCAUGUCAUCUUACACUCUAAAAUAUGCUCUUCACAUUACUAUAGCAAAUUUAACAUCUAGGAUCUUGAAGCAUUUUAUUUUAUUUUAUAAAUAUUUAGCAGUUCAAAAUAGGCUUUUAGCUUCUCUCCAAGAGAAAAUUUUCAUCUAAAUUUUUUUUUAAUAAGGCAAGCUUCCAAAUAAUAAUAAAAAAGCACCUUAUUUCCAGUUCUCCCUUAGAAGUCCUAUCACUUUAGGUUCUCUCUUUAUUAAGUAGAACCUCAUAUAUGUUAAUUUGUUAUUAAUAUAAACAAAAACUAAGUAAUUGUUUGUUUUUUUGACUUAAUGAAAAAUUUUCAGUCAUUAAAUUAUCAUCCCAACUUUUUUUAUCUUUUUACUUAAUCUAAAAAGUAUGAAUAAUAUCAUUAAAAAAUUUCUGCCAAAUAUCUCUACCUAAUUAAUUAAUUUUCAUCGUUAUCCAAAUAAAAUUUAAUAAGUAGCAUUAUUACUCAUCUUUAUAACUUAUGAUAAUAUAGUGGUAGACAAUAACUAUUUUUACCAUUUUAUUUUCUUGAAAUUAGCAUUAUUUAUCUUCAUAAUUUUUAUGAAUAUUUUUCAUAUAAAAACAUCAUAAAUUAUAAUAAAAUUGAUUGACAUACACUAAUUUAGAAUAUUAAAAGGUUGUAUUCAAUUGAAUCUAAUUUAUAUUAUGAUGAUAUAUUAUCUUAUAUGUUCUUUGAAAUAUUUAUUAUUUAUAUAAUAUUUAUAAUUUGUUAGAUACAAAUGUAAAAAUAUUAAUUUUUAGAUUUUAAGCAAAAAAUAAACAACUUAAUAUUUAUUUUUAGCGAUUCAGAUAAAAAGAUAAACAUAUAAUUUAAAUUCAGACAUUUAGUUUUAUUCAGAAUUCGGACUAAUUCACACAUAUUUAGAUUUUAGACAAGAAACAUACACCAACUAAAUGUUUAUGACUUAAAAUCAUCUAAUAAUCAUGGCCCAUUUAACCUAUCUAAACAUGAAAUUUUGUGUAGACUUAUGUUUAAGCAGGAGGAUAAUGUGAGAAAUUUGACACAUUAAUUUACAAUUUGCAAACCAACUUAAUAAUUUUUGUUAUUUUCUUAUAACAAAACGAGCCUGGCACGAGCUUAGGCUUUAGCCACCUGAAAAAAUUUCCCCAUUCAAAUUAGAAACAAUAAAAUCUGAUAAUUAACAAUUAUUAUGACCCAAUCAAAUUAGGCUUUAGCACGGUUUACGGACUGGUUAUCAAGAUAUUGUUGAUAACUUCUGUUUCCGUAAUUCUAUUCUUCUUCUUUUUCAACCCCAAAUAACUUCUGUCGAUCAUUGUUGUUGCAGUUGCUGCUUGCUGUCGCUGCUACUAUCUAUCGAUCAUCGUUAUUGCCUACUGCUAUUGAUUGCCGGUUAUAAUGAUGAUUAUUCUUGCCUCAGUUGUUGUUAUUAUUAUUAGCACUGAAUUAUAUAUUAUUAAAUUAUUUUAAAUAUUACAAAUUAUAUUGUUGUUGUAGUUAUUGUUGAUGUUAUUAUUACUAGCACCGAAUUACAUAUUAUUAAAUUAUUUUAAAUAUUACAAAUUAAAUUAUUUUUAAAUGAGUGAUAAAACCUGAUCAUUUAAUAACCAUGGCCAUUUAACAUAUUUAAACAUAAAAUUUCGUGUUAAAUUAUGUUUGAGUAUAAGGAUAAUGUAAGAUAAUUGGUACUUUAAUUUACAUUUAUGUGCCAACUGAAUAAAGUUCGCUAUUUAAAUUAAAUUAGAAACGGUGAAAUUCAAAAAUUAACUAUUAUUUAGCCAUUCAAACGCAGAGACAAUUUGUCACGGUUCCAAAAGCAUAGCAUCAUUGAAAGUACCGUAUCCCACUUGCAUUAAUAUUCGGAAGAAUGGAAGGAAAAGGGCAUAUGUUUCUCUUCUUCUAUUUUUGGUAAUUCUUUUCUUCUUCUUCAACCCCAAAUAAUCAAAAGCUCUCCAAUGGCUUUCGUAUCCUCAACUCGUUCCUUUCAUUUUACUUCAAUUUCAAUAUCGGCUCUUAGAUGUAAUUUCUCCUCUUCGUUCCCUCAUAUCAGAAAACCCAAAUCUCACCUGCACACAGGCAUUUGUCGCUUUCGAGCAAUCUUCAAACAAUGUGAAAAAAAUGCUUGAAACACGACACAGACUUAACUGUUUACAUGAAAAGCGGCAGAAACUUAUGAAAUUACCGAUUAAAAAGUACCUACUGUGAGGAAGAUGCUAUAAAACUCAAUCGGAAAAUGUAAAAUGGUUAACAGACAUCCACCAGAAGCACAAUUCAGAACAUGGGCUGCUUUUGGCUGCCCGGCUUUCAGAAGUCAAUAUUUAGAUGAACUUUGGGGAGAUUAGGAUCACCAGUCAGUCAGAUUUAGAUAGAAAGUGAGAGAUUGCUAUUGCCGAGUCAUUGCUUCUAUCCUAAAUGCUUUGAUCUACCUGAAAAGUAUAUAAAUAUCGGGGUUAAAACAGAGCAGUUGAAAUCGUAUUGAUGAACUCAACUGAGAUAAAUGAUAAAAGAAAACUAACCUACAUUCUGUACAAAACUCGCCCAUCUUCCUUUAAGAGCUGACUUCCCAAGAAGAGAUCACCACAAUAGUUCACAUCAACAGUCUCCACUUGAGAGUUUUUAUAACCACAAUAUUCAUUCCAUUCAAACCGCAUCCUUGAGAUCAGUUCCUUCUUCAGGAGACUCGGCAGCAACCAAUCUAUAUGCAUAAACUUUCUUUGUUUGGCCUGGCCGGAAAGCCCAGCCGAUUGCUUGGCGGGUUUCUGAUGGAGUACAGGGAACAUCCAGAAUAAUGAUCCAAAUUUUUGUGGACUUACAUGUAAAGAAUGAAAUUGGUUAAACUCGAUUCCACAAUUCAAGAGUAAAUGAGUUUAAUCUUGAUUUAGUAUCAUGUCUUUUCUGCUUUAAAACCAGAUCUGGGGAAUCCCAUUCUUCUUACGACAGGUGAAGGAGUGUUUGUGUAUUGCUGGCAUGUUCCCAGGUUCUAUUCACGGAUUCUGUUUGCAGACAUGGCUAACUCCUCGUUUCAGAUAAGUUUCAAAGUCUGGCAACUUUUUUUUUCAAUUCAUGGGUUUUCCUUCUAUGAUGCAUCUUUCUCAUUAGCUGUAGUUUCAAAUUGUUUAGGUUCUUCCUGUAUGACCUCUUUUCUUCUCCAAAUAGAUAAAAUUUGUUUUUCAUUUUUCUCCUGCGAGGGUACAGGUUUAUGUUGAAACUUUCUCUUAGUUAAAUUGAUUGUCAUUUGAUAUUGGAACUUCUAGUUGAACUAGUUUGCACUUCGAAUAUAUGAGAUUACCAACUCUAAGGAAUUGGUGCCAAAUUGAUUAUGUUAUCAGGUUUUUCAGUCUGUGUAAUUGUCCAGAUUUUUUUUCAUUCCUAGUGACAUGGCAUUCACUUGAAUGGUGACUCAUGAAUCAUGAUUGUGUGUGUUGGUCUUUGUUAUACUACGUGUUGGCAAGACAAAGUCUGUUGAAACUGACAAACUUUUCUCUAUGAAUAUUGAAGACAAUAUGAUAAGAUAAAAUUAAUCAAAAACAUCUAUACUUGACCGGGCUGGAACGUCUGUUAUUAGUCCUCGCCUUCCAUUCUUGUUUCAUAUUCUUCUGCUAACAAAUCUUGAUCAUGAUAGUCUUCUCUUUUCUUUGCAACCCACAUAUAAAGUCUCGGCCAUAAGCCUCGAGGCCUAUUCUCUUUUGCAAUGGUGAGUUCACUCUCAGGAAUCAGAUCGAAUUUGAAGAAACUGCAAGGGACUACAAAGCAAAUGGUGUGAAGCUCCUUGCACUUAUCACUGGCACAACAUUACUCUGACUUUCUGCAUUUUACUGUUGGCUAUGGUUUGAUGCAUUAUUUAUUGUUCUAAAAUACCAUUCUCGUUGGAAGUUCAAUCAUUACUUCACCCCCCCCCCCUCCUCCUCUUUUUACUUGCUCUUGCUAUUUUUGUUGUCUGAAAUUAUCUGAAGUUCCAUGCAUGCUCCAAUAGAACGAGUAAUGUAGGUGCUGACCAACUCCAAAUAAGUAGUUAGUUGCCUAGUAGUUGCUUUGCAUGAAAUUUGUUUUUGGUAUGAAUAAUGUUGUCUUAAUUUUACAAGCUUCCGAGCAACCCCUAAUUUAUUGGAAGUAUUAACCCAAUCCCUCAUUUAAUAUUAGAUUUAUCCGCUCAUUGAUGCAGACUCUUGAAAGUAAUAUAAUAUUAUAUAAAUAUAAUGAAAUCUCACUUUAUUAACAAAUAUAAUUUAAAUUAUAAAAAAUAAAAAAUAACUAAAGUUGAAAUCCAAGGAGCAACUUCUAUCCUCUUACCAAGUUAUUAAAUAUAGAGCAGACAAAGGCAUAUGUAUAAAGGCAUAUGUAUAAUAUAUAUAAUUUUCUUCAUGAUUCAAAAUCAUAUCUCAAAUGUCAAAUAAAAUUCUCAAUUAAGAGUGGUCGGGGAUAAGAUUUUACGGAUUUAUAUUAUUAUCGGAUAAAAUAUAAUAUGAUAUUAAUGUAAUUAUAUUUUAACUUAUUUAUUUAGUAGUAAAUACUAAUGCCAUAUUUAUAAGUUUUAUUUUUUAAUUAAAUAAAUAUUUUUUAUUAUUUUUGGAUUCGUGGAUUUUUGUGAAUUUACAAAAGUAGAUUCAUAUGCAAUCCACCGAUUACGGAUUAUUAAAUUUUCAAUCUAAUUUAAUCUAUUAAUUUAUAAAUUAUUUUAAAUAUUAUAAAUUAUUUUUAGACUGAAUGAUGAAGGGUCAUUUAAACAAUUAUGGCCAUUUAAUCUAUCUAAACAUGAUAUUUCGAGCAGACUUAUGUUUGCCUAGAAGGAUAAUGUAAAAAAAGUGGCACUUUUAUUCAACUGAAUAAAUUCACAAUUUAAAUUAGAAAAUGAUAAAAUUUCUAUUUUGGUAAAUUCUUUUCUUCUUCUUCAACCCUAAAUAUUCAAAAGCUCUCCAAUGGCUUUCGUAUCCUCAACUCGUUCAUUUUAUUUUACAUCAAUUUCAAUAUCAGCUCUUGGAUGUAAUUUCUCAUCUUCGUUCCCUCAUACCAGAAAACCCACAUCUUCGAUUUCAAAAAAUGAGCCCUCAUAUCCGACUACAACAGCUAAACUGAAGGAGUCCCUACGACUGACAGUCAAAGACCGAGCCUCACUCGAAACGUUCCUCAGAGAAAGGUUCAAAUCAUCCGGUGAAGGUGAUAUUACUACUAUUACUCCUAAUGAAGCCUUGUGUGUCUUUGAUUACAUGCUCAAUAUGCGCCCUUCUCGGCCUCCCGUCACUUCCUUUAAUAUUUUGUUUGGUUGUCUUGCUAAGACCAAACAUUAUGAUACUGUCCUUUCACUCUUCAAGAGACUCAAUUCAACUGGGUUGUUUCCAGAUCUUUAUGCUUACAAUAUCUUGAUUAACUGCUUUUUGCAAAAUGGGUCGAGUUUCUCAUGGUUUUGUUGUUCUUGGGAGAAUCCUCAGGUCUUGUUUUACUCCAGAUGCUGUGACCUUUAAUUCUUUGAUUAAAGGUUUGUGUGUGGAGAGUAGAAUCAUGGAGGCCGCUGCAUUGUUUACAAAACUUAGAGUGUUUGGUUGUGAGCCUGAUGUUUUUACAUACAAUACUUUGAUUAAUGGAUUGUGUCGAACUGGCCAUACAAUCGUUGCUUUAAAUUUAUUUGAAGAGAUGGCUAAUGGAAAUGGGGAAAUUGGUGUUGUUUGUAAGCCAGACACUGUUACAUACACUACUAUUAUCGAUGGUCUUUGUAAGAAAGGUUUUGUGGACAAGGCCAAGGAACUGUUUCUGAAGAUGAAGGAUGAGAAUAUUAACCCCAAUGCGGUUACUUAUACCUCUUUGAUUUGUGGUUUUUGUUACGCUAAUGAUUGGAAUGAGGCGAAGCAUUUGUUUAUUGAGAUGAUGGAUCAAGGGGUACAGCCGAAUGUUGUGACUUUCACUGUGAUCAUGGAUGAGCUCUGCAAGAAUGGGAAGAUGGACGGAGCAAGUAGGCUGUUAGAAUUGAUGAUUUUGAGAGGAGUGAAACCCGACACAUCUACUUAUAACACAUUAAUUGAUGGUUAUUGCUUAACGGGUAAAAUAGAUCGUGCAAGGGAAUUAUUUGUUUCUAUGGAGAGUAACGGGUGCAUGCAUGAUGUUGUUAGUUACAGCAUAUUAAUAAAUGGGUACUGCAAGACUAAGGAUGUAGAGGAAGGUUUAAAUCUUUAUAGGAAAAUGCUGUCUAAAGGAAUUAGGCCAACAGUUGUUACAUAUCACACCUUGUUUCUUGACCUUUUUGAAGUACACCAGGUUGAGCAUGCUUUAAAACUGUUUGAUGAGAUGCGGCGUAAUCAUGUGGCAGCUAACACAUAUAUAUACACUACCUUUAUUGAUGGGCUCUGCAAGAAUGGUUAUAUUGUAAAGGCAGUUGAACUAUUUCGUACUUUGAGAAUUCUCAAGUACGAACUUAAUAUCGUAUCCUACAACUGCCUCAUUGACGGAUUAUGUAAACACGGCAGACUUGAAAUUGCAUGGGAACUGUUUAGUAGUUUGCCUCGUGUAGGCCUAAUGGCAGAUGUUGUAACAUAUAAUAUCAUGAUCCAUGGGCUUUGUAAUGAUGGGCAAAUGGACAAGGCACAUGGUUUAUUUCUUGAUAUGGAAGCAAAGGGUUUGGAACCCAAUUUUGUCAUAUUUAAUACGCUUAUGCUGGGUUUCAUCCGCAAUAAUGAGACCUCAAAAGUUAUUGAACUCCUUCACAGAAUGGAUAUGAGAAAUGUAAUGCCAGAUGCAUCUACACUCUCAAUUGUUGUGGACUUGCUUGUUAAGAAUGAAAUUAGUUUAAACUCGAUUCCACAAUUCAAGAGACACAAGUAAGUCAAUGAGCUGAAUGCUGAUUUACUUGCAUGUUUUGUUCUGCCUAAAAUCUGGAUCUGGAGAACCCAUUCUUAUUACAACACGUGAAGUAGUGUUGUGUAGUGAUGGCAUGGAAAAUGCUAGAUUUUUUGUGGUCUGAAUGAUACUACACAUCUAAGUAAUUGCCCAAAUAUUUUGUUCCUUGUUACAUGGCAUUCAAUUGAAUGAGGGCUCAUGAUUUUGUGUAUUGGUAUUUGUUAUACUAUGUAUUGGCAAGACAAAGUCUCUUGAAACUGACAAACUUUUCUCUAUGAAGAUUGAAGACAAUAUGACAAGAUAAAAUUUAUCAAAAGCAUAUAUGCUUGCCAGGGAUGGUCCUUUUGAUUAUUAGUCCUCGCCUUUCGUUCUUAUUUCAUAUUCUUCUGCUAACAAAUCUUGAUCAUGAUGAGUCUUAUUCUUUUUAAAAAAAACCCACACGUAAAGUCUUGGCCAUAAGCCUGUAGACCUAUUGGCUGUUGCGGUGGUGAGUUCACUCUCAGGAAUCAUAUCUUUCAAAUUCAAGCGAAUUUGAAGAAGCCCGAAUUUGAAGAAAUUUCAAAUGCCUACAAAGCAAAUUGUGUAAAGGUCCUUUCAAUUAUUAAUCUACUAAUUAAAUAAAAAAAUUAAAUUAAUUAAUUGUUAAUAUAUUAAUUGAUUAAUUAUAAUAAUACAUUAAUUAAUUAUAAUUGAGGAUAAAACAAACAUUUUUUAUUCUCUAGCAAGGCAAAAUGGUCAUUCCAAAAAAUGUGAGUUAAAUUGUCUAAUUUAAGUUAUAUGUGUUAUAAUAUAUAGCUUAAUUAUAGUGUAAAAACAAUGACAAUGUAAUUUUUUUUAUUAAUGCUAAUACUAAAUCUUACCAUCAUGCAAUUUUUUAAAUUAUUUUGUUUAAAUUAUUUAUGGUAUGUUUGUUUAUUAAUUAAAUAAACUAUUAUUUUUUAACUAUGACUUAAAUGUUUAGUAAAAACUAUUUAUGAAAUAGUACAACUGAAUACAUAUUCUUUAUUUUCAUCUUCUUCAAUUGUGUCUACCGAACACAUAUUACUGUUUUCAAUUUCAAAAUAUAGGAUAUAGAAAAUGAUACCAGACGCAUAUUUAAAUUCAAAAUACACCAAAUGUAAAAUACCGUUUUCAUUCUUAUUUUUGUCUUCAGAAAAUGCUAAUUUAGAAACAAUACCGUACAUAAACUUAUUUUUGGUAUGAAUAGUGUUGUGCUAGUUUUAUAGGCUUACAUGCACCCUCAAAUUUAUUAGAAGUAUCAACCGAACCCCCUAUUUAAGGUUAGAUUUACCCAUUGACUAACAUCUAACAUGUUGACUAAUGAUAACUCUUGAAAGUAACUAUAAUAUUCUAUAUUGUAAUCUCGCUGUAUUAACUGAUAAAUUAUAAAAAUAUAAAAAGAUCAACAAUAACAAAAUUAUUAAAGUUGAAAUCCAAGAAAUUGCCUAAAAAAAUGGUACCUAAACCAAAAAUAAAAACCAAAAUGCAUAAAAUUUCAUUAAUUACGGUGGUGACAAUGAGUGGUCCUCAUAAAAUGAGUGUAGAAAUUGAGUGAUUUUAGUACACUAUAUGAUCAAGGAACAUAUUUUAUCCUUUUACCAAGUUAUUACAAUUAUAUUUACUUACUAGAGUGUGAGUGAGGAGUGUGGAUUCCUCGCAUUCCAGUGAUUACUUGCAUAUUUUAAGGGGGUGUGGGAAUCCCACUCCGUGGAUCCCACCCAUUUUUUUAGUACAGAGUGGGGUUCCCACUCCCAUGGGAGGACAUCUACUCCCACCUUUUCCUUUUUUACCUUGAAAUUCUAGUUAUGCAACCCAAGAGGAGGGGGUGAAUUGGAAUUCUAAAAAUUAUUUAAUUUAUAAAUAAAAACUCAAUGCAAAUGUGAAUUAAAUUCAAAGUAAUAACAAAUAAGUUAACCAUAAUAAAAAGGAUAAGGGAAGAGAGAUUCAAACACUGAGAUUUUUACGUGGUUCGGCCAACCUCGCCUACGUCCACGCCUCCAAGCUUUCCGAGCUUGAGGAUUCCACUAAGCAAGCCUCCAAGGCUUCAAAUGCUUACACUUGACUUCCAAGGUGUCAAUAACCUUUACAACAAGAGAUUAUCCCAAUCUCUUAACCCAAGUGUAUCCCAACACUUACAAUCACUCAAAAUUAAAAGAUUAUAAAUUUGUUUUGCCUCUCACAAUAUUUAAGAUUACACAAUGAUACCUAAUAUGUGAAUAGAUGAAGCAAGAAUGUAUUUAAAGCUCAAUGAAGAUUGUAUUCUCAAGUAUAAGCUUAGUAGUUGUGUUGUGAUCAACUUUGUUUGAAUUUGAAUGAGCUUAUUUAUAGGUGGAGCUGAAAACUAGCCGUUAUUGACUUUCUGCACACUGUCGGAUCGCCGUUAACUAGAUGUUGGAUCGCCGUUUGACUGGUCAAUAUGACCGUUGGGCUGAUUUUUCAAAUUGUCGGAUCGCCGUUAUCUAGAUGUUGGAUCACCGUUUAGGUCCAGAGGCUAACCUUCAGUCUGUUUGAUCUCGGCGAGCUGUUUAUGAAACUUGUCGGAUCGCCGUUUAGGUCCAGAAACUAAUCUUCAUUUCUCAUUGAUCUCGGCGAGCCGUUUAUUAAACUUGUCGGAUCGCCGUUUAGGUCCAGAGACUAAUCUUCAAUUCUGAUUGAUCUCGGUGAGCCGUUUAUUAAGAUUGUCGGAUCGUCGUUUAGGUCCAGAGACUAAUCUUCAGUUCUGCUUGAUAUCGGCGAACCGUUUAUUAAACUUGUCGGAUCGCCGUUUUCCACAAAAACUGCUGCAGUGAACUGUUUUGCAAGAUAACUGUUUUGUCUCCAAAUCUUUAUAAAAAUACUUUAUGAAACUUGUCAAAAUAGAUGAAAAUUAUGUUGAGCUUUUAAAAGAUUAAUCAAUCUUAAUCAUGUUUGUUAUCAUCAAAAUCAAUAAAGAAAUAUUUAUGUUAACAAUCUCCCGCUUUUUAAUGAUGACAAACUUUUCAAGAAAAGAACUUGUGCAAUUUUGCUCCCCCUAAGUGAAAUUUUGAAGGAAUUGUUAACUUCCUUUAAAUAAGUGUCCAUUUAAUUUUAAUCCCAAAAAAAUAGUUUUAAACAAAGCAUAAUUAUUUGGUAAAUAAUCUCCCCCUUCAUCAUAAAAAAGAAAUAAGCGCGAAAAGAUUAAUAAGAGAGGCUGAGGGAUUACUUAUGUUUGGAAAAAUUUCGGUAGAAUCUCCCCUGAAAUAUGAGCAUAUCCUCAAUAAUACACAAAGUUAAAAGAAACACUUCCAUAUAUAUAUGCCAACAUAUCAACCAACCUCCAUACCAACAAUUAAACACUUCCAUAAUCAGCAAGAUAAACAAGAUAUUACCAAAACCAACUCAGCUAUAAAUCAAGUGCACAUGUCCAACAGAAAAUAUCAUAAAAGCAUCAUAAGCAUAAGCAAAAGACAAAGAACAUCAUAAGCAUAAACAAAAGACAAAUAACAUCAUAAGCAUAAAUACUACAUGAAAUGAGUAAUGUCUGUACGAAAAUCAGAGGGGCAGAAAACUAAUAUGGGGGCUCUGAAGAAGAGCUGCCUGGGUCAUAACCAAAGUAGCCGAGAAUACGACGCUGGCCAGCAAGUAACUCCAUCUGCUCUGAAAUUUGUUGUCGAAAGGUCGCAAAAUCAGAUUGAAGAUGCUGCUGCUGCUGGGACAGAACAUCUAUUAUGUCUAGAAGCUGCUGAAAGCGAUCCUCAGGAACAGCCGAUGCUGCAGUCUCGGCUGGAGGGACGGCAGUCUCGGCUGGCUCGUCAUCCUGAGAUGAAGCUGCUGCUGAUGCGGCAUGGGCUGCUGCUCUGCGAGGGACACGCGGUCUAGCCCCAAGGCAGAAAUCAGGUAACUCAUCCUCGGAAUAGAUAUCAUUUAACAUGCGAUCAUCCUCUGGUGCAAGCAGUGUAUCUUCAUUCUUUGAGGAUGUGGUCAUUUCCUAUUUCCCACGCUUCUUAAAAAAUCCGAUCGCAUAAAUAAUUUCUCGACCGAGCUUACGGGUCUCGAGAUAAACAAGCUCAGCAAGAGGAACUCGAAAGUGUUUCAAGACCCUAGUAAUGAUGCUGCCAUAAGGAAGGGAUUGGUUGGAGACUUUAGGAGUGGACAACAUAUGACAAAGAAUAGUGUAGGAUAAGCUCACAUGCCGUCUACGGAUGAUGGAAUCUAAUAGACCAAUAUCAAGUCUAGUUACCUCAUCAGUGUGACCUUGUCUAGGAGUAACCAUGUGUUGGAGAAUGAUAUGAAGUAUUCGAACCUGGAAAGGGAGGAAUUGAGACCUAAAGGACAAAUAACAGAUGUCAUCGGAAAGAUCCCGACGUCGACAAAUAUUUCGUACACCAUCCACAUGACGGAAUUCACUAAAUGAGAGUUCUUUCCUAGCGGUGUACAGAUCUAAACCUCCAUAAGAGAUUCCCAGAAUACUACACAAUUCAGAUUCAUUAAAAGCAAUGCGAAUUCCUCCUACAGACGUAUAAAGCUCGACACGAUGAGUAGAGGAAAAUUCUAUGUUUGAAUAAAAGACACGGACUAGAUUUUCAUAAAUGGGUUCUUCGAUACUUAAGGCUUGCUUCCAAUGACUAAGCAUGUGAGUAAUAGAGUGACCACAAAUGGUAAUAUCCGAAAACUCCGAAAUGUUAAGAGAAAAGGAAGGAGUUACCGGUUUGCCCAUGAAUUUUUCACGAAAUCGCUGAGCAGAGGUGUCAUCGGAGAAAUGGAGACUCUCGAAGUCUUGAGAGGGAGGCCUGAAGGGAUUGGAACGUCGUGGAGCAGUGUGCUUGGUUCGAGCACGCCUUUGUGGUCGUUCCGCCAUUGAUGAGUUGGGUGGAAAUUAGAUCGGUGGAAAUGAAGUUUGAGAGAUGAGAGAGUGAUUGAAAGUUGAAAUGUGAUUGGAAAAGGAAGAAAUUUGGGGUCCAUUUGAACAAAGGAGGUGCGACUGGUUUUAGGGUUUCAAGUUGGGAUUUUUCAAAAUUUGAAGAAAAAGAAAGAUUUUAAUCGGUCAAAAUAUGCUAAAGACGAUGAGGAAGGUUUGUAAUACUUCAAUUUGGUGAAAAAUGACAAGAAAAUGGAUAGAUUUGAGAAGGGAGAACUGGUGUAGUCGCGGGUUGAAGAGAGAGAGAAAGAGAGAGAAAAACGAAAUGAAGGAGAAGAAGAUGAACUGUUCACUUAACGCGCGAUAACGGCGAGCCGUUAUAGAGAUAUCGGCGAGCCGACAGAGUCUAGAGAGCUCCCAAAAAUUUUCAUCAUAAAGACAUAUCGGCGAGCUAAUAGGGUCCAGAAAGUUCCCCCCCAAAAAUUUUGCAUCAGGACGGCGAGCCGAUAGCGUCCAGAAUACUUCCCAUUGUUCCUGCCCUAAAACGGUUAGCCGUUUAUUGAAAUAACGGCAAUCCGUUUUCUAUAACUUAUGAUUUCGCACAUUUAUUUUGAUAUUUGGCUAACUAUUAAUACAUUUCAAGAUCAUUUCAUUGAUCCAAAAUGAUUUAAGUGCCAGUUCAAUGCAUAAUACAUGAACAUAUAUGUAUUGCAACAAUUAAUUCAUACAUUUUCAAAUAUACAUACACACAUGUAUAUUACGAUUGAGCAUUCCAUAGAUAUUAAAGCAUCAAAUCAUAAAUCAAUCAAUGUUAAUAGACUCAAUAGCAUGAAUAAAGAUAUUAAUGUGAAAAUUUCAUCAUCCCAAGUUCAUGCCGAAUUUUUGAAAAUUGUUCUUUGUAAAGUGGUUUUGUAAAAAUAUUGGCAAGUUGUUUUUCUGUAGAAAUAAACUCUAAUGCAAUAUCUCUCUUUUGAACAUGAUCUCUCAAGAAAUGAUGUCUUAUUUCUAUAUGCUUGGUUCGAGAGUGUUGAAUGGGAUUCUUUGAAAGAUUUAUAGCACUAGUAUUAUCACACUUAAUAGAAAUUUGUUCUAGGUUAAUACCAUAGUCUCUAAGUGUUUGUUUCAUCCAAAGACCUUGUGCACAACAGGUUCCUGAGCUAUAUAUUCAGCCUCAGUAGUUGAGAGUGCAACAAAAUUUUGUUUCUUGCUAAACCAUGAAACAAGUGAGUGACCUAGGAUGUGGCAAGUUCCACUAGUGCUUUUCCUAUCAACUUUAUAACCAGCAAAGUCCGCAUCCGAAUAGCAUGUUAAAUCUAUAUGAGUUCCUCUAGGAUACCAAAGUCCAAUAUCUAUGGUUCCACUCAAAUAACGAAAAAUUCUUUUAACAGCAAGCAAAUGGGAUUCCUUGGGACAUGAUUGAAAUCUUACACAUAAACAUACACUAAACAUGAUAUCGGGUCUACUUGCAGUCAAAUAAAGUAAAGAUCCGAUCAUACCUCGAUACAUUUUGAUAUCCACUUCUUUGCCUUUUUCAUCUUUGUCGAGCUUGAUUGUUGUGCUCAUUGGUGUAUUUUUGGUCUUUGAGUCAUCAAUGCCGAAUCGUUUGAGUAGAUCUCUUACAUACUUGGCUUGAUUUAUGAAUAUUCCUUCCUCAUUUUGUUUUAUUUGCAGCCCAAGGAAGUACUUCAGCUCUCUCAUCAUACUCAUUUCAAAUUCAUUGCUCAUACAAGAUGAAAACUAUUUGCACAACAAUUCAUUAGUAGAACCAAAAAUAAUAUCAUCAACAUAAAUUUGAACAACAAGUAUGUCUUUGUUCUUAUGUUUAACAAAGAGAGUAGUAUCCGGUUUACCCAUAGAAAAAUCAUUUUCUAACAAGAAAUUCUUAAGCCUAUCAUACCAUGCUCUAGGUGCUUGUUUUAAUCCAUACAAAGCUUUAAACAACUUAUAAACAUGAUUUGGAAAUUUUUCAUUUUCAAAACCAGGGGGUUGUUUUACAUACACUUCUUCCAUAAUAUAGUCAUUUAAGAAAGUACUUUUCACAUCCAUUUGAAAUAAAAUGAAAUCUUUAUGACAAGCAAAUGCCAACAACAUUCUAAUUGAUUAUAGUCUAGCUACGGCUGCAAAAGUUUCAUCAAAAUCAAUUCAUUCUUCUUGGCUGUAACAUUGAGCCACUAAUCUAGAUUUGUUCCUUACAACCACACUGGAUUCAUCCAUCUUAUUUCUAAAACCCAUUUAGUACCUAUGAUAGAUUGAUGUUCCGGUUUAGGAACUAAUUCCCACACAUUGUUUCUUUCAAAUUGAUUUAACUCCUCUUGCAUUGCCAUAAUCCAAGAUUCAUCAUUUUCCGCAUUCGCAAAGGAUUUGGGUUCAACUUGAGAGAUAAAUGCAUUAUGCUCACAAGUAUUCUUAAGUGAUGAUCUAGUUGUAACACCUCGUGAGAGAUCUCCUAAAAUUACAUCCUUAGGGUGAGAAGAGACAUACCUCCACUCAUUGGGGAGUGUUUGAGAAAUACCUUCUUGUUGCUCCAGCUCCAUAUUUGUUUGUUCUUCUUGCCUAUCCUCUUGAUUUUCUUGUGGUGCAUUCUCUUGAUUUUCUUUUGAUGAUUCUUCUUGUAACUCUCCAUUUGCAUCAUCAUUAGCAACUCCUUUCUCCGCAGAGGAUGGGUUAGAUUCAUCAAACGUAACAUGCAUGGAUUCUUCCACAACCAAAGUUCUUUUAUUAUAAACUCUAUAAGCUUUGCUUGAGUUUGAAUAUCCGAGAAAGAUGCCAAUAUCAGAUUUUGGAUCAAAUUUAGCAAGAUUAUCUUUUGUGUUUAAAAUAAAACUUUUGCAUCCAAAAACUUUGAAAUAACCAAUGUUGAGUUUUCUAUCUUUUCAAAGCUCAUAGGGAGUUUUAUUGAGAUGAGGUCUAAUCAACACCCGAUUUAAAACAUAGCAAGCGGUGUUGACGGCUUCGGCCCAAAAAUAUUUUGGUAAUGCAUUUUCAUUUAACAUGAUCCUAGCCAUUUCUUGAAUAGACCUAUUCUUUCUCUUAACAACUCCAUUUUGUUGUGGAGUCCUAUGUGAUGAAAAUUGAUGCUCAAUGCCAAGAUUAUUGCAAAACAUCUCAAAUGCAUGAUUUUCAAAUUCUCUUCCAUGAUCACUCCUAAUUCAUACAAUACCAUGCCCUUUUUCAUUUUGUAAUUUCUUACAAAGCACUUUAAAAGCAUCAAGAGCAUCAUCCUUAUUGGCUAAGAAUAAUACCCAUGUAUAUCUAGAAUAAUCAUCCACUAUCACAAAUGCAUAAUAUUUGCCAUUUAGACUAGCAUAUCUAGAUGGCCCAAAUAGAUCUAUGUGAAGGAGUUCAAGUGGUUUUGAAGUAGAAAUAUGGUUUUUAUUCUUGAAAGAAGUUUUGAUUUGUUUUCCAAAUUGACAAGCUUAAAAAAUCUUAUCCUUUUGAAAACCAAUUUUCGGAAGACCUUUAACUAAAUCAUUUUUUGAAAUUUUUGAAAUUAAAUCCAUACUAGCAUGUCCUAACCUUCUAUGCCAUAGCCAAUUAUCAUCAUGUAAUGCGGAAAAACAUUUAUCAAGAGUAGAUGUACAUUCUAUAUCAAUGAUAUACACAUUACCACAUCUAUUACCAACAAACAAGAUCUUGCCAUCACAUGAGUUCUCAAUAACACAACUAAAUUUAUCAAAGAUAACUUUAUAACCUUUGUCACAUAAUUGACUAAUACUAAUUAAGUUGUGUUUCAAGUUCUCAACCAAACAUACAUUUUCAAUUAGAGUUGAAGAGACUUUACCAACAUUUUCAAUUCCAAGAAUUUUUCCUUUUGAGUUGUCUCCAAAAGAUACGUCUCCACCAUUUUCUAUUUUGGUGAAGCUUAAGAACCAUGCAUAGUUUCCGGUCAUGUGCCUUAAACAACCACUGUCCAAGUACCAUUUAUUUUUCUUUUUCUUUAAGCCCUACAAAGAAAAUCUCAAGUUUUAGGUACCCAAAGCUUUUUGGGUCCUCGAGAGUUAGCAAUGGUUCAUUUUGGAACCCAAAUACAUUUGACACCAUAAUAUGCAUUCAUUUUCACGGGGCAUCUAUAUUUCAUGUGACCAUUUUGAUUACAAUAAUGGCAAACAAUCUUAUGAUCACUUAUGGAGGUAGCUUUAACAAAAUAAUUCUUAUAAUACUUUUGCUUCAAGUUUGGCUUAUAUCCAAGUCCUCCUUUAUCAAAAACACAUUUUUGUGAGUUAAGCAUAUUAUCCAACAUCUUUUGCCCAUGUGUAAAUUUCAAAACAAUCUCAUUCAACUCAUUUCUCUUUUUCUUGAGCAUUUCGUUUUCAUUUUUCAAAUCAUCUAUGUGUGAUUCUAAAUGCUCAUGUGAGAUGUUAGAUUUCUCAUUUGAUAACGCAAGUUCAUCAUGCAAUGUUUUGUUCUCUACUUCUAGGCAUGUAAUUUUUGCAUUUAAAGAUUCAUUUUCAUUUUUAAGCUUUGUCAUUUCCUUUUUAAGACAUACAUUCUUUUGACCAAUCUUCAUCAACUCAUUAUGCAAUUCUUUAAAAGCAUCAUACAAUUCAUCAUAGGUAGGAUCACUUACCUCAUUGAGAUCAUCAUCCUCUUCUAUUGCCAUAAGCGCUAGGUUUGAUACUUCUUGCAAUCUUUCUUCAUCACUUGAAUCUUCUUCGUUAUCAUCCCAAGUUGCAAUCAUGGCUUUCUUCUUGAGUUUGUUGAUAAGUGGACACUUCGAUCUUAUAUGGCUAGGCUUCUUGCAUUCAUAGCAUGUGAUCACCUCUUUCUUCUCCCUUUAGUUCUUGAAGUUUCUGAAUUUUCUUCGUUCUCCAGUUUUCUUGAAAACCUUUCUGAACCUCCUUGCUAGCAUGGCUAACUUUUCAUCAUCUAGUUUACUACCUCCAUCACUCUCAUAUUUUGAAGCUUUGAGAGCAAUGCUUUUCUUCUUCUCCUCAUCUCUUUUUUCUGCUGCCAAGUCUUCUUCAUAUAAAAUGAGAGAACCAAUUAAAUCAUCAAGAGGUAAAGUAUUUAAAUUUUUGGUCUCUUCAAUGGCGGUUCUUUUAGGUCUCCAUUCUUUUGGAAGUGAACUAAUGAUUUUAUUAACUUUCUCACUAUUUGAGAAGGUCUUCCCUAAGGCACCUAGGGUGUUCACUAUGUCCGUGAAUCUAGUAUACAUAGAAUACACAUUUUCAUUUUGUUCCAUUUGGAACAACUCAUAUUGGCGAGUAUAUCUACUAAUUUUAGACUCUUUAACUUGAUUUGUCCUUUCAUAGACAACUUCAAGUUUAUUCCAUAUUUCUUGUGCACUUUCACAACUAGAUACUCUAUGGAAUUCUUUCUUAUCAAGGGCACAAAACAAAGCAUUCAUAGCCUUGGAGUUUAGGGACAUUUUUCUCUUUUCUAACUCACUCCAUUGACUUGAUGGUUUACGAAUAUCAUCUCCUACUUCAUCUUUAAACAUAGGCAUGAAUGGACCAUCACAAACGACUUCCCAAAUUUCAUAAUCUAAGGCUUGCAGAUAGAUUCUCAUUCUAGUUUUCCAAUAGGCAUAGUCAUUACCAUCAAAGAAUGGUGGUCUAGUUGUGGAUUGCCAUUCUCUAAAGGUUGAGUCAUUUAGGGUUGCCAUGGAUCUUUUACUCUAGACGAUUAAGUCCUAACAAGAGAACAAGGCUCUGAUACCAAAUGAAAUUCUAGUUAUACAACCCAAGAGGGAGGGUGAAUUGGAAUUCUAAAAAUUAUUCAAUUUAUAAAUAAAAACUCAAUGCAAAUGUGAAUUAAAUUCAAAGCAAUAACAAAUAAGUUAACCACAAUAAAAAGGAAAAGGGAAGCGAGAUUUAAACACUGAGAUUUUUACGUGGUUCGGCCAACCUCGCUUACGUCCACGCCUUCAAGCUUUCCGAGCUUGAGGAUUCCACUAAGCAAGCCUCUAAGGCUUCAAAUGCUUACACUUGACUUCCAAGGUGUCAAUAACCUUUACAACAAGAGAUUAUCCCAAUCUCUUAACCCCAAGUGUAUCCCAACACUUACAAUCACUCAAAAAUAAAAUAUUAUAAAUUUGUUUUGCCUCUCACAAUAUUUAAGAUUACACAAUGAUACCCAAUAUGUGAAUAGAUGAAGCAAGAAUGUAUUUAAAGCUCAAUGAAGAUUGUAUUCUCAAGUAUAAGCUCAGUAGUCGUGUUGUGAUUAACUUUUGUUUGAAUUUGAAUGAGCUUAUUUAUAGGUGGAGCUGAAAACUAGCCGUUAUUGACUUUCUGCACACUGUCGGAUCGCCGUUAACUAGAUGGCGGAUCACCGCUUGACUAGUCAAUAUGACCGUUGGGCUGAUUUUUCAAAUUGUCGGAUCGCCGUUAUCUAGAUGUCGGAUCACCGUUUAUGUCCAGAGGCUAACCUUCAGUCUGUUUGAUCUCGGCGAGCCGUUUAUGAAACUUGUCGGAUCGUCAUUUAGGUCCAGAGACUAAUCUUCAUUUCUCAUUGAUCUCGGCGAGCCGUUUAUUAAACUUGUCGGAUCGCCGUUUAGGUCUAGAGGCUAAUCUUCAAUUCUGAUUGAUCUCGGUGAGCCAUUUAUUAAGAUUGUCGGAUCGCUGUUUAGAUCCAGAGACUAAUCUUCAGUUCUGCUUGAUAUCGGCGAACCGUUUAUUAAACUUGUCGGAUCGCCGUUUUUCACAAAAACUGCUGCAGUGAACUGUUUUGCAAGAUAACUGUUUUGUCUCCAAAUCUUUAUAAAAAUAUUUUAUGAAACUUGUCAAAAUAGAUGAAAAUUAUGUUGAGCUUUUAAAAGAUUAAUCAAUCUUAAUCAUAUUUGUUAUCAUCAAAAUCAAUAAAGAAAUAUUUAUGUUAACAAUCUCCCCUUUUAUUUAUUAAAAGAAAUAUAACAAAAUAAAUAAUAUCAUAUAUAAAACAAAAUAAAUAAUAUCAUAUUUACUUAAAUAAUAUUAUUAUAUUAUUUUAUAAAAUUUCAUUUAUUAAAAAGAAAAAUAUCAAUCUCAUUUAAAUAAAACAUUAUUAUAUUAUUUGAGAUUAAUGAUUAAUAAUAAUAAAUAGUUUAUUCUAAGAAAAUAUUAAUUUUCUACUAUGUUUUUAAUAAUAAUGUUUCAUUUCUAUUGCUCUCAUCAAUAAUUUUUAAUUUAGAUAACUAAAAUUAAAACUAACAAAAAAUUAUGAUUUACAUAAUUAAUAAUAUUAAUAAUUAUUGUUAAUUUACAAAUAUAAUGAAAUAAAUAUUUCAUUUUUCAAAUAUAUUUUUUAUUAUUUUUUAAUUAAAAACUACAAUUCUUUAAAUAAGGAUAAAACUGUAAUUUGAAACUAUUUACUCUUGAUCCGAGACAAAGUAAACACAUAAAUUGAAUUUUAAUUCCAAUUCCAUACUCCUAUUCUAGUGUAAAUAAAUAAUCUACUCCUACUCUACACUCUCAAUCUCAGGAUUCCUACUCUAUUCGAAAAUGUAAACGCUAACAAAAUGUAGACCAGACAGAGGUGUAUUUGUUUAUUAAUUAAAUAAACUAUUAUUUUUAACUAUGACAUAAAUGUUUAGUAAAAAGUAUUUAUGAAAUAGUACUACCGAAAACAUAUUCCUUAUUUUUAUUUUUUUCAAUUGUGUCUACCGAACACAUAUUACUGAUUUUAAUUUUAAAAUAUAGAAUAUAGAAAAUGAUACCAGACGCAUGUUUAAAGUCAAAAUACACCAAUUGUAAAAUAUCAUUUUCAUUUUCAUUUUUUUUUUCAGAAAAUGCUAAUUCAGAAACAAUACCGACCAUAAACUUAUUUUUGGUAUGAAUAGUGUUGUGCUAGUUUUAUAGACUUUAUUAGAAGUAUCUACCGAAACCCCUUUUACCAAGUUAUUACAACUAUAUUUACUUACUGGAGUGAGAGUGAGAAGUGUGGAUUCCUCAUAUUCCAGUGAUUACUUGUAUAUUUUAAGGGGUGUGGGAAUCUCACUCCGUGGGUUCCACCCAUUUUUUGAGUUUAUUAUUUUAUAAAAUUUCAUUUAUUAAAAAGAACAAUAUCAAUCUCAUUUAAAUAAAAUAUUAUUAUAUUUAUUUGAGAUUAAUGAUUAAUAAUAAUAAAUAGUUUAUUCUAAGAAAAUAUUAAUUUUCUACUAUGUUAGUAAUAAUAAUGUUUCAUUUCUAUUGCUCUCAUCAAUAGUUUUUAAUUUCGAUAAUUAAAAUUAAAACUAACAAAAAAUUCUUAUUUACAUAAUUAAUAAAAUUAAUAAUUAUUGUUAAUUUAAUAUAAUGAAAUAAAUAUUUCAUUUUUCAAAUAUAUUUUUUAUUAAUUUUUAAUUAAAAACUACAAUUCUUUAAAUAAGGAUAAAACUGCAAUCUGAAACUACUUACUCUCGAUCCGAGACAAAGUAAACAUGUAAAUUAAAUUUUAAUUCCAAUUCCAUACUCCUAUUCUAGUGUUAGUAAACAAUCUACUCCCACUCUACACUCACAAUCUCAGGAUUCCCACUUCUCAGGAUUCUCACUCUAUUCGAAAAUGUAAACGCUAACAACAUGUAGACCAGACAGAGGUGUAUAUAUAUAUAUAUUCUGAAUCAAACGUCAAAUAAAAUUCUUAAUUAAGUAAACCAUAAGGUGAUUGCGCAUUAAAAAAUUAAUAAUAUUAAUUUUCAUAAGAAUUUAUGCUUGUAGUAUUGCAUUACUUUUUAUUAACUGUUGCUUCAACUUAUGGUGGAUAUUAAGAGAACAAUAAUAAUAGAGCUAUAAACGGUCGCAUACUAUCAAUUAAAUUAACACUAUAAUUUGGUUUACCAUACAAAUCCUUAAUCUCAUAAAUAAUUAAAUUAUUGGGGUUUUAAAAUGCAGACUUGCCAUGGCUCCUAUAAGUAAUAUCAGCCACACUUUUUGUUAUUGGUAAAAAAAUAUUUCUAGGUACAAUUUGUGAAUUUGUACAACGUGUGGUAUUAAACAUUUGAAGCAUGAACUGACAAUGUUGCGUCAAUAAUAAAGAAAAGAAAACGAAUUGUAUAAUACACAGGUGUUCUAGUGUAACUUGGAUUCUUUUUCUUUAUAAGUGCACCUAUCAUGUGAUUUUUUUUUUAAAAAAAAGAACUCUUGAGAUUUUAAAAUUUUGUAAUUGCACAUCUUUAGAUUGCCAGGAGAUUUCCUCUCCUUAAAGACACCUUUAAUCCAUAAACGGUCCAAAAAAUAAUUCAUAAAAUGAAUUGAUUAUUUUAGAUAAAUUUCAAGUAUGCAUACCUUUUAUAACUCCAUUUUGCAUAACUCCUCAUUUCACUCAAUUGAUGCAUUUGUUCACUUUUUCUUUCUUGUAAAUUUUUGAAUGGACGUAAUUUUAUAGAUUAUUAGUUAAGUGCUAUUAUUAUCAAUUUUUUUUGUUGAUGCAUAUGUGGGGUGGGGCCGUUUUUGGGGCAUGGAUCUCAAUACAGCAGAGGGCCAGAAUAUUUAUUCUUUAAGAGGAACCACAACCAACAAAAAUGCUCUAAGUUCCAUUCCAUCUUACUUCUGUGCACCGUAUUGCAUAAACAACAUUGAUAUCCAAGGUCAAAGCCUCUCAAACACUUUGGUUACAAGAUAAAGCAUGGGAUUGCGGCCAAAAUUUUCUUCUAGUGAAAGGCUCAGAAAAUGAUGACAACUGUCGGAUUGUUUUGGGCCUCAAUGGUUUUAAUAUUAUUCUCUUACAAAUAUAUAUGUUGAUUAGAGACGAGAGGAAGAAGGGGAUCUGAUUUAGCCAGCUGCACAAGAAAGAGCACACAGUGGAGUCUAGAUUUUGAUUUCUCUUGUUAAAUUGUUUUCAAUUUACUACAAGGUAGAAUAAAUUGCAUUCUUAAAAAAAAAUAUUUUGAACAUCAUAUUUUUGUUUUACAAAUAUACCAAAAAUUAAAUUAAUUUUUUUCUUUAUCAGUAUAAACUAAAUUUUGCAUGAAUCCUCAUCUUUGUAAGUGGAAUUCUAUUGUGAAACUAAUGGUCCUUCCUAGUGCUAACUGUCACUUUGAACAUAUGUGUCAUCUCUAACAACAACUUCCAGACCAGCCGCUAGCUCCUUUUUAGCAUUAGAAGUAGCAUCCACAUUGGCUUUCAACCAGCCAUAAGUCGGAGGAGGGGACCAUUGUUUCUGUUUGUUAGUUUUCUUCCUUGAAGCAUAAGCCAUAAUUAGGAGGACGGCAAGCUUCCAAAUAACAUUUCGAAUGGUAUUGUGAAAAUCUUCCACCUUUUGGUGAAAAAAAAAAACCUUAUUUCUAGUUCUUUCUUAAAAAUCUUAUCACUUUAAGUUUCCUCUUAAGUAGGAACAUCAUAUAUAUUAAUUUGUUGUUAAUAUAAAUAAAACUAAAUAUUUAUGACUUAAAAGAUAGGUGUUGAAUGGCGGCCGUCUCACUCAAAAAAAAAAAAAAAAAAAAAAAAUAUAUAUAUAUAUAUAUAUAUAUAUAUUUAAAAGCAAUGGUGAUAUCAUCAUUUUUUGUACUGAUAUGAGAAUAUUACACUAGAUUUUUUUUUUUGCAUUACAAAAAGUUUGAAUUCAAGAAUAAAUAAGCAAUAUCAAGAUCAAAUUUUACAAAAAGCCUCCAGGACAUGCCAUAUGAAUUUGUGAUACGAAAAAUAGUAUACUAGUCACUGGAUCUUCUUUUCCUCAUUAGGAAAAAUUAGAAAUGCAAUCUAAAUUGAUAUCAAUUACUAAUUUUAUAGUGAAUGGGUCUUGCACGAAAACAAGAAAUUUUUUUAUAAUAUAAGAAAUUAUCAGUCAUUUACCCUAAAUUUAUUCUGUCUCAAAAAAUACUACAGAAACUUUAACUUGCUUAGUUUUUUUACCUUAAUUUAUAAUUUGUAUCAGUCACUCUCUAAAAAGAUAGAAUCACUUCAUAAAAUGACAAAAUAAAAAUAAAUACAAAUGAAAAAAUCGGUUCAUUUUAUAAAGAUAAAUCAAUCCGUUUGGCACCAAAUUACAAAUUAAAUUAUUUUAAAUAUUAUAAAUUAUUUUUAUACUGGGUGAUGGACCUAAUCAUUUUAAUAGUCAUGACAAUUUAAUCUAUCUAAAUAUGAAAUUUCAAAUAGACUUAUGUUUGAGUAGGAGGAUAAUGUUAAAAAAUUUGGCACUUUUAUUCAACUGAAGAAAUUUUACAAUUUAAAUUAGAAACGAUAAAAUUUAAUAAUUAACUAUUAUUUGAACUAAUUGAAUCGUGCGCUAUCAUUUGUGUAAUGUAUCCUACUUGCAAAAUAAACGGCAGGAUGCGGUUUGCGGACAGAUUAUCAAGGUAUUUGCUAAUAUUCGGAAAUGGAAAGAAAAAGGCAUAUAUUUCUCUCCUAUUUUGGUAAUUCUCUUCUUCUUCAACCCCAAAUAAUCAAAAGCUCUCCAAUGGCUUUCGUAUCCUCAACUCGUUCAUUUAAUUUUACUGCAAUUUCAAUAUCAGCUCUUAGAUGUAAUUUCUCAUCUUCGUUCCCUCAUACCAGAAAACCCACAUCUUCAAUUUCGGAAAAUGAACCCUCAUAUCCGACUACAACAGCUACGCUGCGACUGACAGUCAAAGACCGAGCCUCACUCGAACAAUUCCUCAAAGAAAGGUGCAAAUCAUCCGGUGAAGGUGAUAUUACUUCUAUUACUCCUAAUGAAGCCUUGUGUGUCUUUGAUUACAUGCUCAAUAUGCGCCCUUCUCGGCCUCCCGUCACUUCCUUCAAUAUUUUGUUUGGUUGUCUUGCUAAGACUAAACAUUAUGAUACUGUCCUUUCACUCUUCAAGAGACUCAAUUUAACUGGGUUGUUUCCAGAUCGUUAUACUUACAAUAUCUUGAUUAACUGCUUUUGCAAAAUGGGUCGAGUUUCUCAUGGUUUUGUUGUUCUUGGGAGAAUCCUCAGGUCUUGUUUUACUCCAGAUGCUGUGACCUUUACUUCUUUGAUUAAAGGUUUGUGUGCGGAGAGUAGAAUCAUGGAGGCCGCCGCCUUGUUUACGAAACUUAGAGUGUUUGGUUGUGAGCUUGAUGUUUUUACAUACAAUACUUUGAUUAAUGGAUUGUGUCGAACAGGCCAUACAAUUGUUGCUCUAAAUUUAUUUGAAGAGAUGGCUAAUGGAAAUGGGGAAUUUGGUGUUGUUUGUGAGCCAGAUGCUAUUACAUACAGUACUAUUAUAGAUGGUCUUUGUAAGGAAGGUUUUGUGGACAAGGCCAAGGAACUGUUUCUGCAGAUGAAGGAUGAGAAUAUUAACCCCGAUGUGGUUACCUAUACCUCUGUGAUUCGUGGUUUUUGUUAUGCUAAUGAUUGGAAUGAGGCCAAGUGUUUGCUAAUUGAGAUGAUGGACCAAGGGGUACAGCCUAAUGUUGUGACUUUCAAUGUGAUCAUGGAUGAGCUCUGCAAGAAUGGAAAGAUGGAUGAGGCAAGUCGGUUGUUGGACCUGAUGAUUCAGAUUGGUGUGCGUCCAAAUGCUUUUGUCUAUAACACAUUAAUGGACGGGUUUUGCUUGACAGGUAGAGUUAAUCGUGCGAAUGAACUAUUUGUUUCUAUGGAGAGUAUGGGUUGCACACAUACUAUUUUUAGUUACAGUAUUUUGAUAAAUGGUUACUGCAAGAAUAAGGAAAUAGAGGGAGCGUUAAGCCUUUAUAGAGAAAUGCUCUCUAAAGGAAUUAAGCCAGAUGUUGUUAUAUAUAACACCUUGUUUACUGGCCUUUUUGAAAUACACCAGGUUGAGCGUGCUUUCAAGCUGUUUGAUGAGAUGCAACGUGAUGGCGUGGCAGCUGAUACCUGGACAUAUAGAACCUUUAUUGAUGGGCUCUGCAAGAAUGGUUAUAUUGUAGAGGCAGUUGAACUAUUUCGCACUUUGAGAAUUCUCAAGUGUGAACUUGAUAUUCGAGCCUACAACUGCCUCAUUGAUGGAUUAUGUAAAUCCGGCAGACUCGAAAUUGCACGGGAACUAUUUUGUAGUUUGCCUCGUGGAGUCCUAAUAGCAGAUGUUGUAACCUAUAACAUCAUGAUCCAUGCGCUUUGUAACGAUGGGAAAAUGGACAAGGCGCAUGAUUUGUUUCUUGAUAUGGAAGCAAAAGGUGUAGCACCCAAUUGUGUCACAUUUAACACGCUGAUGCUAGGUUGCAUCCGCAAUAAUGAGACAUCAAAAGUUGUUGAACUCCUUCACAGAAUGGAUGAGAGAAAUGUAAUACCAGAUGCAUCUACACUUUCAAUUGUUGUGGACUUGCUUGUAAAGAAUGAAAUUAGCUUAAACUCCAUUCCACAAUUCAAGAGUCAAAGGUAAGUGAGUUUAAUAAUGAUUUAGUCGCAUGUUUCUUCUGCCUGAAAACUCAAUGUGGAGGAUCCCAUUCUUAUUACAACAUGUAAAGGAGUGUUGUCUAAUGUUGGCAUGUUCCUAGGUUCUGUCCAUCGAUUCUGUUUGCAGACAUGGCUAACUUCUUGUGCAACGGAUAAGUUUUAAAGUCUUUCAACUUUAUGUUGUAAAAUAACUUUCUUAUUAUUCAAUUCAUGAGUUUUCCUUCUGUAACACAUACUUCUCAUUAGCUGGAAGUGCAAAUUUUUUAGGCUUUUCCUGUAUGGCCUCUUUUUCUGCUCUAAAUAAAAUGGCAUUUUAUUUCCCUCUUGUGAGGGUACAAUGUUUAUGUUUAAACUUUCUGUUAGUUAAAUUGGCUGUUUUUGAUAUCGGGAACUUCCAGUUGAACUGUUUUGUAAUUCGAGUAUAUGAGAUUACCAACUGUAAUUGGAAUUGAUGCCGAAUUAAUUAUGUCAUCAGGUUUUUCAAUCAUUGUUCAUCAUUUAUUUCUGUUAACAAUUAAUAGCUGCCUCAUUGAUGGAUUGUGCAAAAUAAGCAAACUGAAAAUUGCUCGGGAACUGUUUCAAAGUUUGCCUCGUGCAGGCCUAAUGCCAAAUGUUGUAACAUAUAACAUACUGAUUCGUGGGCUUUGUAACGAUGGGCAAAUGGAUGAGGUACAUGAUUUAUUUUUUGCCAUGGAAGCAAAGGGUGUGCGCCGAAUUGUGUUAUUUUUCGGACGCUUAUGCGAAAGAAUGAGACAUCAAAAGUUAUUCAACUUCGUCACUCAAUGGAUAAGAGAAAUGCAAUGCCGGAUGCAUUUAUAUUUUCAAUUGUUAUGGACUUACUUGAUAAGAAAGAAAUUAGUUUAAACUCGAUUCCACAAUUGAAGGCACAAAAAGUAAGUAGAUGAGUUUAAUGUUUGAUUUAGCAGCAUUUUUUUUUCACUGCCUAAAAGCCAGAUCUGGAGAGUCCCUUUCGUCUUAUAAAAUAUAAAGAAGUGUCGCAUAGUGAUGUCAAGUUCACAGGUUCUACUUGCAGACAUGGCCAACGCUUUUGAUGCAGUCAUUGUUGCAUCAUGUAAAUUUCAGUCAUUAUUAUGGAAAUUCAAGAGUUGUCCUCCUAAGGAGUGUCUCUCUCGUAAUCUCGUUCCCAUGAUUUCGUUAUUCUGAGUUGGAAGUAAUGAAGUGGGAAAAUAGCGUUUAGUAGAAAUGCUUGUUCUUUAGGCUCUGCUCGUGUAGGACAUUUUUCUUUUCUUUAAAUGCUAUAAAUUAUUAAUUUUUUCACUUUCUAAAAUAUCUGAUUCUGAUAUGUAAUUAUGUAUUACAUAAUUAAAAAUUUCUUCAUACUUAUAUUAGAUAUCUAUUUUAGGACAUAGUUUAAUAAUCAUUUAAUAAUCAUGAAAACUAACCAUUUAAUAACAGUCAUGGUCGUUUAACCUAUCUAAACAUGAAAUUUCCCGCCGGUUUAUGUUUGAGUCGGAGGAUAAUGUAAGAAAAUUAAUAUUUUAAUCUACAAUUUUUAUGUCAAGCGAAAAUUUUCACAAUUUGAAUUAGAAAAGAUAAAAUUUAAUAGUUAAAUAUUAUUUGAGCCAAUUGACUAGUGAGACAUUAUUUGUUACGGUCCCAAAAGCAUAACAUUAUUGUGAGGAUAAUUAACAUUAUCCUACUAGUAAAAUUAACGAUAUAACACAGUUUAAGCACUGAUUAUCAAGGUAUUGUUAAUAUUCGGAAAUGGGAAGAAAAGGACAUGGGCUUAUAUUUCUCUUCUAUUCUGGUAAUUCUCUUCUUCUUCUUCAACCCCAAAUAAUCAAAGGCUCUCCAAUGGCUUCCGCGUCCUCAAGUCGUUCAUUCCAUUUUACUUCAAUCUCAAUAUCAGCUCUUACAUGUAAUCUCUUAUCUUCAUGCCCUCACACGCGAAAGCCCACAACUUCAAUUUCGCAAAAUGAACCCUCGUAUCCGACUACAACAGCUAAACUGAAGGAAUCGCUACUACUGACCGUCAAAGACCGAGCCUCACUCAAAAAAUUCCUCAAAGAAAUGUGCAAAUCAUCAGGUGAAGGUGAUGUUAAUAUUAUUACUCCUAAUGAAGCCUUGUGUAUCUUUGAUUACAUGCUCCAUAUGCACCCUUCUUCGCCUCCUGUCACUUCCUUUAAUAUUUUGUUUGGUUGUCUUGCUAAGACUAAACAUUAUGACACUGUCUUUUUACUAUUCAAGAGACUCAACUCCACUGGGUUGUUUCCAGAUCUUUAUACUUACAAUAUCUUGAUUAACUGCUUUUGCAAAAUAGGUCGAGUUUCUAGUGGUUUUGUAAUUUUUGGGAGGAUCCUUCCGUCUUGUUUUACUCCAGAUGCUGUGACCUUUACUUCUUUGAUUAAAGUCUCCACUUGAAAAUUUUAUAACCAUAGAACUCAUUCCAUUCAAACCAGAUCCUUGGAGAUCAAUUCCUUCUUCAGGCAAGUGGCAUGAUCUUCCUCUUUAGGAGACUCAGCAGCAACCAGUCUAUAUGCAUAAACUUUCUUUGUUUGGCCUGGCCUGAAAGCCCUGCCGAUUGCCUGGCGGUUCACUGAUGGAUUAAAGGGAACAUCCAGAAUAAUGAUCCAAAUUUUUGUGGACUUGUAAAGAAUGAAAUUGGUUUAAACUCGAUUCCACAAUUCAAGAGACAAAAGUAAGCAGACGGGUUGAAUGUUGAUUUAGUAGCAUGUCUCUUCUGCUUUAAAACCAGAUCUGGGGAAUCCCAUUCUUCUUACAACGUCUGAAGGAGUGUUGUGUAUUGUUGGCAUGUUCCCAGGUUCUGUUCAUGGAUUCUGUUUGCAGACAUGGCCGACUCUUUGUUUCAUCGGAUAAGUUUCAAAUAAUUCUGGCAACUUUUUGUUGUAAAAUUACUUUUUUAUCAUUUAAUCCAUAUGUUUUCCUGCUAUAAUGCCUCUUUCUCAUCACCUGGAAGUGCAAAAUUUUUAGGCUCUUCCUCUUAGACCAUUUUUCCUUCUAUAAUGCCUCUUUCGCCAUUCUCUUUUGCAAUGGUGAGUUCACUCUCAGGAAUCAGAUCGAAUUUGAAGAAACUGCAAGGGACUACAAAGCAAAUGGUGUGAAGCUCCUUUCACUUAUCACUGGCACAGCAUUACUCUGGCAAAUGGUUUAAAAUACCAUUCGCGUUGGAAGUUCAAUCAUUACUGUUUUUUUUCCCCUCUUUUUACUUGCUCUUGCUAUUUUUGUUGUCUGAAAUUAUCUGAAGUUCCAUGCAUGCUCCAAUAGAACGAGUAAUGUAAUGUAGGUGCUGACCAACUCCAAAUAAGUAGUUAGUUGCCUAGUAGUUGCUUUCCAUGAAAUUUGUUUUUGGUAUGAAUAAUGUUGUCUUAAUUUUACAAGCUUCCGUGCAACCACUAAUUUAUUGGAUGUAUUAACCCAACCCCUCAUUUAAUGUUAGAUUUACCCGUUGAUUGAUGUUGACUCUUGAAAGUAAUAUAAUAUUUUAUAAAUAUAAUGAAAUCUCACUUUAUUAACAAAUAUAAUUUAAAUUAUAAAAAAAAAUAAAAAAUAACUAAAGUUGAAAUCCAAGGAGCAACUUCUAUCCUCUUACCAAGUUAUUAAAUAUAGAGCAGACAAAGGCAUAUGUAUAAUAUAUAUAAUUUUCUUCAUGAUUCAAAAUCACAUCUCAAAUGUCAAAUAAAAUUCUCAAUUAAGGGAGUUUGGGGAUCAGAUUUUAUGGAUUUUAUAUUAUUAUCAGAUAAGAUAUAAUAUAAUAUUAAUGUAAUUAUAUUUUAACUUAUUUAUUUAGUAGUAAGUAUUAAUGACAUAUUUAUAAAUUUUAUUUUUUAAUUAAAUAAAUAAUUUUUAUUAUUUUUGAAUUCGUGGAUUUUUGUGGAUUUACAGAAAUAGAUUUAUAUCUAAUCCACCGAUUACGAAUUAUCAAAUUUUCAAUUCAAUUCAAUCUAUUAAUCUAUAAAUUAUUUUAAAUAUUAUAAAUUAUUUUUAGACUGAGUGAUGAAGGAUCAUUUAAACAAUCAUGGCCAUUUAAUCUAUCUAAACAUAAUAUUUCGAGUACACUUAUGUUUGCGCAGGAGGAUAAUGUAAAAAAAGUGGCACUUUUAUUCAACUGAAUAAAAUUCACAAUUUAAAUUAGAAAACGAUAAAAUUUCUAUUUGGGUAAUUCUCUUCUUCUUCUUCAACCCUAAAUAUUCAAAAGCUCUCCAAUGGCUUUCGUAUCAUCAACUCGUUCAUUUCAUUUUACAUCAAUUUCUAUAUCAGCUCUUAGAUGUAAUUUCUCAUCUUCGUUCCCUCAUAUCGGAAAACCCACAUCUUCAAUUUCAAAAAAUGAGCCCUCAUAUCCGACUACAACAGCUAAACUGAAGGAGUCCCUACGACUGACAGUCAAAGACCAAGCCUCACUCGAAAAAUUCCUCAGAGAAAGGUUCAAAUCAUCAGGUCAAUGUGAUAUUAAUCUUAUUACUCCUAAUGAAGCCUUUUGUAUCUUUGAUUACAUGCUCCGUAUGCACCCUUCUCCGCCUCCUGUCUGUUCCUUCAAUAUUUUGUUUGGUUGUCUUGCUAAGAAUAAACAUUAUGAUACUGUCCUUUCACUCUUCAAGAGACUCAAUUCAAUUGGGUUGUUUCCAGAUCUUUAUACUUAUAAUAUCUUGAUUAACUGCUUUUGCAAAAUGGGUCGAGUUUCUCCUGGUUUUGUUGUUCUUGGGAGAAUCCUCAGGUCUUGUUUUACUCCAGAUGCUGUGACCUUUACUUCUUUGAUUAAAGGUUUGUGUGCGGAGAGUAGAAUCAUGGAGGCCGCCGCAUUGUUUACAAAACUUAGAGCGUUUGGUUGUAAGCCUGAUGUUUUUACAUACACCACUUUGAUUAAUGGAUUGUGUCGAACCGGCCAUACAAUUGUUGCUCUAAAUUUAUUUGAAGAGAUGGCUAAUGGAAAUGGGGAAUUUGGUGUUGUUUGUAAGCCAGACGCUAUUACAUACAGUACUAUUACAGAUGGUCUUUGUAAGGAAGGUUUUGUGGACAAGGCCAAGGAACUGUUUCUGAAGAUGAAGGAUGAGAAUAUUAACCCUGAUGUGGUUACUUAUACCUCUUUGAUUCGCGGUUUUUGUUACGCUAAUGAUUGGAACGAGGCGAAGUGUUUGUUUAUUGAGAUGAUGGACCAAGGGGUACAGCCAAAUGUUGUGACUUUCAAUGUGAUCAUGAAUGAGCUUUGUAAAAAUGGGAAGAUGGACGAAGCAAGUAGGCUGUUAGAAUUGAUGAUUCAGAUUGGUGUGCGUCCAGAUGCUUCUGUCUAUAACACAUUAAUGGACGGGUUUUGCUUGACAGGUAGAGUUAAUCGUGCGAAGGAACUAUUUGUUUCUAUGGAGAGUAACGGGUGCAUGCGUGAUGUUUUUAGUUACGGUAUUUUGAUAAAUGGUUACUGCAAGAAUAAGGAGAUAGAGGGAGCGUUAAGCCUUUAUAGUGAAAUGCUUUCUAAAGGAAUUAGGCCAACAGUUGUUACAUAUAACACCUUGUUUCAUGGCCUUUUUGAAAUACACCAGGUUGAGCGUGCUUUAAAAUUGUUUGAUGAGAUGCAGCGUAGUGAUGUGGCAGCUGAUACCUGGACAUAUAGAACCUUUAUUGAUGGGCUCUGCAAGAAUGGUUAUAUUGUAAAGGCAGUUGAACUAUUUCGUACUUUGAGAAUUCUCAAGUGUGAACUAGAUAUUCGAGCCUACAACUGCCUCAUUGAUGGAUUCUGUAAAUCUGGCAGACUCGAAAUUGCAUGGGAACUAUUUCGUAGUUUGCGUCGUGGAGUCCUAAUAGCAGAUGUUGUAACAUAUAACAUCAUGAUCCAUGCGCUUUGUGCUGAUGGGAAAAUGGACAAGGCACAUGGUUUGUUUCUUGAUAUGGAAGCAAAAGGUGUAGCACCCGAUUGUGUCACAUUUAACACGCUGAUGCUAAGUUGCAUCCGCAAUAAUGAGACAUCAAAAGUUGUUGAACUCCUUCACAGAAUGGAUGAGAGAAAUGUAAUACCUGAUGCAUCUACACUUUCAAUUGUUGUGGACUUACUUGUAAAGAAUGAAAUUAGCUUAAACUCGAUUCCACAAUUCAAGAGUCAAAGGUAAGUGAGUUUAAUAUUGAUUUAGUCGCAUGUUUCUUCUGCCUGAAAACCCCGAUCUGAAGGAUCCCAUUCUUAUUACAACAUGUAAAGGAGUGUUGUCUAUUGUUGGCAUGUUCCUAGGUUCUGUCCAUGGAUUCUGUUUGCAGACAUGGCUAACUUCUUGUUCAACAGAAAGCUUUAAAGUCUUUCAACUUUAUGUUGUAAAAUAACUUUUUUAUUAUUCAAUUCAUGAGUUUUCCUUCUGUAACACAUACUUCUCAUGAGCUGGAAGUGCAAAUUUUUUAGGCUUUUCCUGUAUGGCCUCUUUUUCUGCUCUAAAUAAAAUGGCAUUUUAUUUCCCUCUUGUGAGGGUACAAGGUUUAUGUUUAAACUUUCUGUUAGUUAAAUUGGUUGUCUUUGAUAUAGGGAACUUCCAGUUGAACUAAUUUGUAAUUCGAGUAUAUGAGAUUACCAACUGUAUUGGGAAUUAAUGCCAAAUUAAUUAUGUCAUCAGGUUUUUCAAUCAGCGUUCAUCAUUUAUUUCUAUUAACAAUUAAUAGCACAGCUUGUCUUCUCAGCUUCAUUGUUUCCUCUAAAAAAAAUCUUGUAAAGACAAUUUUGUUUUUUGGCAUGGUAAAUGCUAGAUUGUUUGUGGUCUGAAUGAUACUACACAUCUAAGUAAUUGCCCAAAUUUUUUGUUCCUUGUUACAUGGCAUUCAAUUGAAUGAGGACUCGUGAUUGUGUGUAUCGGUAUUUGUUAUACUAUGUAUUGGCAAGACAGUUUCUUGAAACUGACAAACUUUUCUCUAUGAAGAUUGAAGACAAUAUGAUAAGAUAAAAUUUAUCAAAAGCAUAUAUGCUUGCCAGGGAUGGACCUUUGAUUAUUAGUCCUCGCCUUUCGUUCUUGUUUCAUAAAAAAGAAAACCCACUCGUAAAGUCUUGGACAUAAGCCUCUAGACCUAUUGGCCGUUGCAGUGGUGAGUUCACUCUCAGGAAUCAUAUCUUUCAAAUUCGAGCGAAUUUGAAGAAAUUUCAAAUGCCUACAAAGCAAAUUGGGUAAAGGUCCUUUCACUAUCUACAUUUUACUGCUCUGUUAUUGAUCUACUUUAUGAAAAUUUUGACUGAUUGUGAAGAUAUUUAAAGAUCGUCCAUCUUGGUUCUGCUAUGGUAAGUGUGAACUUAGUAUCGUAGGCUACAGCUGCCUCAUUGAUGGAUUGUGCAAAAUAAGCAAACUCAAAGUUGCCUCGUGCAGGCCUAACGCCAAAUGUUGUAACAUAUAAACACCAUGAUUUAUUUUUUGAUAUGGAAGCAAAGGGUGUGGCGCCCAAUUGUGUCAUAUUUCCGAGGCUUAUGCGAAAGAAUGAGACAUCAGAAGUUAUUCAAAUUCUUCACUGAAUGGAUAAGAGAAAUGUAAUGCCGGAUGCAUUUAUGUUUUCAAUUGUUGUGGACUUACUUGUUAAGAAAGAAAUUAGUUUAAACUCGAUUCCACGAUUCAAGACACAAAAAGUAAGUAGAUGAGUUUAAUGUUGAUUUCGCUAUUCUAAGUUGGAAGUAAUGAAAUGGGAAAAUAGCGUUUAGUAGAAAUGCUUGUUCUUUAGGCUCUGCUUGUGUAGGACAUUUUUCUUUUCUUUAAAUGCUAUAAAUUAUUAAUUAUUAAUUUAGGCAGUUGAACUAUUUCGUACUUGGAGAAUUCAUGAUUAUCAUUUAUGCUUUGAAUUUACAGCAUAUUUUAUCCUUUAGAAGCUAAUGAAUUAGUUGAAGCUUGUCACUUUAUUGGCACUUGAUUAUCAUUUAUGCUUUGAAUUUACAGCAUAUUUUAUCCUUACUGUAAUCUUAGCAUACUUACUUUGAGGGCUGCUAGUAUGUGAAACUGAAAAACCUUAUACAAACUGUAAGCUUUUUUAUUUAGAUUGUUGUAAACUUUCAGUGUAUGUCUGUUCUGUGAAAUAAUUCAUUCUCCAUGCUGCUAGGGCCUAGGCUUAUGACUCUUCUUUGAAAUGAUUUACCCUCACCCGCAUACAGACAUUUAUCACUUUCGAGGAAUCUUCAAACAAUAUGAAAAAAAUGCUUGAAACAGGACGCAGACUUAACUGUUUACAGGAAAAGCGGCAGAAACUUAGAAAAUUACCGAUUAAAAAGUACCUACCAUGAGGAAGAUGCUAUACAACUCACUCGGAAAAUGUAAAAUGGUUAACAGACAUCCAAGAUGAUCAACCAGAAACACAAUUCAGAACAUGGGCUGGUUUUGGCUACCCGGCUUUCAGAAGUCAAUAUUUAGAUGAACUUUGAGGAGAUUAGGAUCACCAGUCAGUCAGAUUUAGAUAGAAAGUGAGAGAUUGCUAUUGCCGGGCCAUUGCUUCAAUCCUAAAUGCUUUGAUCUACCUGAAAAGUAUACAAAUAUCGGAGUUAAAACAGAACAGAUGAAAUCGUAUUGAUGAACUCAACUGAGAUAAAUGACAAAAGAAAACUAACUUUUCCUGUUCAAAACUCGCACACCUUCCUUUAAGAGCUGACUUUCCAAGAAGAGAUCACCACAAUCGUUCACAUCAACAGUCUCCACUUGAAAAUUUUUAUAACCACAAUAGUCAUUCCAUUCAAACCACAUCCUUGAGAUCAGUUCCUUCUUCAAGCAAGUGGGAUGGUCUUCCUCUUGAGGAGACUCAGCAGCAACCAAUCAAAGCACAAUAAAGAUAACAUCCAGAAUAAUGAUCCAAAUUUUUGUGGACUUACAUGCAAAGAAUGAAAUUGGUUUAAACUCGAUUCCACAAUUCAAGAGUUAAUGAGUUUAUCUUGAUUCUGUAGCAUGUCUCUUCUGCUUUAAAACCAGAUCUGGGGAACCCCAUUCUUAUUACAACAUGUGAAGGAGUGUUUGUGUAUUGUUGGCAUGUUCCCAGGUUCUGUUCACGGAUUCUGUUUGCAGACAUGGCUAACUCCUCGUUUCAUCAGAUAAGUUUCAAAGUCUGGCAACUUUUUGUUGUAAAAAUAACUAUUUCAUUAUUCAAUUCAUGAGUUUUCCUUCUAUGGUGCAUCUUUCUCAUUGGCUGUAGUUUCAAAAUUUUUAGGCUCUUCCUGCAUGACCUCUUUUUCUUCUCUAAAUAGAUAAAAUUUGUUUUUCAUUUUUCUCUUGCGAGGGUACAGGUUCAUGUUGAAACUUUCUGUUAGUUAAAUUGAUUGUCUUUGAUAUUCGAACUUCUAGCUGAACUAGUUUGCACUUCGAAUAUAUGAGAUUACCAACUGUAACGGGAAUUGGUGCCAAAUUGAUUAUGUUAUCAGGUUUCCCAGUCUGUGUUCAUCUUGUCUUCUCUGAUUCUUUGGCUCCUGUCAAAUAUAAACUUGUAAAGACAUUUUGUUUUGGCAUGGCACAUGCUAGAUUUUGUUUUUGGUUUGAAUGAUAUUAGACAUCUAAGUAAUUGUCCAAAUUUUUUCGUUCCUAGUGACAAGGCAUUCAAUUGAAAUGGUGACUCAUGAAUCAUGAUUGUGUGUGUUGGUAUUUGUUAUACUACGCGUAAGACAAACUUUGUUGAAACUGACAUACUUUUCUCUAUGGAGAUUGAAGACAACAUAAUAAGAUAAAAUUUAUCCAAAACAUAUAUACUUGAAAGGGCUGGAACGUCUGUUAUUAGUCCUCGCCUUCCAUUCUUGUUUCCUAUUCUUCUGCUAACAAAUCUUGAUCACGAUAGUCUUCUCUUUCUAUACAACCCACAUAUAAAGUCUUGGCCAUAAGCCUCGAGGCCUAUUCUCUUUUGCAGUGGUGAGUUCACUCUCAGGAAUCGGAUCCUUCAAAUUCGAGCGAAUUUGAAGAAACUGCAAAAGCCUACAAAGCAAAUGGUGUAGAGAACCUUGCACUUAUCACGGGCACAGGAUUACUCUUGACUUUCUGCAUUUUACAGUUGGCUAUGGUUUGAUGCAUUAUUUAUUGUUCUCAAAUUAUAUUCUCGUUGGAAGUUCAAUCAUUACUGUUUCUUUUUUCCCCCCUUUUCACUUGAAGUUACCUGAAGUUCCAUGCAUGCUCCAAUAGAACGAGUAAUGUAGGUGCUGACCAACCCAAAAUAAGUAGUCAGUUGCCUAGUAGUUGCUUUGCAUGAAAUUUGUUUUUGGUAUGAAUAAUGUUGUCUUAAUUUUACAAGCUUCCAUGCAACUCCUAAUUUGUUGGAAGUAUUAACUCAACCCGUCAUUUAAGGUUAGAUUUAAUCAUUGACUUAUGUUGACUAUUAAAAGUACUAUAAUAUUCUAUAAAUAUAACGAAACCUACUUUAUUAACAAAUAUAAAAAAAUCAAUAAUAAAAAAUAACUAAAGUUGAAAUCCAAGGAGCAACCUCUAUCCUCUUACAAGUUGUUAAAUAUUAGAGUAGAUAGAGGCAUAUACUUUUCUUCAUGAUUCAGAAUCAUAUCUCAAAGUCAAAUAAAAUUCUCAAUGAUUGCAUGCCUCAAUACCAUUAAGAUGAACUAGACCAUCAUGAAUUUUUGUGCAUCUUGCAAGGUCCAAUUUCUCCAAGUUUAUCAUCAAGCCAAAAAAUGUCAUAAUUCCUUUUAUAGUAAUUUCAUAGUGUUUACUAAACUGAUAAUAGAAAUGGACUGAAACACAAAUAUGGAUGACAAUGGGGAGGGGGGAGGGGGAGGGGGGAGGGGACCAACAUCUCCGUACCCAUUCUUGAUGUUCUGUAUAUGUCCCCAUCCCCUUCCCGUCCCCAUCAGAAUUGCUUGAGGGGAUUCUUGUCCCCUCCCCGAAUAAUAACAGGGAAUCUCCGAGGGUCCUCGAUCCCCAAAUAACUGAUAUAUUUGUUUAGUUUUCAAACUUAAUUUAAUCAUAUUAACCUAAAAAUAUAUAAAAUAAAAUGAAAAUGAUCAUGAAUGAGCCUUAUAUUUCAUUCCACUCCUUCAAACUUUUGGUAUAUAUAAUAUUCAAAUAAUGAUUUUCAAAACAAAAUUCAAAUAAUGUGAUUUUUAUACAAUAUUGACGUGAUUGUUGUCCAUGAGUAACGAUACAUGUUGAUCAUCGACUAUGAUGCAACAAAGCCGCAUGUGUGGCUGCUAGUUGACGUUGCGAUGAGUUAGGCUACUCAAACACUAACAACGCAACGUGCUAUUGGGCUAUGAUGAGAUGAAGACGAGUUGGGUGCUUACUACUGCAUGAAUAAUUUGGAAAUGAUGAGCAAGACUGUGAGAAAGUGAUUUAGAGUUUGAUUUGUGAGUUAUGAGCUUGUGGGAUUGUGUGCUUUUGGUUGUAAUUAAGUCUAAAUUAUAUUAAACAUUUUAUAUUAACUAAUAUUUAUAUUAUUUGUAUAAAUAUUUUGAUAUUUGUUAUUUACACCAAUAUUUUAUAUUUUACAAUUUAAAAUUUAUUAUUUAUUGACUAAUAAUUCUAGAAAAAUAAAAAUAAAAUAAAAUAUUAAAAUAGGGAAAUGGGGAGGGGACAAGGAUUCCACCUCAUCCCCAUCCCUUCACUGAAUAAGUAAUUGGGUAAAAAAUUGUCCUCGUCCCUUCCCCGAAUAAGAAGUGUGGUAUAAAAUCGUCCAUGUACUCUCCCCAAAUGGGUAAAAUCCCCAAGGGCCCCCAUCCCCAUGGGGAUUUCUGCCAUCCCUAAAUUAGAAUAAAUUAUUUAUUUAAAUUGUAGGAAUCAGAAUCAAAAUAAACUGGAUUGUCAUUGAUGUGUUUAUUUUGUCUUGGAAUUGAAAUCAAAAUGAGUUACAUUUUAACAACUUACUGAAAAGUGAUUAAUGAGCUAUUGUCAUAAUUAUUAUUUUAUAUUUUAAUUAUGGUAAUUAUUUAUUCAAAAAUUAUAAUUAUAAUUAUUGUUAAUAAUAUAUUCAUAUAUUAAUUAAUUGAAAAUUAUUUAAAUUAAUUAAUUAUUAAUAUAUUAAUAUAUUAAUUGAUUAAUUAUAAUAAUACAUUAAUUAAUUAUAACUAAGGACAAAAUAGAUAUUUUUUAUUUUGUGUGGGGGCAAAAUGGUCAUUCCAAGGAAUGGGAGACUCAUUCCAGCCUCCCUUGGGAAUUAAUCUUCCAUUUGCCUUUCCCAAAUUGCGGUGGACUCAACGAUUUCAAUUCCGAUUCUUGACUCUAUUUUGUGAAGUAAAUGCUCUCAAUAAUUUCGAUUCCUCAAUCUGAAGAAGUAAACGCACAGUUACUGUUUCUUCUAAAGCUCAAACUUGUCAGGUUUGAGAGACCUGAUAGAUACUUCAGUCAUGCAUCUACUCCAUCAUAAGACAAACUGAAAGUUAGAAAUAAAAGGGACAACUCAAGGAAAAUGCACACAAGUGAGGUUUCAAAAUUAAAAUAGACACUUCAGCUGCAAAUCAGCAUACACAUACAAUGGAGGUCAUACAAAUAUAAUUUCUACAACCGCCCUAAUGUAUUCUUGAAUGAAGAUGGUUUAAAGUCAAGUAAUAAGAUAUUUAAACUUAAGACAAAACAAUACAAUUAAAUUUGCUGGAACUUAUGAGUAACUUACUCUCAUCUCUCCUCCUAAUUUAAUUGGAUAGGCGUAAAUUUUCCAUGUUAAUAUGGAUGAAGUAAAUUUUCUUUUUAUAAUAUAUCUAUGCAUUAAAAAAAUUAAUAAUAAUAACUUUUACAAGCAUUUAUGCUUGUAUUAAUACUCUACUUUUUACUACACGAUUGCUUCAGUAUAUGGUGGAUGUUAAGAUAACAAUAAUACUAGAAUUACAAACACUUGCAUACAAUUAACUAACUUAACACUAUGAUAUUGUUUACUGUGUAAGCACUCGAGGUGAUGUUAAUAUGCCAAAGAUUUAAAAAUAUUAGUUCUAGCUUUUGAAGAAAAAUAUACUUUCAGUCAGAAGGGAAAAAAACGAAAAAAAAAGCUUUCUAACAAGAUAUCAAAAUGGUUAAUAAGAAGAGCAGUAGUAAUGGGGUAAAAGCUCGUUUAAUUCCUAUAUUUUGAGGUUAGUACUUGAUUAGUUCCUAUAUUUUUAAAAAUGCUUCAAAACAUCUUUGCCGUUAAAUUAUUGACACCCCUGUCGUUACUUUGUUUUCAUUUUACCUUACUUUUACAAUAUUACCCUUUUUGCAAUAUUGUUUCUUUUUUUGGACAUUAAUAAUAAAUAAAAUUACCAAUUUAACCCCAAAAAUAAAAUAAAGACAAAGAAAAUAUAUAUUAAUCUUUGUCGAAACUAUGUCAAAAAAAUAAAUAUUGUAAAAAAAAUUUAACUACUAAUUUUUUAGACAUUAAUAAAAAAAAUUAAUAUAUUAACUCCUCGUGGAGUAUUCAAAAAAUUAAUAUAGAUUUUUUUUUGUUUCUAUUUUACUUUUUUGGGUUAAAUUGAUAAUUUGAUUUUUCUUGUUAUUAAUGUCCAAUAAAGAAGAAAUAUUAUUAUACGAAGGUAAUAUUGUGAAAGUAAGUUAAAUAUUUAAAAAAAUAAAUAAAAAUCGCAUGAGUACUGUGCAAAGAUCGAUUGUUGUAGUUAAUUGUUUUUUUUUUUAUAUAAAAGGAAUCAUAACCUUCAUUCAUUAGAAGACUGGAACAAAUACCAGAUAUUUUCUGGAAAUGGGUUCUCCCAUAUGACAGACUCCUCACAACCUAGAGCCAAUCUAGCUAAAGAGUGUGCAAUGGAAUUACAAUGUCUUGGAGUAUAUUGGACUUUAACAUUACAAAAAUCCUUGACUAGCUCUUGAAUUUCCGAUAUCACCCAGAAGACUUCAGAUCUAUUACUCUUCUUGUUGUUGAGCAGAUCCGAAACACCUUGAGAAUCAGUUUCCACUAUGAUCGAAGCCAUAGAAAUAGAUCUUGCAACCUGCAGACCCCAUUCUACAGCCUCUGCCUCAGCAAAGAUUAUAUCUCCAUAAAACUUAAAUGGCUUUACUGCAGCAGCAACCACACUCCCAUCAAAGUCUCUUAGGACAAAUCCCAAUCCUGCAACUUGUUUCUCAAUCUUUGUGGCUGCAUCUACAUUAAUUUUAAUCCAUCCUUGUGGGGGUGGUUUCCACCGCUGCUGCUUAACAGUUAUCUUGCUCUCCAAGUGUGAUGAGUUGGGAAUUUUGACUCGUUUAUAUGAGUCCAACACAGCCUCAGCUUUUGCCAUGGAAACCAGAGGGUCCACCUUCUUUCCUUCGAAUAGAAAAAGGUUCCUUGCUUGCCAAAUUGACCAAAAACAAGCCACCAACAAUUCAAAAUCUGUUCGAUUUAGCAUUUCUGUCAUACCUUGCAGCACAUACGACAUACUUUGCUCUGCAAAUGUGUAAACCUUAUCCACACAAGAGACCAUUUUCCAUACCUUCCUAGCCAUUUUGCAAUCCACCAAGGCAUGAGAGAUGUUUUCCAUAGUUUUUUUACACAGUUGACAAGUAGGAUCUGGGAUCACGUUUUUGCUCCAAAGAUUCUCAACUGAUGGUAACAAAUUCCGGGCAACUCUCCACAUGAAGAUUUUAAUUUUUUCAGGCAGCAAACAAGUCCAGAUAGCCUUCCAAAUACUUGGAUCCGUAACUGAGCAACUAGGGGAGUCCUGGAAUUUUAUUUGCUGAGCAAUCUGAUAUCCACUUUUGACAGUAUAAUUGCCUUGCUUAUCAUAAUGCCACAUGAUCUGAUCUGGCUUUGGUCUUCGCGGGAGAGGAAUGCUGGUAAUUAAUUCUGCAUCUUCCUUUAUAAAAUGUUGGAACACUUUAGUCACAUUCCAGUUUUGGUUAGAAUCAAUCAACUCAGAUACCACAGCCUCAUUUGGGAUAGUUGGAGAGGAGAUUGGUCUGAACGUUUCUGGUCUUGGGAUCCAGUUGCUGUUGUGAACUUGCACUUUGUUCCCUGAACCAAUCCUCCAUCUGCUGCCCUUUUGGAUUACAAGUCUCCCCCACACAAUACUUUUCCAGAUAUACGAAGGAUUUGACCCCAGUUUUGCCUGCAAGAAGUCAGAUUGCCUGAAGUAUCUUGCUUGCAAAACUCGGGCUGCUAAAGAAUCUGGAAACUGUAAAAUCCUCCAUCCUUGUUUAGCUACUAGAGCAUGAUUGAAGCACGAGAACUCCUUGAAUCCCAUUCCACCUCUGCAUUUUGCUUUACUUAUCCUCUCCCACUUAGCCCAAUGAAUGCCUCUCUUAUCAUCCUUAGAUCCCCACCAAAAUCUAGCAAUAAUUUUCUGCACAUCUUCACACAACCCCAGGGGAAUUUUGAACACGCUCAUGGCAUAAGUUGGAAUAGCUUGGGCUAUUGCUUUGAUGAGGACCUCUUUACCACCACUAGAGAAGUGUUUGUGCUGCCAAUUUGAAAUCUUACUCUUCACUCUGAGCUUUAAAUCAUCAAAAAAAUUCCUUUUGUUUCUUCCAACCAUGGAUGGCAGCCCUAGAUAUUUUUCGUGCCUGGAAACGACCUUCAACUGAAAAAUUUCUUUAAUGGCAGCCACUUGAUCAGCUUUGGUCUUGCAACUGAAAAACAUUGAGGAUUUGUCUAGGUUGAAAAGUUGUCCCGAAGCCAUUCUGUAACAGUCAAAGAUUGCCUUGAGAUGCUUACAAUCAUCUAUUGUUGCCCUCGUGAAAAUUAGGCUAUCAUCUGCAAACAACAAGUGGGAUACCGUGAUGGUGUUUCCAAAACUCACUCCAUGUAUAAGAUUCUGGUUUUCUGCCUGCAUUACUAAGCUGGAGAACACCUCAGCACACAAAAUAAAAAGAUAUUGAGACAACGAACAACCUUGUCUAAGCUCUCUUUGAAGUCGUAUCAACCCUUUUGCAACCCCAUUAAUAAGAACUGAAAAGGAUGCGGUGGUAAUACAUCUCAUUAUUAGAUCAACCCAACCAGGGGAAAAUCCUAACCUAAGCAUUGUAGCUUUUACAAAAGACCACUCCACUCGAUCGUAGGCUUUGUUAAUGUCUAAUUUUAGAGCCACUAGACCAUUUUUCUUUCCUUUGCUAUGACGAAUUUUAUGAAGACAUUCAUACCCAAUGAUAACAUUGUCAGUGAUGAGUCUAUUGAGAAUAAAAGCACUUUGAGUGGGGGAUAUGAUCGUAUUGAGUAAGUGUUUAAGUCUAUUUGCAAUGGUUUUUGCCACUAAUCUAUAGAUUACAUUACAAAAACUUAUGGGUCUGUAUUCAGUCACUUUCCUUGGUUUCUCAACUUUAGGAAUGAGUGCAAUAUAUGUGUGAUUGAGUGGAGCAAGAGUACCUUUCUCGUUGAGCACAUGGAGGCAUGCAGUGAUCACCCUUUCACGGACAGUUUCCCAAUGCUUUUGAAAAAACACCGCUGGCAGUCCAUCAGGUCCAGGGGCUUUGGUGAGGCACAUCUGCGCCAAGGCUGUUGUUAUCUCAUCUUCAGUAAAGGGCUGUUGAAGCUCUUCAUUCAUUUCAUCCGAAACUUUUGGAACUAGACUUGCCAGGGCAGCUUCUAGUUGGUCAUGAGUAGGAUUCGAAGACUUGAAAAACGCCUCAAAAUAGUCACAAAACUCCUUCUCUACUUCACUUUUAUCCUUAAUCCAGUUGCCUUGUUCAGUUUCAAUUCCUCUGAUCUUAUUCUUUCUUUUUCUGGAGGAGGCUUUUGAAUGGAAAAACUUUGUGUUCUUGUCUCCCUCUUUCAGCCAAUCCGCUCUCGAUUUCUGUUUCCAGUAUAUCUCUUCAUCGAUCAGAAUGUUAGCAAUUUGCUUCUCAAUCUUUUUUAUCUCAGCUCCACAUUCAUAAGGCUUCUCGCUUUGUCUGAUCAGCUGCAACUCAUUCACUAAUAAUUCCAGCUUCUUUUUUCUCUCCCCAAACUCUUCUUUGCUCCAGAUUCUCAGGUGAGCCAUUGAUGUCGUGGCUGAUUUUUUGAAAAGUUGCACUGGGUUUGCAUUUGUCCCCCCUCCAUGUCUAGUCCACUCAUUCUUAACAAUCUCUUUACAAGCAUCGUAAGAGCUCCACAUAUCCUCAUAGUGGAUUCUACGCCAACUCUUCUUUUUACAAAUUUGCUCUACACCCUUCUUAACCACUUCCAUCAUAAUGGGGCUAUGAUCUGACGUCCAUGACUCUAAGUUUGUAGUUACCAAUUCUUGAAAAUGAUUACCCCACUCCUUAUUACAUAAAAAUCUGUCUAUUCUCUCUUCUAUAAAGUUUGGCCCAUAUCUUUGGUUUGACCAUGUGAAAAAACUCACUGUGCAACCCAAAUCAACUAAGCUACAUUCUCUAAUAGCAUCUCUAAACUCAGAAAUCAUAUUAACAUCCCUAGCAUUACCUCAUUUCUUCUCACUUAAAUGUAAAAUUUCAUUGAAAUCACCAAAGCAUAACCACGGUAAGGAAGAUAAGAUUGCUAACCGUUUCAUUAAAGUCCAUGUGUGCCUCUUCUGAGCUGUUUCUGGGUGUCCGUAAACCCCCGUACAUCUCCAAUUCGGUCCUCCUUCAUUAUAGAUCUCAGCAUCUAUGUGGUGUUGACUGUAAGAGACUAUAUUUACAUCUAUGUCAGAGCUCCAUAACAUUGCUAGACCCCCUCCUAAACCAUUCCUGCUUACGGUAAAACAAUUCUCAAAAUUUAAUUCGACUCGAACAUUGUUCAUCUGCAUAGGUAGCAUUUUUGUUUCGCAUAAGAAGACAAUUUGCGGCCUAUGUGUUUGGAGAAUUUUCUUGAGUGACGUCCGGGAAUUCCUCAAGCCCCGGACGUUCCAACUGAGGAUUUUCAUGGCUCUCGGCGAGGCUGACCCUCAGCCUCCGCCGAUAUUUCUUCGAUAGUUAACCCUAUCACCUCCAUUUCUUCCAUAUCUGAUGCUUCUGAGUUUGCACUUGCAUUAAGUGUUGCUAAGAAAAACACUCCAUCUUGUGCUACUGCCCUCUCCACCGAACUACUCAUAUUUAGUUUCUUUGCUUCUGGGUACCGUUUUUCCGCUUCUCCUCUAGGCCGUUUCUUUACAAGUGAACCCAUUUUGUUUUCAUCCUUAGAACAUGUGUCCCUGGCCAGAUGCUUCCAUUUUUUUUAAUUUGGGCUUUUUCUUGGUUGUUACUUCUCCUUCAUUUGAAAUUGUUUGGGCUUUAUUUUUUAAGCCCAUUAACCCCAAACUUUGGCUUUCCUUUGUAUUCUCUAGUUCCUGCCACUUUCCUCCCGCUUCCUUUUCCACAUUCCCCAACAUCUGAUUCUUGCCAGCUAUUGUGGUCAGAUUAUCACAGCCAACUUGUUGUUCCAUCGGUUUUGCUCCCUCUAGCAUUAAUGUUUCUACACCCAUCUCAGCCACGUGGCUUUUACUCGUUGGUGUUGUAGCUCCACCCAUUUCAAUCCGGGUUGUUUCUAACCCGUUUCAUGAGUCUGAGUUGGGAUGUUUCUGGUUUUGCUGUUGAUUUUCAUGACCUUUUUGGUUUGCCGAUUCCUCCUCCCUUGAAUUGUUGCCUCUAUUCCAUCUAUUUUUGGCUUUAUGAGAAUUAGCCCGCUCAGACAUUGUAACUGCUCUCAUCCAUGGGCCGAAUGCAAGAUCUUCUUGUUUCUGAUCUUUAUAUUUGAUACAUUCUCUAAAAUGAUGGCCAAUGUUUCCACAGCAAAAACAAAAGCCUGGUAAUCUCUCAUACCUAAUCGGCAUUGGUAUUUUCUCCUCACCCUCUGGUUCCAAGAAAAUGAUUUUCUUUAAAGGCUUUGAGAUAUCCACUUUGAUUCUGACUCGUGCAUACUCCCCAAGGCAUUCCCCAUUUUCGCUUGUCUCCACCUCCUCGACUGUACCAAUAAUGGCUCCCAACCUUGAGAUAGCGUCUGUAUUCAUAGCCAUGAUGGGCACAUUUAGGAUUUGAACCCAAAAAGAGACAUGAGUAAAGGCUUGCUUCGCAAUAUUUCCAAUUCUAGUUGGCUCAAUCAGUACUAACAAAGCUCUAUUAAAGUGCCAAGGCCCCCCUGUUAACACUCUUCUUUUAUCAGCUUCCAAUGCAAACUUGAACAAGAAGAUGUUUUCCCCCAGGUUUUCAAUUCUCACUCCACGUAUUGUUCUCCAGACUUGGUGCAUUGCCGCUCUAAGCCCUUCGAUACUCACUCCCCUUGUGGUCAGGAUCUUCCCGACUAGACAUCCUGCAGCAAUUUCAGCACCUUUUGUUUCAUGUUUCCAAUAAAAGAAACCUUAUCCUCUUCUUCCCCUUCUAAGGAAAUGACCCUACACUUCUUAAUAAGUUCUUCUGUCUCCAUAGUAGUUCAAUCAAAAAAUAAUUAAGCUCACCAACCACACUUUAUGGUUUUUAACUCGCUGAACCCCCUGACGAUUAAUGGGGAAACGAUUUAUCUAUUGCAGCUCACACUUUUAGACUGCUCAAAAUACACACAAAACGGAACUGACCCACUCACUCAACUGGGAGUGACAAAGCUGAGCCACUAGGACCCCAUUAUCCUUCCAUUCGUGAUUCUCUUUCCAGAGAAAAGAGAUUUUCGAAGAAAGACUACCGCAUGAUUGUUGUAGUUAUUGUUGAUGUUAUUAUUACUAGCACCGAAUUACAUAUUAUUAAAUUAUUUUAAAUAUUACAAAUUAAAUUAUUUUUAAAUGAGUGAUAAAACCUGAUCAUUUAAUAACCAUGCCCAUUUAACAUAUUUAAACAUAAAAUUUCGUGUCAAAUUAUGUUUGAGUAUAAGGAUAAUGUAAGAUAAUUGGUACUUUAAUUUACAUUUAUGUGCCAACUGAAUAAAGUUCGCUAUUUAAAUUAAAUUAGAAACGGUGAAAUUCAAAAAUUAACUAUUAUUUAUCCAUUCAAACGCAGAGACACAAUUUGUCACGGUUCCAAAAGCAUAGCAUCAUUGAAAGUACCAUAUCCCACUUGUAUUAAUAUUCGGAAGAAUGGAAGGUUCGAUUUUGGUAAUUCUUUUCUUCUUCCUCAACCCCAAAUAAUCAAAAGCUCUCCAAUGGCUUUCGUAUCCUCAACUCGUUCAUUUCAUUUUACUUCAAUUUCAAUAUCGGCUCUUAGAUGUAAUUUCUCCUCUUCGUUCCCUCAUACCAGAAAACCUAAAUCUUCAAUUUCGAAAAAUGAGCCCUCAGAUCCGACUGCAACAGCUAAACUUAAGGAGUCGCUACGACUGACAGUCAAAGACGGAGCCUCACUCGAAAAAUUUCUCAAAGAAAGGUGCAAAUCAUCAGGUCAAGGUGAUAUUAAUCUUAUUACUCCUAAUGAAGCCUUGUGUAUCUUUGAUUACAUGCUCAAUAUGCGCCCUUCUCCGCCUCCUGUCACUUCCUUCAAUCUUUUGUUUGGUUGUCUUGCUAAGACUAAACAUUAUGAAACUGUCCUUUCACUCUUCAAGAGACUCAAUUCCACUGGGUUGUUUCCGGAUCAUUAUACUUACAACAUAUUGAUUAAUUGCUUUUGCAAAAUGGGUCGAGUUUCUCAUGGUUUUGUUGUUCUUGGGAGAAUCCUCAGGUCUUGUUUUACUCCAAAUGCUGUGACCUUUACUUCUUUGAUUAAAGGUUUGUGUGCGGAGAGUAGAAUCAUGGAGGCUGCCGCAUUGUUUACGAAACUUAGAGUGUUUGGUUGUAAGCCUAAUGUUUUUACAUACAAUACUUUGAUUAAUGGAUUGUGUCGAACUGGCCAUACAAUUGUUGCUCUAAAUUUAUUUGAAGAGAUGGCUAAUGGAAAUGGGGAAUUUGGUGUUGUUUGUAAGCCAGACGCUGUUACAUACACUACUAUUAUAGAUGGUCUUUGUAAGGAAGGUUUUGUGGACAAGGCCAAGGAACUGUUUCUGCAGAUGAAGGAUGAGAAUAUUAACCCCGAUGUGGUUACCUAUACCUCUGUGAUUCGUGGUUUUUGUUAUGCUAAUGAUUGGAAUGAGGCCAAGUGUUUGCUAAUUGAGAUGAUGGACCAAGGGGUACAGCCUAAUGUUGUGACUUUCAAUGUGAUCAUGGAUGAGCUCUGCAAGAAUGGGAAGAUGGAUGAAGCAAGUAGGUUGUUGGACCUGAUGAUUCAGCGUGGUGUGCGUCCAAAUGCUUUUGUCUAUAGCACAUUAAUUGAUGGUUUUUGCUUGACAGGUGAAAUAGAUCGUGCGAGGGAAUUAUUUGUUUCUAUGAAUAGUAACGGGUGCAUGCAUAAUGUUGUGACUUACAACACGUUAAUUAAUGGGUACUGCAAGACUAAGGAUGUAGAGGAAUCUUUAAAUCUAUAUAGUGAAAUGCUUUCUAAAGGAAUUAAGCCAGAUGUUGUUACAUAUAACACCUUGUUUCGUGGCCUUUUUGAAAUACACCAGGUUGAGCAUGCUUUAAAAUUGUUUGAUGAGAUGCAGCAUAGUGAUGUGGCAGCUGAGACCUCUACGUAUAAUACCUUUAUUGACGGGCUCUGCAAGAAUGGUUAUAUUGUAGAGGCAGCUGAACUAUUUCGUACUUUGAGAGUACUCAAGUGUGAACUUGGUAUUGAAGCAUACAGCUGCCUCAUUGAUGGAUUGUGUAAAAUAGGCAAACUGGAAACUGCUUGGGAACUGUUUCAAAGUUUGCCUCGUGUAGGCCUAAUGCCAAAUGUUGUAACAUAUAACAUCAUGAUCCAUGCGCAUUGUACUGAUGGGAAAAUGGACAAGGCACAUGAUUUGUUUCUUGAUAUGGAAGCAAAAGGUGUAGCACCCAGUUGUGUCACAUUUAACACGCUUAUGCUAGGUUGCAUCCGCAAUAAUGAGACAUCAAAAGUUGUUGAACUCCUUCACAGAAUGGAUGAGAGAAAUGUAAUACCAGAUGCAUCUACACUUUCAAUUGUUGUGGACUUACUUGUAAAGAAUGAAAUUAGCUUAAACUCGAUUCCACAAUUCAAGAGUCAAAGUUAAAGUGAGUUUUAUAUUGGUUUAGUCGCAUGUUUCUUCUGCCUGAAAACCCGAUCUGGA
rnacentral:lncRNA from 1 species